AACUUUGUACUUUUGGUCGUGCCUGAACACUCUGAAGAAGAUGGCCGUGUGCUCCUGCAAGUCACUGGAGGCCAUGACGAGCAGCCCGAAUGGGCCGACCCCGCCCGGCACGGACGCGCCCUUCUCCGCGCAUAGCUUCUGGGUGUCCAGCAGCCAGUUGGGUUGGAAGGUCUCUGCCUCUUCCAGGGACGGGAUCUCGAAGAUGGCCUCCACGUCAGCCUGCGCGCCCACGCCAACGAUCUUCUUCACGCCGCCGGCGUUCACCUGCGCUCCGAGCAUGCCGACGACUCGUUUGCUCCUCAACCUCUCGAUCUCCUCGAUUGGCCACUGUCGUAGCUGCUUGCCAUCUCCGUCCAUCCACACCUUCCUUGGAACUGUCUAAAUAAUUAUAGUUGAGCAUGAUCAGUUAGUUGAUUGGAAAUGGACCGGGAAUGUAUUCCCACAACAUAGCUAAUGAUAUAUACUCCUUCUGUGUCUAUAUAAUUAUAGUUUGGAAGAACUUCUAGUAAUGGUUGGAAAUGGGGACGGAUGGAGUAGUUUGAAAGAACUUCUAGUAAUGGUUGGAAAUGGGACGGGAGAAUGCGCACCUGAACGCCGGACCAACCCCUGGCGAUGUCGUCAUUCGCGUUGUCGGAUUCACUAGCCCACGACCAUAGCACGCGCCGGUUCUUGCGCGAAUCAAAGAAGGACUUGGACGCGUAGACGUGCCCGUAGUCGAACCGGCGCCAGGUCCGGCAGUCGUCGACGCUGCGCUCGCCGUCCACCUCCGGCACGAAGGUGUCCGCCACAUCGUCGUACCUCCCGACCGCGUAGUAAUCCACGGUCGUGUUCAUCACGCUCAGCUUCAGCACGUGCCUCACAGGCACAGCGCCGCUCGCUGUUCCGAGUCGCCCCUCCUCCACGCCAGGCUCCGCCACCGGGAACAGGUCCGGGCAUUCGACCAUGCCCGCAGCACGCGACGUGUACAACGGCAUGGCGUUCCGCUUCCAUUGCCGGAAGUCCUUACUCCGGUAGAUGAGCGUGGAGGCAAUGCCGUUGAUGCCGCCGACCUUGGCCGCGACGGCGAUGCGCCAUAGGCCGUCGCGGCCUACCCAGGCCGUGGUAGGGUCGCGGAACUUGUCUCCGGGGACGUCGGCCGGGAGCGGUAUGACGGGGUUGUAGGCGGGCUUGACCCACUCGCGGAGCAGCGGGUCGGCAGGGUUCUUGGGGAAGGCGACGUUCUGCACCUGCACCUCCUUAUUGGUGGCGUUGAUGCGGCCGGUGUAGAGCAGGGCCGGGAUGCCGCCGGGGAGGAUGGUGGCGGAGCCUGACCAGCAGCCGUCGGAGUCGAAGGGGGCGGUGGGGUCGAGCGCGGUGUCGAGGGCGUCCCAGUUGACGAGGUCGCGUGAGACGGAGUGACCCCAUGAGAGGUUGCCGGGACUCCACAUUGCGCCCAGCGGAUUGUACUGGUAGAACAUGUGGUAUACGCCGUUGUGGUACAUCGGACCUGUAAUUAAGUCAUGCAACGGAAAUAACCGACGGUUAAUUAACUCUGGAAAAACACCGUGCGUAUGGUAAAUAAAAGAAAAACUGCGGGGGGGAUUUUCCAAGCAAACCAUGUUGAAGAAUAAACUAGUGCAAAAGAUCGUUGUUGAAGAAUGAAGAGUGGUCGACAACAGAUGAUUAUUGAAGAAUAGACCGUGGAUGGUGUUUGUGGUCAAUGUAUAUAUAGUUUGAUGGACAGUACGAUGGUGUGGUGUGUCGCACCUUACCCUUAUCUAUCGUGCGGUGCCGCAGGAAUGCCCGUGCGAGCACGCAUAGAAAGAACGGGAGUGUGCCGACAUGCAACGUCCUCAUCGGAUUCCAAAUACAGCCACGUGAACUAAUCAAAAUCAAGCACUAGGCACUAGCUACAGUCAGCUCCAAUAGUGAAAGUUGUUACUACUGUUCACAUCAGUGUUGUCCGGAGAUCGAUCACGAAUAUCUCCUUGCAACAGACAGAUCGACGACAACUCAAGGUAUCCAGUGAUGUUAACGUGCAACUCACGGACGGUCCAGGCCGGGAGAGAGACCUGCUUGUCUUGUGUGCUUACUGCUUAGUAUGUUAACAAUUUUUAUUAAUAAAAGGAUGACACUAAAAUUACGGAAAUGUAUGUACAUAAUUGAAUUAUUGGAUACAAAUGUGUAGUCAUAUGACUGUUGUGAAUACAACAGUUACACAGCAAAAUGCAUUGGAGCUCCCGGAUGUAACGUACCCCUAUAUGGAACUUCCAUUAAAAAUACUGAAAAAUAUUUAAAAAUUCUGAAUUUUGGGAUAUAAAACAUGGGCGUCCGUUGUACAUCCAUACCCAUUUUCGCAGGGAAUGGGCACUCGUGGUGUGUCUGUUGCAUUGGAAUUACGAUUGUUGCGAAUAUAUCCCUUAGAAAAUAUGAUUGUUGCGAAUAUAUCCCUUAGAAAAUAUAAUUAUCAAACAUGUUUGUUAGUUAUGGAAAACUUGUAGCAUAGUAAGUGGUGGAACCUAGAGAGUGAAAUUUGGGGAGGUUGGAAUGAUAAAAAAAGGGAGAGGGAUCUUCUGGCGAGGCUUUCCAAAUGAUAAAAAAAGUUGGUAUCUUCCGUUGUACUCGCUCUCACGUGGCAUAAAAAACUGACGUCCAAUACAGGCACACACACACAGUGCAAUGACAAGAACACUUGACACAGAGCAACCCUCUCGGAGUCAUGGGCGGAUUUAGGAUGUGUCUUCCAUUCUUCCUCUACCGUCUGCUCAGUGUCCAAGGAUGGCAACGUUCCUACCGACAGGUUGAUCAAGACGGGAAUCUAAAGACAAAAUCAAGGUGGAAACUCCAGUACUCCAAUCACAAGUGUCCAAUAUGUGAGGUGUCCUAAGCACCUAAUCUAGCAAACAAGCAAGCAAGCAAGCGCACUCACUGCUCGAUCGAGCAAGCACGCGGAGCAAUCAUCUAUAGAAGAGCAUGUGCAUACGUACCAUUCGGAUCUGCUCAGCACCAUCCGGAAGUAACCAUAUUAUGCAUGCAUGCAUGAAUGAUCCAUCCAUCAUCCGAGCCAGCAAAUUGGUCGGCCAUGUACAGUCCACACGAAGAAUCAGAUUAGCUAGUAGCUUAAUUCAUUCAGUCAGAAGAGAGCAGCUAGUUCUAUAUGGAGAUCCUACGUACCGUUCUGCCAGUUCUUAGCAGGCAUGAAGUGGUACGCGGGCCUGAUGCCCACGCCAUGGCGGACUAGCGAGCUCUCCGCUUCGGAGAGCCGGCGGAGUGAGGAGGACGGCAAGAGGAGAAGGCAGAGGUGGAAGGCGACGACGCAAGCGGCGAGAGGGAGCCUGGCCAUUGCCACCCACAGCGGGGAGGAUGAGAGCGGCGCUGUGGUUGGACCGGUGGUUGAUCUCCCCCUCGGAGUCGACGAAUUUAUAGCGCGCCAAGCAAGUUGCGGACGUGGACGUUCACUCGCAGUCACAGCACUGGCCAUAAUAUGUGCCGUCCAUCAGUAGUGAUCUGAAGGUCGGGAGCCAAUCAAUAUCUUUUUUUUAAUGCAGUAAAGAUGCGAGCGUUUAUAUAAACACACAUACAUUUAUCCUUAUAAAUGCAUACACACAUCGAUUCUACGUGUAUGAGCAACUUCGAGAUACGGAUCCGGCAUAUCAAGUUAAGAUUUACAAAGUCAUAAUAUGUGUCUCGUCGUUGACGAAAACAUGUUUUUUUAUUAAGUGCACAUCUUCGAAAAUUUUAAAAUAAAUUUAAAAAUAAUAUAAGCAUUAAAAAUUAAAUCUUGAUGGGUUGGGAUACAACUGUCUUUUUAAUCAUUCAAGCGAAGAAUGGUUUACAGAUAAUCAAUACUUGAGGACCCUAGCAGCACUAGUUUCAGGGCCUCUUUGAUUCGUAGGAUUCUCAAAAUGUAGGAAUAGGAAAAACGUAGGAAUAGAGUGACAUGUCCUUUUCUACACUACAGGAUUUGGAAGUGUGUUUGAUAGCACAGGAAAAACAAAAGAAUUCUACAAAGAGGUUUGAGUGGAUGGAAUUUUUUUUCUAAAAUGUAGUACAAACGGAUCCUAUGAAAAAAUUCCAAAGGAUUUCAAUCCUUCGAAUCAAACGACCAUCGUAGAAAAAAAUCUUAAGGAUCCAAAUCCUCUAAAAAUCCAAUGAAAUUCCUUUGUAUCAAAGGAGCCAUCAAGGAACAGAGGUUGGCUGAGUUGGCAUGAGCAUGGGCACAUUCUGGAGAAGAAUAUUUUUUGUACGGUGGCAGGUGCGCAUGCGGAAAUGGUCCGUACUCGUCGGCGUCGGCGUCGGCGUCGCCGCCUGCUGGCCGGUCUGCCGUCGCAUAUGCAGUGGGCGCGCGGCGGAGUUUAGUCCAUGCUCAUUUCCUUGUAUCAUAAGCAUGGCUGACCCUGACAAGGCAUCAUCUUCAGCAAUUCGCAGUGCACAGGCAUAAGAAACUUUUGAUAAUAUACAAGAAUUCUGAAAGAGAGCAGGAACCUGCGAGACGGGCCAGACUGCAGGUUCGGCGUCGCAGGCGCACGCACACAGGGCGACCCGGGGCGCACCUAGUAUUGAACCUGCUAGAACCAUGGACCAAACUACUACCCACCCUUUGGGCUACUCUAAUGUAAGUCACGAAAUUCCAUUUCAAAAUUCGGAUCCGACUGUACGAUUUUUUUUUGCCAUGCAAUAAAAAAAUACUCACUGGCCGGACAUCUGAAAAGUGAGAACCCUCAUAUAUAUAUAUAGUGGUACCAAACUGGAAAAGGUUUGGGGCUGUCAAGACGUUCAUCUCCUCGGACUUUGACAACGUGAACCCGUCAUAGACUAUCGCCGAGGCGUCUGCUUCAUGACCCUCCGACAACAUUCAUGCCGCUCAGAGUGGAAGCGAUCCGACGAUGCAAGCCCAAACACACCGUCGGUUCUCGUCUCUCAAACCCCCACGCCAAGUUGUCCUCCCCUCUUACAUCAAGCCACACGGGUGCUACGAGUAGUAACUCAUUGGUGGUGGCGUGUCCUCGUCGGCGGCCAACAAAUUCCUAUCCAAGGCGAAAUGUUGGGCGUCUGUAAAAUCGGUUGUCUCGUUAGGUUGGAUUCUCGUUGACCCCUACCUUCGAAAGGACUGGGUCGUAAGUCGUUCUAUCAUGCAGACCUCCGCCCAUGCUUAGCGGCCAACUCCUUAAAGCGGAGUUGGAUGAGUCCAAGCACUUGGCUUGCCUCCAAGGCAACAACGAGCACUCAUGGGGUGUGGACUAGGGGUACUCAACACAUCAUCUUCCGGCCAAUAUGGCUGGUCCGAGAACCCUCAUGACGGUUUAUUAUUGCACCACUUCGGACAACCUAUGAUGUAUACAAGAAACAUUUCAUAAAACUUAACGCACAAGACGAAGACCCUUCAAAAUUCGAAGUCUCCUGUACAUUAUGUAAACCAAUGCUAGACAAGUCCACAAAACUAGUAGCGGAGAUAGACCUAGGGCAAUUAGGGCUAUAGCCCUAGGCCUAGUAGCAACUUCCCUUGUAAAUUUUUCUUGUAUUGUGAAAAUCAUCAGAAUGUAUCACUUAAGCUAGCUAAGCCCUAGGCCUAGCUUGAUGCUAGCUCCGCUACUGCACAGAACAUAUUCUUGACAUCCAAGAAUUUAGAUUCAUUCACAUAUGAUUUCAAGGUAGAUCAACAUAUACUUUGUACCCCAUCCAUAAUGAAUACAAUACAAGGAAUAUGUAGGGUUUUACCUUUUCGAGAGGGCGCAAACCUAGGUAAAUACCAUUGUUGAGGAAAUCGUUAACUGAUAACUGCUCGGUUGGCUGACGAGUAGGGUAUUAAUAGACUAAUCGGCAAGUUAAUCAGCCAUUUAAUCCAUUAAGCGGGCAAUUUAUCAGUUAAUCGGCUAUUCGGUGACCCUACGAGUAGGGAUUAAUAGUCAAGUUAACCGGUUAAUCGAACAAAUUCUUGAACAGGGGUAAAUACCAUGUCUCUUUUCUUCCAAUUACCAUCUAGUCAAGAUUACCAGCUCGGGAUCCCCUACCCAAGAUAUGCUGAAUUUAGCUUCAUCAUUGGUGGCCAAUGCAGGUCCAUCUGGUAGUCGCCAUGGUGUGAUGGGAAUUAUGAUCGGCUCCUUUGUGAUCUACGUGUCGAAACAUAUUUUCAUUGUCACCUCGGUUGGUCACCUCGGACGGGAUGAGGUCUAAACCCGAGGUCAGAUUUGUCAGACAUUGAUGUGCGUCUUCAUCGACAACAACUUCAAUCUCAACCGAGAUCAUAGGAGAAUCGUCCAUGGAGCUAAGUGCUCGACGUCAACAUUGUCCUGGGGAAACUAUGCAGAUUUUCUGGAAACGAAUUUGUGUUCACCAUAUCCCCGCCUCCUCGAGCAUCGUUUUGACGAACCAUUUGGUGGAAUUGUGUGAAACUGGGUCCACAAUGAUCCUGUCAAAUUUCAUUGUAGUGCGACGUGGAAUCUCUGGCAAUUGCCAAUAUACGAGAGCCCUCUUAGAGAUUUGUGCGGGAAUCCACACGAGUUCGGCCCGAACAGUCUAGCGGUUAGCUCGGACAUCUUUUUGAAGAUCCAAUUGUGAAUCUGCUGCGGAAUUCCAUGUCAACAAUCUCUCAAAAUUUGUACUCAAUUCGACACUGCAAAUUCCGCCAACCGCCCCAGGAGUGCAUCGAUUUUCGGAUUUGUUUUCUCCAUGAAAACAAAUUCGAUCCAAGUUCAUCUUUUUCAUGAAUGGGUUACAUGGCAUCCCUUUUGGAGGAAUUUGUUUUAAGGUCUUGUGUUUUGGUCUCAAACACGUGCCUAUAAUUUUGAGCCUUUUGCAAGGUGCUCUUCAUGGUCGUGCCGGUGUCAAAGGGGGUAUGACCUUGUUGCUCCAAGGAUGUCGACUUGCGCUAGCCAUGAUGUUGCUACGUCGGGGCGAUGUCAACCACGUCUCAUUGCCACCUUGGAUAGCCAACCUGGACUUCAGCAACGCCAAGGCCACAUGGUGACCCCACAUUUUGCGCAGGUUGGGCACACCGGCAUCACUGCGCCGCGACUUCUUCAAGUCGACGUCGACCUCAUCAUGAAUUCCGACAUGUGUUGGCAUCGUCGCGCUGUCUCUUCAUCAAGCCGACGUCCACCACACCGAUCUGCUCUGUCGUAUUUAUUGACGUGGGUGAUCCGACAUCACUACAUCAGCAUUCUUCUUACCUUGUUCGGUCUGGGGGCUUCUCUAUCUCUUCACCGACCUUCUCCCAGGGCCCCGACAUUAACCCACUUACCUGCUCCAUCACCUCGGUUGGACUAUCGGCUUCGCUUCGACACACCGACAGUAUUGUGUCAUCACUUCAUCGAGUCAAGGCCCUCGCCCGUCCACCUCAGGACCAGCUUGGUGACUGGGACCUCGUCGCGUGGCAAGUUCGGACAACAUCAUGAACGCGUUGAACAAAAGACCAGCUAAGUCGCUUCCAAACUCAAUUCUUUUCAAUUUUUAUUUUCAUCAAUUAAGAAUUCUAUUUUUGUCAAAUAAAAACUUGUUUGUUAAAAACAGCUCCUGUACCAAAAUUAAAUGGGAGCUCAUAAAUUAGUAUGUGUUAUUUUGUGAUAAGUACUUUUUUCUUAGUGGUUGCAAAGUUUUAUUUUGCAACUACUUUUUCGGCUUGAAUUACGGUAAGAUAUCCGACAACCAGGCUCCUCUAUAUCAUCGUAAGUGUUUAGAACCGGUGUGAGAAACACCCUGCCUUUGAGAUAAGGAGGUUGAAGCAGAAGGCCAACUAACUUGAAGCCUAGAGAUGGACCUAUCAUGUGAAAACAGGAGUAAAGCACAAAUUAAUUUUAAGACAUGAAAAACUCAAUUUAAUUCUGACGUAAAUAUUUUUUGGAAGUUUUUCGUCUCGCGAGCUUUCGACAUUGUUAACCUGUUGUAUGUUCUUUUUCUUUCAGGAGGCAGGAUAUCCUCUUGGGGGAGGUGUCAUGUGUUGUAAUUUUUCUUGGGGGAGUAGGAAAUAUCUUUUCCGACCCAUAGUUCGAUAUCUUGUUUUCCGAGUUGUACCUAGACGAUGGCAAAACUAAUAACAAGGUUGAACCAGUUCCCGAGGAGAUACGAUCCUAGGGUCGGUCAUGUUGCUCAAACCAAGUCUCGGGGGUUACUGCAUUGAUGACCCAGUGCAGAAAAUUUCAAAGUACUACUCCCUCCGUCCCAGUUUAUAAGGCAUGCACGUGUACCUAGGUCGUCAAUUUGACUUAUAUAAGAUAUAUUAUUUAACAUAAAAAUUAUAUCAUUAGAAAAUAGAACAUCUAAAGUUUCUAAUGAUAUAUUUUUUGUAAUAUAUGUCUUUCAUUAAGUUGAUCAAAUUGAUGACCUAGAUACACGUGCCGGCCUUAUAAAUUGAAACGGAGGGAGUAUAUGGUUUCCGGGGAGAUUACGAUCCACAAGACGGUGGGCACCAUCCGACCUGAUUCUCGGGGGCUACUGCACACCGAAUUUCUAUUCCUAAAGUAUGCUAUUGAGCAAGGAUUUAAUCCUCCGGGUGAUUUCGUGAAUCUAUCUUAGUCUCAAGGGCUACUGGGUUAAGUUGUCUUAUGCUAUUAUUCAGGUGCAUACCCGACUUUGAGCCGACACACGCUAUACAUCUCGAUAGAGAAUAAAUUGCACCAAUAAAAAGAAGAAAUAAAACCGCGAAAAAUCAGCCCAAGAUAUAGGUGGUUCCCCAUCUCGGAAGCAGUUCGGCGUGGCGGCCGGCUACGAGUGGCUGGGUGCACAUGAGACUUUUUAGGCAUAAAGCUCGCCUAAAACUCAUUUUACAUUUUGAAGACUGAUGUGGUCUAUGUCACCUCCGAUGGAGUCUGACGUUGGAGCUCGGUUGCCCAAAGACAAGUUGGAGCUCGGUUGCCCAAAGACACGGCUGCACAGAAAACAUUUCAAGCUCGAGGUGUGGCGUAAUAAAUAAGAAUUUACUUGAUAAAGAACGAAAGAACUUAUAGGGGCUAUUUGGAUGCCCGACAUAUGAACUCUUCGGAUACACCUCGACGAUUCUCAAGACCCCAAACGAAAUGGUUUGUUGAAUCGACUUUCAAGACCGGCAACUUAGGAAGAAGAAUAUUUCAGAAAAAACGAGGAGCGUCCCUAACUUGAAGACAGGUUCACGGGCUACUGAUGGUGUUCUAGACGAGGUGUACUCAUCAUGUCCUAUGGUUGGAUGAUUAGAGGGACAAUGGUAUCCGCAGCCCAUCAGGGUUCAAUUCUUGAUGCUCGUAUUAUUCCUGCAUUUAUUUUGGGAUUUUCGAUGAUGCGCAUUCAGUGGAAGGAGACGUUUUCGUCGAUGACGAGGCGCCUACGAGGACUUCGUAAAUCUUAAAAUGAUAUGACGACUCAGUCUCUUAAAGAUGCACAUAAAAAUAAUGUUGUGUGUAUAUGUUCAUAGGAUUAAGUGUAUGCACGUUUGUACGAGCGCUUGCGUCUGUAUUUUGUUAAAAAAACAUUUACAAAAUGAAAAUUUACGGUCUUUUAUAACAUCUGUUGAAGUUUAACAUAAAAACAUAUUAUUUAUUUAUUUAUUUAUAUUUAUUUACUGUUUAUGCAACCUCUCAUUUGAGCUCGUGAGCAGUUGGACACUUUCGGUUGGAUGAUGCUUAAGCUGCUCUAUAUAUCCCACCAGUCUAGUAAAAUGCACCGGAGAGACAGCAUGUGUUAGAACGUGUUACAUUAACGGUACCAAGCAUGCAAAUGAUAGAUACGGUAUUAAUUCUCAUAAUACUUAUAGUUGAAGGUAUUUGUAUUAUUGUUCUCAACCAGGAGUACUUAUUAACACAUCGUGUACGAACUAACUAGUCCAGAUCGAUAAGUGAACGGUGGUGGAGGGCUUCGGCGACGUCGUGCGGACGACGGCGACGGACAGCAGGCGCGUGUACGCGUCCAAGAAUUAACGGAUAGACUAACGCCGUGAACAGUGGAGCCAGCGGUUGGGUUCCACUGACCGGACGUCGCGAAAGUGAAGCAUCGGUUGUGGCCUAGAGCUGGCGGUCUCUCUCAUCCAUCCUCACGUUUGUAAAAAUGGCAAAUGGGAGUGUGGACACGAUGGAUGUGGAGCAAUAAGAGCAUGUAGAGUCGAAUCUUUCAAAACCACCUCAAACGUACAGGUAACACCUUCGGUCAUUGACGGAUCAAAAAUUAAUCUAAUCGAACCCCUUAUAUCCAUCUCAAACGUUCGUACUGACCGGUAUCCUUUAUUUUUAUCUUAAAUAUGAAAAUAAUAUGAGGGCGCACUAACGCGUUUCGAAAUGUCCGGUCAGUACGUCACGUAGGACGCGAGCACACUCCGGACCAUCUUUUUUAUUUCUUUAUUCAUUCUUUUCUUUUUCUUUCUUUUUCUUCAUCAACCACAAAUAACCGAACAUAUGAAAAAAAAAUAUGAGAGAUGCGGUUGCACAAAUAAAAAAGCAGGGGUUAAAACAGACACGACCGAUCACUGGCCGGACGCGUCCACGAAUGUUUGAGGGACCGGAUUUAUAAGUUCCUGCUGUAGAUGCUGUCAGCUAGUCUAAUCAAGCACUAGGCUAGCAGCUACCGUUGACUCCAAUAGUGAAAGUAGUUUGCCACUACAUACAUCCUUGCUGUCCUAUGAUGUUUCGCUUCUUUGCAUAUGCACGAAUAUCCCCUUGCAACAGAUAGAAACUCAAGGUAUCUAGACAUCUAGUGAUCACUGAUGUUAAUGUGCAACUCACUGGAGAUGUGACGUGUGAUUGCGUGUGUUGUGUUGAGCGCUUGUGUGUGAUUAAGAGCUGGAGACAACAUUGCUGGGAGUAUGCAUAUUGACAAAAUAAAAAUGGACAUUGUUACUAAGUUUGUUGAAAAAUAUGUACAUAAUUACAGGUGGAACGAGGUGAGUGUGAUUUCAUCGACGUAGGUACAUAGUAUGACCAAUUGAUUCCAAAAGGACGACAACUUUUUUUUAAGUCGACGCAUAGUAUGACUAGGUCUGUAGGAAAAUUAUCAAAAACUAGACUAUCAAAUAAUAAUAAUAAUAAUAAUAAUAAUAUAAAUAUUUUAUUGUCUGCGGUUGCUGAAGGUCUUCCCACAAACUUGGUUGCACCAUUUGAACAACAAUUUGUGAUAUUUCACAAAACAAAAACAACAAUUUGUGAUAUCUAGUGACCCCUGAUGUUUACAUUUUGCACACGCAUGGUUGAGAGAGAGAAGUCACAUACGUGAAUGCAUUAAGGAGUGCACGUGUUUUUUUCUUUUUUAAAUAUAGUACAGACGCAAGUGUUGAUAUAUACGCGCAUACACUAACUCCUAUGAACGUACACACGCACACCCUGCCCCUAUGAGCACCUCUGAGAGACUAAGCCAGCAUAUUAUCUUGAGAUUUACGAAGUCAUCGUAGCCGCCUUGUCGUCGACUGAAACGUCUUCUCCCACUGUAAGCGUAUUUCCGAAAAUUCUGAAAUAAAUCUAGAAAUAAUACACGCAUCAGGAUUCAAACCCUGGUGAAUUUAGGAUACCACUGUCCCUCUAACCAUUCAACCACAGGUCGGUUUAUGGAGUGCGCGUGUUGUGUUGUACGUGUGCGUGCGUGUGGUGAAAAAUUUCAGACAUAUUAACGGGAGUGCGCUCAAAACUGGAAAGUAUUAAAUUGUUAAAACUGUGUCCACCCUUUGAUUAAAAAAUUGAUACUUAGUAGUUUUACUACAAACCUCUUUGCACCAUUUGACGCCUACACUGCUGCAGAAUUUGGUAAGGGGGCAGAGUUGGCUGAGGUGGCACGCGCAUGGACACAUUCAGGUGCGGCACUAUUGUCUCGAUCCAUUCCAUCAUCUCGUCUCUCUGGCGCGCAUGUGGACAUGGCACGUACUCGUCGGCGCCUCCGCCCCCCUCCAAUAGCUGCACGGUCUAGCCGCCGCCUGGUGUCCGGUCUCCCGUCGCAGUGUGCGGUGUGGCGGAGUUCAGCCCAUGCUCACGUCUUUUUUAUCAUUUACAGUAAAUAUAAGUCUUUUUAGAAAUUAUACUACUGGACUAUAUACGGAUGUAUAUAGACAUAUUUUAGAUUGUAGAUUCAUUCAUUUUACUCUGUAUGUAGACUUUUAGUGAAAUCUUUCAAAAGACUUAUAUUUAGGAACAGAGGAAGUAAUCUGCAUGCAUGGCUGACCCUGACAAGAAAUUCUAAGAAUUCUGAAGAGGAGGAACGUGCGAGACGGGCCAGACUGGAGCUUGGGUGUCACAGGCGUACAAGGGGACCUGCGGACCAGUGGAGCAUCUACAAGCGGACGCACAAAAUUGACUAGUCGCCCUCAAAUGAUCACUUCCACGACCGGGUAUUUCAUUAGCAAAUUGUUAUUUCCAUACAAUUUUUUUUUUUNNNNNNNNNNUGCAUGCAGCCAUUUUAUUGAUAACGCAAAAUGGUCCGAGACAAAACUACAAAGUAGUCUGAGAAAGAGAAAAACAAGACAAAAGAAAUUACACGGCGAUCAGACCACCGAAAAGCCGACUACAACCCACAGAUAAGCUGGGCUAAGGACCAAUCCUAUUAGCAUGCCGCCAUCCAUAUCGGUUGAAGAUAACCUGAGCUACCAUCUCCCAUCGGACACACCCAGUAACCAAAGGCUCCCUGGUUUCCACAUGAGUGAGUAAGGACCACGUGCGGAUCAAUCCGGUAGCCCUGAAGAUGACCUGCAAAAAGUUAAUGUGAUGUAAUCUGUUAAAAACUAGAUCAUUUCUGCAAUUCCAUAUCGUCCACAACAAGGCACAAGUUCCAACCCGAAUUAGUUUGGCAUAAAGUACAUUAACCCCGUUUAGCCACGUCCCAAAUAACAUGCGAAUGCUAGUAGGUGGGGUAAUGUUAAAAGCAAUUUGUAGUGAGCGCCAUACUAAUUUCGCCAUAGGGCAAUCCAGAAAGAGGUGUUUAAUCGACUCAUUCGUUUGACAGAAGCUACAUCUUUUAUUUCCUUUCCAGUUUCUUUUAGCCAAGUUAUCCUUAGUUAAAACAACUCCCUUGUGAACAAACCACAUGAAGAUUUUUAUCUUAAGGGGAACCUUGACCUUCCAAAUAUGCAUGGACUUAGGAAUGGACGACGUAUCAAUAAUAUGGUUGUACAUUGAUUUCAUUGAAAAAAUACCAUUGGUGGUCAGCCUCCAACGAAUGCUGUCCGGAAAAUCAAGCAGGGAAAUAUCCAUCAGUCUUCUGACUAGAUGUAACCAACUAACCCAUCUAUUUCCGAUCAAGGCUCUGCGAAAUUGGAUAUUAAGAGGAGUAUGCCGCAGUACUGCCGCAACGGAAGUCUGUUUUCGUUGUGCAAUAUGAUAAAGUUGCGGAUACUGUAGAGCCAAAGGCUGCGGUCCUAACCAAAUAUCUUCCCAAAAUCUAGUAUUUUCACCGUUACCAACGACGAAUCUAGUUCUGUUGAAGAAAGCAGCCUUUGUCCUCAUUAGACCCUUCCAAAAAGGGGAAUCACCCGGUCGCGCAGUGACUUGGCUAGGGUUUUGUGCUGUAGAUAUUUGUUCUUUAGAAUUUGACCCCACAUCCCUUGUGAUUCGACAGACAAUCUGAAUAACCACUUGCUAAGCAGACAUCUGUUCUUGACCUUGAGAUUUUCAAUUCCCAAACCCCCCUGAUCCUUGGGUCUACAAAUAAUAUCCCAUCUAGCAAGUCUAUAUUUAGUCUUGACCUCAUCGCUCUGCCAGAAAAAUCGAGAUCGAUAAAAAUCCAACCUUUUCUGCACCCCAACAGGCACUAGGAAAAAGGAUAAGAGAAACAUUGGCAUACUUGUCAACACUGAGUUGACAAUAACUAAACGUCCUCCGUAGGAUAAAAGCUUGCCCUUCCAGCAACUUAGCUUCUUCUCAAAACGAUCCUCGAUACAUCUCCACUCCUUUAUGGUCAACUUUCGGUGAUGAAUGGGGAUACCUAAAUAUGAAAACGGUAGCGUGCCACCCACACAUCUAAAAAGUUGGUAAUACGUGGCAUGUUCAGCUUGUGCAUCCCCAAAGCAGAAAAGCUCACUUUUGUGAAAGUUAAUUUUCAACCCAGAUAGUUGUUCAAAUAAACAUAAUAUGAGCUUCAAUUUUCUGGCCUUAUUGAGAUCAUGUUCCAUGAAAAGGAUCGUGUCGUCCACAUAUUGUAGGAUCGAGACACCCCCAUCAACUAUAUGUGGUACUAGUCCCCCUACUAAAUCUUUGUCAUUAGCCCUCCUGAUCAUCAGCGCCAGCAUAUCCGCAACGAUGUUAAAUAAAAUAGGUGACAUAGGAUCUCGUUGCCUAAGUCCCUUAAGCGUCUGAAAGAAAUGACCAACAUCAUCAUUUACUUUAACACCGACACUUCCUUUUUUUAUAAAACAAUCCACAUGCUUUCGCCAAAUGUCACCAAACCCUUUCAUACGUAGAGUUUGUUGCAGGAAAGACCAUUUAACUUUGUCGUAUGCCUUUUCGAAAUCCACCUUGAAUAUAACUCCAUUUAGUUUCUUGGAAUGUAGUUCAUGCAGAAUCUCAUGCAGAACGACAACCCCUUCAAGAAUAUUCCUACCCGGCAUAAACGCUGUCUGCGAAGAUUGCACGACCGAAUGUGCCAUCUUAGUUAGCCUAUCCGUUCCCACCUUUGUGAAAAUUUUAAAGCUGACAUUGAGCAGGCAUAUAGGCCGAAAUUGUUCAAUUCUGGAGGCACCCUCUUUUUUUGGUAAUAGCGUAAUCGUACCGAAAUUAAGAUGAAAAAGUUGAAGGUGACCAGAGUACAAAUCAUUGAACAUAGACAUAAGAUCCGCCUUAAUAAUAUGCCAGCAACGUUUAUAAAACUCAGCCGGAAACCCAUCUGGACCAGGAGCUUUACCACUUUUCAUACCCUCAAUUGCCUGUAACACCUCUUUCUCUAGGAAUGGUGCGGAUAGACUCUCGUUGUCGGCUUGUCCAACUUGAGGAAUAUCCGCAAUCUGAUGCUCGUCCAUAGACAUGAAGCUAUGAUCUGGAGCACCAAACAACCGUUUAUAGUAAUUUGUGAUGUAAAGUUUAAGGUUCUCAUGCCCUACUACGGUGCCCUCAGCUUGCUCGAGUUGUAUGAUUCUCUUUUUCCUAUGUUUGCCAUUUGCAAUCAAGUGGAAAAACUUUGUGUUAUUGUCCCCCUGGACAAGUGCCCUAACCUUGGCUCUGACAGCCCAUUUCGUUUCCUCUUCCCUUAGCAGCACACGCACCCUUUGUUCAGCCUCAUAUUUUGAUGACCUUUCAUGUUCAUCUAACAUGCCGGUCUCAGCCUUACGAUCCAGGGCAUCUAUAAAGUGAAGCAGUUGGUCUUGCUCCUCUUUAUACUGUCCAGACACAUUCUUAGCCCAACCUCUCAGGAAUUGUCUAAGAUGUCAGAUUUUGCGUUGCCAGAUGUCGACACUUGAUGUCCCAUCCGUAUGUUUACUCCAUUCUCUAGCAAUAAUGUCUAAAAAUCCCUCACGAGAGAACCAACUGGGCUCAAAUGAGAAGGCAUCUUUUUUUCCUUUGUGUGUGGCAUGUCCAGAAUCUAACAAUAGUGGAGUAUGGUCAGAUAUAGCCCUCUGCAUGGCACUAACUGUGACUAGAGGGAACUUCUGCUCCCAGUCAACACUAGUGAGUACUCUAUCCAGUUUUUCGAAAGUCUGGUUAGGUAGAGAAUUUUCCCAAGUAAAUUUCCUACCGGAGAGUUCAAUCUCCCGCAGAUUCAGACUCUCUAUGAUCGUAUUAAACAUAAAGGGCCAUCUACCAUCAAAAUUAUCAUUGCUUUUCUCAUCAGGUCGCCUAAUGAUAUUGAAAUCACCACCCACCACCAGUGGUAGAUUUUCAUCGCAAAUUCUAACCAUAUCAGCCAAGAAAGCUGGUUUGAGCUCCGUUUGAGCGGCACCAUAGACCGCUACUAGUGCCCACUGAAACCCAUCUUCCUUGUUUCUAAUUCUAAAUUUUACCGUGNNNNNNNNNNACGCACUUGCAGUGUAUUGCAAUGAACCCCAAGUAAGAUCCCUCCGGACCUUCCUCUUGGAGGGAGACAAUGCCAUUGAAAAUCCACUCCUCCAGAAAGGGAGUUAAGAAAAUGCGAUGUGAAGUUAUCCCGCCCCGUCUCCAUCAACGCGAUGAAGUCAAGACUAUGCUGUAACGUUGAUUCUGCAAGGAACCUAAUUUUAGCCAAGUCUCUGAGACCUCUGCUAUUCCAAAAAAGUCCUUUCAUAUUUCAUCAUAAUUUUUUUUUGCAGUCUUGAAUCUAGCACUCCUACGAACAGCCGAUACUGGAUAAACUCUUCGUUUGAAUUGCACUUUGGUUUAUCCGAAGCAUACUCCUGGUCCAUAUAACCAUGAAUAUCUUUGGCCGUAUCAUUAAGAUGAGUAGAAGAUACGUGCGAAUCAUCGAACGCUGCUUGCGUCUGUUUAAUUUCCUCUUCAGGGAGUAAGUUUUGACAUAUUAAAUUCACUCCCCCCAUAUCCGAUAUCUCCUUAUCAUUCAUAGGUCUAACUGCCACUAAGUUUCGAAUAAUAUCCAAUGCCCUAUCAACUUCCAAGUCUAAUAAGUCAUUAAUAGAUUUUGAAACUUGUUGGCUAGUCUCACCCAAAGUCACCCCUACUGCCUUAGCAUUAUCUAAAAUCUCUUGCGUAGUGAAAUGAAGAAUAGAAUGUUCAGUAUUAAAAUUCAUACCUGUUGAAUUCUGAACCUCCUUCAUUUUGGCCAUACGCAUCGCCCGUCCAAUCUGCAGGUCAUCCGCAUCUGGCUGUGACUGUACCCGAUGACUGGCGCGUCUAUCCGGCCCCAUCGGAUUGGGAACACCUCCAAAUGCUAUGACUUCAUCAACCGAGAUCGAUCCAGACUCUGGUGCAGUGACAGUAGGAAUAUACUCCGAACCAGCCAUGGGCAAUGGACCCUCCACCGAGACGGCAACCACCCCCGAAUUGUGGUCGGACUGAGCAGCAGAAAGGACAGAACCUAUCUGGUCUCCCCGAGCGCUAGAUAGCGCGUCGGCGCAAACUUCCUGUACAAUCGCUGUAGUAGGCCGAGUGACUGCCUUAUGCACGUGGCUAUCCCUAGCAAUCACCUCGUCAUGCGUGGCCAGCACGUCGACAUUAGCAUGCAUAUCCGCCUCGUGGGCCUCACCGUCAUGCAGUUGAUCAGCACAAGGAGUGAAUCCUGCGUGGGCGUCUCCUGCACUGACCAACACCUCGCCGCCAGCAGCCCGUGCAGCCCCAUCGUGGUCCAUUCCAUCCUCAGAAACUGCACCCUGUGCUGGCUGAUGUGCUGGUGCAACAGUACAAAUCGGCAGUAGCCCCGCCGAUGCCGCAUCUUCAGCCCUGAGAAGCGCAACCUCCUGGCCAAGCGAGACCUUGGUUACGUCCGCAUGCAUCCGCAUGCGCUGCGACAUGCCAUCCACCAGCGGUUGACUAUUUGGGGAUACGAGCCCAUCUGCCUUGCUUCCGUCCAUACCAGCAGAAGCAGAUCCAGCGCCAGUCAACCCCUGCACCGAAGAAAGUGUGGUCGACGUAGCCUUAGCACCCUCCAAAUAUUCUUCGAGUGACAAAGGUUCGAGCGCCGAUUUAGACUGCACACUUCCAAUGUAAGUCCUUGGCUUCUUUCCCAAGAAUCUCGGCAAACUAGAGUCAUUUGAUCCCGCACGAGAUCCAAUUUUUGCCGACGCGGAAGUUGGUUCAAAAGCACCAAAACGCAAAUCCUUAUGCAAAUCGGAGUUGGUUGGGCCCAAACCAGCGCCCAGAGUAGUCUGAUUUUGCUGCGUAUUAGAUGUCUGCUUAGGGAAACUAUUAGGACCUGUGUCAUUUGACCCAUCUGCAUUAUCUUUGGACCCACUAGCAUCAUCGCCAUCAGUCAUAUGAGUGUCUUUAUCUGUAUCAGGGACAUCAAAAAGUGUAGGACUCUCAAUCUCCAGCUGGAGAGUGUACCUCAACCCUUCAAAGGUCCAAAUAACCUCAUCUGGAACUAGUUCAAUAUCAAGAACACUCACCAGCAUUCUGGCAACACCUUUGGCUCUAGUAUAGAUCAUAUCCACCUCCUCAGUCUUACCAAUCAGCGAGCCCAAACUCCAUGUCACCUGAAAAUCAUUGGUCGCUCUGGAAGGAGCUCCUGCAAAAUGCACCCAAAUCUGGGGUAAAGGUCUCCCCUUAGGCUCAUCGCAUUUCCAUGCAUCAAACUCAAGCACUAUGCUCGUACUAGCAACCCUGCACAUCCCAAACUUCAGCAGUCGGGCUAGAUCUUCCUUUAUAGGAAAAACAACCUUGUAAACAUCAUCCGCUAUCAAAACCGGUUCCCAUCUGAAGGUUGGAGAGACUAGCUCCUUAAGCUGCUGCACUAACUGCUCCACAGUGAGCGCCCCCCUAGUCACCGUAACUGUACCCGUGAAGCCAGCGUCAGGGGCAUGAAAAUUUGCCGUAGCAGCUGGUGACUCAAAGAACAUCAAGUCUUGACUAGAGACACCAUAAAUAGUAACGACUGGCAGAGACCCAGUCGUAAGAGGACACUCAGCAAUCCCAUGCGUAGGCUUCAAGCAGUAUACACAUAACUCUGCCUUACAUUUCGAGACAAAGUGCCCUGUCUCACUGCAACGGUAACAUACCAUUUUCUCUUUCUUUCGUGCCCAUUUAGAAGGUCUCUCUGGCCCAUCUCCCUUGACGCUCACCAAGAUUUGAUCAGCCAUAGACGAAUCCAUACAAAUAUAUGCAACGAAAAACUUAGUCCAAAUCUUCCUCAACGUUUGUGCUCUAAGUCCUUGUCGUUUCCGUCAGUGUCAACAUCUGAUGGCCGCGAGCCUUGAAAAACACCGCAAGGAAGAAUAGGACAUGUGGUAUAGACGGGUUCACAUGGAAUACGACACGUUGCCAUCUUUUAUGCCCUAUUCUUUUAGGUUGGAGCCCGUAGUUUGAACUUUGUCGUUGAAGAUGAGGUCAACGAUAGCCGUGGACGGGCGGGCCUCGUGCAAGGGGGCAUCCGACUCCGCCUACGCGACCUUGGCGGCUCGGCCUCAAGGAAUCACACGGCCUAUGGUGCCCUCUACCACAUAUCCGGGCACACAUCGUGUCCACAAUCCAACACCUUGUCUCUGGAACAGACGGGUCGUGAGGCAUGCCGUCCUUAAUCUUCACUCGAAUACUGACACUGUGAAAACACCGCCCCAUCGAAGGGUUUGCGUCGCAGCACAGGGUUGCAGCGCCAGACAUGGUUAUCGUGUUCAUCGAGGCCGUGGUCACUGAUGAUCCAUAAGUAUAGGGGAUUAAUAAAUAAAAAUGUUGAAUACAACGAAAAGCAUAAGAAAUUGGUAAGCGCUUUUAGUAAUGUAUUGUCCGCAGGUGCUGAAAAAGUGCGAUAACGAGCACCGAUGCAUCUACGUCACAUUCACGGUUGCUCGCUCCUUCGCUGCGCAUGGAGGAGCACAUCAUUCGUUCGUGGUUGUCUUACCCAGUCUCGUGUGGCAUGUGCCGGCUAGGCACUUGAGUUCGUCGUCCAUCAUGAGUGCCUCUCCUCCUUCGUGUCUUAGGUCAAUCUAGCGUUGCUGCUUCUAUAAUCAAUCGAUUUGGUUUUGCUCUGCUUCGUGUCUUCUUUGGGGUAUGUUACAAAUUUUCCAAAGUUGCCAUGGUCUUAGAGAGCUCAAUUUAGCAUCUCACCUAAUUUUUACUAUUUAAACUAAAACUCUGGUACGUGUACCCUUUAGAAAGCUACCAUUCCGCUUAAAGUAAAGAUAUUCAUGCGACAGCUUUCCCGUAAUCGUAUGCCUUCAAUGAACAACAUAGCCAAACACCAGGGUCCUUCUAUGGGACUUGUGUGAUUUGCUCGGUGUUAGAGGAUGCCAACUACAUUUUCUUUCACUGCCUUCUUGCGAGGCUUGCUUGGCAAGCAGUGCGAUAAGCCUCGGGUUUGGACUGGGAUCCUUCUUCGAGUGCUGAGCUGUUUGCAAUAUUAAACGCUUUUCAUGGUGGUUCUAGUCAAGUCAUGUGGUGUUACGUCGGGGCACUCUUGUGGUCCAUUUGGCAUAUUCCUAACAAGAUAACGAUCAAAUAUGUCUUUCCAUCCCACCCGGCUUAUCGAUUGUUCAAAAGGUUUCUCUUUCUGUAACAAUGGAAGCCUCUGGGGAAGCAUAGGGAUAGUGACCGGAUGGACGUGGCGAUCAUCAAUAUUAAGCAAGUAUAUAUAUCUUUUGGAGAAAUUGGCUACCGUGCUUAGUAUAAUGGGCAUUUCUGUUUUGUAUUUGAAUCUGGGUGCUCUUGCGGGGUUUGAUGCCCUCUGUCAUGCUCUGUUAGACCUUGCAUUUUAUGUCUGAACCUUGUUGGAUGUUGCUACUUCGUGGCUUUAUUAGAAACGUUGACAUAAAUGGAGUAGUGUCACUAAACAGGCGGUAGAGGAAGAAGGGAAGACAUAAUUAUUGGACUCUACUUUCAUCGAUCCUUGGUUUUAUUAAGAUUCCCAGUAGGAAGUAGGAACGGUGCCAUCACUGGACACUGAACGGACGGUCGAGGAAGGAAGACAUCCCAAACAAGGCCAUGAUUGUGAUUGGCCCGCAGCGGUAGGAUUGUUUUGUCUCCAAGUGUUGCUCCACUUGUGCAGGCAUUGUCUAAAAAAAAACAAAUUUAACUUCAUAUCUUCAUCUUUUUUUUUGCGAAUCAACUUCAUAUCUUCAUCUGCAGUUAAUGCCUCACAAAAAGAUUCCCUCUCCAAAUACCACCAAUCGUUAUUUUAUUGAUCUUGUAUAACUAACAACAUGUCUAUACAAUACUGCUUCAUGUUUUCUAUCACACAUAUUCUCAAUAGCCGUAUGAAAAGAAUUUGUUGUAAGAAUUUAAUUAUGUCCUCUCUCCAUGCUUGAAAGAGGGUUUAUAAAUUAUUUUCUAGGGUCAAAUGCUGCAAGGAUCAAAUUUGAAGGAAAAAUUGUCAACAACUGCAGACUUGGGCAUACUACUAUGCAUGGACGUCACACAAGAAAAAGGCCAUCCUUUUGAAAUCGGAGGGUGUGCAUAGGUAAAAGAAUUUAGUAAUUUUCAGCUUUGACUUACUGCCUUUAGUAUUGUUAGAAAUUUUAAACACAAAUACGCACAGAACACAGUACAACACAGCACAACACACGCACUGACUCAUGUCACAUUUCUCUCUUUGGAGACCAUGCGUGUACAACAUGUAAACAUCAGGGAUCGCUAGAUAUCACUAGUUGUUCUUCAAAUGAUGCAACCAAGUUUCUAGGAAAAACUAUUAAAAAUAGCAGACAAUAUGAUAUAUUUUUAUAUUAUAUUUAUUUAAUAUUCUAUCUAUUGUUAGUGUUUUCCUACAAACUUGGUCAUAUUAUGCACUGACUUUUAAAAAACUGUCUUCUUUUUGGAAAAAGGUCAUACUAUCCACCAAAACACAGAACUAUCAUUAUCUGUUACUUUUCUAUAACUAAUGAAUUUGUCUAAUAAAUAUAUUUUGUAACAAUCGCAACUGCCAUUCGACAAACAAUUUGACGCAAUAGUUUAAUUAUGAUGUACAUUAUAUCAAAUAAUGUAGUAGUUACUAUAUCCAUUUUGUAUGUUGACGAUACACAUAUGUACUCCCACGAAUGUUGUUUCCAACUCCUAACCACACGCACGCACUCACACGUCACGUCUCUCGUUGGACCAAGCGUGAGUCGGAGGUAAACAUCAGUGAUCACUACGUAGAUACCUUGAGUCGUCAUCGAUAAGUCUGUUGCAAGGAGAGAUUCCUGCAUAUGCAAAAGGAGCCAAACAAUAUAGGACAGCAACGAUGUGAGCACUAGCAAACUACUUUCACUAUUGGAACUAACUGUAGCUAGUGCCUGGUAGUAGGAGGAGGAGUGCUUGAUUUGAUUAGUUCACGUCGCCUUAUUCGGAAUCGGACACGGACGUUGCAAGGCGUUUGCUUCUGCCGCGCGCGGUGGCUCUCUUGCCUCUUCACCUACUCACGAAUAUACACUAGUGGAAAACGGGCCUUUGGCCUGGAUCAUUUAGUCCCGGCAUGCCUCUGGACCGGGACUAAAGGCCCGGCCACGUCGCCCCAAUUCUCAAUGCCUCCCUCGAGGCUUUAGUCCCGACACGUAAGGAGCCUUUAGUCCCGGUUCGAGACUAAAGGGCUACGCGGCGGGCAGUGUUGGUGGCAACCGUUCGUAUCCCUCUUUAGUCCCGGUUGGUGGGUCAACCCGGGACUAAAGGACUAACACGUGGCCUGCCGUAGUGGUGGCGACCGUUGGUAUACCUCUUUUAGUCCCGGUUGGUGGCUCAACCCGGGACUAAAGGCCCAAACGGUUUGCAUCCCGCGUCGUUUCGGGCGAUGAAAAGCACGUACCGAAGCGUACAGUCGUCAUUUCUCUGUUCUUCUUCUCUCUCGCGUCGCCCUCUCUGUUCUUCUCCUCUCUUCUUCCCUUCUCUUCUUCCAUCAUGCCAACUAGCUUUCGUAAGGUGCUCGCACAUGGCACGACGAUGCUCGAUGUCGUGUACACGAACCUGAGCAACGAGGUGCCAUUUUUUCUUCAACAGUUGAAGGAAAAAUGGUUUGACCACGUAGCGGAUCAUGAGAAGUUCUUGGGGCUUGAUCUGGAGUACACGGCCGAUCAACGCGGUGUUGUCGUCAUCCAGCUAUGCUUCCAACGCCAUGUCUUGAUCUUCCAAUGGGCGAAGUAAGUUUUGAGGCUUUCUUUGAUCCAAGAUAAUGACAUUGUAAGUUUAUUUUUUUCAAUCAUAGUUGGUUCCCUUCAAAUAGUUGUAGUGAAACAAUUUUGAUUAGUUGAAGGGGAGCACAAUCUAAUUGAAAUAGUGUUCCAUAAUCUGAAAAAUCGUAUUAGAAUCAACUAGUGUUUAAUAUGUUCCNNNNNNNNNNUUGGAAUCAUAGUUGGUUCCCUUCAAAUAGUUGCAGUGAAACAAUUUUGAUUAGUUGAAAGGGAGCACAAUCUCAUUGGAAUAGUGUUCCAUAAUCUAAAAAAUUGUAUUAGAAUCAAUUAGUGUUUAAUAUGUUUCAUUGGAAUCAUAGUUGGUUCCCUUCAAAUAGUUGUAGUGAAACAAUUUUGAGUAGUUGAAGGAAACACAAUCUCAUUGGAAUAGUGUUUCAUAAUCUGAAAAAUCGUAUUAGAAUCAACUAGUGUUUAAUAUGUUCCAAUGGAAUCAUAGUUGGUUCGCUUCAAAUAGUUGUAGUGAAACAAUUUUGAUUAGUUGAAGGAAACACAAUCUGAUUGGAAUAGUGUUCCAUAAUCUGAAAAAUCUGAUUGGUUCAAUAUGUUCCAUUGAAAUCAUAGUUGUAGUGAUACAAUUUUAUGCGGUGUUCUUUGAUCCAAGGUUAUGAAAAUUGAAUAUAGCUAGUGAUCUCUCUAGGUUCCAUUGGAUAGCAAUAUGAUAUGUCAUAGUCAUGAAAAUUGCAUAUAGCUAGUGAUCUCUCUAGGUUCCAUUGGAUAGCUAUAGUGAUCUCUCUAGGUUCCAUUGCAUAUGUUCUAUUUGAAUCCUAAAGAUAAGUUUCUCUUUAGUUGUAGUGAAACAUGUUUUCUUAUUGCAGCAGUAUGUAACAUUUGUUCCAUUUUAAUUUGUUUCUGUUGCAGGAGUGACAAGCAUUGUCCAAAACUCAUGGAGUUCCUUCGCAGCGGCAUCACUUUUGCUUCCGUUGACAUAAGGAACGACAAGCUGAAGAUGAGGCACAACUUCGGUAUUGAGAUACCAACUGGUUGCCUCGUUGAUCUCCAAACAAUAUUCAGGCUUCGACAUGACAGGACUUCGAUGGCUCAUAUGGCAGUUGCCUUGAUCGACGAUUCAUAUGCUGAUAUGAAGACCAAUUUCCCAAAGUCUCAGCACAAACUUUGGGAGAAGGGUCCACUUGAUGAUAUCAACAUUGAGUAUGCAGCAAAAGAUGCAUACGUUUCAUACGAGUUGUACCGCAAGAUUCGAGUCGUCAACUAUGGCCAGCGUCACCUCGAGGAACGUGGACAUUCUGAUUUAGAUGAUUCAGACGAGUAGUGUUCUUAACGUCGAACACUUGUAUAUAUAUCUAUGGUAGCUAUUAUUAUGUACUGUUUGGACUAGUAUCAUGUACUUCUUGGACCAAUUUAUAUAUGUCUAGUUUCUGUUUGUGCCAUUAUAGUUUCCAAAUUUAAAUGGUUUAGCCCUUUCUAACUUCAUUUGCUACUUUUGAAUGGUUUAGCCCUUUCUAACUUCAUGGUAUCAUGCAUUUCUACCACAUAUAUAUACAAAAAGUCUUCAGUUCAAAUAAGUUCAAAAAAUGAAAUCCCUUUUGUAACAGAUCUGUUUUUGAUUAAAACAAUCAUUUAAAAAUGAAAGACCAUUAGUCCAACGUGGCGUGCAGCGGAACCACUUUUGUUGUGGAGGUCGCUUCUCCUUCUUCUCCUUGUGCUAGAUAUUGGUUAUGCACUAGGGGAAUGUGACAACCCGAUGCCGACGUUCCAGAAGAUUCCCCUCUCUUUCCGUUUUCGUCGUGUGGCUUAUUUUAUUUUCGUGUCAUCAUCGCAUCAUGCGCAUCAUCUGCAUUGCAUCGGCAUCUCCGUUGCCGCCCGUUUUCAAAACUUGCAUCCGUUAGUAGUUGCCGGUUCUCGUCGUUGUUCGUUCCGAGCCUGACCGCACACGCACGCGCCCACGGCACCGUCGAAACCCUGUUUUUAAAGUGCGUUUAAAACUUUCUCUGAUCGAGGUGAAACUUGGCACGCGAUCGCGAUUAGUUAUAGCUAGGCCGCCUGUCGAAUUUCGUCGCGAUCGGAGACCGUCUGGUACCCGAACGGUCGACCGUAGCGACACCGUAUUCGGGCUACCGUCGGACGUUUGUCGGUGUUUUAAAAUUCGUUGCCGCGCCGCCCGUUCUCCCUCUCAUCUCCGGUAAACCACCCUACACGGCCGCGUACCCGUACCUGCGUUCGGAAUCGUCCGAAUCUGACCCCGUGGUUGGAUCCGGAACGCGAUUCCGGUUAACCGAGCCCCCCUGUUUGUCUAUAUAUAGACCCCCUCCUAAAUCUUAGGCAGCUAACCCUAAUCCCACCUCGGGAUCCGCGCCGCCCCACCUCUCCUCUCUCUCCCGCAGCCUCUCUCCCCACCAGCCUCGCGGGCCCGCCAGGCCCAUAUCGGGCCCGGCCGAGCCCAUCCGGCCGCCGCUGCCCGUGCCCGCAGCAGCAGCCCGAGCCGCCUCCAGCCACCGCCGCCGGAGCCCUCUGCGCCUCGCCCACCGGAGUUCCUCGCCCGCCGCCGCCGGGAUCUCGCUCGAUCCGGCCGCCGCACCCUCGCGUGCGCCGUCCGCCGCCGUCAGCCCCUAGUCGCCGCUGCCUCCCCGCUCCUCCCUGCCUCCAGUCGCUGUGCACGAGCAGGCCAACGCCUCCCGCGCCCCCACGCCUUCAGCUGCCCCACCGGCUUCCUCCUCCCUCCGGCCGUCGUCGGCGCCGCCGGUCCCUGCCCCGGGAUCCCCGCCGCCGCCGCCCUGGUUCCCGCUCGGGAGGAGCCCGACGGGAACCGCCCCGCUCCCGCAGCCGCACGUGGCGCUCGGCUCGGCCCCGAGCCGGCCCAGCGACGCGCCUCCACCGCCCCGGCCCAGUUCCGCCCCUGGUCAGGCGGCCCACCGCCUCGCCUCUCCGGCGGCCCGGGAACCCCGCCCGCCCAGCUCCUCCUCCCCACCAAGCCGGCCUUUCGGCCCAAGGUGAGCCCCCCGCUAAACCCCGCUCAGGCGCAUGCUAGUUAUCUAGCGCCCAUUUGUUGUUAGGCUCAUUUAGUAAUUUAGGUUUUUAUUCCGUUUUUAGAUAAUUCCAGUAAAUACGUAUAUUAAUAUGCCCGUAUCUUUUUAUCCGUAAGUCGGAACGACGCGUAUUAUAUAUGGUUUUGUGGUAGUUUCGCGCGUAGAAUACGAAUUUGGAACUUGCAUAAUUAUUUGACGACGUUUAGCGUGCUGGUUGCCUAGAUAAGCGUGUUGUCCUAAUAGGUUUCGAUCCGUAUUUGUUUUUCGUGCAAGACCGGGUUGCUCGAAUGCCAUGAUAGAAAUGCCUAUGUUUUAGGGACUAUUUAUCCAUGUAUUUUAGAGCGGUCAUUUGUAUUUUUGCAUGUAGGGAAUUGCCUCUAGUUUAUUUUUCCGUAUAUAGGUUUUUUCCCGCAUUUUCGGGUGGCUUUAUUUUGUGUUCCAAACCCCACAUAUUUUAUAUGUUUCCGGGGUAUGGAUUUUUCUGUGCAAUUAGUUUUAGCUUUUGAGUAAGUUAGUUCGCGCGAUAUUUUACCGUGAAGCCCUUUUGUUUAAUUCGUAGAAUUUAUUCCGUGUCUCGUUUGAAUUAGUUGUCAACUAGGGAGUUGAUUUUGGAUGUUUUGUUUAGCCUCUGGUAUUUUUAGUUGCAAUAAAAAUGCAUGCUUAGGUGUGUUUUGCUUGCUCUCAAGUUGCUAGAAAUAGUGCUGUUUUAGACGUGCUGAAAUAUUUCUAAGUCUGGAAUCGGUUAUAUUUUGUUGGUGUCUUGUCUUGCUUGCAUCUUGUGAUGUGUAGCUCUUUUGAGGUUGGUCCAAUGGAGUUAGUUGUACCCCUUGUAUUUCUCUAGCAUGCUGUGAAGUUUCAUGAUAUUUGGAGUCCUGUAGCUAUAGGUUUUGCUGCUGUCAAUAUAGCUUCAGAUCGAAAACUGCACUUUCAUGAGGUUAAUUUUCACCAAGUCUGAAAUAGUGUGUGAGAUGCCAUUUUGUGUCUUCUUUUCCUAGUGCUCCUUGCUUCCAUGUUAGUUAUUGUUAGUUGUUUGUAGUAGUGCGUCUUGCCCUCUUUCAUGCCAUGCCUUGCUUGAGUUUAUCGGAGUUCUGUAGUCGUAGUUGUGGGGCGUAGAAAAUGCUAUGUGGCUGAUUUUGGCAGAUUGUAGGGUUUUCUUGCUUUGCUCGUAGUUUUCGAACCGUAGCUCCGAUUCGAUCGUGUCGUGCAUGUAACUUGCUUAGAAUCUCGUGUAGUUUCAUUUUCUCUUGCGUGAUGUAUGUUUUGAAAUGCUCGUAGCCAUCGUUGCACACAUAUUGCAUUCAUGCCAUCAUAUCUUGCGGUGCUUGUAUCUUUUGAACCGUAGCUCCGUUGGAGAUGUUUUUAUGUGUAGAUUGCUUGCCUUGAUGCGUAGAAUCACGUGAACCUAUUUGUUUCGCUGUUUAACAACUAAUUAAAGGUGUUAAUUCAGAUCUGGUCAGAAUUGUAAAUUAACAUGUGAGGUCGUUUCGGAGGUGCUAUAUGACAUUUCCGACCUCAUUUAAAAUGCCUAGAUAUGUAGUUUAAUUUCCGCUUCACCUCUUUCCAUGUUUAACCACAUUUAAUAUUGCCGUGUAUCUAAUCGGGAUAGAACUAAAUAAUUAGCGUGGAGUUUCGUCAAUAUGCAACUCGUUGCAUAUUGAACUUCACUUAAUGUGUAGUGUUUGAUUGUGUGGAUUGUCAUGCCGUGACUUGCAUGUUUUCAGCUGCUCAUGCAUCAUUUGUGUUGUGCAUUGUGUGGUGAAUUUCGUGUGUUGAUGCUUGUUUCCGGUUUUCCCCGUCUCGAUAGAGUUCCGCAAGCGUGUCGGAUGUGAGGACCCGUUCGACUACAUCGGUUCAUCUGCUUCACGGAGGCAUUCUUCUUCCAAGCGGGAUCUCAGGCAAGAUGACCAUUUCCCCAGAUACCAUUACUAUCAUUGCCAUGCUAGUUUUAUCGCUUCUAUCGAUUAUGUCUCGUUGCCUACCACAUGUUAAAUACCAGCCUCUCAACAAUGCCAUGAUAACCUUCAACCUGUUCAACCUAGCAAACCACUGAUUGGCUAUGUUACUNNNNNNNNNNUCCUGUUGAUAGCGUUGCUAGUUGCAGGUGCAGAUGCUUCCAUGUGAAAACAUGGGUUCCUUGUCAUACCACCAUAUUAAUGCUAUUUAAUUUAAUGCACAUAUAUACUUGGUAAAAGGUGGAAGGCUCGGCCUUUCUAGCCUGGUGUUUUGUUCCACCUUUGCCCCCUUAGUUUCGGCUACCGGUGUUAUGUUCCAUAAUUGAGCACUCCUAACAUGAUCGGGGUUGUUAUGGGGACCCCCUUGAUAAUUCGUUUUUAGAUUAAAGCUGGUCUGGCAAGGCCCAACAUUGGUUCUACAUUUUCCCAACUUAAUAAUUCUGUUAAAUUGAUUUGCAUAGGGAGUUAGCGCUACCCGAGGAGUAAUUUUACAUAAACAGGGGGGCAAGUGCUGAUGGUGUUGGUCCCAAACGGUCUGCCUGCGGGGCCACCGCGAGGAAACUCGAGGUUUGGCACUCGUAGCUAGUUCCAUCCGUCGUGUCCUGAGAACGAGAUACGCGGCUCCUAUCGGGUACGUCGACACGUCGGGCGGCCUUGCUGGAUUGGUUUUACCUUUGACGAGAUAUCUUGUGCAUCGGGAUUCCGGUGAUGCUUUGGGUAAUCUCAGAGUUGAGGUUUUCCACUAGGGGGUCCGACGAGAUCGCGAGCUUCGUGAUUGAGGAUUUCUAUGCGGCUUGUGGUAAUUUGUGAUGGACUAGUUGGAGCACCCCUGCAGGGUUAAAUCUUUCGGAAAGCCGUGCCCGCGGUUAUGUGGCAACGUGGAUAUUUUGUUUAACACUGGUUCUAGAUAACUUGAAGUUAACUUAAUUAAAACUUGCCAACUGUGUGCGUAACCGUGAAUGUCUCCUUCGUGAGAUCUUUCCCCGAUCGAGGACACGGUGGGGUUAUGUCUAACGUAGGUAGGUGUUCAGGAUCAUUCAUUUGAUCAUCAGUAGCUCACGCCCGUUAUGCGUAGCUCUUCCCCUCUUAUUUCUUGUACUCGGAAGUUAGCCACCAAAUAUAUGCUUAGCCGCUGCUGCAACCUCACCACUUAACCAUACCUUACCCAUUAAGCUUUGCUAGUCUUGAUACCAUUGGAAAUGAGAUUGCUGAGUCCCCUGUGGCUCACAGAUUACUACAACACCAGUUGCAGGUACAGGUAAAGAUUACUUGACGCGAGCGCGUUGAUUGUUCAUUUGGAGUUGCUUCUUCUUCUUCUUCUUCAUCGAUCUAGGAUGGGUUCCAGGCCGGCAGCCUGGGAUAGCAAGGAUGGACGUCGUUUUUCUUUUGUCGUUUGUUUUCGUCCGUAGUCGGACCCUGCUCUUACUCUUGAUGAUUAUGUAAUGUACUCAUGUGACUCUGAUGUAGCUUGUGGCGAGUGUAAGCCAACUCUGUAUAUAUCUCUUCUGUUCAGUACAUGUACUUGUGACGAUAUCCAUUCUUGCGACACGACGAGAUGCGCUUCUAUCCCUGACGAGGCUCUCGUGCCAAAUUGAGGAUAGGGUCGCAUCUUGGGCGUGACAGGGAAGUAGGAGUAGCGACCAUCAUCGACGGUUGAAAAAUCAGGUGAGCUUUUAACAUUUUCAGAGUUCAUUUGUAGUGCUUUACAAUUUCAGGGUCAACUAGGUCAAAAAAAUAAGCAAAUGCACGAAAUAUACCAAUUGAAGUCAGAAAUUGUUGAAAAUUUGUGAUGUGCCUUUGAAUGGUGCAUUUUGAACACACAAAAAGUAUGGAGUUCAAAUAAGUUCAAAAAAAUGAAAUCCCUUUGUAAGAGAUGAGUUCUCGUUCGAAACGCUGCUACUUCGAGAGAGAUUGUCAGUUUUGUACACGAACUGCAUCCAGUUUUUGGAUAGUCAAAAUUAUUAAUUAUGAAAAUAAAAAAUAGUUUUGCAUUAUUUAUUCAAUUUGAAACACUUUUCAUUAUCANNNNNNNNNNGAUAAUAGUUUGGAUAGUCAAAAUUAUUAAUUAUGAAAAUAGAAAAUAGUUUUGCAUUAUUUAUUCAAUUUGAAACACUUUUCAUUAUCAUAGUUUUGUCAAAUUCUCAAAUAUGCAAAAAGAAUUUUUAAUAAACAUAGUUUUUAAUUGAAAAUAACAAAAUAAGUUAAUAGUUUGGAUAGUCAAAAUUAUUAAUUAUAAAAUAGAAAAAAAUUGAAACUAUAUGAGAAAUCGUGGACAAAAUUCGACCUGAAUUCACUUUGAAUUCAGAUUGAAUUUUAUCCACAAUUUCGAAUAUAGUUUCAAUUUUCAGUAGGUUUAGGCCCGUAAGCCUGCUUUAGAGAGGAGCUCGAUGGAGAAGCUGCGACGGGGCUUAUAAACAAGUGUUAGUCCCCUCGCUGGGCGAGGUGGGACUAAAUUUAUCGUGCAGCCGAGGAGGGGCUUUAAUCCCGGGUGGAGCCACGCCCCGGGACUAAAGGGGGUCUUUAGUCCCGGCUCGAGCCACGCACUGGGACUAUAGAUCCACCUAUUUAAGCGGGACUUCGAAAAUUUCCAACCCAAUUCGUCCAUUUCUCUUCUUCUUCCUCUCGUUCUCCUGCCCGGCGCGGCACAGCGACGAACUAACCGACGCCGUCAGGCUGCCCGCCGUCCUGCUCGCCGCCGCCUGCCGUCCUCCUCGCCGUCGCACCGUCCUCCUCGCCGUCGCGCCGUCCUUCUAGCCAUCGCGCCGUCCUCCUCGCCGCGCGCCGUCGACACCUCCGCCCGGUAAGGCCCCCGCCCCCUCCUCCCCAACACUCCGGCCAGUAUAGAAGAAAAGAAGAAAAAGGAGAAGAGAAGAAGAAAAAGGAGAAGAAAAGAAGAAAAAGGAGAAGAAAAGAAGAAAAAGAAAAAGAUUUUUUUUGUCAUUUAAUUCCUAUUGUUAUUAGGUUUGUGCUAUAUUAUUAGGUUAGUAAUAUUUAGAAUUAGGUUAGGGUUACAAGAAGAAGAAAUAUGAAAAAAAAAGAAAAUAAGAAAAAGUGUAUAUUGUAUAGUGUAUAUGCUUAAGUGUAUAGUGUACAUAGUGUAUAGUGUAUAAGAAGAGGAGGAAUUUUGCUAUAGUGUAUAGUGUAUAAGAAAAGAAGAAAAGAAGAGGAGGAGAAGAGAAGAAAAGAAGAGGAAAACAACAGGAUAACAAAGGAACAGCAUGAGGCGCAGAUGAAAAAGAAGGAACCCGAGCCCCGCCCGGAAUACACCGAGAAGCAUAUAGCAUGGGCAAAAGACUUCAUAACCCUUCCAUCACAGUAUGACUUACACCAUAAGCUUGAUGACUAUACACGCACAUUGCAGAAGGAAGUGAAAAAGAGCAGCUCACGUGCAAGUGCAAGUGGGAGCAAAUCAAGUUCAACUACAAGCAAGAAAAAAUCAGACGUUCCUCAGCUUGGACAACAGGCCAAACAGUCUAUCCUACCCCUCAAGGUGUUAACCGAGAAUGUUCCCCCUCCAGUGCAGGGNNNNNNNNNNNNNNNNNNNNNNNNNNNNNNNNNNNNNNNNNNNNNNNNNNNNNNNNNNNNNNNNNNNNNNNNNNNNNNNNNNNNNNNNNNNNNNNNNNNNUACGUUACAGGUAACGUACGUCUUAAAUGCUAAUAAAGGCACAUGGAAACGUAUGACCGUUUCCCUCCAGGGAGGUUACGAUGCAUAUAGUGGAAUCCAGUCGGUUAGUUUGAUAAACUCCAAAUGCUAAUCUCCGAUUGGAUGGUCGAGGAUUUGUUACCGACUGGAUGAAGGGAACUCCUUAAUUUGGUCGGUACUGACUAAGGGCCUUGUCCUUUAUGAGGAGGUAGUCCUUGAGUUGGACCUACAGGGCAGACCUAUGACCCUACCCUAGGACUAUAACCCCAUCAUUAGUCCCCGAAUGGAUUGGGGAUGGAACGACGAAGCGAUGCUUGAAGUUUGGAUCCGACUGGAACGGAUGUGACUUUGGCGUUGCUUGCCUCGAUCCAUUUUAUCUUUUCUGACUAACGAUCCGAGUGGAAGUAUUUAUGGAACAAACUGUCGGAAACCGAGUACUUCCAGGGUAUCUCCUGACGUGACCAGUCAACUGACAGCGGCGGAUUUUCCGGGAUCCUUAAAUUUCGGUUACCGCGCGCUCAGCGGGGAUGACGACAUCGCGCUCGAGUAGCGCCUGACGCCUUGAUUCUCGCGCCUUCAUCUUCUCCACUGAUAUCGCCGCGGUUGGUCGGGAGAUAAGGUUUCGAGGCCACCUGCCAGUGACGCAGUCGAAACCUUACUUAAACCUCAGCGGCGAGGGUUUUCUCGUUACGCUCGCCGGAUCUCUUGCCUUUGCUUGCUCCGCUCCUCUCGCCUCCUCUCGCGCACCCAAGCUCCUUCCGUUUCCUUCUCCUCCGCGGACCCACAGCUUCCGCCAUGACCAAGGGUCAGACUAGCAAGCUGGAGGCGAAGGAGAAGAAGGAGAAGGCGGCGGCUCCUGCUCAGCGGCGACAGCGAGCGCUACCGGCGGGGUGGAUCCAGGGGGACUUCCUCCCCUCCACGGUGACGGAAGGGGAUCUGCUGGAGCUGGUGGAGCACGGGAUGAUCGUGCACAAGUCGUGGAGGUUGUCGGCGGAGGGUGAGAUCGAGCCGGUGCCCCGGGAGGGGGAGCGCGUCCUGCUGCUCAGCCACGUGUAUCGAGGUUUCUCCCUGCCCCCACAUCCUUUCUUCAAGGGCAUAAUGAACCACUUCGGGGCGCAGCUUCACCACUUUCCCCCGAAUGCUAUAGCUCAUCUCUCUGCUUUCAUAGUCCUGUGCGAGUGCUUCAUCGGCUGUCCCCCCAUUGGGUGCUUUUCAAACAUAUUUUCUCUGCUAGAUCCCAAACUAUCAAACGACUUCACCAGUCGGAUGAUAAGACACACCUUCUCCAGCUCUGCGGAGGCUUAGGUUUCCAGAAGAAGAGUAGAAGUAGUUAUCCUGCUCUUCAGCUGAGCGAGUCGGUUAGCAACUGGCAGUCGACAUGGUUCUACUGCCAGGACGUUGCUUGCCCGAAUGCCAUGACAGGAUUGCCUCCUUUUAGCUUAGAUCGACCCGUUCCGCCUAAGCAGCUUGCGCUCACGAAGGCGGAGAAGAUCGAUAUCCAGCCUCUGGUCGACGCACUCGUAGAUGUCGUUAGAAGGGGAGUCACCGGCAUAGAUUUGCUGGAGGUUUUCCUUGGUCGGCGCAUCCAACCACUGCAGGCUCGCGACCACGCCAUGUGGCACUACACGGGGCCCGAAGACUCCACUCGGACCAACGUCUUGGGCGUGACCGAGGAGAAGGUGGCGUCGUGGGUGCUCCAGAUCACAGGCGCCUGCGAGAACCCCAGAGGGUCCCGGCGAGUGAGGGCUUUCUGCGCGGACAACCCUCCUCCGAACGAGGUGAGUACCACUUGUCGAGUGCACGUAACUGUCUUAGUUUUAUCGCUUUCUUGAAUCUCUGUCUGACGCCUGAUGUCGCCGACUGUAUUUUAUGCAGAAGUGGACCAACUGGUUCUCCCCUGUCUCGAACGGGAACCCGGCCGAGGAGGAGGAGGAGGGCAGCCAGGGGGGGCAGCAUGGAGAGCGUCGAGUACGUCUCCGACAGUGGGGAAACGGAGGAAGAGUCUAGUGAAGAGGAGAAGGAAGACGAAGAGCAGGACUCGCCACCCCCACCGCCAGAGCAUCGAACCAAGCGCCGACAUGAACCUGCAGCUCUCUCGGCCCUUCCAGCAUCCUCGAGUGCUCCGCCAACUUGUAAUGCCCCAAGUGUAGGACUUUCCCUUUUUGUAACCUUCCAUGUGGGACCACCUUGACUUUGUCAUGAGAGUUUCUAUGCAUGUAUGAAUUCAUGUGUCACCUUCUAUUCUUCUUUUGCAUGAUUGCAUCCAUGCCAUACCAUCCUUGCCAUACCUUAUGAUUCUAUGUCAUGUUUUGAUUGCAUGUGAUCUUGCUAGGUGUGAUGUUGUGGUAUUGUAAUAUCUUGUGUGAUGCAUGUGAUGUUGGAGUGUGAUGUGUAGGAGUGAGUGCUAUGUAAUUUCAAAGUUCCUUGCUAUUUCAAACCCUUUUCCUUUCCUUUUAUCUCAUGUUCAAAAUUCCAUCUUCCCAAAAGUUGUUCUAAAAUGUCUUGUGUUUAGGGAUUAAAGUGAGUGUGUAGUUAUGCUAGUUUGGUGAUUUUUGAGAGUGAUUUUAUACAGGUGGCAAUGACACAAAACAGCAAACUUAAUGCUGUUUUGUAAAAUAUUUGCCUACUCUAAAAAUCUUGUUCUUAUUUUUUUAAUUUAGGUCAUAUUUUUCUAUGACCAGGGGAUUUUUCCUUUUAAGUUUAUUCCCACCAGAUUAUUUGUUUUAUUUCUUUUCCUUCUUGGUUUUUCUUUUAUUCGGGAAAGGCCACUGGGGCCUUUCUUAUAGUGGUCGCCUGUGGGCUUCCUUCCACUUUGCUGGCCCAUCUGCUCUUCCUCCCGGCGCUAGGAGCCCACGCCAGCGGCCUCCUUCCCUCCUUCUGACGCCGUUUCCUCCCCGUGCGAGCUGUCCGUCAGGCGCCAGAGAGAACACGCGCGACGCCGUGAGGUCUCAUGGACGUCGAGGUCCUCCCUUUUUAAGCGCGUUGGCGUCCGUGCCUCCCUCCCCUCGCCUAGGGUUCCUCCAUUCCCUCCUGCCGCCGCCACCUCUCUUCCUUCCCUUCUCUCUUCUCCCGUCGGCAGGUGAGACUCUGUAGGGUUAGACCGAGAGUGAGCAGCUCCCCGCCGGCGACCGUCGCGCCCCCGCCUCUGUUCGCCGCCGUCGCCAUGUCCGGGAGCUCCAGCUGGAUCCCCGCGAUCAAUUCCCGGCGCUAGGAGCCCCGGGGAUCGACCACACCGACGACCCCGAUCCCGUCAAGGACGUGCCCGCGGUGUCUUCCACCUCUCCUUCGGUUCUGCAGAUCAGGAACUUCUUCGUCGACGGCCUUCUUCCCCUCCGGCGCUCCUCCUUCCCGAUCGGCGCCCCCUCUUCCAUCGCCCCCUUGCCUCCUCCUCCUUGGUUCGGUCAAGAUCCGAAGUAGGGUUCUUUGUUUCUUCUCUGUUGCCGUUCGUCAGAGAGUAGCGAGUUGUGCGGUGCGUAGCAUGGUGUGGUAGGCGUGUUGCUGUUGUUUGGUAGUGGUAGGAGCAGGAGCUCGCCUCCAUCCGGCGCGAUGAGCCAUUGCGGCAGCAGGGCGUGCGCCUUCUUCUCUGUUGCCAGGCUUCUGUCCGGCAGGACCCAAGGCAGCAGGUGUUUGCGUGUGUAUCUCUUUUUCAGAGCGACAGGUAGGCUCGUAGCAGUAGCAGUGGAUCUCCCCCUCGUGCCAGCAGCGCCGCGGACGGGGUGCUUCCCCGUCGACGUUGGAGUGAGCAGUUGGAUCUGCGUAUGUUGCCUGAUGUGUCUCUGUUGAGUAGGGUAGAUCAGAGGGCAGAUCAGUUCGGGAGAAUCCCUUCAUUUUCUUUUCUUGCGCGUACUAGUUCAGAAGCCGUGCCGUAGUCCAGUGGUAGUGGUGCUGUGAGCCUGAUGAGUAGGGUGUGGGUUCGAUUCCCCCCCCCCCUCGGCGCUAUUUGUUUUUUUUUCUGUUUUUCCCGCGCAGGAGCAUCAGGGAUAUGAUACCCUGUUCUCUUCCCCUAUCCUGUCGACAUAGUGAUAGUGGUGUAGUGGCUAGGUGGUGCUGCUGUGUACCAGGAGGUACUGGGUUCGAUUCCCAGGAGGCCCUGUUUCUUUUUUUUGUUGUCUUUUCUUUUCUGCCUAUUUUUAUUCUGUUUUUCUAACUCUUAGACAUAGUGGUGUUUUAGUUCUUUUCCUACUAGUAUAGUUAGGGCAGAUUUCUUUGUGUGUGUGUUUUGCACACUAGUGAGUGGUAGAUGAUGUUGCUAGCCUUGUGAAACCUAUGAUGAUGGAACCUUUGUGGUGUGAAGUUAACCUUGAUAGGAGUUGGUGCUAGUUGUUUUGCUACUUGUAAGUGUUGUGCUUUAAGGUGUGAAAGUUUGCACUAGUGAAGCAUGUAUAGCCACAUCUUUUGAGCUUUAGUGUGGGCUAAGUUGUUCUUGUAGCUUUAAUUGCUUGUAUAGAUUUAGUGGGGUGUGGAUGCCUCCCCCUCACCACAUGUAUUUGGUGUGUAUGUGAUGCACUAGGUGGCUAGCUAUGAAAGCAUGUGUAGGUGGAGCUUACUAGUUAAGCAUGGGUAGAUUCUUGUGGGGGUUGCACCUUGAGGGUGACAUGAUUCCUAGGGUGUUCCUUGUGGUGCAUGUGAGAGUGUGUACCAUCACAUGCCCAUAUGUGAGGGUGUGCAAACUCUCUUGUAGCAUAGAAGUUAUAUUUUGUUGUGCUUGAUGCUAGUGAUAAUGUGGUAUAUGUGUUGGUGUUGUUGAUGUGCAUGACACAAACAUGGGGUUCAAACCCCCAUGUCAGUUUGUCAUUGUGCACAUGAAACUCAACCUAUGUAAUUGUCAUCUUAGAAGAAUACCUUGUGGAGUUGCAUUUGCAGUUUUGUUGAGAGUUUGGUCCUUGAUUCCAUGGUAUAGAUGGAGCCCAAGGGCAUGGGUUUUUGUGUGUUAAUAGUAGGGGUUUGUGCUCAACACCAUAGUGGUGUCAAUUACCUCUUGGUGACAUGUGUGUGCAAACUAUGCCUAGACAAAGUGGGCAUGUGGCUGGAAAAAUUCCAGAUUUUUGAACUCUGAAAAUUUCACUAAGUCUGGGAUUCUGGAAACAUUUUCUUCCCCUGUAGAUGAGGAUGUGCUGGUCAUUCUGUUCAGAUCUGGCCUUAGUUCAGUGAUAGUAUUUUGAACCUGAUAUGUUUGUGAAGCUUCCUGUAAAUUUUCAAGUCAUUUGGAGUCCAGCAGGUUGUGUUUUGAUUGCUGUCAAAAAGCUUCAGAACAGAAACAGAAACUCAGGUGCAGGAAUUUUCACUAAGUCCCUGAGAUCUGAUGGUUUUGGGAAAGUUUGUGGCCUUGUAUCUUCUAGAGUUUAAUUCCUUUUGCUGUGAUUCUUGCUGGUGCUUGUAGUGUUCUUGGUUGGCAACAGCCACAUAUAUUAUUUGUCAUGUUUGAAGACCUGUAGCUAUGUUGCAUGUUGCUCUCAAACAGCUAAGAUGCAGAUUCUGGCAGAUUAUGUAGUUUUGCCAUUUUGUUCAAAGUUUGUGCUUAAUUGAUGUUGUGGUGUUCUACCUUGCUCCAUUUCAUUCAUGUUGGGUUAUUACAUGUCUUGGCAACCUGGGAAUACUAGAUUUGUGCCAAUUGUGUGUGUGGUGUUGAAUCUUUCACGUAGAGCUUCAUAUCGUGUUUCGUUGAUUCCCGUUGAUCCGUAGCUCCGUUUGCAAUGUUCUUUAUAUGGUUUUGCACCGUUUUCAUGAGCUGCAUCUGUUCAUGUCAUUCUCAUGCAUGUCAAAAUAGUUUAGUGCAAGUUCUGUCCAGAAACUUGCUGUAGUUUAUUUUGCUUGUGCUAGUGAUAGAAAUAGUGGUGCAUGCUCAACUUUCAUCUCAUGCAUCAUGUGAUUGUUGCAUUUUGUGGUGCUGCUGUUCAUUGGCUGUUAUUCUUAUGUUGGGUAGCACCGGGAGCGGAGAACGAAUACGUGGAGUCAGGAGAGUACGUGCAGAACGAUCCAGAACCAUUCCAAGCUGAGGAUAUCACAGGCAAGAUGAUAUGACCUUGAUUCCAUCUCUAGACUUGUUAUGUUAGUUUCGAUUCCAUGUCAUAUUGCUCGCUGCCUACCACUGAAAUUAAAUUGCCUCUUCAUAUGCCAUGAGCCUAAACACCGUACUCUUUCCUAGCAAACUUGUAUGGCUAGGUAGGCUUGCUCAGCUACUAAUGUUAGCAUUGUUAGUUGCAGGUGUUUUAAACUCAUGUGAUGACAUGAGCUUGAUAUCAUUAUAUCAAAUUCUGUUGUUUAUUUAAUGCACCUAUAUACUUGGUAAAUGACGGGAGGCCUAGCCUUUUGCCGGGUGCUUCGUUCCGUUAUUGCCGCCUUAGUUACCGGUUACCGGUGUUUGAUUCCAUAAUGAUCGCUCCUAACACGUUCGGGGUUGUUAUGGGGACCCCCUUGAUAAAUCGCGUAGUGCUAAGGCUUGUCCGACAGGACCCAACUUUGGUGUUAAUUUGCUAAUCACUUAAUAAUAAUCUGCAUAGGGAGUAGCUACCCCGAGGUUUCUUAAUCAACAACCCGGGCCAGUGCUCCUCAUGAGUGUUGGUCCAAACUGGUCUGCCUGCGGGGCCACCACAAGGAAACUUGAGGUUUGGUACCUGUAGCUAGUUCCAUCCGGCGUGUCCUGAGACUGAGAUACGCGGCUCUUAUCGGGGUCGUCGACACGUCGGGAGGUCCUGCUAGCCUUGUCUUACCUUAGCGGUAUAUCUUGCGUAUAGGAAUCCUAGUGAAGCUUUGGUUUCACCCAGAGUUGAGGUUUUCCUCUAAGGAAUCCGACGAGAUCACGAGCUUCGUGAUAGAGGAUGCCUUUAAGGCCUGUGUUCGUUUGUGAUGGACUAGUUGGAGCAUCCCUGCAGGGUUUAAUCUUUCGGAAAGCCGUGCCCGCGGUUAUGUGGCAACUUGGAAUAUUUUGUUAACAUCCGGUAUUAGAGAACUUAAACAUAAACUAAUAAAACUGCCAACUGAGUGUGUAACCGUGACUGUCCCUUCAAAGAUCUCUCUUCGCUCGGGAACACGGUGGGGUUAUGAAUGCCGUAGGUAGGUGUUCAGGAUCACUUUCUGAUCAAGUAAUCCCGACCGUUAGCGUAGACCACCUUCACUUCUCUUUUGCGUAAGUUAGCCACGUAUUCAAUCAUAGGAUGCAGCAUCCUGUAACACUUCAUCCCUUCCUUACCCAAUAACAUGACUAGUUCUGGCACCAAGGUCUUAGAUUGCUGAGUCCCCGUGGCUCACGGAUUCCUCCGAAACUCCCAGCAGGUACAGGUACCCCAGAGGCAGAUGAUCCCGACGGCACCUAGCUGGCGUGGCAGUACGACGAGGAGACAGACCGCCUUUACGUGAACUAUCCAGAGGACUGAGCCGUGGUCGUGAUCGUGGGCCUGCAGCGGGUAGCAUAGCAUUUUCCUUGUUUUGUAGUCCGUACCGGAACUACCUUGUUUGUAUCUGCGUUGUACUCUGUAUUAUUAAUAAGAAGACAGUUGAAUCCCAAAUUGUCUACUUGUAAUUAUUAUUUUGUGCUAUGUUUACUUGCUUGCGAAAUGCUUAGAUGCGCUUCUUUCCUAUCCGGGGGCCUCGACCCCCAGAUCGGAAAGGACCGCAUCUUGGUCGUUACACAACUGCUCCUACGGUUCUGAGUGCCCCGUCAACUGUUCCCAAGGGUCCGAGUGCUCGGAGCACCAAGAGGACCAGGGACGCUGCUACCGAACUUGCGGGUCAGCCUUCCAAGGUGGCCAAACCGAGCGGAUCUAAACCUCGGAAGGCUUUGUCGCGGAUGAGGGUCACCGUUCCCGUCACCUCAAUGUAAGUGUAUUGUUCUUCUAACUUCUUCUGAUAUUCGAUUGGACUCCUGUUUACUGGUCGAAUGAAUUUCACUCGACAGAGUUGCUACCUCUGCCACCUCUCCGGCACGCCAGGGGGAUGACCCCAUGGAUAUGGACAACGUCGUCUCGUCCCAGUCAGGUGCGUCGUAGUGAUUCCGAGAGUUCACAUUAGCCUCUUUCUUUUUCUGAGAUCUCACGCCGUUCGGUCUGGCUUUCUUCAGGGGUGAUUUAUGUGGAUGAUGGUGACCAGGAGAGAUCCGAGCAAGCUGCGGUGCCUGUCCUUGAGGCUGUUCCGCCAGCUACUGCUCUCGCCGCGGACGUGCCGCCGACUGAAACGGCGCUGGUUGCUGCUGAACCGACUGGAGCGGGCCUUGGGAUGCCCAAGGAGCCUCCAACGAUGCCAGGCUCGUCGAAUGUUGAGUUCAACGUCCAGCGCCUCCUGGAGGAUCAGGUGGGAGCGGCCAAGAGGGCCAUGGUGCAGGCGGAGCUGAUGGCGGGAGAAGCCAAGAAAGCGUACGACUCCAUCGCAUGCCUGUACCAGCGAAGCUUGGAGCUGCGGGACGAUAUCCGAGUAAGUGGGCUAGUAAGUAUUUACUUUUCUCUUGUAACCCACUGGGUGUGCUCGGAUACCGUAUGAUUUUUGCAAUGGGUUCACUCUGAGUGAACCCAGUGGGUGUAGUCCCCGAGACUUCUGUCGAGUGCUUGCACCGGCAGUUGUCUUUAUGCAUAUUGUCUUUGACUUGAUCAGAUCCGUAAAUAAUCUGGUCGAAUGCUAACAGUUGAGGCACUCAGAGUGCACCUACUGUAAGAGUCCCCGAGAGUAAUUUUACUCAGGUCGGGUAGUAUUAGCCUCUUAGGCGUAGGUGUUGUCAUGUAUCUCAAUAGGGCGGACCUGUUUGAGUUUCAUGCCAGUAGGGUCACUCUCAGUGAACCCACUGGGUGUAGUCCCCGAGACCGCUGUCGACUGCUUGCGUCGGCAGGGGUCUGAAGAACUUAGACUUUUUAUUGUUGGAUUUGUCUGAUCGUCUCUUGGUGUUGGCUGGCAGAAAACUUGUGAGAUGGGGACAGCAUACGAGACUCUUAGGGCUGAAAAGGUUCAGUUUGCUGGUGAGCUGGAUGCGGCACUGGUUGCAAUGGCUGUUAUGGAGGACGUUCUGGCGGAACGAGAGAAGUCGUUGGAGCAGGCCCGUGAAGCAAACAAGGCAUUGACUGCUGAAAUUGAGAGGAUGAAAACGCAUAGGUCCGAGCCGAUGGGACAAAUGAAGGUGUUGAACAGGCGGUGUAUAGCGCAGGAAAAAUAUGUCAGUGACUGGGCCCGGCAGAUGACAACGCUUCUCGGUGGUAAGUACUGUUGUCCGAGUGCUUGUGGUAUUUCCAUUUCACUCGGCGCUUAUUGUUUGCUUGUCCUGUCUUUGCAGAUUUUUGCAUGGACGUUGAGGCUGAAGCAGCUGACGUCGAGCGAUCGAUACUUGAGAACACUCCACUCGGCGAGGACGCCAAUCGAGAUCUGCUCCGAGCGGACAUUCGCGUGGGCAAAGUUGGUCCUUUCAUCGGUCGACUGAGAGAAGUCGUCGCCCGGAUCGACAAGAAGCUUUGGCCUGAAGAUGAGUCGCGGCAUGAGAUGGAAAGCUUGAUGACUCGACUGGAGGAGGUCCCAAACCGAGUGCAGUCAUGGAAGAAGUCUGCGGCUCGCUGUGGUGCAGACGUUGCUCUGUCCCUGGUCCGAGUGCAUUGCAAGGAGGUGCGCGAAGAGAAGCUGAAAGCGUUGAAGGUCGCCAACACGAAGAAACUUCGAUUCGAAGACUUCAUGGAAACCUUCCUUGAGAGUGGCACCCGCAUCGCCGACGGGAUCGACCUGGACACAUUCGUGGAGCCCUCCAGUCCUAGCGCCAAUCCGGACGACGCUUAAGAAAACUUUUACCUCGGUAUGCCGAGUGUUGGUUGUAAGAAACCUUGGCCACUUCUGUUGACCGUCACAUUCUUGCUUCGGUGCGGGUAAGCUUGAUCCGCACCGAGUCAACUAUCUUUAGGUGAACUUCGAAUUUGAAUCAAAUCGUUUGCUCUUCUGUUGGAAUUUUGGCUCGAGUUUUUGUUUGGCGUUUCUUGGUGAAGCCAAUGGCAAACAUGCGGAGCAUGUAAGUGUCAGUUGCCUUGACAUCUGCAUGAGCCUCUCUGAGGGUCUGCGGAGUCUCCGAGUGGAUCUGUAGGAUACACUCGAAGGUAAUAGAAUACUUAGGCGACUCAUGAUCGCGGUAAGUUGUCGAGUGCGACAGACAAGCCGCACUCGAAGCGAGUUGGAAUUCAUGUAAUUGUCAGUGGUCUUGACAUCCAAAUGAGCCUCAAUGAGUGUCUGCUGAGUCUCCGAGUGGAUCUGUAGGGUACACUCGAAGGCAAUAGAGUACUUAGGCGAUUCAUGAUCGCGGCUAAGUCGUCGAGUGCGUCGGACAGGCCUCACUCGGAGCGAGUUGGUACUCAUGUAAUUGUCAGUGGUCUUGACAUCCACAUGAGCCUCAAUGAGGGUCUGCUACUCAUGUAAUUGUCAGUGGUCUUGACAUCCACAUGAGCCUCAAUGAGUGUCUGCUGAGUCCCCGAGUGUAUCUGUGGGAUACAGUCGCAGGAAGCUUUGUACUGAGGCGAUUCUUGAUCGCAGCUAAGUCCCCGAGUGCGACGUUUAGUGCACACACAGAGAAGGUUAGUACUUAGGUGAUUCUUGAUCGCAGCUAAGUCCCCGAGUGCGACGUUUAGUGCACACACGGAGAAGGUUAGUACUUAGGCGAUUCUUGAUCGCAGCUAAGUCCCCGAGUGCGAUGUUUAGUGCAAACUCGAAGAAAGUCGGUACUUAGGCGAUUCUUGAUCGCAGCUAAGUCCCCGAGUGCGACGUUUAGUGCACACUCAGAGAAAAUCAGUACUUAGGCGAUUCUGGAUCGCAGCUAAGUUUUUUUUAGACCGGAGUCUGCGACCGCGGAAGAAUUUUGAAUCUGCAAAAGCUCAAUCUGCUUUAUAUUAUUUCACCAAUACUUGUUCUUUACAUUGCUUCAGUCGACGGUCACGUGUAGAAGCGCUUCAGGAGAUCUCCGUUCCAUGCUCGCGGCUCGUCUGUCUUCCUGUCGAUGUUGUAGAGUCUGUAUGCUCCGUUGUUCAGCACCUUGGAGACGAUGAAGGGUCCUUCCCAGACAGGUGCCAACUUGUGANNNNNNNNNNNNNNNNNNNNNNNNNNNNNNNNNNNNNNNNNNNNNNNNNNNNNNNNNNNNNNNNNNNNNNNNNNNNNNNNNNNNNNNNNNNNNNNNNNNNGGUGGUGGCCAUGGCCGCCGGAAUGGUAGUGGCAGCGGGAGGUCUCCGCUUCCCGCCGGGGACGGAGGUGGGAGUUGGAACGCGCGGCAGCGUCUAGCUUGCCUUAUCCAAUGUCCAUACGCUUCCCAGUGGGCUUAACGCACAUGUGGAAUACGCCUUCUCCCAUCGUUUACGUCCACCCUCUGCGUUUGUGCCUGAGCCUCUGCAAAUUCUUAUACAGUAGGAAACAGAGUAUCUGAAUAAUCCAGGAGGAUCUUUUUUACAGCUGAAAAUUCAUAGGGAAGUCAUAAGAGUAGCAGAACUAUUCACAUUGCUUUCAUAGAUAUUAUCAGAAGAUAAAAAGCAGCAGAACAAUUCACAUUCCACAUUGUACAAUAGAAGGGGUACUGCAUCUGAAUAAUUCAGAGAUAUAACCUACACUGGUGCUGUCCAAUGAAUGGGUGGGUAUACAACAAUGGUGGGGGAUGGGAUGGAUGGAUGCAUGCGAUGGAUCCAAAUUAUACACAGGGAAACAACUACAGACCUGCACACAUACAUACUACACAAGCGCACACGAUCAUAUACGCUAGAAAUCGGCAACAACAUUCUAGCUCUACGGUUUUACUUGGCGAGGAUGGUGGCGCCGCAGGCGGCCCCAGCGUGCUUUCCUUCGGCGAACACUAGGUUCCCCCUCACGAAUGUCGACAGGACCUUGCCCGAUAGCUCAUUCCCAAGGUACGCCGAGAUGUUCUGCAGACAAAAUGCGCGGUCGGUUUGGUUUCUUUUUGAAUUUUGUAGGACCGUUGUAGCAGUGUAAACAUUCAUGUUUUUUUUGUAGUUGGGGAACUAACCCGGUGCUUGUGGUAUACGGCAUGGCUGUCGUCGAGAUGGAAUUGUGCCUCGGGAUUCCACACCACAAUGUCGGCAUGGUACCCCGGCAGAAUAGACCCCUGCGCAAACAAGCACAGCUCUUGAGUUUCAUGGUUUGAAUCCAAUCAUUUGCAACCAACAUUGCUUUUUUGAAAAUGUAAAUAUGCUAUGUACUGUUUCUGUUUUAUUUUUCUUUCGGAUAGUGCAACUCCCCCGAUCUCUGUGUUAUUAGAUGCACUGCUUACCUUGUUCUUCUGCCCCGCGAGCUCGGCGGGCUUCUCGCUCCACCAUGAGGCUAGCUGGUUCAGGGGGGGGGGGGGAGGGUGAUGCCAUACUUUUUCCCGUGUGACCAUGUUACAGGGAGGACAAACUGCAGAAAUUUGUGGGGAAAACACUGUGAAUUCGCAUCUUUUCUCUAUGUAUGAAGUAGUUUGGCAUUGUGAUUCUGCUGAAAAAUGUUCGUGCUUACACAAACUGACCUGCAGAGAUGAGAUACCUCCCCAUGCCUUCAUGAAGUUGCCUUCCUCCAUUAGCUUGAGAUCAGGAGUCGACGGCGAGUGGUCUGAGCUGAGCAUGUCGAUGUGCCCGUCCUGGCAUUCGUUCACGCAAAAGUUAGCCUAGCUAGAACUAUUAAUCACAAGAUUGCAGCGAGUCGGAAUCGGAAAGGAUGGGAAAUGGCAUUACAAGCAGAGCUUCCCAGAGGUUUUCCUUGUUGGCAGCAUCACGUAUGGGAGGAGAGCACUUGAAACGAGUGUCUCCGUCUGGAACUUCCUCAGCCGAAAAUGCGAGGUAAUGAGGACAGGUUUCUAUAGUGACUUUUGCGCCACUGUGUUUUGCAUCCUACAAACACAAAACAUAUCGGUCAAACGCCGACCAAGAGAACCGAGGAAAUGGUGGGUAAACUAGUAUGUCGCGUCAUACCUUUAGAAGCCUGAGGCUAGUUUUUGAAUCUGAGAGAUGAACAAUGUGAAGAUGAGCUCCUUCUGACCGACCCCCCACUUCAGUGUCUUUCAUGGCACGUUUCAAAUCUCUAACGGCUGAUUCCUCCCUGGGUAUAAGAGAAAACAGAAAUAAAUUAGUGAAUCUCAGUAAUUCAUUCAUCUGAAUUCUACACCCAAUAGAAAACAUGAAGCUAUCUCCAGCUCAGAGAGAGUAAAAUCCAGUUACAUUUGAGACAAUGCAAAUUACCAUGCAGGUGUUCUAGAUUUCAGGUAUGUUGCGUAUGAUCGAGGAUCCAAUUCACCAUCAAGCUCCUCAUCACUCGCGACAUCCGGUAUGCGUUCUGCAUGGAUAAGCAAGGGUCUCUUGUACUUUGCCAAUGUAACUAGGCCCUCCUACAGUGCGAAAAUAAUACGAUGCUCUUUUAGAAAGUUCAGUAAGCAGAAUUAUGAAAAUCUUGUCGAUGCCAAGAAAAACAUGACAGCAUUGAUAAAGCAGCGCACCUCGAUAUGAGUUGAAUUUGUCAUGGGGAAGUCGUUGAUACCAGAGGGGCACAUGAAAGACUAGAAUAAAACAAUAUUGUCAGUUUCUCCUUCUAGUGUCAAUUCUUUGGGGGGGGGGGGGGGGGGGAGGAAAACAAUAAUGUGAACCAGAAUUGAUGAGGCCUGUCUGCUAGUUUAGAAACAAACCUUAAGCCCUAACACUCCUGCAUUUAGCAGGCUCUCCAAUUUGCUUGGGUUCAAGGCGUUCUCGGGUACAAGGCCUCCCCAAAACCCUAUAUGAGAGUGCAAGCAAGUCAGAUAUGACAUAUGAGACAGAUUCAGACAAAGCAUUAGGGUUCAAAAACAAAGCAAAAAUGCUGAAAUCCUAUGCGCAUAGUAGAUAAAAUAAAUUCACUGUUCUGACUCUUGACAUUGCCAGUUUGGCAUGGUAGUGAACCGCUCCACUUACCGACAUCAACAUAUAGCUUAUCCCGAGCUGCAUCCACCUGAUAAUCAAGCAUGUUGAUGUUGGUGUUAGUAACAGAAAAGGCUGGGAGGAACCAUGUGCACGUUAUGGGCUAGUGUACUAAGUACUGAUGUAACUGCGUCCAAAGAGAAGCACUCUGAACCUUGAGUUUAAGAGUUUCUUCAGAGACCGUUGAGGGGAAGCUGUUGAGAGGCAUGUCCACCAACGUAGUUAUGCCACCUGAAAAUGGAGGAAUUAAUUUGCAGGACUAGUGUAUGCAGCAAGAGAGAAUACUUCUUAUUACCAAAUCCUGCCAAAUCAGUCGUAAUCCGGUAAUGUUGCUUGCUAUAUACUGUACAGUCUGUUAUUAGUUAACUUAAUGAUGGCUACUUAGCAUAUUAGGUCGCUUCUGAAUCCUGAUUAGCACAGACAGAUACAGGCCCAAGUGCUUUGGAGUGUGGCUCUGAGCUAGUAAUAAAUUAUAACGGAUUCACACCUGCGGCGGCGGCUCUUGUGCCGGUGGAGAAGCCCUCCCACUCCGCCCGCCCGGGCUCGUCGAGAUGCGCGUGCCUGAAGGUACAACGCCACCAUGAAACUCGAGGCGAUCGAGUAAUUUAUCUUGAGAGAUCAGACAGUGAGUGACGGUUUGUUUGGCUUACACGUCGAUGAGGCCGGGCAUGAUGACGGCGUCCCCGUAGUCGACGAGCGGGCGGCGGAGCACGAAGCUCCGGUAGUCCCCGACGGCGAUGGCGUUGAUCAGCCCCUCCUUCACCUCCACUGCACACACGCACAGACACGCCAAUCACGUAUCAGCUUUUGACUUUUUCUUUCUCGCGCAUUUGCUUCCACCAGAUAUGGACGGAAGCGCGGGGGUCAACCGUGAACGCCGGGACGACGGAGGCGCAACGGCAGGGGGGCGGAGUACCUGCGGCNNNNNNNNNNNNNNNNNNNNNNNNNNNNNNNNNNNNNNNNNNNNNNNNNNNNNNNNNNNNNNNNNNNNNNNNNNNNNNNNNNNNNNNNNNNNNNNNNNNNAUGGAGGGGUCUGGGCUGCGGCGUUGCCAAAUGAAAAGGGAAUUUGCAAAAAUGGGUGGUGCUCUGCGACGCUGCACAAGUGGAGGUGCUGAGAAGGUUUGUUUUGCUCCUGGACAAGCAUCGAGGCGAGCUGCUUCGGAUUGCGUGGAGGGAUGAGUGAUCUCAACUGUAAUAGCUAGCUUUAAUUUCCUUGCAGACUUGUCUUUGUUUUAAGUUUGUGGUAGUGUUUUAUGUGGUCUGGCCACCUUUCAGGACUUUACCUGUGUGUAUCGCCUGAUGUGUGGUGUGGUAGUGGGGCCUGAUAGGCGACAUUGAACUGUGUUCUAUCUGCUUCAUUAAUAAAAAUGGGGCAAGGGGGGCAACCCCUUUCAUUCAAAAAAAAAGAAAUAGGUGCCUUAGGCCAUUUUUAACCAAUCCCUUAUAUAAAUUGAGUGAAGUAAAUUUUAUUUCUUACUCCAUUAAGUUUGACCUAACCGAUCCUCGAAACGAUUUAGCCAAGUAGUUUAUUUUACUCCAUUCUUAAAAUUUGAGUAUAUUUACUCCAUCCCUAUGCGGCCAAGUAAAAUCGCCUCCUCUUUUUCCCAUUGCACCGCAGCCGGCGCGUCCCCCGCCCCCCCUCGCCUUUUCGAUGGUCGGACAUGGUGGCCGCUGGUCCCUGCCGCCAAUCCGCAGUGCGGAUCUACGCCACCACGCGCACGGUCGUCCUCCACGGGCUCUUCAUCGAGCCGACGUCGCCGCUCGCGCGAUGCCGCGCCCCUACGUCGGUUGGAGGACUUCCCCGUCCUCCCUCGGGCCCGGUCGCCGAUGAGGACUUACCUCUGUGUCUGGCAUGCGAUGGGGACGUGUGUGGCCGAAACCACAGAUCGGGAGACCCACACCCGGCUGUGGCUUGGGACCUUCCAUACGUCCGAGCUCGCGGCUAUGGACUACGACCAUAGACAGGUCCGCUACCACAACGCGGCGACCCGACUCAACUUCCCCUUCGGCAUGGCUCCUAUCCACCUUGUCCCGUCGGAGUCGGGGGUGGUGAGCUUGGCUAUGGCACGGGAUGACCGCGAGGUGAGGGAGUGCCUCGAGGUCGAGGACUCUGACGAGGCCUACAUGCAAGAGCUCCGUCGGCAUCACCCGGAGCUCGUGGAGGCGGAGGGGAUGAUCUUUGCCGAUGCAGGCGUAGAGGUUGUCGUUAUCUCCUUCUCUGAUGAGGAGGCGAAGCGAAGGGCGGCGAGGAUGAGGAGAUCGGCGUCGAUGAGCGGAGGAGUGUCGUCCCCGAUGACGAAGACGAUGAUACCGGCCCGGACCCAAAUCGCGGCACACCGUACUUGACAAGGAAGGAUUGGUUCGACCUCACCUUCGACCGAAAAUAAUUUAGUUGCUUAGUUUAGUUUAAAUUUGUGUUUUAUGUUUGGUUGUGCAAAAUGAUCUAUGUUUAUGUUUGAAUGCAUGCUUCUUUCGAUUCAAAUUACUUUGAAUUUGAUCAAAUUGAAGUUUACUUCAUUAAAUUUAUGGGACCGCCUAGAAAUGAUAAAAAUAAUAAUCAAAUACACUUCACUAAAGCCCUGUUUGGAACCACUCAGAUUAUAUAAUCCAGUUUUUAUAAUAAUCUAUCAUGUCUCCAAACUGGAUAGAUUAUGGUGUAGAUUAUAAGAACUAGAUGGACAGAUUAUUAAAAACUCACAAUCUAAUCUACCCCACCUAAAAUCAGAUUAUGGAUUGGUAAUGACCCAUUGUUUUUGUAAAGUUGGAGAUAAUUACAUUCCUGCCACCACUAUCCUCCUUUUUUAAAAACAGAGGACAGACAGGUCAUUAUGCAAUGUAAAACCUAGAUUACAGUUUAUAUAAUCUGACUUUCAAACAUGCACACCUAAAUUAUUUUUAUAAACCAGAUUAUAUAAUCUAUCUUCGUAAUUCAGAUUAUCAUAAUCUAUUGUGGUUUCAAACAGGACCUAAGGAUUUUACUUUAAGAAAUCGGUUAGAGAUGGCCUUAUAGUGGGGAGCAUGUGCCCGAGCGAACACGUAUCACUAGUGGGGACGGGGCCUUUAGCCCCGGCCCAUAAGGGGCUUUAGUCCCGGUUCACCAACCAGGACUAAAGGGGCGGGACUAAAGGCCUAACCUUUUCGUCCCGGCCCUCUUACAAGCCGGGACUAAAGGUGCUCCACGUGGGCGCCUCGUAGCGCCCCAGGGGCAGGCCCUUUAGUCCGGGUUCGUUACACGGACCGGGACUAAACAGUUUCAGAUUUUGCUUAUUUUUGGGGGGUUUUUUUGAAUGAAAUUAUUUUUGGGUUUUAGGGUUUUGGUGUUCGGGAGAUUAACGUGAUGCCUCGUUUGGUGUUCGGGAAUUAGUUUUCAUAUAAUUUAAAUAGAAAUAAUUAUGCAUAUAUAUAUAUAAGAUUAACUUAUCUUACAAGCGAUCAUAUAUAUAUAAUUAUAUGGAGAUCUGAAUUAUCGGGACUAGAGCCCGUCUAUUCGAUUACAUGGACGAACAUCACUAAUGGCCCUUAGCUACACUAAAUCGUCCUUUGUCUUCUAUAGCUUCCGUCCUCAGAAAUCCCGCAAGCUCCUCUGCAACAACAAUCGCGCGUUGCUAUGGUAGGACCUUCGUCCUCAUGGCCGUGUGCUAUAUAAGAAGAGGAGAUGAAUAUGAAUAUCAAUCAUGAUAACAAAGAAUGACGGGUAAAAAUAGAGGUGUGAAUGUUCAUUGCUUACGUCGAAUCUGUGAUCCUUGAACUCAGAGGUAAACGUGCGAAUGGUCUCGCAAACAUAGUAUCCGCAUAGAUGCGUUCCCCGUGGCUGUUGGUCGCACUUUACGAGAAUAGAUAUAUAAUCAAAAUAAUAAUCUAGCAUCAUAAAUGUAUUGAAAAUUAAUAGAAGUAUAUCAUACUACUACUUACCUGAGCCGCUCUAAAGGUCAGCUUCUCAGGAAAGUUACCGGGAGUCACGCACUUGAACCGCUUCCAAACCCUGCCCGACAAGGAUAAUGAUUUGCUAAGUUUUUCAUUAAUUGAUAUAUCAGAAAAUCAUCGAAAGGGACGAUAGAGCGCAAGAAUGAUUAAAAUUACCCUUGGAGCAUGUCCUGCAGGCUUUGGAACUGUUCCAAGGGUCUCGAUAAUGGGUCGAAGGUAUCAACUCUUCCCUUAUCAAUUGAAUGUCCAACAGAAUCCAAUGGAAGCUGCACAUGUAUAUAUAUAUGUGUGNNNNNNNNNGUGUGUGUCAGUAACUUAUCAAUUACACUUAUAAGUGAAUGGACACAACAGAGUAAAGACCCUCACCUGAAGUUGUAUGGAAACACUAUGUGGUCACAUAAAUUUUGAUCUCUUAGAAACCUUAGAAGGUUUUCCUCCGUCUCCUUGGGUUUGUCAGUUAGCGUCGCUAUAUGUAUUUUAUCUGGGUCAAUAAACCCAAUAUUUAGGAUGCUCUUACUUUUACACUCCAGAAUCUUCAUUCUGCAUAAUAGAGUACAAGUUAUAUAUAGACAAUGAAUUGAAAUAACUAAACAAAUUAUAUGUAGACAACGAAUUGAAAAACUUACAGACAAUAGCAGCUCAUAAGCGAUUUGUCGAGGGCGUCGCCAUUGUACAUCUGGAAGAGUUCAUCAAAGUCGAUAUGGAUUUCUUCGGAGCGGCCGUAGUACUCCCGUGGGACACUCAGCACGAUCAUCGUUCUCCCAUUCUUUGAUUCACUUAAGUACCAUUUAUGCAAGUAACGCAUAUUUGUUGGGAGAUCAUCUUUGCUGACCAAAGGCUCUCCCAUGACAAAAUGUGGCUUAGGGGCUAUCGCAGCCUUGGUUAUCCUGUCGUCUUCGGAAGCCAACAAAUCUUCAACCGCGAUACCACAUUCAUCCGUCAACUCCUUUGCUCUUUCAAAAGCUUGCCCCUGCACUGGAGGGGGAACAUUCUCGGUUAACACCUUGAGGGGUAGGAUAGACUGUUUGGCCUGUUGUCCAAGCUGAGGAACGUCUGAUUUUUUCUUGCUUGUAGUUGAACUUGAUUUGCUCCCACUUGCACUUGCACGUGAGCUGCUCUUUUUCACUUCCUUCUGCAAUGUGCGUGUAUAGUCAUCAAGCUUAUGGUGUAAGUCAUACUGUGAUGGAAGGGUUAUGAAGUCUUUUGCCCAUGCUAUAUGCUUCUCGGUGUAUUCCGGGCGGGGCUCGGGNNNNNNNNNNNNNNNNNNNNNNNNNNNNNNNNNNNNNNNNNNNNNNNNNNNNNNNNNNNNNNNNNNNNNNNNNNNNNNNNNNNNNNNNNNNNNNNNNNNNNNNNNNNNNNNNNNNNNNNNNNNNNNNNNNNNNNNNNNNNNNNNNNNNNNNNNNNNNNNNNNNNNNNNNNNNNNNNNNNNNNNNNNNNNNNNNNNNNNNNNNNNNNNNNNNNNNNNNNNNNNNNNNNNNNNNNNNNNNNNNNNNNNNNNNNNNNNNNNNNNNNNNNNNNNNNNNNNNNNNNNNNNNNNNNNNNNNNNNNNNNNNNNNNNNNNNNNNNNNNNNNNNNNNNNNNNNNNNNNNNNNNNNNNNNNNNNNNNNNNNNNNNNNNNNNNNNNNNNNNNNNNNNNNNNNNNNNNNNNNNNNNNNNNNNNNNNNNNNNNNNNNNNNNNNNNNNNNNNNNNNNNNNNNNNNNNNNNNNNNNNNNNNNNNNNNNNNNNNNNNNNNNNNNNNNNNNNNNNNNNNNNNNNNNNNNNNNNNNNNNNNNNNNNNNNNNNNNNNNNNNNNNNNNNNNNNNNNNNNNNNNNNNNNNNNNNNNNNNNNNNNNNNNNNNNNNNNNNNNNNNNNNNNNNNNNNNNNNNNNNNNNNNNNNNNNNNNNNNNNNNNNNNNNNNNNNNNNNNNNNNNNNNNNNNNNNNNNNNNNNNNNNNNNNNNNNNNNNNNNNNNNNNNNNNNNNNNNNNNNNNNNNNNNNNNNNNNNNNNNNNNNNNNNNNNNNNNNNNNNNNNNNNNNNNNNNNNNNNNNNNNNNNNNNNNNNNNNNNNNNNNNNNNNNNNNNNNNNNNNNNNNNNNNNNNNNNNNNNNNNNNNNNNNNNNNNNNNNNNNNNNNNNNNNNNNNNNNNNNNNNNNNNNNNNNNNNNNNNNNNNNNNNNNNNNNNNNNNNNNNNNNNNNNNNNNNNNNNNNNNNNNNNNNNNNNNNNNNNNNNNNNNNNNNNNNNNNNNNNNNNNNNNNNNNNNNNNNNNNNNNNNNNNNNNNNNNNNNNNNNNNNNNNNNNNNNNUGUUUAUAAGCCCCGUCGCAGCUUCUCCAUCGAGCUCCUCUCUAAAGCAGGCUUACGGGCCUAAACCUACUGAAAAUUGAAACUAUAUUCGAAAUUGUGGAUAAAAUUCAAUCUGAAUUCAAAGUGAAUUCAGGUCGAAUUUUGUCCACGAUUUCUCAUAUAGUUUCAAUUUUUUUCUAUUUUAUAAUUAAUAAUUUUGACUAUCCAAACUAUUAACUUAUUUUGUUAUUUUCAAUUAAAAACUAUGUUUAUUAAAAAUUCUUUUUGCAUAUUUGAGAAUUUGACAAAACUAUGAUAAUGAAAAGUGUUUCAAAUUGAAUAAAUAAUGCAAAACUAUUUUCUAUUUUCAUAAUUAAUAAUUUUGACUAUCCAAACUAUUAUCUAUUUUGUUAUUUUCAAUUAAAAACUAUGUUUAUUAAAAAUUCUUUUUGCAUAUUUGAGAAUUUGACAAAACUAUGAUAAUGAAAAGUGUUUCAAAUUGAAUAAAUAAUGCAAAACUAUUUUUUAUUUUCAUAAUUAAUAAUUUUGACUAUCCAAAAACUGGAUGCAGUUCGUGUACAAAACUGACAAUCUCUCUCGAAGUAGCAGCGUUUCGAACGAGAACUCAUCUCUUACAAAGGGAUUUCAUUUUUUUGAACUUAUUUGAACUCCAUACUUUUUGUGUGUUCAAAAUGCACCAUUCAAAGGCACAUCACAAAUUUUCAACAAUUUCUGACUUCAAUUGGUAUAUUUCGUGCAUUUGCUUAUUUUUUUGACCUAGUUGACCCUGAAAUUGUAAAGCACUACAAAUGAACUCUGAAAAUGUUAAAAGCUCACCUGAUUUUUCAACCGUCGAUGAUGGUCGCUACUCCUACUUCCCUGUCACGCCCAAGAUGCGACCCUAUCCUCAAUUUGGCACGAGAGCCUCGUCAGGGAUAGAAGCGCAUCUCGUCGUGUCGCAAGAAUGGAUAUCGUCACAAGUACAUGUACUGAACAGAAGAGAUAUAUACAGAGUUGGCUUACACUCGCCACAAGCUACAUCAGAGUCACAUGAGUACAUUACAUAAUCAUCAAGAGUAAGAGCAGGGUCCGACUACGGACGAAAACAAACGACAAAAGAAAAACGACGUCCAUCCUUGCUAUCCCAGGCUGCCGGCCUGGAACCCAUCCUAGAUCCCCCCCCCCCCCACUCCAAAUGAACAAUCAACGCGCUCGCGUCAAGUAAUCUUUACCUGUACCUGCAACUGGUGUUGUAGUAAUCUGUGAGCCACAGGGGACUCAGCAAUCUCAUUUCCAAUGGUAUCAAGACUAGCAAAGCUUAAUGGGUAAGGUAUGGUUAAGUGGUGAGGUUGCAGCAGCGGCUAAGCAUAUAUUUGGUGGCUAACUUCCGAGUACAAGAAAUAAGAGGGGAAGAGCUACGCAUAACGGGCGUGAGCUACUGAUGAUCAAAUGAAUGAUCCUGAACACCUACCUACGUUAGACAUAACCCCACCGUGUCCUCGAUCGGGGAAAGAUCUCACGAAGGAGACAUUCACGGUUACGCACACAGUUGGCAAGUUUUAAUUAAGUUAACUUCAAGUUAUCUAGAACCAGUGUUAAACAAAAUAUCCACGUUGCCACAUAACCGCGGGCACGGCUUUCCGAAAGAUUUAACCCUGCAGGGGUGCUCCAACUAGUCCAUCACAAAUUACCACAAGCCGCAUAGAAAUCCUCAAUCACGAAGCUCGCGAUCUCGUCGGAUUCCCUAGUGGAAAACCUCAACUCUGAGAUUACCCAAAGCAUCACCGGAAUCCCGAUGCACAAGAUAUCUCGUCAAAGGUAAAACCAAUCCAGCAAGGCCGCCCGACGUGUCGACGUACCCGAUAGGAGCCGCGUAUCUCGUUCUCAGGACACGACGGAUGGAACUAGCUACGAGUGCCAAACCUCGAGUUUCCUCGCGGUGGCCCCGCAGGCAGACCGUUUGGGACCAACACCAUCAGCACUUGCCCCCCUGUUUAUGUAAAAUUACUCCUCGGGUAGCGCUAACUCCCUAUGCAAAUCAAUUUAACAGAAUUAUUAAGUUGGGAAAAUGUAGAACCAAUGUUGGGCCUUGCCAGACCAGCUUUAAUCUAAAAACGAAUUAUCAAGGGGGUCCCCAUAACAACCCCGAUCAUGUUAGGAGUGCUCAAUUAUGGAACAUAACACCGGUAGCCGAAACUAAGGGGGCAAAGGUGGAACAAAACACCAGGCUAGAAAGGCCGAGCCUUCCACCUUUUACCAAGUAUAUAUGUGCAUUAAAUUAAAUAGCAUUAAUAUGGUGGUAUGACAAGGAACCCAUGUUUUCACAUGGAAGCAUCUGCACCUGCAACUAGCAACGCUAUCAACAGGAUUAAGCAAGCAGUAACAUAGCCAAUCAGUGGUUUGCUAGGUUGAACAGGUUGAAGGUUAUCAUGGCAUUGUUGAGAGGCUGGUAUUUAACAUGUGGUAGGCAACGAGACAUAAUCGAUAGAAGCGAUAAAACUAGCAUGGCAAUGAUAGUAAUGGUAUCUGGGGAAAUGAUCAUCUUGCCUGAGAUCCCGCUUGGAAGAAGAAUGCCUCCGUGAAGCAGAUGAACCGAUGUAGUCGAACGGGUCCUCACAUCCGACACGCUUGCGGAACUCUAUCGAGACGGGGAAAACCGGAAACAAGCAUCAACACACGAAAUUCACCACACAAUGCACAACACAAAUGAUGCAUGAGCAGCUGAAAACAUGCAAGUCACGGCAUGACAAUCCACACAAUCAAACACUACACAUUAAGUGAAGUUCAAUAUGCAACGAGUUGCAUAUUGACGAAACUCCACGCUAAUUAUUUAGUUCUAUCCCGAUUAGAUACACGGCAAUAUUAAAUGUGGUUAAACAUGGAAAGAGGUGAAGCGGAAAUUAAACUACAUAUCUAGGCAUUUUAAAUGAGGUCGGAAAUGUCAUAUAGCACCUCCGAAACGACCUCACAUGUUAAUUUACAAUUCUGACCAGAUCUGAAUUAACACCUUUAAUUAGUUGUUAAACAGCGAAACAAAUAGGUUCACGUGAUUCUACGCAUCAAGGCAAGCAAUCUACACAUAAAAACAUCUCCAACGGAGCUACGGUUCAAAAGAUACAAGCACCGCAAGAUAUGAUGGCAUGAAUGCAAUAUGUGUGCAACGAUGGCUACGAGCAUUUCAAAACAUACAUCACGCAAGAGAAAAUGAAACUACACGAGAUUCUAAGCAAGUUACAUGCACGACACGAUCGAAUCGGAGCUACGGUUCGAAAACUACGAGCAAAGCAAGAAAACCCUACAAUCUGCCAAAAUCAGCCACAUAGCAUUUUCUACGCCCCACAACUACGACUACAGAACUCCGAUAAACUCAAGCAAGGCAUGGCAUGAAAGAGGGCAAGACGCACUACUACAAACAACUAACAAUAACUAACAUGGAAGCAAGGAGCACUAGGAAAAGAAGACACAAAAUGGCAUCUCACACACUAUUUCAGACUUGGUGAAAAUUAACCUCAUGAAAGUGCAGUUUUCGAUCUGAAGCUAUAUUGACAGCAGCAAAACCUAUAGCUACAGGACUCCAAAUAUCAUGAAACUUCACAGCAUGCUAGAGAAAUACAAGGGGUACAACUAACUCCAUUGGACCAACCUCAAAAGAGCUACACAUCACAAGAUGCAAGCAAGACAAGACACCAACAAAAUAUAACCGAUUCCAGACUUAGAAAUAUUUCAGCACGUCUAAAACAGCACUAUUUCUAGCAACUUGAGAGCAAGCAAAACACACCUAAGCAUGCAUUUUUAUUGCAACUAAAAAUACCAGAGGCUAAACAAAACAUCCAAAAUCAACUCCCUAGUUGACAACUAAUUCAAACGAGACACGGAAUAAAUUCUACGAAUUAAACAAAAGGGCUUCACGGUAAAAUAUCGCGCGAACUAACUUACUCAAAAGCUAAAACUAAUUGCACAGAAAAAUCCAUACCCCGGAAACAUAUAAAAUAUGUGGGGUUUGGAACACAAAAUAAAGCCACCCGAAAAUGCGGGAAAAAACCUAUAUACGGAAAAAUAAACUAGAGGCAAUUCCCUACAUGCAAAAAUACAAAUGACCGCUCUAAAAUACAUGGAUAAAUAGUCCCUAAAACAUAGGCAUUUCUAUCAUGGCAUUCGAGCAACCCGGUCUUGCACGAAAAACAAAUACGGAUCGAAACCUAUUAGGACAACACGCUUAUCUAGGCAACCAGCACGCUAAACGUNNNNNNNNNNNNNNNNNNNNNNNNNNNNNNNNNNNNNNNNNNNNNNNNNNNNNNNNNNNNNNNNNNNNNNNNNNNNNNNNNNNNNNNNNNNNNNNNNNNNNNNNNNNNNNNNNNNNNNNNNNNNNNNNNNNNNNNNNNNNNNNNNNNNNNNNNNNNNNNNNNNNNNNNNNNNNNNNNNNNNNNNNNNNNNNNNNNNNNNNNNNNNNNNNNNNNNNNNNNNNNNNNNNNNNNNNNNNNNNNNNNNNNNNNNNNNNNNNNNNNNNNNNNNNNNNNNNNNNNNNNNNNNNNNNNNNNNNNNNNNNNNNNNNNNNNNNNNNNNNNNNNNNNNNNNNNNNNNNNNNNNNNNNNNNNNNNNNNNNNNNNNNNNNNNNNNNNNNNNNNNNNNNNNNNNNNNNNNNNNNNNNNNNNNNNNNNNNNNNNNNNNNNNNNNNNNNNNNNNNNNNNNNNNNNNNNNNNNNNNNNNNNNNNNNNNNNNNNNNNNNNNNNNNNNNNNNNNNNNNNNNNNNNNNNNNNNNNNNNNNNNNNNNNNNNNNNNNNNNNNNNNNNNNNNNNNNNNNNNNNNNNNNNNNNNNNNNNNNNNNNNNNNNNNNNNNNNNNNNNNNNNNNNNNNNNNNNNNNNNNNNNNNNNNNNNNNNNNNNNNNNNNNNNNNNNNNNNNNNNNNNNNNNNNNNNNNNNNNNNNNNNNNNNNNNNNNNNNNNNNNNNNNNNNNNNNNNNNNNNNNNNNNNNNNNNNNNNNNNNNNNNNNNNNNNNNNNNNNNNNNNNNNNNNNNNNNNNNNNNNNNNNNNNNNNNNNNNNNNNNNNNNNNNNNNNNNNNNNNNNNNNNNNNNNNNNNNNNNNNNNNNNNNNNNNNNNNNNNNNNNNNNNNNNNNNNNNNNNNNNNNNNNNNNNNNNNNNNNNNNNNNNNNNNNNNNNNNNNNNNNNNNNNNNNNNNNNNNNNNNNNNNNNNNNNNNNNNNNNNNNNNNNNNNNNNNNNNNNNNNNNNNNNNNNNNNNNNNNNNNNNNNNNNNNNNNNNNNNNNNNNNNNNNNNNNNNNNNNNNNNNNNNNNNNNNNNNNNNNNNNNNNNNNNNNNNNNNNNNNNNNNNNNNNNNNNNNNNNNNNNNNNNNNNNNNNNNNNNNNNNNNNNUGCCGUGGGCGCGUGCGUGUGCGGUCAGGCUCGGAACGAACAACGACGAGAACCGGCAACUACUAACGGAUGCAAGUUUUGAAAACGGGCGGCAACGGAGAUGCCGAUGCAAUGCAGAUGAUGCGCAUGAUGCGAUGAUGACACGAAAAUAAAAUAAGCCACACGACGAAAACGGAAAGAGAGGGGAAUCUUCUGGAACGUCGGCAUCGGGUUGUCACAUUCCCCUAGUGCAUAACCAAUAUCUAGCACAAGGAGAAGAAGGAGAAGCGACCUCCACAACAAAAGUGGUUCCGCUGCACGCCACGUUGGACUAAUGGUCUUUCAUUUUUAAAUGAUUGUUUUAAUCAAAAACAGAUCUGUUACAAAAGGGAUUUCAUUUUUUGAACUUAUUUGAACUGAAGACUUUUUGUAUAUAUAUGUGGUAGAAAUGCAUGAUACCAUGAAGUUAGAAAGGGCUAAACCAUUCAAAAGUAGCAAAUGAAGUUAGAAAGGGCUAAACCAUUUAAAUUUGGAAACUAUAAUGGCACAAACAGAAACUAGACAUAUAUAAAUUGGUCCAAGAAGUACAUGAUACUAGUCCAAACAGUACAUAAUAAUAGCUACCAUAGAUAUAUAUACAAGUGUUCGACGUUAAGAACACUACUCGUCUGAAUCAUCUAAAUCAGAAUGUCCACGUUCCUCGAGGUGACGCUGGCCAUAGUUGACGACUCGAAUCUUGCGGUACAACUCGUAUGAAACGUAUGCAUCUUUUGCUGCAUACUCAAUGUUGAUAUCAUCAAGUGGACCCUUCUCCCAAAGUUUGUGCUGAGACUUUGGGAAAUUGGUCUUCAUAUCAGCAUAUGAAUCGUCGAUCAAGGCAACUGCCAUAUGAGCCAUCGAAGUCCUGUCAUGUCGAAGCCUGAAUAUUGUUUGGAGAUCAACGAGGCAACCAGUUGGUAUCUCAAUACCGAAGUUGUGCCUCAUCUUCAGCUUGUCGUUCCUUAUGUCAACGGAAGCAAAAGUGAUGCCGCUGCGAAGGAACUCCAUGAGUUUUGGACAAUGCUUGUCACUCCUGCAACAGAAACAAAUUAAAAUGGAACAAAUGUUACAUACUGCUGCAAUAAGAAAACAUGUUUCACUACAACUAAAGAGAAACUUAUCUUUAGGAUUCAAAUAGAACAUAUGCAAUGGAACCUAGAGAGAUCACUAUAGCUAUCCAAUGGAACCUAGAGAGAUCACUAGCUAUAUGCAAUUUUCAUGACUAUGACAUAUCAUAUUGCUAUCCAAUGGAACCUAGAGAGAUCACUAGCUAUAUUCAAUUUUCAUAACCUUGGAUCAAAGAACACCGCAUAAAAUUGUAUCACUACAACUAUGAUUUCAAUGGAACAUAUUGAACCAAUCAGAUUUUUCAGAUUAUGGAACACUAUUCCAAUCAGAUUGUGUUUCCUUCAACUAAUCAAAAUUGUUUCACUACAACUAUUUGAAGCGAACCAACUAUGAUUCCAUUGGAACAUAUUAAACACUAGUUGAUUCUAAUACGAUUUUUCAGAUUAUGAAACACUAUUCCAAUGAGAUUGUGUUUCCUUCAACUACUCAAAAUUGUUUCACUACAACUAUUUGAAGGGAACCAACUAUGAUUCCAAUGAAACAUAUUAAACACUAAUUGAUUCUAAUACAAUUUUUUAGAUUAUGGAACACUAUUCCAAUGAGAUUGUGCUCCCUUUCAACUAAUCAAAAUUGUUUCACUGCAACUAUUUGAAGGGAACCAACUAUGAUUCCAAUGGAACAUAUUAAACACUAGUUGAUUCUAAUACGAUUUUUCAGAUUAUGGAACACUAUUUCAAUUAGAUUGUGCUCCCCUUCAACUAAUCAAAAUUGUUUCACUACAACUAUUUGAAGGGAACCAACUAUGAUUGAAAAAAAUAAACUUACAAUGUCAUUAUCUUGGAUCAAAGAAAGCCUCAAAACUUACUUCGCCCAUUGGAAGAUCAAGACAUGGCGUUGGAAGCAUAGCUGGAUGACGACAACACCGCGUUGAUCGGCCGUGUACUCCAGAUCAAGCCCCAAGAACUUCUCAUGAUCCGCUACGUGGUCAAACCAUUUUUCCUUCAACUGUUGAAGAAAAAAUGGCACCUCGUUGCUCAGGUUCGUGUACACGACAUCGAGCAUCGUCGUGCCAUGUGCGAGCACCUUACGAAAGCUAGUUGGCAUGAUGGAAGAAGAGAAGGGAAGAAGAGAGGAGAAGAACAGAGAGGGCGACGCGAGAGAGAAGAAGAACAGAGAAAUGACGACUGUACGCUUCGGUACGUGCUUUUCAUCGCCCGAAACGACGCGGGAUGCAAACCGUUUGGGCCUUUAGUCCCGGGUUGAGCCACCAACCGGGACUAAAGAGGUAUACCAAACGGUUGCCACCACUACGGCAGGCCANNNNNNNNNNNNNNNNNNNNNNNNNNNNNNNNNNNNNNNNNNNNNNNNNNNNNNNNNNNNNNNNNNNNNNNNNNNNNNNNNNNNNNNNNNNNNNNNNNNNGGUCUGAGGGGGUAGUGGCGGCGGUGGCGGCAGCCUAGGGUUGGAGCGAUGCAGAGAUGGGUCGGGUCGUGCGACGGGGGUGCAGGGUCGUGCGCGAUGGGGAAGAAGGAGUCGGGCACGCUGACCAAGAAGGCCCCAGUUGCGAUGGGAAAAACGGUGGUGGUGGCAGUACAUGUAAAUAGCUCAAAGUUUAUAAGGGUAAUAGGUCUUUAUCAAUCCAUAAUCUGAUUUUAGCUGGGUUAGAGUAGAUUAUGAGUUUUUAAUUAUCUGGUCAUCUAGUUUUUAAAAUUUAUAGUAUAAAUUGUCCUGUUUGAAAACAUAAUAGCUUAUAGAAACCAGAUUAUAUAAUCUGGAUGAAUCCAAACAUGGCCUUACUAUUCUACAAGUUUUCCAUAAGUAAUAAACAUGUCUGAUAAUUAUAUUUUCUGAGGGAUAUAUUCGCAACGACCAUAUUUUCUAAUGGAUAUAUUAUGUAGAUACUUUCGAUAAUUUAGUAAUUUUUAUUUUUGAAUUGGACGAUAUAUUACCAUCAAUGUUGUCUCAAUUUCUUACACACACAGCAGGCGCACAACACAAUAAGAUCCAUGAACACUAGCACGCAUGACUUAGUUUUAUAGAAGAAUCCCAUCUAGGGUGAGGACCUGAUAAUCCGACCCUGACGGAACCACCCGUGAGUUGCACGUUAACAUCACUAGAUACCUUGAGUUGUCGUCGAUGUGUCUGUUGCGCAAGAGAUAUUCGUGCGUACGAGUGAUCGAUCCCUGGACAACACAGAUGUGAACAGUAGUAACAACUUUCACUGUUGGAGCUAAUGGUAGCUAGUGCCUAGUGCUUGAUUUUGAUUAGUUCACGUGGAUUUAUUUGGAACCCGAUGAGGACGUUGCAUGUCGGCACACUCUCGUUCUUUCACGUCCACGGUCAUUCGUGCGGCGCCGCACGAUAAGGGUACUGUCCAUCAAACUAUACAUUGACCACAAACACCAUCCACGGUCUAUUCUCCAAUCAUCCACUGUCGACCACUCUUCAUUCUUCAACAAGGUUGGUGCAACUACCUUUGCACUACUAUUGGGCUCUGCAAAUCGCUCUAACUUGCAGGUGUAUGCCAAUUGAAUUUUUUUUCUUUUUGUNNNAAUGACCCCGUUGGGUCAGCAGUAAGAUUAUUUUCAAAACAAGCUGAAUUUCUCGUAUUUCGCAUGGUCCGACGGAGCUACUGAAUAAACUUUGACUGCCACCCCUGGAUGUAGUCAAGCUAGCGAAGUUCUAAGUUAACCAAUAGUAUUUAGGAUGUUUGGGCAAAUCGAAACUAUCUUCCAGCAUGGGUUUUAAUACAAUCUCUUCCUAAUCUUUUUCUAAUAAUAAAGCAAAUACAAUUUUUGGUCGCGUUUUGAAAUUACCCUUAAAUUUUACAUAAAUUACCCAUCAUGUCAUCGGUAAGUAAUAGAAAACGUUUCACAAAGCGAAAAAUCUUGAACUGGGCCGGCCCAUGUAAAAACCUCAUAUAUUACGCUCUGCACAAUAGGAGAAUAUCCAGCACAUCGAAUGGGCCGGCCCAUGCACAGGGACCUCCUUUUAGUUUCGUUUAUUUAUUUAUUUAGAAAAAAUGUUUGUACAACAAGCAAAGUCCAUGAUCUCAAAUACAAUUCCAUGUAUUAAAAAUUAUCAAAGGCAUUUAACGUAAUGCUUUCUAAUUCAAAAUAUGUUAAUGCAUAUAAAAAAUGUCCUAAAAUAUUAAAAAUAGCUAAUGCCUGUUUUGAUAGUUUCUUUUUUUUAUUUAAAAUUUUCCGUUCCAUUUUUGUUUACUUAUAACUUAAAUAAUUUAGAAUUACAAAAACUUUUGCAUAUUGAAAAAUAGGAAUUUUGAAUUAAAAUGCUGACGAAUUUUUAUUUCGAAUUAAAAAUAGGAUUCAAAAAAGCGCCGGAUUUUUAUAUUUUUUUUGCAAAUACUAAAACAAUGUCCAUGAAUUUAAUAAAUAUAUGACUGAUUUAUAAAAAUAUUUGUUUAUUCAGAAAAGCUUCAUGCGUUUCAAAAAAUGUUUGUAAAUUUAAACUAAAAUCCUCCAACAUAAAAAAUUAUGUUCGUCUUUUCUUGAAUUGGUCGCUAAUUCAAAAGAAAAUAUUUAAACCCGUUCGAAUUAUAAAAAAAUAUUCACGAUUUUUAGUAGAUGUUUGUAAAUUGUAAAAAAUGUUUUCGAUUUUAAAAUUGUUUCCAUAUUUGUAAAAUUGUUCACGAAAUAUCUAAUGUAUGUAGUUAAACAUUAAUGUUUCUAAGUCUUUGUGAAAAUAUACCUGUGUGAAUUUUGAAGAAUUAAUUGUUGGAUGGAUCGGAUUAUUACUGUAUGUUUUCUAUAAAAAUUUGUUGAAAUUCGGAAUAAAUCUUUGAGUUACCAAGAUUUUUGACAACCAUGAUAUAUAUUUUUUGAAAAUGUAAAGAUUGCUUCAACUUGUAAAUAAAUUUAAAAGAAGAAACAUUUUCUUGCAUUUGUGCACAAAAUUUCUAAAUCAAACGAUGAUAUGUGAACAUAAUGUGCCACCAUCAUGAUUUGAGUUAUGUUUUUUUUCUUCUGUGACAACGCACGAGCCAUUUUGCUAGUAAUGAUAAACCUACGUUAACCUUAGGUUACGGAGGAAACAUGCUUUCAUGCGGCUAGACAAGCCUGGCACGGUGCUUGGAAAAUCCCCCCCGCAGUUUUUCUUUUAUUUACCAUACGCACGGUGUUUUUCCAGAGUUAAUUAACCGUCGGUUAUUUCCGUUGCAUGACUUAAUUACAGGUCCGAUGUACCACAACGGCGUAUACCACAUGUUCUACCAGUACAAUCCGCUGGGCGCAAUGUGGAGUCCCGGCAACCUCUCAUGGGGUCACUCCGUCUCACGCGACCUCGUCAACUGGGACGCCCUCGACACCGCGCUCGACCCCACCGCCCCCUUCGACUCCGACGGCUGCUGGUCAGGCUCCGCCACCAUCCUCCCCGGCGGCAUCCCGGCCCUGCUCUACACCGGCCGCAUCAACGCCACCAAUAAGGAGGUGCAGGUGCAGAACGUCGCCUUCCCCAAGAACCCUGCCGACCCGCUGCUCCGCGAGUGGGUCAAGCCCGCCUACAACCCCGUCAUACCGCUCCCGGCCGACGUCCCCGGAGACAAGUUCCGCGACCCUACCACGGCCUGGGUAGGCCGCGACGGCCUAUGGCGCAUCGCCGUCGCGGCCAAGGUCGGCGGCAUCAACGGCAUUGCCUCCACGCUCAUCUACCGGAGUAAGGACUUCCGGCAAUGGAAGCGGAACGCCAUGCCGUUGUACACGUCGCGUGCUGCGGGCAUGGUCGAAUGCCCGGACCUGUUCCCGGUGGCGGAGCCUGGCGUGGAGGAGGGGCGACUCGGAACAGCGAGCGGCGCUGUGCCUGUGAGGCACGUGCUGAAGCUGAGCGUGAUGAACACGACCGUGGAUUACUACGCGGUCGGGAGGUACGACGAUGUGGCGGACACCUUCGUGCCGGAGGUGGACGGCGAGCGCAGCGUCGACGACUGCCGGACCUGGCGCCGGUUCGACUACGGGCACGUCUACGCGUCCAAGUCCUUCUUUGACUCGCGCAAGAACCGGCGGGUGCUAUGGUCGUGGGCCAGUGAGUCCGACAACUCGAAUGACGACCUCGCCAGGGGUUGGUCCGGCGUUCAGGUGCGCAUUCUCCCGUCCAUUUCCAAUCAACUGACUGAUCAUCAUCCUCAUUAGAUGUGAUGUGGGAAUGCAGACAGUUCCGAGGAAGGUAUGGCUGGACGGAGAUGGCAAGCAGCUACGACAGUGGCCAAUCGAGGAGAUCGAGAGGUUGAGGAGCAAACGAGUCGUCGGCAUGCUCGGAGCGCAGGUGAACGCCGGCGGCGUGAACAAGAUCGUUGGUGUGGGCGCGCAGGCUGACGUGGAGGCCAUCUUCGAGAUCCCGUCCCUGGAAGAGGCCGAGACCUUCCAACCCAACUGGCUGCUGGAACCCCAGAACUUAUGCGCGGAGAAGGGCGCGUCCGUGCCGGGCGGGGUCGGCCCAUUCGGGCUGCUCGUCAUGGCCUCCGGUGACUUGCAGGAGCACACGGCCAUAUUCUUCAGAGUCUUCAGGCACGACCAAAAGUACAAAGUUCUCAUGUGCACCGACCUCACAAGGUACCGUACGAUUAGAACUUAUUUCAGAUGAAAUUAUCGGCUGUUGCAAACCCUAUAUUUUUCUUCGUUUUAACGCCUGAACCUCGUGUUGCAACACAUGAGUAGAUCGAGUGGGAGAGACAAGGUGUACAAGUCUCCGUAUGGAGGGUUUGUGGACAUAGACAUCGAGCAGCACGGGAGGAGCAUAUCCCUUAGAACAUUGGUACUAAUCUAAAUUCUUCGUCAAUCCUUUGCUUAAAAUAGAUGCAUCGGAUGCAAUAGCAUCUUGUGAUUUUGUUCCCUUCUCCCAACAAAUUAAUAGAUCGACCAUUCAGUGGUGGAGAGCUUUGGAGGCGGGGGGAGGACGUGCAUCACAGCACGGGUGUACCCUGAGCACGCCGAAAACAAAAAUAGCCAUGUAUUCGUGUUCAAUAACGGGACCGGACUCGUGAAGGUGUCCAAACUCGAAGCAUGGAGGCUGGCCACGGCUGCUGUAAACGUUGUGCAUGGCGGGCGACUUCCUUAAGUGUAUAGUUAAAACCGACUCGGUCAGAGGAGGAACUACGCACUAGUUUAAUAAAUAGAAGUGAGGGUCGAAUUAUGACAGACUCGACCGCCACCUCAUGGUGCGAGCCAGUAUGACCCAUGUCAUUUUCCCCUGAAAAGUAAGGGGUUAUUGUAGCAGCUUCAAAUUUUCAAUGUGAAAAUAACGAGUGUCAAACACUUGAGGAGCUACACACUAGUUUAAUAUGUAGAAGUGAGGGGUUAUUGUGCAUGGCGGGUGACUGGUUAAAACCGACUCGGUCUCAGGAGGAACUACACACUAGUUUAAUAAUAUGUACAAGUGAGGCUCGAAANNNNNNNNNNNNNNNNNNNNNNNNNNNNNNNNNNNNNNNNNNNNNNNNNNNNNNNNNNNNNNNNNNNNNNNNNNNNNNNNNNNNNNNNNNNNNNNNNNNNNNNNNNNNNNNNNNNNNNNNNNNNNNNNNNNNNNNNNNNNNNNNNNNNNNNNNNNNNNNNNNNNNNNNNNNNNNNNNNNNNNNNNNNNNNNNNNNNNNNNNNNNNNNNNNNNNNNNNNNNNNNNNNNNNNNNNNNNNNNNNNNNNNNNNNNNNNNNNNNNNNNNNNNNNNNNNNNNNNNNNNNNNNNNNNNNNNNNNNNNNNNNNNNNNNNNNNNNNNNNNNNNNNNNNNNNNNNNNNNNNNNNNNNNNNNNNNNNNNNNNNNNNNNNNNNNNNNNNNNNNNNNNNNNNNNNNNNNNNNNNNNNNNNNNNNNNNNNNNNNNNNNNNNNNNNNNNNNNNNNNNNNNNNNNNNNNNNNNNNNNNNNNNNNNNNNNNNNNNNNNNNNNNNNNNNNNNNNNNNNNNNNNNNNNNNNNNNNNNNNNNNNNNNNNNNNNNNNNNNNNNNNNNNNNNNNNNNNNNNNNNNNNNNNNNNNNNNNNNNNNNNNNNNNNNNNNNNNNNNNNNNNNNNNNNNNNNNNNNNNNNNNNNNNNNNNNNNNNNNNNNNNNNNNNNNNNNNNNNNNNNNNNNNNNNNNNNNNNNNNNNNNNNNNNNNNNNNNNNNNNNNNNNNNNNNNNNNNNNNNNNNNNNNNNNNNNNNNNNNNNNNNNNNNNNNNNNNNNNNNNNNNNNNNNNNNNNNNNNNNNNNNNNNNNNNNNNNNNNNNNNNNNNNNNNNNNNNNNNNNNNNNNNNNNNNNNNNNNNNNNNNNNNNNNNNNNNNNNNNNNNNNNNNNNNNNNNNNNNNNNNNNNNNNNNNNNNNNNNNNNNNNNNNNNNNNNNNNNNNNNNNNNNNNNNNNNNNNNNNNNNNNNNNNNNNNNNNNNNNNNNNNNNNNNNNNNNNNNNNNNNNNNNNNNNNNNNNNNNNNNNNNNNNNNNNNNNNNNNNNNNNNNNNNNNNNNNNNNNNNNNNNNNNNNNNNNNNNNNNNNNNNNNNNNNNNNNNNNNNNNNNNNNNNNNNNNNNNNNNNNNNNNNNNNNNNNNNNNNNNNNNNNNNNNNNNNNNNNNNNNNNNNNNNNNNNNNNNNNNNNNNNNNNNNNNNNNNNNNNNNNNNNNNNNNNNNNNNNNNNNNNNNNNNNNNNNNNNNNNNNNNNNNNNNNNNNNNNNNNNNNNNNNNNNNNNNNNNNNNNNNNNNNNNNNNNNNNNNNNNNNNNNNNNNNNNNNNNNNNNNNNNNNNNNNNNNNNNNNNNNNNNNNNNNNNNNNNNNNNNNNNNNNNNNNNNNNNNNNNNNNNNNNNNNNNNNNNNNNNNNNNNNNNNNNNNNNNNNNNNNNNNNNNNNNNNNNNNNNNNNNNNNNNNNNNNNNNNNNNNNNNNNNNNNNNNNNNNNNNNNNNNNNNNNNNNNNNNNNNNNNNNNNNNNNNNNNNNNNNNNNNNNNNNNNNNNNNNNNNNNNNNNNNNNNNNNNNNNNNNNNNNNNNNNNNNNNNNNNNNNNNNNNNNNNNNNNNNNNNNNNNNNNNNNNNNNNNNNNNNNNNNNNNNNNNNNNNNNNNNNNNNNNNNNNNNNNNNNNNNNNNNNNNNNNNNNNNNNNNNNNNNNNNNNNNNNNNNNNNNNNNNNNNNNNNNNNNNNNNNNNNNNNNNNNNNNNNNNNNNNNNNNNNNNNNNNNNNNNNNNNNNNNNNNNNNNNNNNNNNNNNNNNNNNNNNNNNNNNNNNNNNNNNNNNNNNNNNNNNNNNNNNNNNNNNNNNNNNNNNNNNNNNNNNNNNNNNNNNNNNNNNNNNNNNNNNNNNNNNNNNNNNNNNNNNNNNNNNNNNNNNNNNNNNNNNNNNNNNNNNNNNNNNNNNNNNNNNNNNNNNNNNNNNNNNNNNNNNNNNNNNNNNNNNNNNNNNNNNNNNNNNNNNNNNNNNNNNNNNNNNNNNNNNNNNNNNNNNNNNNNNNNNNNNNNNNNNNNNNNNNNNNNNNNNNNNNNNNNNNNNNNNNNNNNNNNNNNNNNNNNNNNNNNNNNNNNNNNNNNNNNNNNNNNNNNNNNNNNNNNNNNNNNNNNNNNNNNNNNNNNNNNNNNNNNNNNNNNNNNNNNNNNNNNNNNNNNNNNNNNNNNNNNNNNNNNNNNNNNNNNNNNNNNNNNNNNNNNNNNNNNNNNNNNNNNNNNNNNNNNNNNNNNNNNNNNNNNNNNNNNNNNNNNNNNNNNNNNNNNNNNNNNNNNNNNNNNNNNNNNNNNNNNNNNNNNNNNNNNNNNNNNNNNNNNNNNNNNNNNNNNNNNNNNNNNNNNNNNNNNNNNNNNNNNNNNNNNNNNNNNNNNNNNNNNNNNNNNNNNNNNNNNNNNNNNNNNNNNNNNNNNNNNNNNNNNNNNNNNNNNNNNNNNNNNNNNNNNNNNNNNNCCCGCCGCUGUGCUCCCUGUAGGAGUGCGGCCUCCAGACCGGCCGCCCAUUCCCGUCCAUCUCCUCUGACACGCGGCUGAGGCUGCGGCUGUAGCUGCGGCUGCGGCUGGGGCUUCGGUCCUUGUAUGGGGCGUAGACGGGCGACCCUACGUACGUCGUCGCCGUCGUACGUAGGGUCGCCCGUCUACGCCCCAUACAAGGACCGAAGCCCCAGCCGCAGCCGCAGCUACAGCCGCAGCCUCNNNNNNNNNNNNNNNNNNNNNNNNNNNNNNNNNNNNNNNNNNNNNNNNNNNNNNNNNNNNNNNNNNNNNNNNNNNNNNNNNNNNNNNNNNNNNNNNNNNNGACACAUCAUCAAAAAUCCUAUGUGUCAAAAUUACCAACAACUAUCUUACAACCAUUGGAGAUGCCCUUAGGGACUUUUUUAAGUCCCUAAACCAAUAAGUGUGUGGAAACAAACACCCUCUCAGCUCCCAAGAAAAACCAGCGGUAAAAAGACAAGGACGGAAAAUGGUAAACCCCACGGGCCCGUUCCCCACGGCCACGGGACACAACGGACGACUGUCGGCAGUGGCACUGCAUUUAAGGCCGCCUCCACCACUCCACUCCACUCCACCACUCUUUCACCGGGGAGAAAAGAUCCAGCCACAGCAACUGUUCCACUCUUCGAGAUCUCGGCUCCGGCAAUGCCUCCAUGGGCGGCCACCCCCGUGCUGCCGCUGCUCCUCCUCGUGCUGCUGUUGCUGCNNNNNNNNNNNNNNNNNNNNNNNNNNNNNNNNNNNNNNNNNNNNNNNNNNNNNNNNNNNNNNNNNNNNNNNNNNNNNNNNNNNNNNNNNNNNNNNNNNNNNNNNNNNNNNNNNNNNNNNNNNNNNNNNNNNNNNNNNNNNNNNNNNNNNNNNNNNNNNNNNNNNNNNNNNNNNNNNNNNNNNNNNNNNNNNNNNNNNNNNNNNNNNNNNNNNNNNNNNNNNNNNNNNNNNNNNNNNNNNNNNNNNNNNNNNNNNNNNNNNNNNNNNNNNNNNNNNNNNNNNNNNNNNNNNNNNNNNNNNNNNNNNNNNNNNNNNNNNNNNNNNNNNNNNNNNNNNNNNNNNNNNNNNNNNNNNNNNNNNNNNNNNNNNNNNNNNNNNNNNNNNNNNNNNNNNNNNNNNNNNNNNNNNNNNNNNNNNNNNNNNNNNNNNNNNNNNNNNNNNNNNNNNNNNNNNNNNNNNNNNNNNNNNNNNNNNNNNNNNNNNNNNNNNNNNNNNNNNNNNNNNNNNNNNNNNNNNNNNNNNNNNNNNNNNNNNNNNNNNNNNNNNNNNNNNNNNNNNNNNNNNNNNNNNNNNNNNNNNNNNNNNNNNNNNNNNNNNNNNNNNNNNNNNNNNNNNNNNNNNNNNNNNNNNNNNNNNNNNNNNNNNNNNNNNNNNNNNNNNNNNNNNNNNNNNNNNNNNNNNNNNNNNNNNNNNNNNNNNNNNNNNNNNNNNNNNNNNNNNNNNNNNNNNNNNNNNNNNNNNNNNNNNNNNNNNNNNNNNNNNNNNNNNNNNNNNNNNNNNNNNNNNNNNNNNNNNNNNNNNNNNNNNNNNNNNNNNNNNNNNNNNNNNNNNNNNNNNNNNNNNNNNNNNNNNNNNNNNNNNNNNNNNNNNNNNNNNNNNNNNNNNNNNNNNNNNNNNNNNNNNNNNNNNNNNNNNNNNNNNNNNNNNNNNNNNNNNNNNNNNNNNNNNNNNNNNNNNNNNNNNNNNNNNNNNNNNNNNNNNNNNNNNNNNNNNNNNNNNNNNNNNNNNNNNNNNNNNNNNNNNNNNNNNNNNNNNNNNNUGCUGCUGCUGCUGCUGGUGGUGCGGGGGAGAGGAGGCCAUGGCGCCAUCACCAUCGGCGGUCUGGACAUGGACAUGGACGUGGGGGUGGAGGCAGCGCAGAUGGGCUCGGAGGCGGCGCACGGCCGGCUGCUGUGGGAGACCGGUGGCGGCAGGAGGUACAUCAGCUACGACGCGCUGCGGGGGGAUGCGGUGCCGUGCUCUAGGCCGGGGGUGCCAUACUACAACUGCCGGGUCAGCACCACCGCUAACCCCUACACCCGCGGCUGCGACUCCAUCACCCGCUGCCGCGACGACGACCCUUCCUAGGUAACCACUGUAAUUGAUUGCCAAGGUUGCUGGAUCCAGAGAACGGCGGAUGCUGCUCGUUUUUUGUGUGGGUGUGUUUUUGUUGCUGGGGCAGAGGAGGAGGGGGAGGAUUUUUCUGGGUUAUAUUGCAUCAAUAAUAUAAUGUGUCCGUGUAUGUAUGUAGCUAAGAAUCGAUUCCAGCUCCAAGGAUAUUAUUACACGGAGUUAAGAACCUGGAUCAUAUGGAGUGUUAUGUUGUAUUAUAGAAACUUCCCUGGUAACAACCAAUUGUAUGGUCAAAUCAUUCCUGUAUGUGUUUUUGCUGGGUCAGUAGGUGAAGUUCAGUAAUAACGACUGAUGGACGAAUAAUGUAUCCGUCCCGCUCCCGCGCUAGAAACUUGCAGCGAUGCUCAAGCAACGGAUGACACCAGAAACAAACUGCCACCGGUGAGCUGAGACCGAGAGUCUCUGCUGCUAGCAGUUUCCCAGUUCGUUGCUGAAUCGUGAAUGAAUGCCUAGGUAAACUGGAUUUCGUGUUGUUGACUGACUGCUGCUUGGGCCCUUCGUGAAUUUGGCGAUGAUGACAAUCACCAGGCCAAAUUCACAUCUGCUGGCGACUACCCUCAGGCCUCAGCUGGGUUAUAGGAUUAACAUCUGCUGGUUGUGUCUCGUAGAGAUUGUGCUGCUGGAUUUCAUCAGUUGUCGGCAGCCGAUGGACUUUGUUUCUGCUUGACACUGCUGCCGAUGGACUUUGUUUCUGCUUGACACUGCUGCCGAUGGACUUUGUCAGUGCACACCCGUGGCUGCUUUAUCCUUUUGCCCCAGAGUACCGAAAUUCUGAACAUUCAUAACUGCUAGGGGAGUGGCAAAUGCAUUUCCCACGUGACUGCUUUAUCCUUUGCCCCACAAAUUAUUUUCCCGCACAAAAGGGUGGAAAUUGCUUUUGGCUCCCAAGCUCCAUGAAGGCCUUUAAAUUCAAACUUCAGAUUUCAUAAAAAUUCGUAUUUUCAUAUNNNNNNNNNNNNNNNNNNNNNNNNNNNNNNNNNNNNNNNNNNNNNNNNNNNNNNNNNNNNNNNNNNNNNNNNNNNNNNNNNNNNNNNNNNNNNNNNNNNNUAAAUAAAAGAAAUGGGGUUGGAGGCAAAGCAGUUAACUAAACUUCCAAGAUAUCUGCUACUAUUAACCAAAGCUGUGACAGAAAUGUGAGGCGACAAUCAACACCAAAGAUAGGUACCUGCAAAACAAAUUAGGUGGUACACAAAGAAUACUCAAUCAGGUGAAUCUGAAGCAAAGAAGAAGAAAAGCUAAAAAAUCCAAGAAUUGAAAUACCCAACAAGGAGCCAAAAUAGCCCAAGAAACAAAAUUUGAAGAUGCAUUAGAGGCAAGAAGAAACCAAAAAAAGAAUAGGACCUGAGCACGGACAAUCUACCAUCCNNNNNNNNNNNNNNNNNNNNNNNNNNNNNNNNNNNNNNNNNNNNNNNNNGCACUUUAUCAUCCUAAGUAACUUGCCACAUCCAUAGAAAAUAGAUAGCAAAUCUAUCCAAAGUAGGAAAGAAACCUCACUUUAAGUAUGACAUUACAACAAACAUGUGAUGGGCAAAUAAUACGUAGUGUCAUCUCCAGCCUGCUUAAUUCAUCUUAGUAAACAGAGAUGCCAUCCUAUGAUAAAGGAAAAACCACUAACUAACCUAAUAACACGUCUAACAAUCUAGAAAUAGGAAGAGGGGAAAUGGGAAUUACUGUAACAUGGGGAUGAACUGAUCUCAGAGAAUAUAACCCAAGGGGUAAUAAAUCAAAAUAAAUAUCGAGAAUAUGUGGGAGGAAGUGGUAGCUCUACCUGGGCAGGAUAUGGAGGAGGAGGCAGUGCCAUCAAUGGAUGUUCAUCAUGACAAUCCUUGGUCAAGACACCACCAGCUGCACAACUCUUUGUUCCUGCAAGGGGGGAGAGAGAGANNNNNNNNNNNNNNNNNNNNNNNNNNNNNNNNNNNNNNNNNNNNNNNNNNNNNNNNNNNNNNNNNNNNNNNNNNNNNNNNNNNNNNNNNNNNNNNNNNNNGGGGGAGGGGGGGGGUUAAGGGAUGGCCACGACACUGCAGUCGACAUUAACGACACACACUGCCGACGAGGGAUCGAUGAUGGUUAGGACGGUGGUGGAAGACUGACCAACGACGUGGUACACUUGUCGGCAAACUGUGACGUGCGUGAAAAACUUACCCGUCCAAUUUUGUUUUCAGUCGAUCAAAAGAUACACGCUUCCUUUUGUUUAUUUAUUUCAGACUAAGAUUUUAUUAUUCUACAACAAAAAAUUUAUUAGCUUUUUGUACGUACAUACGAUUUGUAUUGUCUGCGAAUACUGUUCCAAUUUCUAUCAGGCCUCGUUUGGUUAAGGGGGAUUGGGGAGGUUUUGAGAGGGAGGGAUUUCAUGGGAUUGGGUGAAUCCUUUUGUUCCACCCAAUCCUCUCAAAUCCCCAGGGUUUUGCUUUCACUAGUCCCCGAGGAGGGUUUUGAAACACAUGGAUAGAAAGGGAUUAAAGGGGAACGGAGGGAAUUUGGCUAAGCAAACCCCUCCUGCCACCAAAUGGGCGCCCGAGGAUUUGUGGGGUUUCUGGCCCUUCCGAGAAUUUUCCUCUUAAAACCUCCCCAAUCCUCCUUAACCAAACGAGGCCUCAAGUUUUGCUUUUAGGAUUGGGUGUUUAUCAAGUUUUUUUUAGCAACAGGAUUUUUUUUCAAGUAGCAAUACCCUAUUUUCUGGUAGUAAUUGGGCCCGAUACCGCGAUGACCACUGUUUUGUCACUCGGUUGAUCGGUUCUGCCGCCCACGCCCGACCCAAGCCCGGCGCGUGAGCAUCCCCCAAUUCCCUCCCCCAAACCCGCCGCCCCCCACCGCCGGCAAACCCCACCAUCUCCUCUCCGUAGCCGGCGGCCGCCUUCCGACGCGCGUGGCCCGCUCCUCCUCCACCCGCCGGUAAGCCGCUUUUGCCCGAGCCCCUCGCCUCGAUCUCGGGUGGUGUUGAUGACUUGAUCCAUGUCGAUCCGUAGGCGUCGGCGCCUGAGAUGAGCGGGAGAGCGGCGAAGCGCGUCGGGACGCCGCUGGCCGACGCGCAGGCCAGCCCCAAGCGCCCGAGGACCAGCCGCCACCCCUCGCUCUCCCCCUCGCCGUCGCAGGCGCGCUCGCAGGCGCCCUCGCCCUCGCAGUCGCGCUCGCGGUCGCGGUCGAGGUCGCGGCUUCCCCUGGCGCGUACGUCGUCGCCGUCGUACGUAGGGUCGCCCGUCUACGCCCCAUACAAGGACCGAAGCCCCAGCCGCAGCCGCAGCUACAGCCGCAGCCUCAGCCGCGUGUCAGAGGAGAUGGACGGGAAUGGGCGGCCGGUCUGGAGGCCGCACUCCUACAGGGAGCACAGCGGCGGGCACGGAGACGGCGAGUACAGCGUCCGCAUCGGCGACUACGACCGCCUCUUCGUCUGCCGGAGCUGCCACCGCAUGCUCUCCUCGCCGGUCUACGAGGUGAAACCCGUUUCUUCCAACCUACUGCACGUUUCGUCAUCUGUUGAUCAGCUCGCCGUGUCUCUGAUAACUCGCCGUGAUGGCAUCCGUGCAGUGUCCGGACGGGCAUGUCACCUGCUCGACCUGCCGCGCCAACAUCGGGGACAACCGCUGCAACUACUGCGCGGCCAAUGGCUGCGUGCGCAGCCGCGCCGUCGAGGAGUUCCUCGGCCGCAUCAGCUUCUCCUGCCGGAACCAGCAGUACGGCUGCGAGGUGUUCUUGCUGCACCACGAGAUGCGCGCGCACGAGCGUACAUGCCACUACGAUCCCUGCUUCUGCCCGGUCCAUCGCUGUGGCUUCGCCGGCCCGGCAUACGAUCUGGAGUCCCACCUCGCCACCAUCCACCGCUGGGAGGUGAUCAACUUCCGCUACGGCGAGAGCUUCGAGGCCCCCGCCUUCGACUCUGCCAUCUUCCGUUGCGAGGACUACGGCGAGCUCUUCCACAUCAGCAGCUCCCGCGAGGGUUUGGGCACCGCGCUGUCCAUGAUCUGCAUCCGCCCUGACAAUGCCUGCGAGGAAGAGUUCACCUACGAGCUGAAGAUGCCGGCGGGUGGACGGCGCCACAGGCUGCAGAUUCAGUCAACCGUGUGGAACACUUCGCUGCGGUACGGGAUCGGUGAGGGGAGCGACGUCUUUCUGUUGGUCCCUGACAAGCUGCCCGGCGUCGAGAAUGGCUGUGCCGUGGAGGUGUGCAUCCGCAAGGUGGUGUCUGGUAACUAGCACAAGCUGUGCGCCGAUCUGGACCGUCAUUAUCGUUUGGUUGCAGCAUUACCUAUCUGCUUCUAGGAUAGGAUUAAUGUCUGCCUGCUAGAGUUCUGUUCAUAGCUGAGUAAACUUGAACGUCAUCCGUAUUGGUGAAUUCGUUAAUCGUUGAUGAAUCUUCUGGUAAGUGAGAUGGAAGCAUAGGCACCCCUUGCAGUCGCUGAUGCAGGAAACUGUCUGGAUAUUGUCUUUUCUGAGGAGGAGGGUGGAUUGGGAUAUGCUGAAUUUGCUGGUAAGCUUUUAUUUUGCUGUGUUUGUGGACUUGGCGAUCUUGAUGUCGAAAUGCGUGAACGCUUUGGGUGGUUUGCCUCUGAAAGUUUAUUAUAGAUGUUGCUAUCUGCCGGUUGCGAGUUCAUUAGUUUAUUCUUCUAGUAGUAGUUUUCAGAUGGUGCCUGCUGGAGUUAAUUCUUUUUUCUAGUAGCUGCUGACUGCCGAGGUAAACUGAAUACCAUAUCUGGUUACUGCUUUGGCAUUUCAUGGAUUUGCACCGUCGUCAUCAUCAUAGUUUUGAUUGCAUUGUUCCAUCAGAAGAGCUCCUGGAUUUACCAUCUGCAUGUUGUUUGUUAGUUUUUCUGUUCCCAUGAAACUCAAUUGCACUGCAGAUAGGUGACUUAUAGUAUUGGUGAUGCAGGAAACUCUUGUCUUUUUUGGGAAGGUAAAUUAGGAUAUGAUGAAUUUUGUCAGUAAGCUUUUGUUUUGGUGCUUAUCUGAAUGUGACCAUCUUGAUGUUGAAAUGUGUAACCGCUGUUUCUUUGGGUGGAUUGCCUAUGUUUGUCAUAGAUGUUGUUGUCUACCGUUUACGAGUUCAGAGUUAUAUUCCGUCAGUAAUUUUCGUUUGGUGUCUGCUAGGAGCUGCCUAAUGCUGCCUAAUGUUUGGUGUCUCCUAAGAAUCGAUUCCAGUUCCAAGGAUAUUCGGUAGUGCAUUUCUCUAUAUGUGUAUGGCACUUCAAAUUCUGUAUCUGAGUUGUUGUUACAUGUCACAAUACAUGGUUACAAGCUCAUUGUACCGAGCUUGCUGCAUAUGUAAGGCCUUCUUUAGUUUGGAGGAAUUUUGUAAUGGGAUAUAAUUUGUAUAGAAAACAAUUCCUUUAUAGGCCUUUCGUUUGUAGAAAUAGAAUCCUAUUCCUAUGGAGGAACUAUUUCUACUCCUCACAUUUCAUAGAAAAAUAAACAUUAGCUUAGACUUAAUAAAGAAAAUCAUAUGAUGUGAAUCAGAAAACAUCUCUCUUCCUAUUCCUACUCAUAGGGUAUGAGAUACAUGCCAUCUCACUUCCUAGAAGUGUUGUAUUCUUAUAAUUGUUCUACCCUAUGAACCAAAUGAGGCCUAAAUCUCUCUUUGAGCUGAAGAACUCCUAGUCAGUGAGCAGAGUCAUUCAGUUCAUGUCCGAAUAUGCGUUGCCCCCCCCCUCGCCCCUCCUCCGGCGACACGGAGUUCAUGUCCGAAUANNNNNNNNNNNNNNNNNNNNNNNNNNNNNNNNNNNNNNNNNNNNNNNNNNNNNNNNNNNNNNNNNNNNNNNNNNNNNNNNNNNNNNNNNNNNNNNNNNNNGCUCCUUGGGGCCCUCCUGGCUUGGCCCACAGGCCCCCUGAUCUUCUUCCGUUCGGGAAAAAAUCAUUUCGGGGAUUUUAUUCCGUUUGGACACCGUUCCAAAAUCAGAUAUGAAAAGAGCCAAAAACACAGAAAAAACACAAACUGAUACUUGGCACUGAAUUAAUAAGUUAGUCCAAAAAAGAUAUAAAAGGUACAUAAAACAUCCAAAGAUGACAAGAUAACAACAUGAAACCAUCAAAAAUUAUAGAUACGUUUGAGACCUAUCACGCGCCGCUGCCACCAUCUCGCGGUCGUACUACUCCACCUCGCGCCGAGCGAACGCACGCAGUGGCGCGAGCCCCCAGUUGGUGUACCUUCGCGUGCCACGCUUUUGAGCAGCGUCGGAAGAAAUCCGCGCCGCCCGUUCGCGGUCAGAGUCAGGGGUGUCAGGCGGCAGCCGCUUCGCCCUCCGGUUUCCGUUGCGGGAAUGGCCGCCGCGCGUGUUGGAAGAUCAUGGCCUCAUGAUUGUCGCACGAUGGCGCUUGAUCUGCAGCGGGGCUGGAUUGUGUGGUUUUGGUGGGGGUCGCCGACGGAGAGGGGCGAGAGGGGGCCAAAGCGGCGUAGAUCUGGAAAUAGAUAUGGUACGACACAUUUCAUUGUAUAAGUAGAUCGGGUACGACACUGAUGUGACGCCCGCUGACUUCCCUGGCCCAUGGGUCAGAUUGACCGGUCAGCCCGUGCUCUGUUUCGAACGUUUCGAAAGUUGCCCUGUUUUCAGUUGAGCCAUCAUCUUUUCUACAUAUCCUUGUUUAAAUGUUUGAAACUUCUCUUGUUCAUGUUUGAAACUUCUCUAGUUCAUGUUUGAAACUUGUUCAUGUUUGAAACUUCUUUAUAUGUUUGUCAAACUUUGGUUUGACCAAGUUUGAAAUCAGCAUAAAAAAUAAAAAUAAAAUAUUGGAAAACCAGUGCACAUAUUCUUACUUUGUCAUAUACUAACAACCCAAAUUGAUUUGGCUGUUUUAGACAUGGUGGACAAAAAAACUUGUUUAGAAAUGGGGUAUUUACCCCCUUUGGAGCUAUUUUCAAACUCAUGUGUGAAGACAAGUGGUUUUGGGUGUUGAACUUCAAACUUUCAAAAACAUCACAAAAGCUUCAUUUUGGAGUGACUAAGAAGGAACCAGGCUUGGUUUGUCAUUUUCAUGUUUGAAACUUGUUUAAAUGUUUGUCAAACUUAGGUUUGACCAAGUUUGAAAUGAGCAUAAAAAAUUAAAAUAUUGGAAAACCAGUACACAUGUUUUUUACUUUGUCAUAUACUAACAACUCAAAUUGAUUGGCACCAGUUUUCUAUUUUUUUUAUUAUUUUUUUUGAAUUACUUAUGCUCAACCCUAACCUUUGAAAACCAUACAACCUCGUUCGUGAUAGCCAAGUUUGUGAACGUUUUUACAUGAAAAACUCUAUAGUCCAGAUUUCUUAUUUUUCCUAUGGAAUUAGUCACAUAGAAUGAUGAUUGGCACCAGUUUUCUAUUUUUUUUAUUUUUUUUUUGAAUUACUUAUGCUCAACCCUAAUCUUUGAAAACCGUACAACCUCAUUCGUGAUAGCCAAGUUUGUGAAGGUUUUUUCAUGAAAAACUCCAUAGUUCAGAUUUUUAUUUUUCCUAUGGAGUUGGUCACAUAGAAUGAUGAUUGCCACAAGUUUCCUUUUUUUUGAAUUACUUAUGCUCAACCCUAACGUUUGAAAACCUCUCAAAAUCCCAUCAAAACCCCAUCAAAACCCCGCACCUGUCCGAACCAUUGGAUCGCCGUGAAUGGACGGUCUGGAUCAGGAAGCAGGGCUACGUCAGCGAUCCGCGGGCUGCGCUUUCAUUGGUCGGCCCAGCUCCUCCGAAACCAAGUUUCAUUGUAAUAGUUGUGAAACAGCCCCCAUUUCUAUCAUUUAGAAAACUCCCAAAUAAUUCUCAUAAAUCUCUUGGGUCAUAUCUUCCUCAGAUAUGACAAAAUAUUUCCUUGCCAUGUUCAAAAAUAUUCCUCAAAUAUUCCUUUCUGAUUCUGCCCUAUCUGUCAAGUUGUGAAGCAAGUACCCUUUUUUAUUUGCUUGAUUGAUCUCAAAAUUUGUGUACACUCUUUCCUAUCCAUAUCAUUGCGUCAUGUCAAAAUUCAACUCAAUUUAGCUAGGAAAUAUUUCUUGGCAAAUUUCCAAAGUUUCUGAUCCAGAGAAAGCUUUGUGAAGCAAGUGCUAGCUAGGUGUGUUCAAAUGCGUUGAAACUUUGCCAUCAUUUCAAAAUGUUCAAAUAAUGUCGCUUCUCCAAAUUUGAGCAUCACUCCUUCAACCAUGUGACCAUAGCAUCAAAUCUUUGUCUCUGGUCAUUAUUUUGGAUUGUGAAGCAACUAUGUUUUAUGUUGCUCCAUAAAUUCUGAAAUUUUACCAGAACAUUCUCCUACCUAUAAAACCUCUCUAAACCAAUUUUGAGCUCAUUUUUUAGCCAAUUAUUUCCAGUAAUUCUUCUAAGAUUCUGUCCAGCUCGAUGUUGUGUGAAGGAAGUGUCACUUUGGCUUAUCAAGAUCGCAUGAAAUUUAUACAUCAUCUUCAUAACCCUAAAAUAUUCAUAUCCUCCAAGUUUCAGCUCCAUCCAAGCCAGUAUGAGAGUGCCACAUCAAAAUCUCUAUUCUGGACCAGAUUAGCUAGUUCCAAAGCAACCCUAUUAAAUAUUGAUCCUGUGCUCCUCAAGUUUCACAGGAUUGUAGUCCUUCCUACCCUAAACCGCAGAUGUGAGUGCUGACGUUGGAUGGCUUGAUAUAUGUUCGUGUCAUACCUCCGUGGAAUAAUUAAUAAAGUUGACCUUUUUAGUUUUGUAAUACCAUCGGGAUCAUCGAUUCACGGGCAGGUGAGUUGCUGCAAGUUUUUUUUUCAUUUUUUCCAUCUUUCUCGUCGUCUUUGACUGUGACGAUGGCCCGUCGUCCCCGACCAUGAGGAAAGGUGCACCAUGCGGUGACCCAACGCUCUGAUUGGCAACAAAUUAUUACGGUUUUGCAUAUACAAAUAUAUUUUACAACUAUUGAAGUGCAUCACCGGAGUUCAAAGGCAUGAGGAGUAAGACUUACAAAAGUGACUUUGAUAGGUAUAGUCAUGGGGUGCCCAUAGUCAUGCCCUUCAUCUUGUCGGUGUCACAAUCCUUGAAGAUUUCCAUUGCCUAGCCAGCAAUCUGGAUCAAAUCGAUAAAAAAACAGAGGGAAACAGAAGGGGCAGAGGCGAUGCGGUGAUAUCUAACUCAACACGGAGGAGAACAGGACAGGUACCAGAACAGGACAGGGCUGUCACCACAGCUGCCGACGAGAACGAAAGCGCCGCCAGUGCUGUCAAACAGAACAAAAGCUCUGCCGCCGCCGCUGGCUCACCACCGGGAAUGAAGAGGAGGGAGCAACACAUGUUCAGACAGGUAUACCCAUUCGGACAGGCACGGGGACACGUUUGACCUGAUUCACUGACGAGUGGGCCCGUAACUAGAUGCACUGCCAAGUAGGGCACGUGCUUACGUGGAUAAGUUGUGGGUCUAGCUCCUAACAGCUAAUGAGGGCAUCAGUUCAGAUUAAGGAACAUUGUCGUGUGUGAGAUAUUUCCUCGUUCAGAAAUGUCGCACCGAGGCAAUUCAGACAAAAGACGUCGCACUUCUUUCAAUUCACCUCAAAAACGUCGUACAGGAGCAAUUGACCCGUCUCCCGUGACUUGUUCUCUCCCCUCACCUUAAUCUCUUUUUUAUCUUUUAUUCAUGCAGCAAAGUACGGAGAGUUGUGGUGCGGGAAACGGCGAGUGGCGGUGCAUGCUGUUGUGGGAGCGUCGGCGGCACGGGCUGAUGGGUGAGCGAGGGGUAGGGGCGGAGGGCUGAUGGCCGAGCGGUGGGGCGUGCAAAUUAAUGGACGACCAUGACCGUGGGGUGAUGUUCUGCGCUGGUCGUGGCGGGAGAUUCGUAUCUCUAGCUGAACAACCAUCCGAGGGAAGGCCUUCUCCCUACCGAUCGAGUCACAAGUUUGAUGCUUCCAAAGAGGUACCGUAUCACCAUAAUCAAACAUCAUCUAUCAGCUUUUCUUAAUUCAUACAUGCUGGAGUACGUAUGUUUCCAUUCAUCUAGAUUUCCAUUGUCCAAGCAAUCACAUCCACCUGACAUGGCCAAAUUCUACUAGUUGUACAUACCACCGCUUUGGUUCCAUCAUACCAGUGGCGGAGCCAGAAAUUUUGUUUAGCCUGGGCAAACUUGAACCUAUGUGUCUGAUCUCAAAAUCAUAACGGUAAUGGUAGCUGGCAUACGUUUGCGGUAGGGGUGGCAAAUAAACCAUCUUUGCUGGCUGUUUUAGUUGUAAAACGAGAUCAAACGACAACAGUGUUUAGAUGAAAAUUGCCUUUUCGGAGAGAAACUGCCAUGUUGCCUGAAGAAACUUGACAUCUCUUCCUUCUUCCUCUCAACUAAAACUGCCAGGCAAAUGCUCGCAAAUACUGCCCUCCCUGAUGAGCGUUCACCAGUUAUAGGCGUCCAAUCAUAAUUGGGUAUUUGGAUACAUAACAUAAAUAACAGUCUCAAACUUUUGAACCACAAAUCUAUAUAUACUAAUAAUGAAGUAACAAUAUAAAUAUAAAUAUAAUUCAAAUAUACUUCCUCCGUCCUGAAGAAUCCAUUUUCGCGACAAGUAAUUCGGCUCGGAAGUUAAUAUAUUGGAACCUUCAAGAGAUAUACUCGCUCAUUUGGUCUUGAAUAUGGAGACGAUACUCAGAAAUUUGUUUUCUCUUUUUCGUAUCACAUUCAAUUUCAUUUGGAUUAAACUCAUCGGCAUUGCUAGGUGGUUGCAUUGGCUCUACUUCUAUUUCUGUUGUUCACCAUCCAUAUUUUCAUUGGUUGCUCUAUUGACAAAAAACAUCAUCUGUAAAAUUUAGUGAUUCAAGUUAACAUUCAGCUAUCAAGAAGAACAUCUCUAAUCGAAGACUAGGUUCACAAAGUUGUCGUCAUUCCAAUGGAUAAUUCCCAUGUACACACAUAAAAAUUGAAGCCCUAAACCUAUGCAUAGGAUGGCUAGAUCAAUUCGUAAUUUUACCUACUCAGGAAAGAGAGGAUGAUCAGUAGAGGAUGCAAGCCGUUCAUGCGUGGAUCUAGUCGCCCCGCCCGCCGACGGCCGCACGUCCAGCCGCCAAUGGUAGUCGUGGCUUGCCGUCAGUCAUUCUCCGUGAUAUGCAAUCGUGGGGAGGCUGGCAGGUGGAGAGGCUAGACCCGUUGCUAUCGAGUAAAUCAUGCGUUCCUAGCUUUCUAGGCCUGGGCCUGUUGCUAAUUCUCAUCAAGCCCAGCAGCGAAAGAAGCCCAAAACAGUUUUGUCCGGGAAACCUUGACGUACACCUGGAUUUGGUCAGGUGGAAAUGGGCGUCGUACAGCUUCGCGUAAGCAGCGAGCCCGGGCAAGUGUCCAGGGUCGCUAGGUGCUGGCUCCGCCACUGCAUCAUACCAAUUCCUCGCGAGUAAUAUACUAGUAAUACUUAUCUGUAGUCCAAGGUUUCAACCCAAGUUAAUAUAGUCUGAUUGGUUCUGAAUGUCAAAUCCUUGCUAGCUAGGAUGUCAAAUGUGUACUAUUCACAAAACUAUGCUAGCAAAACUACUAAUACAACAGAAUAGUACACCCUAAGAUAUUAAAGUACCUUGUGCGUGUGUUAUGUUUGCUGGCCCUAGGUGCAUACCUUUCGAGACAUGGGUGUGUAGGUGAGGGGUAAAAGUAGAAGAAUGGAAAAGGCAUCAAUUGAGGCAAUGAACUGAAACAUAUGACCCGUGGAAUGGUGUAUUUCCUAAGGCUGGUUGUAAUGGGUAGUAUCAUAUAUUAGUAUCAGGCUGGCCAUAGUGAAAGUAUCUUAGGUAGUAUCAUGUACUUGGAACUAGCAAGCAUGCUGAUGUGGCAGAUAAUUAAACAAGAGUGAAAGAUUUAGAGUAACAUAGGUAUAUAUCGUAACAUGUUAAAUGUUAUGCUACUAUAUAUCAUGCAUGUCAAUAAAUGACAUGAUAUUAACAUAGGUAUAAGGGAGUGUUCUUUUCAAUUCUACGUAUAGAAAUUAAGAUCUUGCCAUGAUAUUUUCCCAAAAAUUGUGUGGUUUUAAUGGUACAGAUCUAGAAUUUUCUUUCAUUGGUAGCAGAUUUACCAUCUUAUCUUGUUCCUAAACCAUGUUGUCUGUGUCGCCUUGGCAUUUUAGGUCUCCAUAUAAUAAAUUAUGAACACAUAUUGAUGUGGAUUUUAAUAUUACUCACUCUUUACUUUAAGUUGAUAAACCCUUCCUCUUGGUUAACUUGUAGAGUUCAUUACUAAAACAAGUUAUCACAAAUAGCAGUUAGCUGUGUAUUAAAAGAUCUAGACGUACUAGUCUGUAUAACCUUUUGCAUCAAAAGUAAAAAAUAAUAGAGCCAUUUUAUUUUUGUUGUUCAUGUCACUUUUCAGUUUCUAUUCGCAAGACGUAUGGUUGGAAAAGGAUUGAAGUAUUCCUUGAAGUAUUGGCAUAACACCAAUAAUUCUUACUAAAAUGUGAUUUCUAUGUCAAUGUGUAGAUGAUUCCGAACAAGUAAGUUUGUUCCCUCUAGCUCAAAUAAAUUUCAGCUAUAUUAUAUCAUUUUUCAUCUCACUUAUAACUAGUCUUAUAAUUCUGAGGUAUUGGGAGGUAAUAUUGGAGAUAAAUCGAGUUAUGAUAAUGCUCAUGGUACAAAUGUGGUCAUUAAUACUAUAAUUGUGGUCGUUGUUUGCGUGGGAUUGACGACGACCGCACAUCAUCCCGUCGUUACAAGAAUAACGACCACCAAAGGUAUGUGGUUGUUAUACUUUUAACGACGGAGUUUGGUCGUUAAUGACCUUUAACAACCAAAAUCCAACCUUUAACAACCACGUAUACCGUCGUUAAAAACCGUUUUCCUAGUAGAGAUCUUCAGGAAGGACGUAAUACAAUGACCAGAAACUCCUAAUUAGCAUAAUCGAACGGCCAAAAAUGUUUAAUCGCUCAGAUGGCAGGGAUUAGGUGCAGUUUUAGUGUCUCUAAUAAUGUAAGAUGCGGGGGGAUUCACGGUAGGAGAUAAAGCAAGAGGUGUCUCAAAUCCCGGCCCAAGUGACACGUUGAUGACUCACUUUAUAGACGAUGCUAAAUGUUUCUUUAAAAUUUAUUUAUUUCUUACCCGCUGCGAACGCACCGACCUUUUGCAACAUAUCUAAUAAAAAAUGCAACGUUCGCAAGCGCUCAAUCACGACCACGGACAACAUCCACCAUGGGCUUGGUCGCAGUCCUCCUACAACAACAAGUGGCGACGUCCUGGCAAUGAAUUCCCUUGGUGUAACCCCUGCCUUCACACCAACCCUUGCACUUGUCUUCGGUGCAUCCAUCUUCAAGCCCUGAGCACCAUUCUACAGAAAAUAAUAACCAAAUUAAAAACUUAAAUAAAUAUGGGGUUAUUCGUCAAUUCAUUGCCAAUGCGUGUUAUCAACUGCAAAGAUAGAUGAAAGGAAUUUUUUAGGUAUAUACACAAUAAGAAAAGGAGGAUGUUAACCCUUNNNNNNNNNNAGUCGACCUGCAGGCAUGCAAGCUUGACUGUUGAUAUAAUAUGGCAUAGGACCAAAUAAGCAUGCACACCGGACGGUAACUUUUAAGAAAAAAUUAAAUCGGUUUUUGACGUACGAGUGGCAUGGUGCGUAAUUUAUGUCACUUUAGGAACAAUUUCCAUGACGUAUGGAUAUAAAUUAUCCUUGCUUUAUUAGUAGGUAUAAAUAUAGUUAUAGAUAUCUAAUAAAAAAAAGAACGUUCGCAAGGGCUCAAUGACGACCACGGACAACGUCCACCAUGGGCUUGGUGGCAGUCCUCCUACAACAACAAUCGUCAGUGUCCCGGCAAUGAAAUUGCUUGGUGUAACCCCUGCUUGCACACCAACCCUUGCACUUGGAUUCGGUGCAUCCAUCUUCAAGCCCUUCACACCAUUCUACAGAAAAACAAUAAGUAUUUUAGUAACUUAAAUAAAUAUGGGUUUAUUCGUCAGUUCAUUGCCAAUGCGUGUUAUCAACUGCAAAGAUAGAUGAAAUGAAUUUUUUAGGUAUAUACACAAUAAGAAAAGGAGGAUGUUAACCCUUUGGAUCAGCAUCACAGGACAACAUCACAGUGGCCAUCACCACCAUAAGGGCUGCCAAGCAUACAAAGCAUGCACUUGUUGUACUGACGGCCAUCACAAGAUACGGUGCUAGCUAUGUACUGAUAUGCUCUCUUCUUUUACUGUUCGAUCUGAUCUGCCAAAUGUAUUGACCAGCAACUCGUUUUGCUAGCAUUUAUAUAGGGUGAGCAUGUUGAUUGAUCCCGAGUUUUAUGGUGGUAAUUAAAUACUACCAUUCUAAUACCAGCAUUAGAUUGGAAUUAAUGCAUUGAUUUGUGCAUAUCCUUGAAUAGACGUGCAUACUUAUCUCAUUUUGUAGCAUGAAUUGAUUCGUUCCUUUUUUGGUGCGUCUAGUCUAUCUAUUCAACUAGAUGAUAGAUGAUAGUGCGCAAGUGCAGCGUGAAGAUGUUACAAUAUAUUUCAAUAAAAUUAGAUUGUCUUCCUUCGAUUUAAAAUAAAUGACUCAACUUUGUACUAACUUUAGUAUAACGUUGAGUCACUUAUUUUGUGAUGGAGGAAGUAUUAAAUAAUGAUUUAAUAAUAUAUGAAAAAACUAAAAAUGCAUAUGAUAUAUUAUAUGGGUUAUUGUAUAGUUGGAAAAUAUGUGUUGUAAUAUAAAGGAAUUAUCUCGAUGCAUGUUGAACGGGUCUUUGAUGAGGUGGAAUGUGUGCAUGGCUUAAAUGUGCAUGUUGAAAUAAGUAGAAUUAGCGGGGAUCAGCUAAUAAAGAAACAUAUUUUUCAUGCAUGUUAUGGUGGGCCUUUGAUGAUGUGACCCAUGUGCAGUGACGAAUCUAGGACGAAUUUGAAGGGCAGGCCCAACUUUAGUACAAAGGGUGAAUCUGGACUAAGAUGGGCUGAAAUUAGGCUGAGAUCGGCUGGAAUAGACUGUGUUUUAGUUUCAGAGGGCAGACUUCAACCUGUUGAAGCCGGCUGAAGUCUGCCCAGUAAAAUCACCACUGCGCGUGUGCAUGUUAAGAUAAUGGAAGUAGUGGGGAUGAAGUGUUUGGUCUAAAUGCUGCUAGUGAGUACUCCUUCCGUCCCAAAAUAAGUGUCUUAACUUUGUACUACCUCUAGUAUAAAGUUAUACUAAGCUUGAGACAGUUAUUUGAGACGGAGGGAGUACUUACCAGGGCGAUCGUACCGACCGCGCGCAGCUCGGACAAUGUCAGUGACCACAUUGGGACGUCGCUAAUUGGGGUUCCUACACUAGUGUGAAACAACACACGUUAACGAUUAUGGGACCAUGCAUUGUGUAGUGAGAAACAUAUUUAUCAUCGUACACGCUAUUGAACAACUCUUAAGUGCGUGACGAGACUUCAUAUAUUGUUCCAGUUGUUUUCAAUUGUGUGUGAUAGUAUCUCAUCCCAAAGGUGAGUUUCAAAGCCGCCGCGUCCAAUGCCAAACGUAAUCUCACUCCAACACUAGAUGUGUACCGUGUGCGAUGGUAUGAAACACCAUACACACUAUGCCCCGACGUUACAUGUGCAAUGGUUGAGACAUCACACACAUUUUCCACCAUAAAACCUGUGUGNNNNNNNNNNCAGGUGAGCUUCAAAGCCGUCGCGUCCAAUGCCAAACGUAAUCUCACUCCAACACUAGACGUGUACGUGUGCGAUGGUAUGAAACAUCAUACACACUAUGCCCCGACGUUACAUCUGCAAUGGUUGAGACAUCACACACAUUUUCCACCAUAAAACCUGUGUGACAUAUGUCACAUUUUCUAAACGUUUAACCUUGAUGCUCCGGUUGGGUUUUGUGAAAACUUACAUGCUUUUCUAAGAAGACAUGUGCGAUGAAGGAUCAAUUCCACACGUUUACUCCGAACUAAGACAUAUUUUAUACUAGUUGAAGGCACGUACUUUGUACGUGCACGUUCUUAAUAAAAAAUCAUAAAAGCAAAGUAAUCUUAAAUAAAAGCGAAACACUUUUUAUAUGGAGUUUUAGCUUCACAAUCUCUUUCCAAGUUAUAAUGUUCAUGGACCAAUUUGAUUUUAUUACAUUUCCAAAACAUGUCAAGAGCAAUUUUCAUUAACGUUCACUUGACAAACUUGCAUUGUUCUGCAAAAAGAAAAGAAAAGAAAAACUUGCGAUUAUAAUAUUCUCAAAACGGUAAGUUACACCAUGGGAUUAAAUUUUGUUCAAAAAAAUAAUCAUCUCCAUGCAUUUUAGAUCACUUGGGCGUAUACAUGGAUGCAACAUUUUCAAUUCAGAUCUUGCCGCUUGAUUUUCUGAGGAUAUUGAUGAUAAAUAUAUGCCAGNNNNNNNNNNCAUGUGCACAUUCUUAAUAAAAAAUCAUAAAAGCAAAAUAAUCUUAAAUAAAAAUGAAACACUUUUUAUAUGGAGUUUUAGCUUCAUAAUCUCUUUCCAAGUUACAAUGUUCAUGAACCAAUUUGAUUUUAUUACAUUUUCAAAACAUGUCAAGAGCAAUUUUCAUUAACGUUCACUUGACAAACUUGCAUUUUCCCGCAAAACGAAAAGAAAAGAAAAACUUGUGAUUAUAAUAUUCUAAGUUACACCAUGGGACUAAAUUUUGUUCUAAAAAGUAAUCAUCUCCAUGCAUUUUAGAUCACUUGGGCGUAUACAUGGAUGCAGUGCAUUCUACCAUGCAUAUCCAAUAUUUAUCCGAGCAAGAAAAUGGAUAUGUAUCAGUCCAUAUAUACAAUACAUGUCAUAAAAUCCAUGCAAGAAACAUGAGAAUAGCCUGUUUCGCUUGACUUACUAUCUUUUCAUAAAAGAAAAAACAUGGAAAUAGCUUGUUCCGCUCGGCUAAAAUAUUGUUUUGGGAUGAUACUCGGUCAUACGGGCCUUGAAGCUUUCCAGUGGGCUAGCUCUAUCGAGCCCCACUCAUAAACGCGAACCAACCUCUUGACCUACAUUUUCUAUUCAUAUCUUGCCGCUUGAUUUUCUGAGGAUAUUGAUGAUAAAUAUAUGCCAGAUGAACUGAUGGUGAAUCAAGUUCCAUCUAUUGAACGUCUUAUGCUAGAACCACCAAUACCCGCAACUGUUUUAAGAAAAGUGUCAACGAUAGCGCAAACCGGCAUCGUUGGCAAGAAUGGCUAUGCUGCGACACCUCUAUGCGUACAAAUAGCCCAAGCGCGACAUGGACCUUAAGCACAACAUCUAUCAGGAUUCGUUGGAGCAGGGCGGGACCCACAGCUUAUCCACGUCGGCAUGGGACCUAGAUGACGGCGACUACUGUCAAACAGUUUUCUGCUGCGCGCGCAUCCUCCCUCUUCUUCUUCUCCGGGAUGAAGCACGGCAACGCCGGCAAGCUCCGAUUCAGAAAAGCAAAUUUACAAACAUAGAUAGGGUUUGAUUACAAGGGCUCGUCGGAGCAAUAUUCCAGAGACGAUUACAGGUUCGACCUUCGAUUACACGGGCUCCUAAGCUCGGCCCCCUAAGAUCCUACCUCACCCCUACUAUAUCUCCAAAAGUGGGCUCACGUGAGCCCCACGGGUGCGGCCCCGACGAGGCGGCGGCGCCGGUCAGUCGGAGUCGGAGGCGCCCCACCCCCUGUCGGCGCGGAAUUCCUCGAUGGCUUGGCGGAGGCGAAUCUCGUCGAGCUCCUCUUCCCUCAGCCGGUGCGCGGCGACCUGCUGGGCCUCUUCCUUGGUGCGCUCCAUAACCUCGGCGACGACACCGUCGAGGUCGCCAUUGUCGACGUAGUCUUCCGGCAGAAAGCCCUGCUCCUCCCCAUCCCUGUUCAGAGGCGGCAGCAGUGCGGGUAUAAUGGCGGAGCUCGCUGCAUAGCAGCCCGCGGCAGAGGAGCGCGCUGAUGUCAGCUGUGCUUCCCCGGCAACGGCGACAGGAAUAGUCAUGUCGACGGCACCAGGAAUCCUUCUGCUGCGGCUACGCCUUAAGGGACUUCCUAGGCAAAUAUGCAAAUGAUUUCCCCCAUGGCCUUGGAGCCUUGCGUUGGUGUUCCCUUGAAGCGGAAAGGAUGAUGUAGCACAACGGUGGUAAGUAUUUCCCUCAGUUUGAGAACCAAGGUAUCGAUCCAGUGGAGGAGUAUCACAAGAUCCUGCACAAACACAAAGAACCUGCUCCCAACGCUAUGAAGGGGUUGUCAAUCCCUUAUAGAUUGUUUGCCAAGUGAGAACUAAAAGCAACAAAGUAACAAAGCAAAGUAAAAGCAGAGGUGUAAACGAUAGAUGUGAAUAGACCCGGGGGCCAUAGUGUUUACUAGUGGCUUCUCUCAUGAAAGCAAGUAGACGGUGGGUGAAUAAAUUACUGUCAAGCAAUUGAUAGAACCACGCAAAGUCGUGAAGUCAUCUAUGGCAAUGAUUAUAUCUAUAGGCAUCACGUCCAAAACAAGUAGACCGAUACUGUCUGCAUCUACUACUAUUACUCCACACGUCGACCGCUAUCCAGCAUGCAUCUAGUGUAUUAAGUCCAAAAGAACAGAUUAACGCCUUAAGCAAGAUGACAUGAUGUAGAUGGACAAUCUCAUAUCAACGACAGAGCCCAUCUUGUUACCCUUGAUGGCAACUACUUAAUCUGUGCCUUGUUGCCCCUACUGUCACUGGGAAAGGUCACCACAUGGUAGAACCCAAAACCAAGCAUUUCUCCCAUUGCAAGAAUCAUAGAUCUAGUUGGCCAAACAAAAUCCAAGACUCGGAGAGACUUACAAGGAUAUCAAAUAAUGCAUAUAAGAAAUCAGCAAAGACUCAAGUAUAUAUCAUAGAUAAUCUGAUCACAAAUCCACAAUUCAUCGGAUCUCGACAAACACACCGCCAAAGAAGAUUACAUCGGAUAGAUCUCCUUGAAGAUCAUGGAGAACUUUGUAUUGAAGAUCCAAGAGAGAGAAGAACCCAUCUAGCUACUAACUACGGAUCCAUAGGUCUGAAGUGAACUACUCACGAGUCAUUGGAGGGGCGAUUAUGAUGAUGAAGAAGCCCUCCAACUCCAAAGUCCCCUCCGGCAGGCCGCCGGGAAGGGUCUCCAGAUGAGAUCUUGCGGAAACGGAAGCUUGCGACGGCGGAAAAGUAUUUUCGAGGCUCCCCUGAUUUUUUGCUGUAUUUUAGGGAAUAUAUAGGCAAAAGAUCUAGGUCAGGGGGCGCUCAGGGAGGCCACAAGCCCUGCCACCNNNNNNNNNNCAGUGUGAUAAUAUAUACAAAAAUACAUUUUGAUAUUAGAUAUAAUUCAUUAUGUAUCACGACCUUGUUUUAUAUUUGAUGAAGACCCCAGUUGAGUAAAUACUGAAUCAUGCAUAUUAUAGUUUGAAUUGGCCACAACUUCCUUUCUUGUAACGUAGGUUCAACCUUGUCCCAUCAAAAAAUUAUACAUCAUAUAAUAAGGAGGUAAACAUUCACUAGUAGAAAAAGGGGCUUCCGUCCCAGCUCAAUUUACACAUUAGUCCCGGUUCCAUUACGAACCGGGACUAAUGUUAGCAUUAGUCUCGGUUCGAACGGCAAGGGCGCCGGUCGGUCAUUAGUCCCGGUUCAAAAGGGACCUUUAGUCCCGGUUCGUUUCUCGAACCGGGACUAAAGGGUUUGGAGGCUUUAGUCGUGGUUCGUGUCUUGAACCGGGACUAAAGGGUAGACCUUUAGUCCCGGUUCGAGACACGAACCGGGACUAAAGGGGUUUUGUAUUUUUAUUUUUUCCUGUUUUUAAAUUUUAUUUCUGUUUGUAGUUUCUGUUUUAAAUUGCUUAUAUCUUUUAGGAUAUUUAAUUUUUUUUAGUGAUUCUUUUUGCAUUAGAUUCAAAAUUUUGUCUAGUUUCUGUUUGUGCAAUUAGUUCUUAAAUUUGAAUGGUUUAAAUUUGAAUUUGUUCAAAUUUGCUUCAAACCCAAAUUGUGAAUAACUUGAGUUUACAAAUAGUUUUUAAUUUAAUUCUUUUUUCUCCUAGUCAUCUGUUAGAUUGUUAUCACACUAAGAUUUAUUUGGUUAUUUUUAGAAUAAAUUAAAUUUGGAUUUUAAUUAAAACAAUAUUGUUUUGCUUAUAUAGUUGUUUUAGUCAUUUAAUUGUUGUUUAUUAUUAUUUUUAGUUAGUACUUUCUGUAGAUUUUAACAUGUUAUAGCAUGGUGCAUAUUGAAUGCAUAAAAAGUUUGGAAUUAAAAUCAUUUUAAUAAAAUGCCUUUGUAGCAGAUGGGUUUUCGUCUGAAACCUUGAUACUUCGAAGGAUGAUCCAGUUUGUACACGAAGUGCAUCCAGUUUUUAUCGUAACUCUCUCAACUUUUUAGCACAUGCCAUGUGGGUGAAACUAUGAUACCAUGCCAACUUUCAACCUUUUCAGAGUUCAUUUGUAGUGCUUUUCAAUUUCAGGGUCAAUUAGCUCAAAAAAGUAAGUAAAUGCAUGAAAAAUACCAAAUGAAGUCAGAAAAUAUUGAAAAUUUAUGAUGUGGCUUUAAAUGGUGUAUUUUAAACACACAAAAAGUAUGGAGUUCAAAAAAAUGAAAUCCCUUUGCAAUAGAUGAGUUUUCGUUCGAAACCCUGAUACUUCAAAAGAGAUUGUUCAUUUUGUACACGAAGUGCAUCCAGUUUUUGACGUAACCCUCUCAACUUUUUAGCACAUGCUAUGUGGGAGAAAUGAUGAUACGAUGCCAAGUUUCAACCUUUUCAGAGUUCAUUUGUCGGGCUUUUCAAUUUCAAGGUCAUUUAGGUCAAAAAAUCAUUAAAUGCAUGAAAAAUAGAAAAUGAAGUUAUAAAGGGUCGAAAUUUAGGAUGUGGUUUUGAAUGGUUUAUAUUGAAUGCACAAAAUGCAUAAAAUGUCUGAAGUUGAAAUAAGUAAAAAAAUAAAAUAUCUUUCUAGCAGAUGGGUUUUCGUCCGAAACGAUGAUACUUCGAAGGAGAUGGUCCAGUUUGUACACGAAGUGCAUCCAGUUUUUGUCGUAACCCUCUCAACUUUUUAGCACAAGCUAUGUGGACGAAAUGAUGAUACCAUGCCAAGUUUCAACAUUUUCAGAGUUCAUUAUAGUUCUUUUCAAUUUCAGGGUCAUUUAGCUCAACAUAGCAAAUAAAGUUAGAAAGGGUUAACUCUGGCUUGGUUAAACUUAGUUGUGAUUCUGGCGGGGACGGUGCUAGCAAAUGUAGUCGACGGGUAUGAUUAGACUCUUGGCUAAAGGGGGAUUCUGAAAUUUUCAAACUCUACCCUCCCUGGACCGUCUUUUUUAGUUUUGUAGAAAAUAAACAAAAAUGCUAAAAUCUUCAAAAAAUAAAAUCCUUUGAGAUGUAGUUAGGUUUUAGUGCCUAGUUGGUAUACAAAUUUUGAGAUAUUAAUUUUGACUGUUUUUUCAAAAAAGGGAAAAAUGUAAAACGGCCAUAACUUUUGCAUACGACGUCAAAAAAAAGUUUAGUAUAUCAAAAAAAACUAGAGAAAAUUUGGAAUCGAUUUCACCGGGGCUUGCCCGGUAAAGUUUUCUCAGAUGCUCAAAAUUCCAAAUGUAAAAAAGUUUUUUCCACAAAAAUAAGAAAAAAUAAUUUUAUUUAAAAUCUUUAGGUUUUUUUUAUUGAAAUUCACUAUUAUUAUUACUUAUUUUGUUUAUUUUAAUAAUUGUUUGAAUUCAAAAAAUUAAAUCAUGUGACAUGACAUCAAACCCUAGGUUGUUUAGGAUUGAUAGCUUACUAUUGUCAGGAGAACAACAAGUGCAGACUUGGCAACUAGGGGCGAUAGAACCAGGAAGUUAAGCGUGCUCGGGCUGAAGCAGUGAAAGGAUGGGUGACCGGCCGAGAAGUUAGACGAUUUGAAAUGAGUAAUCUCUGCUAGAGCGGUGAGGAUGGGUGAUUAGAGAUUAAAUUGUCAAAUAAAUCAAAGAUUUAAAAAUUGAAUUAAAACAUAAAAACAAAUCAAAGAAUAUUCAAAAAUAAAAUUUGAAAACUAAAUAAAAAGAUACCUUUUUGGGUCAAACAAACAAAAUAAACAGACGGAUCCUUUAGUCCCGGUCCGUGUUAAGACCCGUGACUAAAGGGCCUGCCCUUGAGGGCGCUCCGAGGCGCCCACGUGGAGCACCUUUGGUCCCGGCUUGGGACAGGGCCGGGACUAAAGGUUAGGCCUUUAGUCCCGCCUCUUUGGUCCCGGUUGGUGAACCGGGACUAAAGCCCCUUACGGGCCGGGACUAUAGGCCCUGUCCCCACUAGUGAUUCAACGUUCAUUGAUAAUAUUACUAAUGAAUAUUUUGUCGAUUAGAAAAGUACAUGUCAUGCAUAUGUUCUUAUUAGCUCUUGUAUUUUCCUGCUGGGGUGCUGGUUGCGUAUUGCUACAACUUGUGUUGCACUCAUGCCUAAUUCUUUUGCACUCAUGUUUCCUUUCCAAAUAGACUUCCCAUUGAUAUGGAGUCAUUUUCAGAUAUCUAUCCCGGUCGCGAUUACUCUUACGCCGGGAAGAAUUCAUCUAUAGCAUUUCUGGUUUCAGCAAAAGAAUCAUUCUGCUCUCCAACAACAUCUACUAUUUCCCCAUCAAACAAAACAAACAAAAACAAAUAGUAUGUCAAGGCAAAGGAUCAUUAAGGAUAAUAAUUAGAUAGAUAUCAAGAUCGUAAAAAAAACUUACAGUAGUUCUUUUUUGGUGAAGUCGUCCAGUGAACAUUUGUAAUAUCUUCGGAUGGAACUCGGCCUUCCAUCUUGUCGAUUUUACUUGAUUUUUUAAGCCAUUUUUUUACAACCACGCCUACAGUAUAAUCGUUAGACCAUUUUUGAGGUUGCCAAAUCAGAAAAAUAAUAAUUAAAGCAUAUACAAAUUUACAAAUAACUAUGAGACAUGAACAUAAUGAACAUGUGCUUUAUGUUCAGAUACGAUUGCCUUUCAUAGUGCAUUGUUUGGACAAAAACACAAACACCUUGCUUGCAAGAAAAGUAGAAAAAUCAGCAAGCUAUAAUCAGACCAAUGGAUCUGUAUUUCAUAUCGUUGUCAACAAGAAGAAUCACUUGCACAACAUUCUCCUGCAACAAAAUUCCCAAAGGAGCAAGAGUCAGCAACCUCACGUGUGGUCACUGGCACUGUGGUUAGCUGGCCGUAGAUGGAUGUAUAGCUCAUAUGAACCUAGAAUCACGGGGCGUAAACAAAUUUUGAAGCAAGCCAGAGCCUGCAACGAGACAAGGCUGGAGAUGCAAUCUGGAUACGUGGAGCUGAUUUGGAGCUGCUGCCGUGCUGGGUGUGGACGGGGGAUGAACCAAUGGAGCUCGUGGUGUGUGACCCACGGGCUAGAGAAAUUGGAUACAGAGCAUCCAUAUUCCAGGAGAUAAUUGGGAGGUUAGCAGGGAACCAAUUAGCUAGAGUGGCUAGCAUGGGUUGUGGAGUUCUCUAGAAGGGGUGACUCGUUUUCAGGUUUGGCAGGACUGAGUGGGUGGCAAAUCCGGGUGAUACGGGCCGCUCGAUCUAAUAAGAUGACAGUCACAGAUGGUUCCAUUCAGAAGUAGUGGGUAAAAAAUGAGAGAAGAAGGCAGAUUCAAAUGUUCGAGAAAUCGUGUACUAUAGUAGUAAAUAUGUUCUGACGCGGGCAUCGCAUACGAUUACUAGUAGAAUGCUCGUGCAUUGCCACGGGCUUUCAAAAUAUUUUUAAUAUAAAUAUAAUGUAUCUAAAUUUCACAUGUAGAGAAAAGAUAGCACGUGCAUAAUCGGAUAAUAAUUGAAGUCCACUUCACUUGCAACGUAAAUUGAUAACAAAAAUGCAAUUUGACCAUGUAUACAUAUAUAGCAAUUAUUCAUGAAUGUUGUCUUAAGAAAUUAAUAUAUACUUGAUGCCCUUAAUUAAGAAGUUAUCGUACAAUAUCAAGAAUGUUGUUCUUAAUUUUAUUCGCACGAUAUUUGAGUUAGUAUAAUAAAACUUCUUGCUCAACUCAUAUACAUCAUCCACAAGUAAUAUAUUAUUCUUGAAAUGUGUAAUGGAUACUACUCAUCGUGCAAACCGGUUCAUUACACCAGAGCAUAAAAUAAAAAACAUAAUAGCCAGACACAUACCUGCAAUUUCCUAAGUUAUUAUUAUCUUGAAUAUAGUAAUAAAAAAUGCUUGUAUUUUGAAUGUUAUGAUAAUGAAAUAAAUAAAUUUACCCGUCUAUGUUCGUUGGAAUAACAAGCAAAAAUAACUGUUGUCAUCUAAAUAUGUCGGUAUUCCAACCGAAUUUCUUUAUUUCGAUUGCAUCGUUGAAUUCCCUCACAAAUCAUGUGUCGCCAACCUCGGCCAGGGUUUCUACUUCUUUAAUAGUGCGAUCGCGAUUGGCGUUGGAGAUGCCCUAACUGUACUAACCAAGAAUCUUAGGUGCCUCUAUGCUCUAUUUUGUAGCAAAUCAGUGAUCAAGGCCCUAGAGAGGCGGGUUUGCACCGAACCAGAUAAAGGAUUUGCUGGGUUUAGUUUUGCGAUAACAUAGAACUGCAGAUAAUCCUUUUGUUCUUGCAUGUCCAAGAUAUUUAUGAAGAAAUACUAUGAGGUUCAUAUGACAAAUUAUCUUAUCAAAGAACAAUGGCACAAAGAGUGUUAAUUCAGUAAAUAUAUAUAACUCACCAUGACAGCAUAAUUCGAGCAUUCUUGCUCCUACAUCUUGUACCCUUAUGCAUAGAUUUGGUCAUAUCCUUCGCUUUCCUUUUAAUAAUAAUAGGGAGAGAAAAAAGAGAUCAUUCUAGGUAAAAAAAAUCCUUCUUUACAAAUUGUGACCUGGGCCAUGAAUGUUUAAAGAAAAUCUACAAGGCAAGAAGAAGCAACCACUCCUUCCGUUCAAUACACCAUUCAAUUAAAAUUACAUAGAUGAAACACAUUUUCUAGUCAAAAUCAUAUACUAUGUAACAACUCAUUAACUAAAUCAUUGAGUAUUUACAACGAUACACACAUGACUGAAAACUUCAUAACAAGUAGAUUAUUCUGUAUCGAUUCUCACAAAAAAAAAGAGAAGAGAUUAGCAUAGAUCCUGCGCAACAAGCUCACAAAUUUUGAACUUUUGACCCAUUAUAAAACUCCUCGAGCUUCAUGCUGGUUGUCAACUUUACCGGAAUCGAAUGGAGAUGAGGGACAAAAGUGGAAACUCAUCUACCGAGUAUUGAAAUUGACGAGACCCUAUUUGUGAGCACGGGGCGGCAAGCAGAUGAACACACCUACAACAUCUGCAUCAAUAUGUCAUCCCCGGUAGCAGCCUCAAAGCGGUACCUGGCAACGGCGUUGACGACGUCCCGCAACACACAUCCUAGAAGGGUUGAGCGCCAUGAAAUCAAGGAUUACGGUGAUGGAGUUCAAUGUGAGGACGACCCUCCCUCUGUAGCAAUCAUGGCGUCGAGGAAGGACCACAACAUGGUAGUCGGGAGAGAGGGUAAGACGGCCACGCGCGCGCGCGGGGGGGGGGGGGGGNNNNNNNNNNNNNNNNNNNNNNNNNNNNNNNNNNNNNNNNNNNNNNNNNNNNNNNNNNNNNNNNNNNNNNNNNNNNNNNNNNNNNNNNNNNNNNNNNNNNNNNNNNNNNNNNNNNNNNNNNNNNNNNNNNNNNNNGACCGAAGACACAGACGGGCGUUCUGCAUCAUCAUAUCACGCAAUCAAAUCAAAUCGCGAUAUGAUUUUCUAUGACAAACUUGCCUUCCAUGAAACGGGGCAGAUGGACAGGGAAAAGGCAAAGGUGGCAUGCAAUCAAAUCAGAACAAAACUUUCCUUCCGUGAACCAAACAAUAUGGGGAAAACUUGAGGGAAGGGAUGGAUGAUAGGAACGAAUUACGUAUCAUGACCUACUAUCAUCACAUACUCCUGCUUUAGGAGUAGAGAUGAUAAAAGGUAAAUAUUAUAGGAGUGGAGAUAUUGGUUGUUAGGAAAGGCAGGGAUACAUGUGUUAGGAAAGUUGGGGUUGAAAUUGAUUGCCGUGAAACUUAGUAUCGCUUGCUGCUCAUUUAUAACGUGUCAAGUUAGGAAAAUCUGUAUGCUAAGUAGACUUACUUAAUUGCACACACAAUUAGUUAUAUGCUUAUUAAUUGCAUUAAUAUUCUGAUUUCCAAAUUGAUAUUGUGCUUGAUUUCAUUAUUGUUUUUGCAUUAACGAAUCAAUUUCGUAAUUGAUUUGGCGUCAAAAAAAUCCCUACUUAAAUAGAGUUAAUUAAUAGCACAUCUAAGUACUCCCUCCAUCACAGUUUAGAAGACAUGAUUAAAUUUACAUGCAUUUUCACAAUAAAUAAGGUUUAGGGCGCAUGGCAUUUACUCCUAGCAGCUAAUUAGUACUCUCUUGUACUUCUAUAUGCAUGUGUACUGUGAAUGCUAUUUUUCAACCCAUCUCAUAGCCAAUCAAUAAACACCUAGGUUUCAGAGAAUUUUCAAGCAUGCCUUCUAAACCGCGACGGGGGAGUAAUUGUCUUCCUAUUAAUUGCAUUGAUGACUUGAUUUUCAACUUAUUUUGAUGUGAGAAAAUCAUUAUUGAAACAGACUUAAUUAAUUGCAUAUAUAAUUAAUUGUCUGCCUAUUAUUUGCAUCAAUUUCAAAUUGAUUCGCUGCUUGGUUUCUUUAUUAUUUUUGCAUUAAUACCUCGAUUUCCAAAUUGAUUCGGCGUAAAUAAAUCACAACUUAAACAAAUUUAAUUAAUUGAAUAUGUAAUUAAUUGUCUACCUAUUAAUUGCAUUAAUGACCGGAUUUCCAAAUGAUUGGGUGCUUGUUUUUUAAUUAUAUUUGCAUUAAUGGUUGGAUACCAACCAAGUACAAAUUCCUCUUUUAGGAGUAGAGAUGUUUUGUCAAUCCUUACAUUUUCUAGUCCUACUGCACACGGUUAUUACGUAACGUAUGCACCCCUUCCUCCACUGUACACCACCACAAGGUCUGAUUAAGAACUACGCUAGCAAAAAGGAUUUUUAAUCGUGUGCCAUGAACCACACAGCAAGCUUGUAAGAGCUUUCAGCUUACUCCGGCAAUUUUAUAUUUUUGCAAGGGUUGUUUUAAUUAAGAGAUGAACUUGCCCGUCUCUUAAAUAAAUAAAUGGAAUCCAAGCCAGUCUGAUUGAUUCAGUAAAGAAAAAGAGAAUGGCAAACAAUUGCCAGAGAGAAUGCCAACUACGAGCGCUCGGGGUUGCAUAUUGUAUGUAGGAGGUGGUAGCUUUAGAAAUUUAGAUGAUAGCCCACACAUUGCGGCAGGAAGAUGUUGUAAUACAUUUUAAUAAAAUUUAUUGUAUGAAAUAAUGGAUUAAUAAUAUAUGAAAAAGUUAAAAUGCAUAUGAUAUAUUGUAUUGCUUUAUUGUAGAGUUGAAAAUUAUUUAUUGAAUAUAGGUAGUCUAAUAUAAAGGAAUUUUCUCAAUUCAUGUUGAGUGGGCCUUUGAUGGGGUGGAAUGCGUGCAUGGCUUAUGUGUGCAUGUUGAAAUAAGUAGAAUUAGUGGGGAUUAACUAAUAAUGAAAAAUAAAUCUCAUGCAUGUUGUGGUGGGUCUUUGAUGAUGUGGCAUGUGUGCAUGCUAAGAUAAUAAAGGUAGUGUGAGUUAACUAUUUAGGUAUAUAUAGGAUGUCCAGUCAAGAUCUCCAGCGUUUUUCAGUAUGUGGAGUGUGAGAACGACUUGUCCUCUUGGCUUAAACCGACUUUGGGGAGGGUUAAAACCCCCUCUCCAAUCCGUGACUUCGGGUUUCCACCUAUAUACGCGGUGCUUGGAGCCCCUAGAACACACAAAAUCCUUUGGAGGUUGCCACAUUGCUAUCCCGGACCCGUCUUUCUCAACCCGGUCUAAUUGUUCUGAUGGAAUUAGACUCCUAAUUAUAUGGGAUCGUCGCUAGGAUAAUCUCUUUCUCUAGUUUUCUUGGAGAUCUUCUUCAUAGACAUCGAAGUGCUGCUGGAUUACUUGGACGCGUACAUGUGGCCGUAGUCGAAGGGGCGCCAGGUUCGGCAGUCCUUGACGCUACGUUGGCCGCCCACUUCCGGCUUGAAGGUGUCCGUUUGUGUCAUCGUACCGCCCGACCGCGUAGUAGUCCUCGUCAUGCUCAGCUUCAACACGUGUCUCACGGCGUCGCUCGCCGUAUUGCCCGUGUAGUUGAAGCGCCCCUCCUCCAUGCCGGACUCCGUCAUCGGAAAUAGGUUUGGGCACUCGACCAUGUUGAUCACGUGUGGCGCGUACAACGACAAGGCGUUUUGCUUCCAGCGCCGGAAGUCCUUGCUCCGGUAGAUGAGUGUGGAACCAAUGCCCAUGUUGCCGCCAACGAUUAGUGGAGCUAGGCAAGAACUCUUGGGGGGAGGGAGGGGGGGGGCUAAACUUAAAAUAGGGAUGUAUGAGGGUGUCAAAAGCAUAUGCUUUUCCUAAUCUGACCUCCCAUUUUUUUUUCUUCACGUAAUUUAAUCUUCACUUGGGGAGGGGGGGGGGCAUGGCCCCUCCAGCAAUCAACAUUUGGCGGCAGCGGCGAUGUGCCACAAGCCGCCGCUGCCUACCCACGGGGUGCUAGGAUCGCGAAAGUUGACGUCGGGGACGUCGGCCGGGUGCGGGAUAAUGGGGUUGUAGGCGGGCACGUUGUUGGCGUCGAUGACGGUGUAAAGCAUUGCUGGGACGCCGCCGGGGAGGAUUGUGGCGGAGCCAGACCAACAUCCGUUGGCGUCGAAGGGGGCGUUGGGAUUGAGCGCAGUGUCAAGGGCGGCGGGAGACGGAGUGACCCCAGGAGAGGUUACCGUUCCCCCACAUCGCGCCCAGCGGGUUGUACUGGUAGAACAUGUGGUACACGCCAUUGUGAUACACCAGCCCUGUAGGCACAUGCAAUGAAAAUGACUAGAUUCCCCGCAAAAAAUAUAUGAAAAUGAUUAGAUUCUUUUUUUUUUAGCAUUGUAUCAUUGUGUGGGGCUCUUUCAAACAACACACGCAAGCCGGAUUGGAGACAACAUUAAUUGGAGUAUAUUGACAAAAUAAAAAAUGAACUAAAUUACUGAAAGUACGUACAAAAUUUUAUAUAAUACUCCCUUCGUUUUAAAAUAAGUAUCUUAAGCUUAAUACAACUUUAUACUAUAGUUGGUAAAAGUUGGGACAGUUAUUUUAGAACGGAGGGAAUACAGUAGAAAAAAGUAUGGUUUUAGUCCCUCAAGUUAUCCAAAAGUACAGACUUGGUCCCUCAAGAUUUGUUUUGUAUACAUUUUGUCCUUUAAGUCUCAAAACCGGACAAGUUUGGUCCAAAAUCAGAUUUUAAGCAUGUUGACCUGGAUUUGACCUGGGUUUGCAGGGUUUGACCAUGUUGACCAAAUUUAAUCGAUGAACCAUAAAUUCAAGAAAAAUAGCAAACAGAAAACAAAUCUGAAAUUUUGUGACAACCAGCAUGCUUGGGUGCUAGGUGUGUGUAAACUUUUAUGGUCCAAUAACAUCGGGGGAGCUCUAGAAAAGAAACAAAUUUUGACCUUUUUGUGAGCCAAUUUUUCUUCACGGGCUUCUCAAAUAUCGAAACACCACACAAGUUUUCACACACCUAUUUGAAUGUGAGCCACAAAUUUUGAAUUUUUUUUGAAUUUUUUUUAAAUUUACUAUUCAUCAAUCAAACCCAGCCAAUCUAGUCAAACCUGGUCGUCAAACAUGGUCAAUCCCUAUGAAUGUGCUUAAAGCUGGAUUUGGACCAACUUAUCCGGCACUAGUAGAAAAAGGGGCUAUAGCCCCGGUUCGGUUGGGCCUUUAGCCCCGGUUCGUGAACCGGGGCUAGCAAGGCGGGACUAAUGCUAGCAAGGCCGAACCGGGGCUAAUAUUCCUCCACGUGGCAGGGCUGGGGCGAGAGGGGGGAGGGGUAUUAGUCCCGGUUCUUAUUACGAACCGGAUCUAUUGCUUCGUUGCUUUUUUUUAGCUCUUUUUAGGGUUUAGGGUUUUGCACUAAAUUGGAUGGGGCUAUUUUGUUGUCCCCUAUUUUCUCAUUUAUUUGUUUUGGACACUUUUUAAUUUUUGUUUUGCACUAAAUUGGAUGGUACAUACACAGAAAUAAAGAACAACUAUAUUGCACAUCAUCGUCACGAAUAUAUUAUACCAUCUAAUCCGUCGUGCUUUGUCGAACAUAUUACAAAAUGUAGACACGAGUUACACAUGCACAUAUGCAUCUUUUUACACUUUAACAUUUCAUCUGAAUUGCAUAGACGGGCAAUAAUAUUCUCCCUUCACAUCUAGGACCUCUGCAUCUAAGAAUUCAGCAAUUUCCUCUUGAAUUGUUCGUACACGUUCCUGUGGUAGAAGACCGUCCCGCAACCGUUCGAUCUAAUUUAAAGAAGGGGUCACUAUAUCAAUGAAACUGAACACAAUUGACGGUUAUAAAAUAAAGUUGUGAGUAUUGUUUAUCGUACUUUAAUUUUUUUUAUGUCCCGGUUUUUGCCCGUCUCAUGGGUCGUCUGGCGAAUGAACUCGCAAACAUAGUAUCCACAUAAAUUGUUCCCAUGUUCCUGCCUCAAGCACUUUACGAAAACAGAGUUCAAUCAAAAACAUAAUCAAGAAUGAUAAUGGUAUUGAAACUAGAAUAAAGAGAUGCGCGGAUCUAGCUAGUAGUUAGUUACAUCCAUUUGUCUAAAUGUAAGCUCUGGCUUCCAAACACCCCGACACUUGGCGGUGAACCGUUUCCAAGCCCUGCCAAGAAAACGAAAUGAAUAACAGAGUUCUUUAUUAAUUGCUUGCUAUCAGGGAAUGAACGAAAAGUUGUCGAUAUAGUGCCAUAAUGAUUGAAAUUACCUCUGGAGACAUUCCUGCAUAUUCGCCCAUUCAGCGAGGGGUGUGCGUUUCGGGUCCAUGACUUUUACUAGUCCCUUGUCAGGAACAAUGAUUAACAGAAUAAAAUGGAACAUGCGCAUGCAUAACGAGUCAAUUAUACACUUAUAAUAACGUUGAGUAAUCGAAAAUAGAAUGUGUGUAGUAACACUCACUUGAAGUUGUAAGGAAAUAGUAUUUACCUUUUGGUACCGAAAAACCUUAACCCUUGUACCAAGUUAUUCUUUGUCUCGCGGGGAUUCAUUGCCAGACUUUGGUGAUGAAUGAAAUAUGGGUCAAUGAACCCAAUGUCAUAGAUUCGUCCUCUUUUGCAUUCGACAAUCUACAUUCUGCAAAAUUAAUAUAGUGAUGAGUAAGAUCAUACAUGCAAGAAAGAGCUGAGUAAGACUUAAUGACAUAAAUUCAUAAUACUUACAAACAAUAGGCACCGAUGAUAGAUUUGUCGAGGGCGUCUUGUUUGUAUAAUUGAAAUAAUUCGUCGAAUUCAAUCAUUAGCACAGCUUCUCCAUGCCCGUAAUGCUCGUCUUUAUAUGCACAGUAGAUCCAGUUUUGCUGUUCAGCACAUGCUCACAUGUAACAAUCAUGCAAUAUUCGUAUUUUUGUUGAUACCUCGUUGACUAACUCAGGUUUGACGAGUGGAGCCCCGUGCCGGUACACGUAUGUUAUGUCAGCGAAUUCCUGCGUAUGGUUUAAGUACUCAUCAAUAGACAUGCCAUGAGCCCUGGGCGCUUCUCCGUAUAGUGCAACAAACUCCGGAUUGAUACCAGAUGUUUCAUCAUUCCUCUGCUCGACCGCAGCUCCGCUCGAGCACACCUUUGUAUCGGAAUACACUUUGAGCGGGGGGCACGAUUGGUUUUUCUGUUGUCCGAGCUGGGCAACUGAUUUCUCGUUAGACGUACUACUCUCCAAUCGCUGCUUUUUUUCCUGAGCUGACUUGAGAAUAGAGCGUUCAUAGUCUACUCGCAACGGUGGCGGAGGAUCUGCAAGGGUUUUCAGCAUUUUCACGCACGCAGCGUGAUCUUCUUGCUGUGAGGCCUGAAAGAUAGCUGAACCUGAACCUAAACCUGUGAAUUACGAACGGGAAAGUUCCCCUGAUUUUAGAACAAGAAAAAAAACAUUUGCCAAUGUAUUGGCGUAUUGCAUAGGGCCUAAAAAAACGUCUUAUAUUUGUUACGGAGGGAGUAGUUUGUAUCAUAUGAGUAUCUUUAGCAGACCUGUAUAAUGCUCCGAUCUGCAAAAUAACCGCCAAAAUACGGGUGACGCGAAAAAUGUUGUUCGACACGGAAAAAAUUUUGUGGGAUGCGGCAAAACUUGCCUUCAACCUUUAGAUUCACGGGGUGGGAGGUCGAUCCGAGCUCGCCCCCUAUCCGCGAGGAGAUCUGGCGUGAGGGAAAUUUUCGCGCGGACAUUCCCCGCUCCCCCCUCGGCAGCCAUUGCCUCGCCACCGCGUCCUCUGGUGCAUCUUCCCCACCAUUCUUCGCCGCCAUGGAAGCCUCCUAGCCGUCCGACCCCAACGUGGAGGUCGCGCACGCGCAGUCCCCUUCAACUCAUCUCGUCACCGGCCAUGUCGCCCCCGUCGUCUCCCAAGACACCAACGCGCCUGCCCGCAAGUGGUAGGGCAACGUUGUCGUGCAGGGCGGCAAUCCGGCUGGCCGAGCUGGACAUGAACGCGCGUCGGGCGCCACCGCUGCUGCGAGAUCUGCCCGACCGCCGGCGAAGAAGAUGAGCAAAGUUUCGGGCGUGAAGCGGAAGAAGGUUCCUACGCUAAGGCUAGCGCCUUCGUCUGCUCCCUCUGCCCCGGCAAGAUGUUCCCCGAUGGUGCCUUUCAACGGCGCUGCUUCCACCGCAGGCGAGAUGUUCGAUGAAAUGGCCGGAAGGCAUGCAUCUUCCAUCCCUGUAUCUUGCUUCGCUUUUCGCCAUUGUGGUAGCUCGUGACUUCAUGUCACUCGAUGUAGUGGUGGUUCGAACAAUGUCGUUGUCGAUUUCGUGAACUUGUUGGACACCAAGGCCAUUGACAUCGAUCAAGCCCAAGUGGAAGAAUCGAAGAUCAAUACUUCCGCAUGAUGGCCAAGCAUCCCAAUAGGACAGCACGGACCUUUCAGUCACUCCAAGGUCGUUGGGACAUGAUUAAGCCGAUUUGUAGCCAUUGGACAGCUUGCUUGGAACAAGUUUGCAAUGCACCUCCAAGUGGAACCGUGGAAUCCAAAUCUGUGACUUUGUUUUCACGUCCCAAGUUAUGCCCACCAUUUGCAUCAUAUGAAGUGAUUGCAUCAUUUGACUUUGUUUUAAUUGUGUAGGCAAAAUUGCCCAACAACGGUACAAAGACAUGGAAGCUUUCGAAGGUAAAAAAUUUAAACUAGAGCAUUACUGGGAUAUGCUCAAAUACUGCGACAAGUGAAAUUUGAUUGACAAAGAAUCCCCAUCAAAGAGAGGUUUACUUAAGAACAUAUAUGAAGAUGAAGACGAUGAUGACCUAAGAAACUUGAACAAGCCCGAUGAACUCGGAGGUGGCGAUGACCUCGAUGAUGCGGAGUGAAGAGUGAUCAAGAUGAUGACGGACGUGGUCGUCGCUUUUGCAUGAAGUCCAUUUGAGUUUGUCUUAUAAAACUAUGCUUUUAUUUGCACGCGAACUAUGUUUUAUUGUUUGAAUUUGAAUUCAUUUAUCGGAAUCGCUGUCAAAUUCAUUUAUUGGUGGUUUUCGGUUUGCAGGUCGACGCGGCUUCGUCCAAGCAGACCCGUGUAGCCGACCUGUAAAAAACAUCUUUUACGAAUAUCCUUUUAUCCGGGUCCGUUUUGCACGGCGCGACUAUGCCCUCGCCUGCGCCAACCCACAAAACCGUUUUUUCGCAAACUGUAUACGCGUUUUACAUCAUUAUACCAUUAACUUUCCUCCAAAAGGCAAAACUAUAAAGGCACCGCUCUGCGCCGGUGCGCCGGCGCGAACGAUUCGGCCGGUCGACCUAAGACCGUACGAUUCCUAAGCUGCAACGACGGAUAGCCAUCGGAUAUGCCUUCGCGCUUUGUUCUUCUUCUCUAUCGUCUUGCAGGGCUGCACAUCCGAGCAAGAGGACACUGCAGCGCGCGCCAUCAACCCCCGCCCCUACACCCCGGGCUCACCGGAGCAUCUCAUCGGCGCUCGCCGGAGCUGCUCGUCGGCUUGGCGGUUGCCCGAUGGUGCCCCGUAUUUUUCUCGUCGGUCGCCGUCCUCGCCUCCGAUCGCCGAUCGUCGUAUGUCUAUAACCUACGAACAAAAAACAACUAAGCUCGACGUCGUACUCGCCAUGCGUCCAUCGCAGCACCGCCAUGCAGCUCCGUCGCCACCGCUCGCCAUAGUCAGCUAGCCAUUCUUCGUUUGAAGCUUUUCCCGAUGUAGGUUGCAGCUUUUUCUAUGCCGCUUGAAACUUUUCUUACCGUCGAUUGAAGCUUUUUCUAUGCCGGUUGGAGAUUUUCUCACCGCCGGUUGAAGCUUUUUCUAUACCGGUUGGAGAUUUUCUCACCGCCGAUUGAAGCUUUUCCUAUGUCGGUUGAAGCUUUUCUUACCGCCGGUUGAAGCUUUUCAUAUGCGUGUUGAAGUUUUUUUUCAUGGCUGAAGCUUUUCCAUGGGGGUCUGAAGAUUUUCCACCAUGCCUGUUGAAGCUUUUUCCACCACCGGUUGUAACUUUUCCUAGGCCGGUUGAAGCAGUUUUCCAUGUCCGGUUGAAGCAUCGGUGUCCGUCUCUUUUUGAUUGUGGCAUCCAUGGCUGCUGGUUGUAGCAUUCAUGGCUGCUGGUUCCAGCAUCACCAGACACCGGUCCAGCAUCACGGGCCGCCCCCCGGUUGCAGUAGCCGCGAGAAUCUGGUUGCAACUUCCCAUCAGAGGCCCUAGGGCUCAUCUCGUCCUCCAUGACACGUCAUCGGUUCUAUCAUGGCGCGUCGUCUUGCAGUACAUCCCUGCGCAGGAGAGAGAAGAAAAGAACAAAAGAAAGAAGAGAACCAGUGAAGAAGAUGCUCGCGAAAGAAAGAAAAAAAAAACGGUUCGUGAUGGACCCAGAUGACGCGAGGCGCAUGAUUAAACGGGGAUCGAACGCACGACGCGCGUCCGGCUCGGCCGGACUGCCGGUUAUAAACGUUUCCGAAACUAUAAUCUCUGAAGCUAUCUAAGGAUGCAGUACUCACACUUCUCAUUCCUGACACAGGUUGUGUUGCGCCAACACAUCCCCCCUUGAAACAAAUAUGUCACUGCCGGCAAUCCGAUUCUCAUCGCCCGUGCACCAGAUGUUCACCGUCGCCGAGCUCCACCUCCCCGGCGCUGCCGGCUUCCCCGAACAGGAACUCGAUCUCCUCGAGCGUCUUGCCGCUCGUCUCGGGCACGAACCAGUGCACGAACGCCACGGACAGCGUCGAGACGGCCGCGAACGCCGUGAACGCGCCGGCCACGGACACGGCGCGGCAGAUGGACAGGAACGACAUUGCCACGGCGCCGCUGGUCAGCCGGUUCACCGCCAGGCCGAGCCCCACAGCCUGCGCGCGCAGCCUCAGCGGGUAGAUCUCCGAGCUCAGCACCAUGUUGAUGGGCCCGAUGCCCACCGAGAAGAAGGCCACGAAGCCGCACACCGUCAAUAUGGCCAGCGCGAUCGCCACGCCGCCGGGCAGCGUGCCGCGCGCCAGCAGGGAGAGCGUCGCGGCGAGCACCGCCAGGCACGCCGUGAUGCCGACGGUGCUGAUGUAGAGCAGGGGCUUCCGGCCGACGCGGUCGACCAGAAGUAUGGCGAUCACGAUGAUGAUCGUCUUGGACAGCCCGACCGCGACGGUGGCGGCCAAGAGGUGUCCCUCCGUGGCGAUGCCGGCGUCCCGAAAUAUGGUCGGGCUGUAGUAGACGAGUGCAUCGAUGCCGGUGGCUUGCUGGAAGAACUGGACACCAAGACCGGCCACUAGCAUCCGGCGGAUCACAAGCGACGGCCUCAUAAUCUCUCUCCAAACCGCUUUGCCGGCGCUCGUCACGCGCGCCGACUCCUCGAUCUCGGCGAGCCUCUCCUGCGCCUCGUCCUCGGUCUCCGUGACGGUGAGGAGCACGGCACGCGCCUCGCCGGUGCGCCCCUGCAUGACCAGCCACCGUGGCGACUCCGGGAUCACCGUGAGCACGUAGGCGACGGAGAUGGACGGGAGGAUGCCGGCGGCGAGCAUGACGCGCCAGUUGACGUGGUCAGGGAGGCCCGCGAAGGCGAGGUUGGAGACGUAGCCAAGGAGGAUGCCGAAGCUUAUGAAGAUCUCCGGCAGGGAGGCGAGCGAGCCCCGCAGCGCCGCUGGCGAGAUCUCCGAGAUGUACACCGGCGCGACCAUGAGGCCGAACCCGAUGCCGAUGCCGGCCAGCAGCCUCCCGGCCAUGAGCGCCGCGAAGGACGGCGCGAGCGCCAUCACGGCUGCGCCGGCCUGGAAGAUGGCGGCCGCGAGCCCGAUGGUCCGCUUCCGACCGAUGGCGUCGGACGUCCUGCCAGCGGCCAGGCUGCCGAGGAGCGAGAUGAAGCUUAGGCACCCGACGAGCACCUCCUGUUGCACCUCGUCGAUGUGGAGGUCCUUCUGGAUGAAGAUGAUGCAGCCGCUCAUCACGCCCACGUCUGCAGAGACAGAGCAACACAGCGGAAUCUUCGUCAGUCAUCACCACCGAUCUGCAUCAAGAAAGAUCACUGAGGCUGAGCUCCGCUGCUCACCGUACCGUAGCCGAGCAGGACGUGGUUGAGGGAGGCGAAGACGGAGCAGAGGAACACGUGUCUCCUCGCACCGCCGCGAACACGGACACCGCCGCCAGCUCCGUCCUCCUUCUCCACCUCCGGCUCCGGCUCCGGUGGGAGUACGUCGUCCAUGCGCACAUACCUACUCUUCCUCCCCAAGAACCCCGGCAUGCCGGCGCCGUCGCCAACGCCAGAAUGCCUCAUGGAAGCUCUGCCUAGAGCUGCGCCCCCGUCUUCCAAGAUUUAGCGUGGACUGUGAAUGGCAGCAGCGCCGGCCAUGGAUCUGAUCUGAGGAGAAACCGAGGAAUUUCAUAUUCAGAUGAUACUUGUUUAGUCCCAAGUUGGCAAAAGCGAUGCUUUUAUAUGGUUCCAGUGCUUUUCAGGCACGCGAUCGCUAUCACGCGCCAGGAGUCUUGACAAAAAAAUUUGAACAGAAGUUCUUGUGUCAUUCCCAAAAUUAAACACGCCAACAUACACACAUUCCCAAAAUUGUGUGAGUCUAAAUACCUGCAGUGCAUAUGAUUGCUCGUGAGCUAUCAGUUAGGCUAACCAUUGCUACUUGCACUGAAUAUGGGCCGAAAGCCGGAAGGAAGCGGCGUUUUGGCUCUCGGGUCCAGUUGAUCCUGCUAUAUGUGCCGACCAGGUUUGCUUUAUGAUCCGUGCAAUGCAUUAUUGAUUCGGAUUUGCUUGUACUCAGCUAGCUGAGUUUUGUCUAUGGGCUCAUUACACUCUCCAAAAGGGAAUGCGAGACCGCGCGCUCGCCUAUGCCACGUCUCCAAUUUACUGUAUCAAAGUAAAUAAAAAAAGCGAAUGACAGAAUAAAAAUACGUCUGAGAUAACGCCUCCACCGGAUAAAAUUUAUUUCCUUGCCUUCCUCACGAAGCCAACCGCCCUGGAAUAAUGUGAUUCCGCCUCAUCCUCUUUCCAACCCGACGCGUCAACUCGACAGCCCCGCUCCCUCGCCGCCGCCGCACGCUGGUCCUCUGUCUCUGUGCGUCGCCUCCUCUUCCUCCACGACACCUCCGCGUACUCACAGACGACAGCCGCUGGAAGCACCUCCGUCGUCAUCGUCACCUCCACCAGUUCCAUGAUCUGGCCACGCCACCGGGAGAAAGCCGUUUGCGGCGUUGUAGCGCCGUCGGGGAGCUGCGCAAGGGCCGGGGAAUCGCCGGGGAUGCCGACAGUGCCUCAUCUCAUCUCUCUCUCUCUCUCUCUCUCUCUCUCUCUCUCUCUCUCUCUCUCCCCCCUUGCAGGAACAAAGAGUUGUGCAGCUGGUGGUGUCUUGACCAAGGAUUGUCAUGAUGAACAUCCAUUGAUGGCACUGCCUCCUCCUCCAUAUCCUGCCCAGGUAGAGCUACCACUUCCUCCCACAUAUUCUCGAUAUUUAUUUUGAUUUAUUACCCCUUGGGUUAUAUUCUCUGAGAUCAGUUCAUCCCCAUGUUACAGUAAUUCCCAUUUCCCCUCUUCCUAUUUCUAGAUUGUUAGACGUGUUAUUAGGUUAGUUAGUGGUUUUUCCUUUAUCAUAGGAUGGCAUCUCUGUUUACUAAGAUGAAUUAAGCAGGCUGGAGAUGACACUACGUAUUAUUUGCCCAUCACAUGUUUGUUGUAAUGUCAUACUUAAAGUGAGGUUUCUUUCCUACUUUGGAUAGAUUUGCUAUCUAUUUUCUAUGGAUGUGGCAAGUUACUUAGGAUGAUAAAGUGCCUCUGGUUAAAAUUUGGAGUUCAUCUCCAAAAUUUAAGGAUGGUAGAUUGUCCGUGCUCAGGUCCUAUUCUUUUUUUGGUUUCUUCUUGCCUCUAAUGCAUCUUCAAAUUUUGUUUCUUGGGCUAUUUUGGCUCCUUGUUGGGUAUUUCAAUUCUUGGAUUUUUUAGCUUUUCUUCUUCUUUGCUUCAGAUUCACCUGAUUGAGUAUUCUUUGUGUACCACCUAAUUUGUUUUGCAGGUACCUAUCUUUGGUGUUGAUUGUCGCCUCACAUUUCUGUCACAGCUUUGGUUAAUAGUAGCAGAUAUCUUGGAAGUUUAGUUAACUGCUUUGCCUCCAACCCCAUUUCUUUUAUUUAGGUUUUUGAUGCUAUGGAUGUAUUGUUUGGUGUCGCUUGGAUUCCGACCUUCUGUACCGGGCACAAAAAAUAUAAGAUGACACAUGGACACAUCGCAAAUGUGGAUAGAAAUAUAUGGUGGUUUGUUGUCACAUGUAUGCUACAUCUGUAAUCAGAAAUUCAGGUCAUACAAGUUUUUUGGUCUUUGCAUUUGUUUGACUUUUUCCUUUAGGAAGUAAUUGACUUUUUGUUAAGAGUUCAUCAUUGUAAGAGAUCUCAAUUUAAAGCAGCGGUUAAUUACUGACAGUAAAAUAAUUCGGCAUCAUGAGAUUCUUCUAUUGUCGGUUUGCCAUCAGUUUUAAGGCCAUGCCAUCUUAUUAAUCUCAUGAUGGAAGAUCGCCUCAAUACACAAGUUGCUGGUGUACCGAAGCUCUGUUGUUGUAUUUUGUAGUUUAGCUUACUCUGUCAAUGGAAAUUGUUUCGAUGUGAUUUUAACAGUAUCAGUUAGACUAAUGGACUGACUUAGAUAAUGAUCCCAACCUUUAUUAAGUCUCGGUACUGUUUAGCUAGCUAGCUUACUAUUAAACUUGCAUGUACUAUUAUAGGUGAUUUUUUUCCUUUUGCAAGGUGCAACUGCGAGUGCAUAACAGACUAAUAUAUUUAAAUUGUUAAAAUUGAACUAAUGAAAUCGUAAUGUGUAUUAAUCACUGGGGUGGGUUAAACUCAAUCGAGAAGAACACCAAACUGUUAAUGCCAUCAGUGAUCAACUGGCACAUUUCAAAAAAUUAUUUUAUAUGUAUGCUUGCAUUUAUUUCAUCUUACGAAAUAGAAGUAGUACAUCACCAGAAGUGUUGAACAACCAUAAGCGUGCACCACUACUAUAAGUGUUGUUAGUUGAAUGUGCACAUCUCUUGUGUUUGAACUGAUAAUGUAGUAAGAAAUGUAGAACUUGCUCAUGAUCCACAUGACAGAACCAUGUUCAUAGGAAAACAUAAGUGGUGCAUCCAUCUACCUCCUUUCUUUAUAGUACUAAGGAUAAUAUUUACCCUACCAAAAGAAAAUAGUUCAUUACAUUGUUAAUACCAGUUGCUUGGUUGAUUAGCACAAUACAAUAUAGUUCAGAGAGCCCUGUGGUAUUUGUUUAUUCAGUGGAGACACUUGAUAGGUGCGGAUUCAGAAAACAACAAUUGAUAGAUAGGGACGAGCCUUGCAUAUUUAUGAAAGAAAAUCUCGCUCUAGGCCCUGGUCUUUCUUUUUUGCAGUGUGCAGCUUUCAGUUUCUUUUCAAGCACCACAUUUAAUUACAUCUAGCUAAUAUCACUGGUCUACCCAUUGCCUCAUGUAUAUCCUUUGCUGUAAACAUCUUUCAGAAUACUCUGUUUUGGUGACUCAAGAAAGAAAGAAACCCAAGAGCUCCUGAUAUUUAUGAGAAACCAUAUGAUGAAUACCUGAUAUAUUACACAUUGCAUGUAUCUGUUACAUCCUGAUUGUAAUAUCAGCCACAGGUCACACACAUGGUUUGUUUUCUGUCUCUAUGUUGUCACAUUGAUGGACCGGUAUAACCGUAUAAGGUAUAUGCAAAUCUGCACACAUCUUGACAUAUCUGCAUACAUGAAUGACUAAUACUGCCAUUUCCCCAUUCUCUUGCUGAUGUUUACAUAAUACUUUGCCUUUUCAAGUCUACAAAUGUUUUCUCCUCUACAGACCUAGAGGGAUGCGUCCCAGGACAGUCAAUGCCAUGUUUUCAUUGUACUAGAAAAACUGAUUGUCCUGAUCAGUUUUGUUCAUACCCUUAUCCUGAAGAUAAAAGACAAUAUAACCCGGUUCCCAACAUUCAAAUUUCGUAAUCCAACUUAAGUAGUUAAACACUUUGAGUUGUUCUCCUUAAAGUUACAUUAUGUGCCAUUUAAUCUAACCGUUACGAUCAAAUUGUAUCCAGGGUUAGGUACCCAGAUCGUAUUUUAAUACGAGGAAAUCAUGAGCAAGCAGAUCAGACAAGUGAGGGACCUUCCUCAAGUUGGAUAUUUCUUAGUAGUGUUACGAUAGUUGUCAUUUAUUCUUUGAACUCAUGCAUUGCUGCAGGUUUAUGGAGUCUAUGAUGAGUGUCUUCGUAAAUACGGCUCGGUGAAUGUGUGGAAAUGUUGCACAGAAAUAUUCGACUAUUCAAGGUAAUAUUUCUAUGUUGCUUUUAUAUUGCAUAUGGUAAUACUAUGAGGCUGCUACUUUAUUUCUUUGAAUUAAAAUCCUAAUAUGCAAGAGCUGGUGUAUUUGUUAUUUUUAGUUUGUCUACACUUAUCGAGAACAAAAUCUUCAAUGUCCAUGGAGGCCUUUCCCUUGCUAUUACGACACCGGAUCAUGUAAAUUACUCUCCAGUGUUAUAUUUUGUAGUUCAUGUAUUCGAUUUCUAUUAUGUUAUUACCAUGUGCGCCCAACAGAUCAGAAUAAUAGAUCGCAAGCAGAAAAGUGCCUCAUGAUGGUGUGUGUGACCGUCUUUGGUCUGAUCCAGAGGGUGUUGUAGAUGGGUGAGUAUUAAGUCCUCGAUUUACUAUUGUAUCACCAUUUCGUUUGCAAAAGAAAUUUUGGCAUAAAAAAUUGCCGGUUUUAUGCAUGUCAAAGAACAAACAUUUUUGCAAGGAAAACUAAAUAGAAAUGUAGUUUGUUUACCAUUGCGUGCACUUCUAUUUGCAAUAUGAUUGAAGAUGCAAAGAAGGGUUUGAUUUCACCUCAUGUAACUACACUGAUCAAGAUGUACACUGCCAGGAAGAAGAUCCGGAAGAACAAGGGCGUCGAGCCCUCUGAAUUCGAGGCUACCGUCGCGCAUGUGAGUUUCUAUCUUGCGCCCCUCUCGUCGCUGCCUUUUUGCCAUUCAUGCGUUUCGUUUCUGUAUUUAAAACUACUCUUUCGUUUUGUUUUGUCAAGGUUUCACAUGUUUGUGUUGUUUAAUAUCUCUGUAGGUUUUACUUCACUCGAAGAAAGGCAAUCAAGAGCUCAAGGGUGACCUUAAGGACAUGUACAUCAACGCUGCAAUGUAAGUAGAUAAGCCAGAUGGAUGUUGUUGGAAACAGGAGGGCCGUGUUGAUCUAUGUGUCUUACCGUCUGCGCAAGGCCUUCAGGAAGAUCCACGACGGAUUCUUUUGCUCUUUACGUUAUCCACUCUUCCUGUUCUAGACCAAAUAGAUCGGAUUUAUUUGUCGAUUAGUUUUUAGGCAUCUGCGUUGUUGCGACGUUCAUGGUUGUUGAUUUCAGUCCGCAGUAACCAGUUCUUGCCUCUUGUUAGUAUUUUUGCAUGCAAUUUGCUGUGUUGACUAGAGGAAAGGUUGUCUGUGUCUUUGAUCAGUCAUCCGUCUUAUAAUAUUGUCGCCUCUCUGUUAAUAUAGACCUAUGAGCUUGCUCUACUUUAUGAGUGAACACUCUGCUGCUGCAGUUUUCAGCAAUCGUCACACCAGUUAACCAGCACUUUCAUAUACAUGUAUUGCUAGCUUGCUCUGCUUUAUGGCUGAACGUUGCAGCUUUAUUAAAUAUAUUUUUAGCAACUGGCGUUCAUGUGAACUGCACACAAACGUUAACAACUAAAACAGCUAGAUUAGUGCCCAAACUCACGCCUCUUGAGGCGCGCCCCUGCCACUAGUUCACGUCAACAACCGUUCGAUAGGAGAGCAAGCCGAAAUUCAUGUUUUUGUGAAGAUAUGUGGGCGUAGGCUGUUAUCUGAUAUUUCUUUUUUUUGCUCGAUGCACGCUUGGCCGUUGGACCCGUUUGUACUAGGGCGGGGAGCUAGUUGUGUUAUGCCUUUGUCGUUGCUUUUUGAUGAGAAUGGUAGAUAUCUUGACUGGAUGAGCCCUGUUUUAAGUUAAUGCACCGUGCAUAACACAACCAGCAACGAAAGAUUCAAGGCAAGUCUGUGAGCUUUUUUCUACCAUUUCUCCACUCACUCACUCAAAUCUGAUUUAAUUUCUUUAGGGAUCACUCUCUAAAAUAUGAAUGUAUUAUUUUCUAUUAAACUUUUUUCCUUGUUUCAUUUUUUCUUCGUAACUUUAUGUUAUCGGCUUUGUUAAAACUCAGCUAGUUGAGUUUUAACUACGGUCCAGUCACUUUUUUAGCCCUCCGAUCACGUUAAUAUUUGUGAUGGCUUUGAGCGGCCGAUGUGUGGCUCAUCUGUACGAGGAGCGACCCAUGCCCGCUAUAAUUGCGUGUUUUUAAGGCGGGGUUGCAAUUGCAUAUUUUUUAAGAGGUGUCGCAACUUCAUGUUUUUAAGAGGGGUCGCAACUGCAAGUUUUCGAGAGGGGGCGCAAUCGCAUAUUUUUUCAAGGCGGGUUGAAGCAGCAUGUUUUCAAGAGGGGUCGCAACUGCAUGUUUUCAAGAAUGGUCGUAAAUGCAUGUUUUCAAGAGGGGGGCGCAACUACAUCUUUUUUCAUGACGGGGUCGAAACUGCAUGCUUUCAAGAGGGGACGCAACUACAUGUUAUUUAAGAGGGGCAGCAAUUGCAUGCUUUUCAAGAGGGGUUGCAACUCCAUGUUUUCAAGAGGGAGUUGCAACCGCUUCUUUUAUCAAAUCGGAUCCAAGCUGCAUGGUCGCAACUGCGUGUUUUUAAGACGGUGUUGCAACUGCAUGUUUUUCAAAAGGGGUCGCAACUGCAUAAUUUUUAGGACGGGCUGCAAUUGCAUGUUUUCAAGAGGGGUCGCAACUACAUGUUAUUUAAGGGGGACCACAAUUACAUGCUUUUCAAGAGGGGUUGCAACUCCAUGUUUUCAAGAGGGAUCUGCAACCGCUUCUUUUAUCAAGUCGGGUUGAAGCUACAUGUUUUCAAGGUGGGUUGCAACUGCGUGUUUUUAAGACGGCAUCGCAACUGCAUGUUUUCAAGAGGGAUCGCAACUGCAUAAUUUUUAGGACGGGCUGCAAUUGCAUGUUUUGAAGAAGGGAUCGGAACUGCAUGUUUUCAAAACAUAUCGCAACUCCAUGUAUUUCAAGGAGCCGCAACUGCGUGUUUUUAAGACGGUGUCGCAAGUGCGAGUAUUUUAAGGGCCGUCACAACUGCAUAAUUUUUAGGACGGGCUGCAAUUGCAUGUUUUCAAGAGGNNNNNNNNNNGUCGGAACUGCAUGUUUUCAAAACAUAUUGCAACUCCAUGUAUUUCAAGGAGCCGCAACUUGCAUGCUUUUAAGACGGUGUCGCAACUGCAUGCUUUUCAAGAGGGAUCGCAACUGCAUAAUUUUUAGGACGGGCUGCAAUUGCAUGUGUUUUAAGAGGGGGUCGAAACUGCAUGUUUUCAAAACAUAUCGCAACUCCAUGUAUUUCAAGGAGCCGCAACUGCAUGCUUUCAAGGCAUGUCGCAAGUGCAUGUAUUUUAAGGGUUGUCGCAACUGCAUGGUUUCAAUAAUUUUGUUAUAUUUAUAUUUUAUUUUUAUUUUACUUUUCGAAAAAUCAUGAAAUUUUUUUGUAGAAGGCUUCGUACAUUUUGAGAAGUUUUUAUUGUCCCCCAAAUUGAUGACUUUUAAAAAUCGUGAACUUUUUUGUAACAUUUAUGAUUUUUUAAAGUUUACCAACUUUUUUUUAAAUUCAUGAUCAUUUUUAUAAAAUUGAUGAGCAUUUUUCGUGUUUAAAGAAUAUUUUUCAUGUACGUGAACAUUUUAGAAUUGAUAAAUGAUUUUCAGAAUUAAAAAUCACAUGGUAUAUGAGGAAAUGGAGAUAAUAACGGGCUCUCUUACUAAUAAUGCUCUUAGGCCAGCCCAAAAAAAAACAGAAUACAACUAGGAUAACAUCAGCUGAGAUGAAAGAUUGUUUAAAAAAAGAAAAACUGAAGUGAAUGAGACCAUAGUUAUGUCUCAGCUAGAUGAGUUCCAGCUAAUCCCUUAUUGAUUUGCCUUUACGCGACGGAACAAAUAGAGAAUACUACAUAGUGGCAGACGUCCUGUAUGUAUGGUGUCAGGAUGGAAAGCAAAUAGGGAAGGCGUGGAUGGUGCCGUCGUCAACGCCUGUUAGGGCAUCUCCAACAGUUUGUUGGUUAGCUUGUUGGUAAAAUUUGUCAUGUUAUCAGCCAACACCUUAACAUACAACUACUCCAAUGGGUUGUAUCUAGUUUGCCCAAAAAGAUGUGAGGUAAUAAAUAAUGUGCUUUUUCAUUCUACAUUGGAGCUUGUGCAAGGGUGUUGGUUAAUUUACAUACAACCUUACUUUCUUUCUUCAUUUAUUGCAAGACACAUCAUCAAAAAUUCUAUGUGCUAAAAUUACCAACAACUAUCUUACCAUCAUUGGAGAUGCCGUUAAUGUAACGUGCACGGUACAGUUCCUCAUAUCGCUAGACCCACAGACCGGACCCGUCCAAAUGAAUGCAUCGCCAUGUACCGCCUCGCCACGAAAAGGGGGUCGGUGGGAGAACCAGAGAGUGAGGCGGCGGCGGUGGAAGCUACAGUAUCUUGAAACAGCUCAACCGCACCAUGGCGAUGGUCUCUCUCGUCGAUAGGUAAAUACUUAGUUCCCUUGAACAAUUCUUAUCACCAUGCUGCAACAGGAAAUCUUAGUGGUUCGAUGGAAACCGCUGCAGGUUGCCGUCUUCCCGGAUUAGCACGGUGGCGCUAAUGGAUUUGGUUGGUGAUGCUGCUCGCGGGGAAGAGGGGUCAACUAAUGGAUCUCAGGAUGCAGUUCUGGGCGGAUUUGGGAAAAGUUGCACUGCCUAACUAAGGGGUGAUGCGUCGUGCCACUGUGGCUGCUGGUGCCGCUGUCACAUCUGAUUUCAGCAACAUCCAAGGGGACAACGCAGAUGCCAUUGACCAGGGAGGUGUUGAAGGACUGCAGGCUGGAGACUGGGAUGUUGUAAUUGAAGAUCCUACUGAAAGGCAUUUCUCUUGGAUGUAGGUUCAGAGUAGGGAAACAUCCACCGGACAGCACACCCUGUCCAGAGAGUUGGUGCUGGUGCGCUCGAGACGGCUAUUAGGGCAUUACACUCUUCAAGAGGGGAAUGCUGGGCCGAUGCUCGCGACAUCCACGUGGGCAGGAGGGGCUGGCAACAACACUCUUCCCUCCAUAGAAGAUUUUGUCGUGGUUCUCGUCCCUCUACCCUCCACGUCAUCUUUCUUAGACUAGAGGUAAAUAUCUACCCUGACGCAAGCAGGCAAUUCCCUUUCUCCUUUCUCCUUGCUCGCACGCGACAUCCUCGUCUCCCUUGCUCUCGCCUCUUCUCCUACAGCCCGCGCGCGACGUCGGUCGGCGGCCGAGGAAGGCUGGUGGCAGCAACGAGUGCAUAGAGCUGCGUCAGAAGGUAGUGGAGGGAGAGCAGCGACCGACGGUAGAUCGGCAUGUCACGAGAGCGGACAUGGCCGCCGUCAUAAGUAGAGCAGACCAAAGCCGGCACGGCGGUCCGGACCGGAUUGGAUCCGGACGCGGCGGUGGUCCACGACAGCAUCACCGUCAACGAUUGGAAAAAAGCAGCGCGUGCCGUAGAGACAGCCGCCUCCAUUCUGUUGAUCCGAUCUCGCUUAGCUGUCCGUCCGCCCGAUGAAGAAGAGAGGACCCCGUGCCGGUGCCGCUCCUCGGUCACCAGAGAUCGCUUGUCCGCUUCCUCGACCUGCUCGUUGCGGGGAAGUUGCUGGACGGCUCCUUCACCCUGUGCCUCCAGCAUGUCGGCCCCCACUACGUUGCCUCCUGCAGUCCUGCCUCGAGGCGUUGCGCGAGCUGCAAGCUGUUGGCGCGGGGGCACCCCGCACCCGUCGACUACCUCCGCACCUACGUCCCCGACCUAGGGGACCACCGCACGCUCGACCAGCUCCGCCGGAUGAUAUCCUUUGCCUCCUCAUGUUGCUCAAGGUCGUGGCCGCAGGGCCGGGGUACGUCUCGGUGCCGCUCUCUCUCCUGCCGUUGGCGCGCCUUCGGGUGCUCGAGCUCCGGGGUUGCGACCUCUCCACAUCCGCCGCUGAAGAGGAUCGUCUGCCACACCACGGUGUGCUAAAACCUGAACUAUCGUGUUGUUUGAGAGUUGAAUUGUGACCAUAGUUACGUACUUCAUUUCUAGGUAAGGUUACAACAUACUGUGAUUCUUCCAGUAGUUCAUGGUGAUGAAGUCUGCGACCGUGAUAUACUAGCAUUAUAUUUAAAUCCCAAUGGAGCGGGCAACGAACCAUUGGUGUACCAACAUUUAAGCAAGCAAGUUUUACACAUUUUCAUUUUUAGCACAUAGUUUUGAACAUAUUAUUCUAACUACGCAACUUCACAGAGUCCAUGCCAAUGCAAGUCUUGCAAUUCUCUGAACUAUUUCUGAAUUAUGCAGCUACACUCGGUUACAGUGUCUUGGCUUCAAAUGAGAUCUAAAAUAUUUGCCUUCGUAGCUGCAUGGGUGUCAAUUUUUGUUAUCACUAAUCCUUCCAAACUGAAGCUUAGAGAGAUUCAAAUGUUACAUGCUCAAGGUCCAGGAGUGAACUACUCAACUCAAUUUCUGUAAGAAUCAUACCAAAAAAUAUCCUCGCAUUAUCACGUAUUACACAACUUUUACAUUUGCAUCAAGUAGCUAAAUUGAACACUGAAUUAACACACCAUAGUUAAUAAGAUAUAGAGCUGAUGGGACUUAUAACAUAUAGAGAAAUUCAACCCUAGAUCCCUUAUUUGUUUUGUGAAAUUAAAUAGGUAUUUCUAGUAGUAUAAAAUAAGGGGCUGGGUUAUAUACACUAAUAUCGAGUAUGGUAAAACACUAGGGGAUCCUAAAUUAAAAGAAGGAUGAUCUAGAGAAGCAGUGCAUAGCAUGCUAAUACUAUUGUAGAACAUGCCCCUUAAAGAAUAUUUGUGUAGCAUACAAUGGUUCAACCAUACGAUUAAGUGGUUCAUGGGUCUAUAAAGCUACCUAGCAUAUCAUGAUCUUAUGAGCCCUUAGUGAAUUUAAAUUUGGUUAGUAUUUGGUUUCUUCUACCAAAUGAUAGAAGCUUUCACGUACUUUUGGAGGGAAUUGAUGUUAAUUAUUGGCUUGAUGUGAUUCUCUUCUACGAUUCAGAAUUUUAGUCCAGAUCAUAGGCUUGAUAUGAUUCUCUUUUACGAUUCAGAAAUUUGAUCGAGGAGGCUUUGGCUAUGUCCACUGGUUAUCAUACAUCAUACUCAUAUGAUGAUUUCAUUUUAUGGAUGUCCAGACUUCACUAUCCACGCGACAUCGAAGUAAAAUGUGGCUGCUGGAUUCCGUAGCCGGGCAGUGGUCGCAUCCGUUAUGUGAUGUAAUUGAAGUACAAUUUUUCUUAGCAUGUUAUCCCUCGAGUUUAACCGUCCUCUUAGAGCGCACAAUGAAAUUACAUUAAAGGUUAAGAUGACCUCACCUACAUAAAAUGUUUCUUUUUUAUGUCUAUUAAUGUAUAUAUGCCUACUUACCCUAAAAAUAUUUAGUUAAAAUGUUUCCCUACGAAGUUUCUAUGCUAUAUAAGAAAGUUGGCCUGAAAUAUUUGAGGUCACAUUCUGUUUUACAGCUUACUCCUAUAGUUGCAUAGCUGAUUCAGUUGCAUUAGUUCAGAACAAGUGCUUGUAUCUACAACAAAGAUAGCAUAUUCAUCUAUAUUCGAAACUAUAAAUAAACGUCCUUAAGAAUUAUAAACAAGAUAGGUGCGCACCGAACCGCCUAAGAGACGCGUCCCUACCACUAGUAUGCAGACAAAUUGGGUGACCAUGUAGUGGAGCCUGCUAUUGGGCUAACCUUUGACUCACUUGGGGAGGCCUAUGAUUUUUACAACCUUUUCCCAUGGGAGCAUGGCUUGGGAAUUAGGUACGGCAAAAGUAGGCUAAAUGCCGAGAAGACAAAGUGUAUGCAACAAAUUGUUUCUGGCUACUUCUUUAUAUUUUUUGUGUUUACGAAAUCUUUGAAAUGGCAUGUCAUACAGCUGAUCACCAAGUGCUUGGGCGUGGGAGAGGACUAAAUUGUUUAUCUUGGUGUUUGUAAUUGCAGGGUAAACCUAUAAAGGAAUAAGUAGGGCAUUAUAACUUAUUGGGUAUUUAGGAUGAACUGUUGGCGUCCUGGUGCGGUCUUGCUUAAUAUGAUUUCAGAAUUCUAGUGCUAGUUAGGAAAUGAAAUUGAAGGUUUUUGGAGAUUCAGAUACUACUGAGUUGAUUGCUUAAACUUGAGCCGUGUGGAGGAGUAAUGCACUGUUUUGCGUGCAAGCAGUGGGCAGGCAACAAUAUCUUUUUAAUGGGUGGUAUGAUGCAAAAAAUGGUGAAACUGAUUGGAGGCUAAUGCUUGUUUACCGCAGCAUUGAGAAGUGCCAGAUUCAGAACUAAAAGGAAAAUUCAUUAUUAUUAUCACUAGUGGCUGUGAAUUUGAGUAUCAAUGUUGAUUUGUUUUGUUUGCGGCAUGCUUUUGUUGUCCGUUGCUGCAUCAGGUUUUCUUGGUUCCUAGGACGUCGUGUUUGGGGAGGAUCGGUGCACUGGAGCAAACAAUCAAAAAAUGGUACUCCGGGCUAGAUAGAACUAGUUCUCAACCCCGAUUAAUUAUAAUUAAUUGUGUUAAUUACUGUAACAUUGUUCAUUAAAGAGGGGAUGUACCUCAAUUGGUAGAGCGCUAAUCAAUGCGGAAUAAAGGCACGGGGUUCGAUUCCUCGCAUCUCCACUUACUCUCUCAUUUUACGAAAAUCAAAUAAUCCCAAAACAAUUGGGCACGAUGCAUUAACUUUUACCUUGUUUCUUGUUUUUUGACAUGAAUAAAGGAAUCAACCAAUAAAAGACGUGGGACAUGUAUAUUUUUAAUGACUUGAGACUAACUAGCACAACAUGCCUUGGUCAAUUCAUUGCAUGCAAUGGUAUUAAUUAGCAUUGAUUUCUCUCGUUUUCCUCUCCGUCCUGGUCACGGUGCACAACCUAAAAUGACUUAUACACCGAGAAGGAGGGAGUAGCUUUUUAAUUUUUCUGCCGACGGACUUCUUCCUUUUUCCUGUAAAAGAAAGUUGAUUGAAAAAAAAUAGUCUGACUUGGCUGCCGCAGUUUGUUUUUCAAUAUCCUAUACUGAUUUUUCUUUUUAAAAUAACACUCUACUCAAAUGUACCUCCUUUCCUACAGCUUAGUACACUUAUGAUUUAGCUCCUUUUUCUUUUCUUAUUUUGAAAUCGUGAUUUAGCUCCUUGGUAGCGCCUACUUAUAUAGUUUUCCAGUACUCUACUCAAGUUUACUUAUCUACACUGCUUCUUGGUAGCAACUGCGUGUUCUUACAAGGAUAACUUACAAGAUCACAGCACUAUCAUAAUGGCUACUGUGGUUUUCAGUAGCCAUGGCUACAUCCACUACCACAAACACGACUAAGCCUGUGAGCCAACUUAUUUUUCUGUCAACCCCGCAGAGGCUCUCGGGAAAUAUCAUAUUACUGUAGGUUAUUGCUGGGCAGACAGGAAUAUUACCCUGUAUUCCUGUGGGUUGCGGUGAAUCUCACAGGAAAAAUAAAUCCCUGUGAGUUCCGGCCCACAGGGAUCACAAUUCGCCCUUCGCGCCCGCGGGCUAUGGCUUCGCGCCACCAUAUUUUCAUUUCGCGCGAACUUUUAACGAAGGCCCACCAUUUUUUUUAUUUUUCCUGUGCGUUUGGGCUCACAGGAUUAAGGCCCAGUACAAAAGCACAUACCGAACAUGAUAUAUGAAGUCUGAUAUUGUCACAUAAAUCAAUUCUUAUAUGGUUUCUGGGAAAUAAUUCAACAUUUGUAGAAUCUGGUCCUGCCAGGAAUAUAAAAUAAAAAACAUGAUGCAACAGUGACGACCAGCAUGUUGCUUUCCUGCCAGUAAUAUAAAAUAUAAAAGAACAUGAUGCAACAGUGACGGCCAAUGGCCCACAGGAAUGCAUGCACGUUGCAUCAGGUCCAAUUCUUUCCUGAAGGUCAUUCCUCACAAGCGGAUGACAGGAAUAAGUAUUUUCCGGAUAGGAUAAAUCUGACGGAGCAUUUCUUUCCUGUGAGUCAACUGUCAGGGAUAACCGUCAGCGAUAAUAUUCCUGUGCGCCGACCGUCAGGCAUAUAGAUUUAUUCCUGGCAGACUAUGGUUGUAGGUUCCUCCUGUCGGUCAGCCGACAGGAAUUAUUUUCCUGACGCCUUAACCCUUUUCCUGUCGGCUGCUGGCCCACACGCUUAGUCGCAUUUCUGGUAGUGAUCAGGUGAUCCUUAUGAGCAGAACCACCAUAACAAGCAUAAGGGUCAAUAGAAUUCAGAAAGUUGCAGUCGAUUUGCUCUAUUCAAUUUUGGCUUCAUUUUCAAUGAAAACCGUUAACUAGACUCCCAUGAUAGCGGUGGUGUAUUAUUCUGCAAAAGGUAGUUUUGUCCUCUUUUAAUGUUUUCAUUCACAUCCAUGGUAAUAUAUUAUGCCUGACAAGAUUAUCAGCCAUGUAGUUCUUAUCUUUCUUUGCAUCACACUUUUGGACAAUUAAUUAGCUUUCGUUGCAUCAUACUUCUGGAUAAUGAAUAAAAUGAACCAACUUAUGUUCCACUCUACAUUUAUAUCAUGGAAAAAUUAUUUUCUAUAGUGACCUUGUAUAUGGUAGUUUUGCCAGGCAUGGGUAUUUACAUUUUUCUCGGUUUUACCUGUUGCAACGGACCCUUUUGCUAGUGAUAUAGUGACCUUGUAUAUGGUAGUUUUGGCAGGCAUGGGUAUUUACAUUUUUCUCGGUUUUACCUGUUGCAACGGACCCUUUUGCUAGUGAUACUAAUAACCAUAUUCCUUCUUUAAGAAAAGACACGUAAAGGACACUUUGUUUUACAAUUAUCAUGUAUGGAUUGGGCACAAUCUUGGGGAUUCAUCCUUAUCAACCUUUCCUACGACUGUCACCCAUAAACCCAGUUUACCUCGGCAUCCAUUCAACAACGAACUGCAAACUCGAGCACAAGAAGCUCUGAACUCAGCCAGAAGGCAUCAGUGCAGCAGCAGCCAGUUUAUGAUGCGAACUGUUGGUUGCAAGUUCAGUAGUAAGUGAUAGAUCCCGUGGAUCGACAAGGCUAGAUGUGUUCGGUGAGAGUAGUGAUUCGUUACCUUGUUGUGAACUCGAUGAGCUCCCUCCAGAGACCGUCGUGAGGUGGUGACGACGGUGGGGAAGGAGAGAGAGAUCCGGUAGCGGCGGCGGUGGACUUCCCGUCGCUUCAGUGCAUCCCUCUAUAUCGGAUUAGGGUUAGAGAGUGGGGAACCAGUGGCGGCGGCGAACCUCNNNNNNNNNNNNNNNNNNNNNNACGGCGGCGGUGGACUUCCCGUCGCUUCAGUGCAUCCCUCUAGAUCGGAUUAGGGUUAGAGAGUGGGGAACCAGUGGCGGCGGCGAACCUCGUAACCCGUGCCAUGGUCCCCACCUCCUCUACAUAUAGCACUGCGCGACAGGGGCCCACCAGCCUUGUUUGGGCUGGACGCCCCCGAUCAGGGCGUGAGUCAAGGUCCAAUGGGCCGUUGGGCCCAUUGGGAAAGAGAUCAACCUAACAUUCUCCCCCUUGAUCUCAUCAUAUACUUUUAACUUUACCCGUUUCGUAACAGAUCAAUACAUAGGGCAUGUUUCAUCGUCACGGCUCAAUUGCCGAUGGAAUCAGAUAGCCACAAUGUACCUCUCUAUUUCGAGACAGAUUCUUUAACCUUGGGCCCUUUAUUGUCCGGAAAUAUUAGACUAUACCAUAAAACCCAUGUCGACUAUGUGUUCUCCGAACACACUGGGCGGUAAGCCUUUGAUAAGCAGAUCUGCAAACACUUGUUUGUUGCUUUUAUGCUUCAAGCAUUUUUCCAUAAUUCCGGACUUUCUCCUUCACAACACGUAACUCUUUGUCAGUGUGUUUGGCAUCAACUCUUAACUCGUUGUGACAGGAGCGAAAGAACUUAAAAUGGUAAUCGUCGUUGUCAACCAUUAUCCACUCCGGGUACAGGUAGCCUUAACCAUGUUGCCUGUCCCUCAGCCUCAUAUCAAGCUAUAACAUAUCAUUGCAUCACAUUGAUGACAAUAGUUUCACUCAUUUGGAGAUUUUCCACACAAAACCCCGAGUAUGAAAGUUAGCGACAAUUGUGGAUUUCGCUAUACAUUUCACAAGUCCUCCUUCGUACUCACAAUCUUUUGAGAGCACUUAUUUCUUUUAGCAUGAGGCCGAUAUCUUUGACUCCAGUCCAUUGAUUUAUCUAUGGACUGGAAAUUGCCAAAACAACCCGGAUAUAUAUGUGAACUGUGUCAGGGUAAUAUCUUGAGCUUCCAACAACUGAAGCAUAUGGUACCAUAUCCGUUUACAAUCUUUUCUUAUUAACUUUUGGAACACCAUAGUAUCCACUUCCAUUACCCUUGACUAUAAGAACAGGCGUAGGUUUUCUCGUAUGCAUACUUUAGAGAUCUUUCUUAGCAUGUCCAUGCGACAUUCCUAAUACCCCCUUUUAUUCUUUUAAACUUUGAGGACAAGAACUUCUUUUCUCCUCCUGCAGUAGAUUGACAUCACCACUAGCAAGUAGGACAUCAUCCACAACAUAGGAAUUGGGAAACGAAUUUCCCAUUCUAUAACUUUGCAUGAAUGCAAUUGUCCUCUCAUUUUCUUUGCACAAAAUCUUUCGAUUUAAGUCAUGUUUUACGCAUUUACAUAUUUCCUUUGGAGUCACAUUUGCCUUGUAGACCCUUCAUAAAGUCUAUGUUAGUGAAAUUCAAAUGAUGGAAUUUCACUAACAUAGACUUUAUAGUAGUCAGAAGUAUCUGAUUUUCACAUUCCUAGAGACCAUCAAAAUCUCAGGUACUGGCACUUCUUUCAUAUGGGGUAGUCAUUGCUCUGUCAUUGCCAAGAGGCAAUUAAUUCUAUAGUCACUCAUUUCCAAAAGGCAAUAGGUUUUACAGGGACAUGUAUCACAAGAUCCCUUGUAGAGCUAACAACAGGUGAUGGGGUUAUAGUCCUAGGGUAGGGUCAUAGGCCUGCCCCGUAGGUCCAACCCAAGGACUACCCCUCAUAAGGGACAAGGCCCUUAGUUAGUUCCGACUAAACUAAGGAGUUCCCUUAUCCAGUCGGUAACAGAUCCUCGUCCAUCCAGUCGGAGAUUAGCAUUCGAAGUUUAUCAAACUAACCGACUGGAUUCCACUCUGUGCACCGUAACCCCCCUGGAGGGAAACGGUCAUACGUUUCCAUGUGCCUUUAUUAGCAUUUAAGAAGUACGUUACCUGUAACGUAGGCAUUUAUUCGUCACUACUCCACCCAUGUGCACCGAACCGUUGUGGAGGGCAGCGCAUUCUAUAUAAGCCACCCUCCCCCACUNNNNNNNNNNNNNNNNNNNNNNNNNNNNNNNNNNNNNNNNNNNNNNNNNNNNNNNNNNNNNNNNNNNNNNNNNNNNNNNNNNNNNNNNNNNNNNNNNNNNUGACAGUUGGCGCCCACCGUGGGGCAGGCGUCUAAGCGACUUCCGACGAGUUUGCGACUACAUCAUUUCGUCAUAUGUCGUCCGGUGGAGAUUCGAGCAUGGGUCACGAGAUCUUCUUCGGCGCUCUCUCCUUCAUCGUCGAUGAUUCGGCAUGGCUUCGGGACGCCCCUCUCGACAUCGAGGCGCUUCCCCGCCGCGGGGCUACGCACUUCCGUGCCGGCGCCAGCGGUAUUCUUCUUCUCCAGCAGUCGGCUCCGGUGUCGACCUACACCACCGUCACGCACCGCAACAAGCGGUCCCGCCAUCUGCGGCUCCAGCGUUGGGUGCAACACGCCCAGGCGCGCCAGAACGCGUCUUCACAAGUGGCAGUUCUAGAGUCGGUUGUGGUUGCCCCGCCGUCCCAGCGCUCGGACUCGGUUCCCACUGAGUUUCCUUCCGAGUACGCGGGUCGCGGGCCUGCAGCAGAAGUACACAUGGCCAACUCCCAUGAAGAUCCCCAUCAAGCUGGCCGGAACGAGCACGAGAUCGGUGAAACAUCCGACGCGCGUCGUCCAACUCGUCGUUCUGCCAGUCGGCACACUCGACGGAGCAACGUGAAGUUGUUCCGCACACCCCUCCUCAACUUGGUUGCGGCUGCCAAGAUAGCCGAUUACCUUCAGCCGACUGAUUCAGAGGCUGGCAGGGGGAUCGAGCAAAUCUGUGCCCUGUUGCACACGGCGCAACAGCAAUACUCGGUGGUCUCCCAGUCGCACAACAGGAUCCAUAAUAGUUAUGUUCAUGCGAACACGCAUCGGUCAGUUCACAGCCCUGGUUCUCAUCAGCGACUCAGGGGAGGCAGCCGUUCCAUAAACCCCGAAGUUCGUCGCCGUUCACGCACCCCUCCACGGGGUGGGCCCUACGGGCCCCGACAUCAUGAUGAUCGGCGUUCAGUCGGUGAUGCUUACGACCCAAGACCCGACGCAAGAGGGCAUAUCGCCCAGCGGAGGGUCGACACGGGCCGAGCCCACCGCGAUGGUUACGAUAUUGACCGUCCGAGUGGAAGCAGGACCAUCGUUUCUGGUCCCGAGUGUUUCAGUCGAGCCAUCCGUUCGGUUGACAUCCCUCCCAACUUCCGAUUGGCGACGAGAAUCAGCAAGUUUACAGGAGAGUCCAAGCCAGAAACGUGGCUGGAUGAUUACCGAGUGGCAGUCCAGAUCAGAGGAGGGGACGACCAUGUCGCCAUGAAGCACCUCCCUCUGAUGCUCGACGGCUUGGCGCGAGCGUGGCUGAACCAGUUGGCCCCCUCGAGCAUCUACAGUUGGGCAGAUCUGGCCCGAGUGUUCAUCAGGACCUUCGAAGGGACGUGCAAGCGCCCUGCGGGCCUCGUGGAGCUCCAGCAUGCGUCCAGAAGCAGAAUGAGCCCCUGCGUGAUUUCAUUCAGCGUUGGACAACUCUCUACCACACGGUGGAGAGCGUCACAGAGCAUCAAGCAGUCUGCGCCUUCAAGGCAGGCGUGCGGUACAGGGAUCUGUACCUGAAGUUCGGCCAAACAGGUGACAUCUCCAUGAGCAAGAUGAUGGAGAUAGCAGCACGCUAUGCAAAUGGCGAAGAAGAGGACCGCAUCCGAAGCGGCAAGCACAAGACAGUCGCCGAUGGAGAUGGGAGUAACACUCGGAAGCAGAAGCAGAAAGCUCCAUCCACUCCGCAGGCAGAAGCUGCAGCCGUAACCAAUGCCAAGUUCAAGGGCAAAGGGAAGGCUCAGUUCACCCCCAAGAAGAAGCAGUUCAAUAUCCCCAUCCUGGACCAGCCAUGUCCGGUUCAUACGAAGAUGGAUGAAGAGGGCAACCCCAUAUAUGCGAAGCAUACCACUCAAUAGUGUCGCCUCCUGAUCCAGGGGUUCAGCAAAGGGCAACCGAGUGAAAAGGACAAUGAACAGGAUGAGGAGGAGAAGGAGGAUCCGUUCCCCCAAGUCCAUGCAACACUGAUGAUUUUUGCUGACGUUGAGAGCAAUAGUCGACUGAAGCUGGUGAACAGGGAGGUGAACAUGGCCACCCCUACCAAACCCAAGUUCCUCAAAUGGUCUCAGACUGCGAUCACCUUUGACCAGUCGGAUCAUCUAGCACACGUACCCACCCGAGGGAGACAGGCUCUGGUCGUCGACCCGAUGGUGGAGGGAGUCCGACUGCGCAAACUCCUCAUGGACGGCGGCAGUGGCUUGAACAUCAUGUACGCCGACACUCUCAAGGGGAUGGGCAUUCUGAUGUCCAAACUCAGCGAGAGCAGCAUGCAGUUCCAUGGAGUCGUCCCUGGAUGAAAGGCCAAGUCACUCGGCCAGAUCGCGUUGGACGUCAUUUUCGGCUCCAACAAGAACUUCCGCAAGGAAAAGCUGACGUUCGAGGUGGUAGACUUCCAAAGCGCUUACCACGCAAUUCUAGGCCGCCCGGCGUAUGCGCGUUUCAUGGCCCGUCCAUGUUACGUAUACCUGAAGCUGAAGAUGCCAGGCCCGAAAGGUGUGAUCACCAUCACUGGCAAUCGACAGCGAGCCGAAGAGUGUCUGCAGCAGGGAUCAAGAUUCGCCGACCAGCAAAUGGCCGUCCUCGAGCUUGACGAAUACAAGAAAACAGUCGACCCCGCUGAUUUGAUGCGUUCAAAGAAACCAGCUUCGGAGUCCGCAUUUCAGUCGGCGGGAGAGACGAAGAAGGUCAACAUCCACCCGACGGACGACACUGCUGCCCCGACGAACAUCUUCACCACCCUCGAUCCUAAAUAGGAAGCCGAGCUCACCCAAUUCCUCCGUGAGAACUGGGACAUCUUCGCAUGGAAACCCUCUGACAUGCCAGGUGUACCAAGGGAGUUGGCUGAGCACCGACUGCAUGUGGAUCCCACCGCUCGGCCUGUCCGAGAACGCCCGCGUCGGUCCGCCGCGCACAAGAGGAAGGCAAUCGGAGAAGAGGUGGCCAAGCUGUUGGCAGCCAACUUCAUUCGCGAGGUUCACCACUCCGAGUGGCUCGCCAAUGUUGUCAUGGUGCCCAAGAAGGACAAGUCGCUCCGAAUGUGCAUAGACUUCAAGCAUCUCAAUAAGGUCUGCCCGAAAGACCAUUUUCCGCUCCCCCGCAUCGAUCAAAUUGUCGAUUCGACUGCGGGUUGCGGACGUUUGUCAUUUCUUGAUGCCUACUCGGGCUAUCAUCAGAUCCGUCUGUAUGGCCCCGAUGAAUUAAAAACAACCUUCAUCACCCCAUUCGGGUGCUUCUGCUACAUCACUAUGCCAUUCGGUUUGAAGAAUGCAGGAGCUACCUUUAUGCGCAUGAUCCAAAAAUGCCUCCUCGACCAAAUCGGUCGGAAUGUGGAGGCGUAUAUGGAUGAUAUCGUAGUCAAGUCACGCAAAGGUUCCGACCUGCUGACCGACUUGGUAAAAACAUUCGCCAACCUUCGUAGGUACGAUAUCAAGCUCAAUCCCGCCAAGUGUUCAUUCGGCGUUCCCAGCGGAAAGUUACUCGGUUUCUUCGUUUCCGAACGAGGGAUCGAUGUCAACCCCGAAAAGAUCGGAACCAUCGUCCGAAUGGAGAGGCCGGUCAGAAUACACGAUGUUCAACGGCUCACAGGUUGCCUAGCGCCUUUGAGCAGGUUUAUCAGUCGACUCGGCGAGAAAGCACUUCCUCUGUACCGACUCAUGAAGAAAUCAGAUACUUUCGAGUGGACAGAUGAAGCCCAAGUUGCAUUCGACGACCUCAAAGUCCUACUUUCCACCCAGCCGGUUCUUACUGCUCCACUCAGUAAAGAGCCCCUUCUUCUGUAUAUCGCGGCUGCAAAUCAAGUCGUCAGCACUGUUCUUAUAGUCGAACGAGAAGAAGAAGGCAAAGCAUACAAAGUUCAGCGGCCAGUGUAUUACGUCUCCGAAGUCCUGACUCCUUCCAAGCAGAGGUAUCCCCACUAUCAAAAACUUAUCUACGGGAUUUACAUGACUGCGAAGAAGGUGGCCCAUUAUUUCCAAGACCACUCGGUGUCUGUCGUUUCUGAUGCUCCGUUGUCGGAAAUCCUCCACAAUCGGGAGGCAUCAGGCCGAGUGGCGAAGUGGGCAAUGGAGAUGUUGUACUGCGAUAUCAAGUUCGAGGCCAAGAAAGCUAUAAAGUCUCAAGCUCUGGCUGACUUCAUAGCAGAAUGGGUAGAACAACAGCAACCGACCCACAUCUACUCGGCUCAUUGGACAAUGUUCUUCGAUGGGUCCAAGAUGUGGAAUGGCUCCGGCGCUGGCGUUGUGAUCGUAUCACCAAAGGGCGACAAACUCAAGUAUGUGCUGCAGAUACACUUUGAUUCCUCCAACAAUGAGGCAGAGUAUGAAGCUCUCCUUUAUGGAUUGCGCAUGGCCAUCGCACUCGGUGUCCGUCGCCUGAUGGUCUAUGGCGAUUCGGAUUUGGUGGUUAAUCAAGUGAUGAAAGAGUGGGACGUCAGGAACCCCACCAUGACCGCAUACUGCAAUGCAGUGAGGAAGCUUGAGAAGAAGUUUGAAGCUCUAGAACUCCACCAUGUUCCGCGACUGAAGAACCAAGCAGCUGAUGAGUUGGCAAAACUCGGAUCCACUCGGAGACCAGUCCCGAGUGACGUCUGCCUCGAGCACCUCCACCUUCCUUCAGUCAAAGAAGAUCCUUUGACAGAGGAACCAGUACAAUCAAAGAGCUCGACAGAUCCGACUGAAGUCGACGUACCUGCUGUGGUUGAUCUGAUCAUGGAGAUUCUUGCUGUCACCCCCGAUUGGACUGUGCCGAUCAUUGCAUAUAUCCUGAGGCAGGAAUUACCAGAAGACGAAGUCCAAGCCAGACAGAUAGUCCGCAGGUCGAAGUCGUUCACUAUCAUUGAUGGUCAACUGUACAGGGAAAGUGUUUCAGACGUUCUUCAACGAUGCAUCUCCCCAGAGGAGGGACAGUUGAUCCUGGAAGAAAUUCACUCGGGAACCUGCGGUCAUCACGCCUCUUCGAGAGCAAUCGUCGCCAAAGCAUUCAGAGCUGGUUUCUUCUGGCUACAGGCGAACGAAAUGGCUAAAGAUAUGGUCGACCGAUGUGAAGGCUGUCAGUUCUACUCCAACAAGUCCCACAAGGCAACAUCCGCGUUGAAGACAAUCCCUCUUGUGUGGCCGUUUGCAGUAUGGGGAUUAGAUACAGUCGGUCCAUUCAGGACAGGCCAAGGAGGAUACACACAUUUGUUGGUGGUAGUCGACAAGUUCACAAAAUGGAUUGAAGCAAAGCCCAUCAAGAAGCUCGACGCCCUAACAACCAUCAAGUUUGUCAGGGAUAUCAUCUCCCGAUUCGGGGUACCUCACAGCAUAAUCACAGACAACGGAACAAACUUUGACUCGGACAAAUUCAAUGGUUUCUGUGCAAGCCAAGGUAUCCGAGUGGAUUUUGCUUCCGUGGCGCAUCCUCAAUCAAACGGACAAGCAGAGCGGGCAAAUGGACUUAUUCUGCAAGGUUUGAAGCCCCGACUCCUGCAAGAGGUGGGACAUGCCGCUGGCGCAUGGGUCACCGAGCUGCCGUCAGUGCUUUGGGGUCUCCGCACAACCCCGAACAGAUUUACAGGGCGAUCACCGUUCUUCCUCGUUUACGGAGCAGAAGCAGUCCUUCCGAGUGACUUGCUUCACAAUGCUCCACGAGUCGAACUCUUCUCCGAAGCUGAAGCAGAACAAGCAAGGCAAGACGGAGUGGACCUUCUAGAGGAGGAGCGCGAGAUGGCAUUGACUCGCUCAACUAUUUAUCAGCAAGAUCUGCGGCGUUUUCACGCACGACACGUCAGGAGUCGCACGUUCCAAGCAGGUGACCUAGUGCUCCGAGUGGAUCAGCAAAGACCUCACAAGUUGGUUCCUGCCUCGGAAGGACCCUUCAUCAUCUCCAAGGUGUUGAACAACGGAGCAUACAGACUCUACAACAUCGACAGGGAGACAGACGAACCACGAGCAUGGAAUGGAGAUCUCCUGAAGCGUUUCUACACGUGACCGUCGACUGAAGCAAUGUAAAGAACAAGUAUUGGUGAAAUAAUAUAAAGCAGAUUGAGCUUUUGCAGAUUCAAAAUUCUUCCGCGGUCGCAGACUCCGGUCUCAAAAAAAAACUUAACUGCGAUCCAGAAUCGCCUAAGUACCAACUUUCUCCGAGUGUGCACUAAACGUCACACUCGGGGACUUAGCUGCGAUCAAUAAUCGCCUAAGUACUAACUUUCUUCGAGUGUGCACUAAACGUCACACUCGAGGACUUAGUUACGAUCACGAAUCGCCUAAGUACUAACUUUCUCCGAGUGUGCACUAAACGUCGCACUCGGGGACUUAGUUGCGAUCAAGAAUCGCCUAAGUACUCAAUUUCUCCGAGUGUGUACUAAACGUCGCACUCGGGGACUUAGCUGCGAUCACGAAUCGCCUAAGUACUAACUUUAUCCGAGUGUGCACUAAACGUCGCACUCGGGGACUUAGCUGCGAUCAAGAAUCGCCUAAGUAAUAACUUUCUCCGAGUGAGCACUAAACGUAGCACUCGGGGACCGAGCCGCGAUCAAGAAUCGCCUCAGUACAAAUUUUCUCCGAGCGAGCACUACUCGUCACACUCGAAGACUUAACCGCGAUCAAGAAUCGCUUAAUGGGAAAGCUUCCUACGACUGUAUCCUACAGAUACACUCGGGGAUUCUGCAGACCCUCAUUGAGGCUCAUGUGGAUGUCAGGACCACUGACAAUUACAUGAGUAGCAGACCCUCAUUGAGGCUCAUGUAGAUGUCAAGACCACUGACAAUUACAUGAGUAGCAGACCCUCAUUGAGGCUCAUGUGGAUGUCAAGACCAUUGACAAUUACAUGAGUAACAACUCGCUCNNNNNNNNNNNNNNNNNNNNNNNNNNNNNNNNNNNNNNNNNNNNNNNNNNNNNNNNNNNNNNNNNNNNNNNNNNNNNNNNNNNNNNNNNNNNNNNNNNNNGGACCGGCGGCGCCGACGACGGCCGGAGGGAGGAGGAAGCCGGUGGGGCAGCUGAAGGCGUGGGGGCGCGGGAGGCGUUGGCCUGCUCGUGCACAGCGACUGGAGGCAGGGAGGAGCGGGGAGGCAGCGGCGACUAGGGGCUGACGGCGGCGGACGGCGCACGCGAGGGUGCGGCGGCCGGAUCGAGCGAGAUCCCGGCGGCGGCGGGCGAGGAACUCCGGUGGGCGAGGCGCAGAGGGCUCCGGCGGCGGUGGCUGGAGGCGGCUCGGGCUGCUGCUGCGGGCACGGGCAGCGGCGGCCGGAUGGGCUCGGCCGGGCCCGAUAUGGGCCUGGCGGGNNNNNNNNNNNNNNNNNNNNNNNNNNNNNNNNNNNNNNNNNNNNNNNNNNNNNNNNNNNNNNNNNNNNNNNNNNNNNNNNNNNNNNNNNNNNNNNNNNNNNNNNNNNNNNNNNNNNNNNNNNNNNNNNNNNNNNNNNNNNNNNNNNNNNNNNNNNNNNNNNNAGAGGUGGGGCGGCGCGGAUCCCGAGGUGGGAUUAGGGUUAGCUGCCUAAGAUUUAGGAGGGGGUCUAUAUAUAGACAAACAGGGGGGCUCGGUUAACCGGAAUCGCGUUCCGGAUCCAACCACGGGGUCAGAUUCGGACGAUUCCGAACGCAGGUACGGGUACGCGGCCGUGUAGGGUGGUUUACCGGAGAUGAGAGGGAGAACGGGCGGCGCGGCAACGAAUUUUAAAACACCGACAAACGUCCGACGGUAGCCCGAAUACGGUGUCGCUACGGUCGACCGUUCGGGUACCAGACGGUCUCCGAUCGCGACGAAAUUCGACAGGCGGCCUAGCUAUAACUAAUCGCGAUCGCGUGCCAAGUUUCACCUCGAUCAGAGAAAGUUUUAAACGCACUUUAAAAACAGGGUUUCGACGGNNNNNNNNNNNNNNNNNNNNNNNNNNNNNNNNNNNNNNNNNNNNNNNNNNNNNNNNNNNNNNNNNNNNNNNNNNNNNNNNNNNNNNNNNNNNNNNNNNNNCACUGCCGGCACUGUUUGCAGGUCAAUCUAGGCUCGCACCUUGCCAGGAAUUAUGUAGAUGGUCGCGUGAUCCUUGUUAUGGUUGGAACGAUCAUCAUUCAAUAAAUAGGAGAAAGCCUAUAAGUAUCAUUUUUUUUUGGGCUAGCAGUAGCGCGGGUACCAGCGCUACUAAUACGACGCUAUAGCUAACUUUAUUAAUUUACACGUUAAAUUUUAUUAAUUGACUAUGGUAAUUUUUACUAAUUAACCACGAAAAGUUUACCUCAUGGAUUAUGGUAAUUUUUAGUAAAUCAUCAUGGCAAUUUCAGUUUAUAAAUCAUGGCAAUUUAUUUUACAGAUCAUGGCAAUUUUAGUAAUUUGACCACGGAAAUUUAGUAUUUUUACCAUGAUAAUUAUUAUUUCCAUGAACCAUGGCAAAUUUAGUGCAUUAAUCAUGGAAAAAUUAAGUAAUUCACCAUGGAAAUUUUAGUUUGUGGUUCAUGCCAAAUUUGAGCGGUUGAUCAUACAUUUUAAAGUAAUUGACGAUGUAUUUAUUUUUAGUUAUGAACCAUGUCAAAAUUAUUUCAUGGAUCAUUUCAAUUUUUAGUACUUCGCCAUAGCAAGUUUUAGUCUCUUAAUUCCCUUUUUGUAACAUCUCAAAAUCUACUUUAAACAUACAAAAAACUAGUUGAUAUAUACUCCCUCCCUUUCAAAAUAAGUGACUCAACUUUGUAAUAGCUUUAGUACAAAGUUAGUAUAAAGUCGAGUCACUUAUUUUGGGACUGAGAAAGUAUUAUGGUAAUUUCAGCGUAAACACCCUGGCAAGUAAUGUGCAAUAUGGACAUGACCACGUUCAACCCAAAAAAAAGUCGCCGAAACGUAUCUAUAUGGGAUCUAGUUUCUACGAUCUCGUCGUGACAAAUUUAAUGGUAAAACAUGAUUUCAAUCGGAUUAUUUAUUUAAAUACUAAAAGCCAAAAAAAUUCAGCCGAAAUCAUUAAUUUUAUUAUCCGUGUAUGCAUGCAGUGACGUGGAGCGAUCUGUAACCUUUGGCCCAAAUUAUUUCACACCACACGUGCGGUAUUUAUCAGGGCCCAAAGAGAAAGGGAUGAAAGUUGAGUCUAAUCACGUGUCCAGGAUGUGAGUUACUCCCUACAUCUCUCCUUCUCAUGAAAUGGAGAAAGCAAGGGCACUACUCGAUCAAGCAAGCAAAGCAGUCAUAUACUUCCUCCAUUUCUAAAUAUAAGUUUCUUUAGAUAUUUCAACAGGGAACUAUAUACAAAUGUAGACAUAUUUCAAAGUAUUGAUUUAUUCAUUUUGCUUCGUAUGUUGUUUUCUAUUAAAAUAUUUAGAAAUACUUAUAUUUAGGAAUGAGGUAGUAGAAGAAGGGAAACAACGCGUGAGUAUCAUGCUGAACUACUCGAUAAAUUCUUAUUUUUUGCAUUUUGUCUCUAGCUAACGUUGCUAGUAUUGGAUGCGGUUCUUGUUAAAGACAACGACUUGAUUCCUCGGAAAUGAAAAAAAAGACAAUACCUGAAGCUCAGAAGCCAGCUGUAUAAAACAUUUACUCCUAUUGGAUAUCAGUCACUUUUUAUUUACAUUAGUUCGUUUGUUGCAUACCACUAUUAUUCCAAGGAGUCUGAUAUUUAUCAUGUCAAACGUCCUACCCUAAUUUUCUUUUAUUUAAGUUAUAGUUUUUUGCAUAAACACCUACUCAUUGUUUUUUGUCCUAGUACAUUAUUACCUAUGUAUCAUAAUAUAAGACUUUUUUCAGGAAAACAACAGGACUCUGUUGCGUAUUUUAUUGAUUUUCAAAUAAAUGAUAUAGAUGUCCAAACAAAAGAAAACAAAGCAACUAUAUAGACUAAAUAAUAUAAGAUGUUUUUAGUAGAUGUUUAAAGUGCAUGAAAGGUUUUAUAGCAAAUGGAAGCUCCCCAAGUGUUUGACACUCGUUAUUUUCACAUUGAAAAUUCAAAACUGCUACAAUAACCCCUUACUUUUCAGGGACAAAUGACAUGGGUUAUACUAGCUCGCACCAUGAGGUGGUGGUCUAGUCAGUCAUGAUUUCGAGCCUCACUUCUACAUAGUACUCCAUGAGGAGUAUUAAGGAAGCCGCCCGCCAUGCACAACGUUUACAGCAGCCGUGGCGAGCCUCCAUGCUUCGAGUUUGGACACCUUCACGAGGCCGGUCCCGUUAUUGAACACGAAUACAUGGCUAUUUUUGUUUUCGGCGNNNNNNNNNNUGAUGAACCAAAGGAUUGAUGAAGAAUUUAGAUUAGUACCAAUGUUCUAAGGGAUAUGCUCCUCCCGUGCUGCUCGAUGUCUAUGUCCACAAACCCUCCANNNNNNNNNNNNNNNNNNNNNNNNNNNNNNNNNNNNNNNNNNNNNNNNNNNNNNNNNNNNNNNNNNNNNNNNNNNNNNNNNNNNNNNNNNNNNNNNNNNNAUGUCCAAUAUGUGAGGUCUCCUACGCACCUAAUCUAGCAAACAAGUAAGCAAGCAAGCACACUCACUGCUCGAUCGAGCAGGCAAUCAUAUAGAAGCACACUCACUGCUCGAUCGAGGUAACUAAAAUAAUUGGGAAUCUAAAGGAAAAAUCAAGGAGGAAACUCCAGUACUCUAAUCACAAGUGUCGAAUAUGUGAGGUCUCCUACGCACCUAAUCUAGCAAACAAGUAAGCAAGCAAGCGCACUCAUUGCUCGAUCGAGCAAGCACGCGGAGCAAUCAUAUAGAAGAGCGUGUGCAUACGUACCAUUCGGAUCUGCUCAGCACCAUCCGGAAGUAACCNNNNNNNNNNCCAUCAUCCGAACCAGCAAAUUGGUCGGCCAUGUACGUACAGUCCACACGAAUGAUCAGAUUAGCUACUGGCUUAAUUCAUUCGUGAGAAGAGAGCAGCUAGAUCGACUUAUUACGUACCGUUCUGCCAGUUCUUGGCGGGCAUGAAGUGGUAGGCGGGCCUGAUGCCCACGCCAUGGCGGACUAGCGAGCUCUCCGCUUCGGAGAGCCGGCGAAGUGAAGAGGACGGCAAGAGGAGAAGGCAGAGGUGGAAGGCGACGAUGCACGCGGCGAGAGGGAGCCUGGCCAUUGCCACCCACUGCGGGGAGGAUGAGAGCGCGGCAAGCAAGUUGGACCGGUGGUUGCUCUCCCCCUCGGAGUCGCCGAACUUAUAGCGCGCCAAGCAAGUUGUGGACGUGGACGUUCACUCGCAGUCACAGCACUCGCCAUAAUAUGUGCCGUCCAUCAGGUCGAUCUGAAGGUCUGGAGCUAAUCAAUAUCUUUUUUUAAUGCAGUAAAGAUGCGAGCAGCAGUGGUUUCAAUUUAAUUUGGUCAAGGAACAGAGGUUGGCUAAGUUGGCAUGAGCAUGGGCACAUUCUGGAGAAGAAUAUUUUUUGUACGNNNNNNNNNNNNNNNNNNNNNNNNNNNNNNNNNNNNNNNNNNNNNNNNNNNNNNNNNNNNNNNNNNNNNNNNNNNNNNNNNNNNNNNNNNNNNNNNNNNNGGAGUCUUUAUUCCCGGGGCGUGGCUCCACCCGGGAUUAAAGCCCCUCCUCGGCUGCACGAUAAAUUUAGUCCCACCUCGCCCAGCGAGGGGACUAACACUUGUUUAUAAGCCCCGUCGCAGCUUCUCCAUCGAGCUCCUCUCUAAAGCAGGCUUACGGGCCUAAACCUACUGAAAAUUGAAACUAUAUUCGAAAUUGUGGAUAAAAUUCAAUCUGAAUUCAAAGUGAAUUCAGGUCGAAUUUUGUCCACGAUUUCUCAUAUAGUUUCAAUUUUUUUCUAUUUUAUAAUUAAUAAUUUUGACUAUCCAAACUAUUAACUUAUUUUGUUAUUUUCAAUUAAAAACUAUGUUUAUUAAAAAUUCUUUUUGCAUAUUUGAGAAUUUGACAAAACUAUGAUAAUGAAAAGUGUUUCAAAUUGAAUAAAUAAUGCAAAACUAUUUUCUAUUUUCAUAAUUAAUAAUUUUGACUAUCCAAACUAUUAUCUAUUUUGUUAUUUUCAAUUAAAAACUAUGUUUAUUAAAAAUUCUUUUUNNNNNNNNNNNNNNNNNNNNNNNNNNNNNNNNNNNNNNNNNNNNNNNNNNNNNNNNNNNNNNNNNNNNNNNNNNNNNNNNNNNNNNNNNNNNNNNNNNNNGUCCUCCCCCCCUGCUACGGCGGCCCCUUCUGCGCCGACCAGUUCGUGUGUGCGGGCGAUAACUGUUGCUACGUUGGUCGUCCGGUUUUGCAUCCGGCUCGACUCAAUGCCCGCGCGUCUUGCAACCUUUUUUCCCCACGUUAAUACGUGUUUUAUUUACUCCCUUCGUUCCUAAAUAUAAAACUUUUUAAAGAUUGCACUAUAUACUACAUACGGAUGUACAUAGACAUAUUUUAGAGUAUAGAUUCACUCAUUUUGCUCCGUAUGUAGUCUUCUAGUGAAAUCUCUAAAAGGUCUUAUAUUUUGGAACGAAUGGAGUAUAUCAUAAGAAUCAUAGUCACUACCACAACAACCAUCAAAGUAAAAAAUGAGGGAUCAACAUCAUACUCGAGCUUGAAGCGGUUCCAUCAUUGAUAUACAGCUUUGCGGACCUUCAAGGUGGCUCGCCAAAGGCAAAACAAUCACCGUUGAACGAAUCAGACUGGAGCAACACCCCGAACACGCCAUCGAACUCCAGAUCUGACACCCCCACCCAACUAAGACGUUAGAGGAGAAAACUGUACCUGCCAUCCACGAACCAUGGACCCAGAUCCACCACCUUCUAGAUGCCGCUGAUGCAUACCAUAAUCUGCAUCCGCUACUGGACUACCUCCCAAGCUCUACACCAGCGCCGGAACAAACGUUGUCGCAACGACGAAGCCCGAGGACACAGGUCCACCACCAGGAUGUCAUUGCCGUCAUGCCAUCCUUACUUGAACGGACUGAUUUCCAAAUCCAUCCCGAACCAUAAGACCGAUCGCCUUGUCAGAGUAGGAUCUAAAAAAAUUUAUUCAGCAUCACUAUCAUCGUCGACGAAGCCGAGACAAUGAACAACCUAAAAACCUAAACUACGAGAGUAAAAACCAAGCCACACGCGUUGAUCGGGUGUCCCUCCUCACCACCUACGACCGAGGUAGCCAGCGGAGGGGAGCCGCCGAAGUGGGGCGGUGGUGGUGGACUCCUGGCGGCUGGAGAUCGCCUUUCUUUCUUCCACAAAAAGAAAAAAAAAAGCGACCAACUCCUCUUGCGCAUCAUUUUGUUUGGUUGCCAAAAGAUAGGGCUAGUGACAAGUAUCUUUUUCUAACACAAUACAUACACAAGCGUUCAUAUAAACAUGCAUACUCUCAUCCUUAUGAAUGUACAAAUACACAUCCUAUAACUGUAAGCAUCUCCGAGAGACUGGAGUAGGCGCCUCGUAGUCAACGAGAACGAACCAUUGAACGCGCAUCGUCAAAAAUUCUGAAAUAAAUCAAUCAUAUAUGCGAGCAUAGAAACUUAAACCCUCAUGGAUUGAGGACGCGCAUUGUCCUUCUAACCAUCCAACUACAAAUUAAUUUGGGCUUGUGAUAAGUAUUUGUUUUGACGGGGUUGUGACAAGUUUUAUGAGAAACAUAAGGUGUGGUAAGUUGGUUUCCAAUAGAAUUGAUAGUCAAUUUCUUUGGGCUAGCCCACAUACUAGCGGGUCAAUUUUGUUGGCACACACCAAACAGAUACUAAAAAUCAAAAUAUCUGGUAAGAACUAAUUUAUGCAUUCCAGCAAAUACAAAUUGUUACAAUAUCUACAACCGGAUCUCUCAAACCCUCCUUAAAUCGUCCGAGCAGUCCGUUCGGUCACGAAAUUGCGACCCGGACGGGCUUCUCAAACCGGCCUCAAACGCCCGAGCUAACCGGUACCCCCUAUUUCCAGCCCAGAUAUGGGGGAGCCCGUGCAUGCUCGGACACGCCCGCCAUGUGGGCCUAACGGCUUGGCCCCACACGGACUCGCCGAGAAACCCGACGGUCUGACGGGUGCCUCGAUCGCCGGUGCGGUGUGAACGCCGCGUGGCGUCGCUAUAGAUCCCAGCCCGAGGUCGGGCCGACUAUUUAAGCCGGCCUAUACCCCCAGCCCUAGCUCAUCCGCCUCCUCCUUCUCUUUGCCGCCACCCGAGCCCAUCCGCCUCCUCUUGCAGCUCCCUCUCCAUCAGGAUGGACCGGCGGCUCAUCACCACCUACGCGCAACUCACUCCAGAACGGCGCUUGCAAAUCGAGGCGGAGAUCCUGGCUCGCCGCGCCGCCCGCAUCGUUGCGGGUCUUCCUUCGGACUCGCAGGAGACGAAGGAGGAGGAGGAGCCGCAACAGUAGAAGGAGGAGCAUCCGGAGGCCAUGGAGGAGGACGACCCGGAGGAGUAGGCUCCCGGCUUGAGCAUGGCGGAGGCGGAGUCGGAGUUCGCCAUUGGCCAAUCGAAGGAGAUGGCGAAGCAGCAGGCCAUCCUGGAUUUCCAUCCGGGAUGAGGCCGAGGUGGAGGUCAACCGCCGCCUCAUCCGACAAAGGUAGGCAAUGGCCGGUGCCCUCUUUGAUGAUCUGGAGGCGGAGGAGGCUGCAGCAGAGCAGCUGGAGGCGCCCGAGGGGGCGGAGCUACGACAGGCGGCCAUUUAGCCGCCAGAGGGCACGGAGAUCGUGGACAUCUCCGAUGAAGAGUAUAUAUGUUCUACGUGGUAUGUAGGUUUUAUAUCUUGCAUGAUUUUGUAUGAAUUUGAGGAUCUUAAUAUAAAAUGUUCAAUUGUAGAAUCAAUUAUUUGAAACGUGUUCAAUAAUUGUUCGCGGACGCGUCCGAACUCGUUUAUGGACAUUUGAGAGGUUGGAUUUACAAGGUCAACCUGUAGAUGUUCUUAAGACGGCGAACUAGAUAAAUGAAAAUUAGGAGUAGGUGAGUGAGAUCCCUGGCCAUCGUGACUUUCAUUUGAUUAGUUCCCCACCCAACGCCCCGCUCUUUUUUGUCUUAGAUGAUCUUUGUACCAUCCAGAGAGCUAGGUCAGUUCAAACUAGUCAAACAUACACACACAAAAUAGUAAUAAUCGAACAGAGCCCGCUGGAAAAGUAUUAUGGUUCGUAAGAAAAAGAAUAGUACAUGAUCGAUAUACAUAUAUGUAUGCAUAUGAUUGGCAUGACACGGUAUAAUCGAAAUCGCUCAAUCAUAUAAACACAUGCAUGCACAUUUUAUUUUUAUAAGCAGGUUUACAAAACUGAGCCUCUACAUUAUCUUCGUAUGAACAAAAUCCCUUUUAUAGUUGGUCACCGUACUAAUCGCAGGCUAUGGCGAACGGGUCAUGAUCGACGCAGGAGUCAGUCAACCCAGAAAAUAAACAUUUUCUGCCGGGUGGGCGUAGAUUUGCACGUGGCGGUGCGCUGCUGUGAGCCGAUUAUUCCCCGUCCCGUUUUACACUGGUUAGUGUAUGUGUGGCGUUGGCGUUAGCACGCACGUUGUCUCCUCCGAUCAACCUCAGAAAGUCUACCGGCGAGGUGCGUGUGGGUGCUGUUCGAUGGUGACUCGACGGCCAAUUCCAUACGUUUGACGGCAUCGUGGCCUAGCAUAGCUGUACCGGUGCGUGUAUCGCUGUCUGCUCCUUCCGACGUGACCCUUAUUCUGGCUGGCAGUUGGCAAAGUACAAAAUACAACUUCUGAUGUGACGAAUUGGUCGUGCGCCACGCUUUCUCUUUAUACAGAUAUACAUGGGAAAUUUGGUUUUGUAGUUUUUGUACCGCACCGGUCGUUUUGUAACUUAGCGGCGUAGGGACCAACAAAACGGUCGGCCGGCGGGGGCACGGUUGAGUCCCUGUCAGGUGCAUCCAUGCGCACCGAUGUUACUACACUUAGGCUAACUUCAGGGCGACCUCAUCUGGACGCCCGUUUGGUUCGGUUUCUAUUCGUUCGGGACGGGUAAUGUAUUUGUGUCUGAAGUUUUUCUAGGAUGCAUCGGUCGUACAACCAAUGCAUGGCCGCAUUUCGACCCGCAUCCCGUCCGCAUACAUUUCUUUGAAACACAUAUCUUUUUAUUUAUAUCAUUGAUUUUCUAUACAUGAUAAUACAUCAUUAAAUUUUGACUAGAAUAGUAAGACCAAAGAAAACAAAACCACAAUAAGAAUAAAUCCAACUUUCAUAACUGCUCCCGUAAGUUGGAUUAGUGCUUUCUCGAUCCAUAUUCAUUGUUGAUCUGUGGAGGCUCGAUCUUGCGUGCUUCUAUCUUCUUCGUGUCUAAACAAAUUGCCGUUGCUUCCUCGCAUCUACUUUCAUCUCUAGCAUCUAUUGUAGCAACAAGUGCAAUGUUCUUAUUUUUAACCUCUAUUGUAGCUAAAAGUGCACGAACAUAUACUAAUUUACAUUCUAUCAAAAUAUCAAUGUAUUCUUCUUCCCGAUACCAAAAGUCGCAUUCAUUCUACACAACAAUAAAAUUAAGUUAGCACAAGUAGUCAAAUCCGAGAGCACAAACUAUGCUAAAGUAGCACAUACAUCCUCACAGUUUGGACACUUGAUGAACAUCCAUCCAGGAUGUUCCGGCGUUGUAGACAUGCAACGCUGGACCUUUUCUUGGACAAUCGUCGCCCUUAAUAAGUAGCAACGGUGCACCGCCGACCCUUUGGGCCAGCACCGACGCCGGCCUCCCGCCGUUCUUUGUAUCUGCCUCGAACCACCGACGGCGUAGAUCCGAACGGCUAGAGGAGGAGUCAGUACCUGCAUGCGGCAUUGCGGCCUUGCCGGGAGGUCCUGGCCCUGUGUCCGACCAAUCCAUGGCACGACGUGGCCUCCCCGCAGCCAGGCGAGCCCCAAGUCCGGUCGGAUCCGCUCCAAAUCCGACCGCCGGGAGCGCAAAUCAGGUAGUCGUGGUUGGGUAGCUCGGGGCGUCGAGGCAGCGGGUCCUGCGAAGGAUUGGGGCGAGCACGCGUCUGAGCUGCACAACGGCGAAUAGUAGCGGCGGCGGCGGAGAGGGACAAGAGUGGCGGGGGGUGUGGUUAGAGGGCUCGAUGGGGGGGGUGGGUGGGGUGGGGGAUAGAAAAAGGGAGGCAUGUGCCAUCGACGAGCGGGCCAAGGGAGGACAAUCACGCGCGUCCGGUCUGUCCACGCACUGUCUGUUUCAUCCCAAAGGUGGCCCAAACUGGAACUGGGGAUGGGUCAAAAGCGGACAAAAAACGGACAAAAGUGUGUUUGCGCCCGCGCGCUCGGCCGUCUGGUAUGUUCGUUUCACCCCAAACGGACGCACCCAAACAUGAUGGGGUCGUGCGCUGGAGUUGGCCUUAGAACGCGUUUGAUUGCCCCCUAUAAGACUCAAUCAGACACGUGAAAAAGGAAUCGGUCUGUGUGGUUGAGGUUUUUUUUUCAAAAAGAUCACCUGCACAACGGAAUUGCAAGAAAAUACCUCUCUAGAUUAAAUUGACAUAAAAGACCCCCUCGGCCAUGGCGGCAGGCGCACCAGCCGGCACGUUCAAAGGCGGGAACACUGUAUGUGAUCGGGCUGCCGUGGCAAAAGUUGUCUCAAAUCAGCCCUAAAACCUCCGUAUAUAUAGGUGGGAGGGGAGGGGCCUUUCCUUGGGUUCAAGGAGCCCCAAGGGGUUCGGCCGAAGCAAGGGGGAGAGUCCUCCCCUUCCAAUCCUAGUCCAACUAGGAUUGGAAGGUGGAGUCUUCUCCACUUUCCCACUUUCCCCCUUUUUUUCUCUUUGAUUUUUCUUUCUCCUGCGCAUAGAGCUUCUUGGGCUGUCCCACCAGCCCACUAAGGGCUGGUGUGGCACCCCUAAAGCCUAUGGGCUUCCCCCGGGGUGGGCUGCCCCCCCCGGUGAACAUCCGGAACCCAUUCGUCAUUCCCAGUAACUCCGAAAACCUUCCGAUAAUCAAAUGAGGUCAUCCUAUAUAUCAAUCUUCGUCUCCGGACCAUUUCGGAAACCCUCGUGACGUCCGUGAUCUCAUCCGGGACUCCGAACAACAUUCGGUAACCAGCCAUAUAACUCAAAUACGCAUAAAACAACACCGAACCUUAAGUGUGCAGACCCUGCGGGUUCGAGAACUAUGUAGACAUGACCCGAGGGACUCCUCGGUCAAUAUCCAAUAACGGGACGUGGAUGCCCAUAUUGGAUCCUACAUAUUCUACGAAGAUCUUAUCGUUUGAACCUCAGUGCCAAGGAUUCAUAUAAUCCCGUAUGUCAUUCCCUUUGUCCUUCGGUAUGUUACUUGCCCGAGAUUCGAUCGUUAGUAUCCGCAUACCUAUUUCAAUCUCGUUUACCGGCAAGUCUCUUUACUCGUUCCGUAAUACAAGAUCACGUGACUUACACUAAGUCACAUUGCUUGCAAGUCUUGUGUGUCAUGUUGUAUUACCGAGUGGGCCCCGAGAUACCUCUCUGUCACACGGAGUGACAAAUCCCAGUCUUGAUCCAUACUAACUCAACGGACACCUUCGGAGAUACCUGUAGAGCAUCUUUAUAGUCACCCAGUUACAUUGCGACGUUUGAUACACUUAAAGCAUUCCUCCGGUGUCAGUGAGUUAUAUGAUCUCAUGGUCAUAGGAAUAAAUACUUGACACGCAGAAAACAGUAGCAACAAAAUGACACGAUCAACAUGCUACGUCUAGUAGUUUGGGUCUAGUCCAUCACAUGAUUCUCCUAAUGAUGUGAUCCCGUUAUCAAGUGACAACACUUGCCUAUGGUCAGAAAACCUUGACCAUCUUUGAUCAACGAGCUAGUCAACUAGAGGCUUACUAGGGACAGUGUUUUGUCUAUGUACCCACACAAGUAUUGUGUUUCCAAUCAAUACAAUUAUAGCAUGAAUAAUAAACGAUUAUCAUGAACAAAGAAAUAUAAUAAUAACUAAUUUAUUAUUGCCUCUAGGACAUAUUUCCAACACAAACUUGCCCCCUCUAUGCAUGAAUGUUGGCUCCGUCCCUGCACCAGGGUUACAUCGCUGAUUGUCACGGAAGAGGGCCGGCGUAUGUUCCCUGUUAAGUACGAAAAAAUAUCGUAUUUCUGUCAAGUGUGUGGACUCAUGGGUCAUAACCAUGAGGAGUGUGGAGAUGUCGUUAGGGAGGCAAAGCAGAAGCAAUGGGGAAGUUGGAUGUUGGCACUUACUCCUUCCGUCCGGAAAUUCCAUAAGUUUGACGGUAUUUGUCACAUACUCCUUCCGUCUGAAAAUUCUUAUUUAAAAAAUAGAUGUAUCUAAAUAUAUUUUAAUUAUAAAUACAUUCAUUUAUUUUUAUUUUUACGAUAAAUAAUUUCAAACGAAAGGAGUAGUACUGAUGUGACGAAUCCGUCGUGUGCCAUGGUUUCGUUUUCUACAAAGAUACAGAUACACGAAGGGGAAAAUUGGUUUUGUACCACACCGUACCGGUCGUCUCAUAUAUAACUUCCGUCGUAGGGGUCCAUGGCAUAGCCGUGGUACCGGGUGAUCGGGACGUGUGGCCAACAAAACGGUCGGCCGGCCGGCGGGGGCAGGGUUGAGCCCCCGUCAGUUGCAUGCAUGCGCACGGACAUUACUACGGUUAGCCGCCGGGAACGAUAGCAACGAAAGACGAGGAAACCUUCUUGUUUUGCCGUAGGCACACAUACGUAGGGCCAUGCAUGCAUGCAUGCACAAGCACAUGCGCGAUUUUCGGUCCUCCGCGGUUUCGUCGCCGCAUCCUCUUGGCAGCCGGCCAUGGCUUCAUCAAUGCACCUACUCCUACAUGAGCGAAACCCAUGAACGAGAUCCGACACAGCUCCGUCCGUAAUAACGAUGUCGCUUGCAUGCAUCAGCGGCGGCCAGGUCGUCGUGCGCGUUCAAGGUCUGGACUCUGGACCAAGAAAGGAAGAUCGAUAUUGUUCGUCCUCACCACGCCUUUGUCAAGAGAAUAUUUUUAUGUUCCUACUGUAGUUUUUCUCUCUCGACUAUGGAGUAUAUGUCCACGCACGGACGUUAUGAGUCGCAUGCAUGCAUCUGCGUGUGCGAGUUGGAAUGGAAUCCAUUGCUAGUAGUACCACUUUUCGCCAUCAUUAGCUGUGCGUCGAACCCCUGCCGUCCACAUGUGGUUUUGGUUCCCAUCAAAUCGUCCCGUCAAAUUCCUCAAAAAAAAAAAAAAUCGUCCCGUAAAUCGAUCGGUACAUCCACCCACAUACGUAUGGGCGUGCGUUAAUCUGGAUGGUCUGAAUUCCAUUCCAGAUGGAUGUGCGCUAGCGAGACCGUCCCAACUUGUGCAAGAAAUGUCUGCGCUCUCCUCUCAACAUCCUUCCAAGAAUGUCAACUUUUGAAUCCAUUAUGUCCACGGUGGUGCGCCGUAUGCAUGCAUAUACAUGUGCUUGUUUUCUGCGUGCAUGGUAAUACACGUCUCAUUCACGUAACAAGGAUCAAUUUACAAGCCAAGGAGAAAAUUAAUAAUCAAGAUCGAAAAUCCUUCAAACCAGAUCCUCCGGCACCAUCGUAGCAGCCACUAGAGUCUAACAACAUGAAUACAUAGACCAAUCUAAAGCCACCCAUCCGACGAACAAAGUUGCAACACCACUGUUGAUAAUGUUCCCAAACCGCAUGAAUAAGCGCUAUCUAAUCCGGCAGCCUCACGCAUCUAUCCUUUAUCGGGCUGAGAGCACCACCCUGGCCGACACGGGGUGCGCAUGCUCUCGAUUCGUCGCCACCAUCUUCCACCGUCCUAUCUCUAGGAGCGAUCAACGCAUUCAUCUUUCCGGGCCAUACUGUCGCCGAUGCCACCGCGACACCAAACAACACCAUCAAGAUGCAUCCAUUGCCGAGUACCCACUGCACCAUGCCGCUAAGACCCGUCGUCAUCAACGCGGUAGAUACGACGCUGCACCACCUCUUGAUCUAGAUCGGCGUCAAGGCUAACCCAAUGAUGUCCACCAUCCACACAGCUCCCAAAGCGACACCUUUAAAAAGGAAACGGUGUCAAAAGCGUCGUCGUCGCCCACCGCUGUGUAUACUUUUCAAUUUCAUGACUAACUGCAUUUUGAUUGCAGCAGAUUUUCUUUCCCUCUCUCUCUCCCCUUUAAAGCAACAGGUUGCGUUCUUUUUGACUCAUAAUUUUCAAGGCUGACAAUUAUAUAUCUUGCCACACUUGAUCGUUAAUGGAGCUCGGGCACGUCCGGUCUGACAAUUGAACUAUGGAUUAAGUCUUCCCCCCUUUCUGGGUCUCCCUCCCCGGCCAGACGGCUGUGAAAAUUGCCAGCGGGCAAACAUUCGCCCAUCAGAUUUUUCCAUUCGGGCAUUACAUAGAUGUGCUUGUUGAACUUCUAGGUUUGACAUCCUAAGCAAUACAGGGACUUCGUUCACCUUUCCAUAACAAUAUCCAUAUCGUCAUAACUCAUAAACUCCUCCGAAAACCACACCCCGUUUGGGAGACCUUCCACUACUGCGCAACAAGUGACACACAACGCAAAGCACCGUUUAUAGGUAUCCAUCACUCACUCCAUUUGUUCUCACUCACGACUAGGAUAUCAAGGUCGGCUUGACCCCAAAAGUUAUGUGGCAAGACGGGCUGAGCUACGUGUCCAUGCCUGUAACACAACACGUCGACACUACGCACAAACGAAUACGGUACGAAAAAAUCGCGUGCAGUGCAGUGCAGUCCUUGUUCCUCUCGACGUAGAGGUCCAAAACCAGAUGGCAGCUAGAGCUAGCUUAAACUGCUACUCCACACGGCCACGGUCGGACGGAUCGAGAAUCCACCGACGAUCCGUCCGUCCGCGUCGCAGGAAGAGCCGGCCACCAAGAGGGUGACGUGAGUGUGAGCAGCUUCCCUGCGUCUUGGGUCGUUGACGUGCAUGCAUGCACACACACCUUUUUGGGUCAACGGCCAGUUGGCCGAUGCACCGAUGGAACAUGUGCCCUAUAUUGAUGCUAUUGCGUCCCCUGCCCGAUUCUCCAAAUGUCCUGAUAGAUAUUUAUUAGAGAGAGAGCGAGAGGAGGGGGAGAGGGAGAGAUGGAGCAAGAGCUUUUUUUUUUGGGAAAAUCACAGAGCUUUAUUCAUAUAAAGGCAUUCUUGGGACAGUCAGCCAAGGGGCUGGUCACCAAGAAGCCAUUAGUUUCAACUAGCCAGUUGUCGGUCACAUUCAGCGUACAAGCAUGUUUUGCACAUGCGCCGGAACAUUUGCUGACCUGCUUACAUGCUGAAUAGUAAAGGAGCCACAAUUGAGCAAGAAUUGUGGUGAGUGUUUCAGAGUGUCACCAACUUCAUACAAUCAACUUCCAUAAUCGCCUGCGAGAACCCUCGAAGAGAAGCAAACCGAACUCCCUUUCACAGAGAAAGACCAUCCUUGAUCAAGGGAUCAGAGAUCCCAAUAAACGGCUUGCAUCAUGCCCCUAGGAGGGUCGAGGAGGAGCGGGCAACCCCUCUUGCACCCCCUGCCUUCUGCCAGAUUGAGGGCUCCGUCCGUGGCAACCUUAAUGAAACCAUCAUCAGGCGGCCUCCAACUGAAGUCGGGAAGAAUCAUAGCCUCCUUGCGUGGAAGGUGAAGAAGCACUAUAGCCUCCUUAGUGGCUCUCAUUGUUGCCGUGGGAUCUCUUCCUUCAUCUCCAUGCUUGAUGCGAUUCCUAGAAUGCCAAAUGGACCACAUGAUAGUGGAAAUUUUAGCAUGAUCAUCAACCAUGAAGCUAGGAUCACAGAUGAUAUCCUUCGCCCAUGUGUUCGGAUGGAGACUAGGGAGCCGGAUUCCAUACCAUGCACAAGCCUCCUCCGAGAACUGCUGAGCAUGUUGGCAAUGAAUUAGCGCAUGUUUCAGAUCCUCAUCCGCUGGUAAACAUAUUUUGCAUUCACGGAUCUCUGCAAUAUGCCGAUAGUUGAGAGUGACCUCAUCUGGUAGAAUCCCGUGAAGAACUCGCCACUAGAAUACUCUCACUUUUGGAAUGACAUUCAAUUUCCACAAAGCUGUCCACAACUAUUGAUCAUCAUAUGAGGCGUCGGUAGCCGUCCCUUUUUCUAGAGCCAAACACUCCUUCUGAGUCACAAGAUCACGGUACGCCGUCUCCACAAUGUAGUUGCUAGUUUUUUCGAAUGCCCACGCAAGAAAAUCAUCACCUCCUCCCCGCCGGAGAGGAAUAUUGAGUAUGACCUCCGCAUCCAAGGAAGUAAAAUUAUGACUAACUCUAUCCUGUCUCUAGGACCAAUUCGUUGUGUCAAUAAGAUCCACCACUCGAGCAAUGUUGGUACUGGUAGGCCUAGAGAAAGGUGUCAUGGAGAUUGUUCCUGGAAUCCAUUUGUCGGUCCAGACAAAGAUGGUGCUGCCAUCUCCCACGCGGGAGAUCAGUCCACUUCGCAAGGCGUCCCUCCCCGUCAUGAUCGCCUUCCAGGUGGAGGAGGCUGACUUGGGUGUAGCAGCAUGCAUGAAAUUGUUGGAAUUAUGCCCUAGAGGCAAUGAUAAAUAAGUUAUUAUUAUAAUUCCUGUAUCAAGAUAAUCGUUUAUUAUCCAUGCUAUAAUUGUAUUGAAUGAAGACUUAGAUACAUGUGUGGAUACAUAGACAAAACACUGUCCCUAGCAAGCCUCUAGUUGGCUAGCCAGUUGAUCAAGUAUAGUCAGGGUCUUCUGACUAUGUACAAGGUGUUGUUGCUUGAUAACUGGAUCACAUCAUUGGGUGAAUCAUGUGAUGGACUAGACCCAAACUAAUAGACGUAGCAUGUUGAUCGUGUCAUUUUGUUGCUACUGUUUUCUGCGUGUCAAGUAUUUAUUCCUAUGACCAUGAGAUCAUAUAACUCACUGACACCGAAGGAAUGCUUUGUGUGUAUCAAACGUCGCAACGUAACUGGGUGACUAUAAAGAUGCUCUACAGGUAUCUCCGAAGGUGUCCGUUGAGUUAGUAUGGAUAGAGACUGGGAUUUGUCACUCCGUGUGACAGAGAGGUAUCUCGGGGCCCACUCGGUAAUACAACAUCACACAGAAGACUUGCAAGCAAUGUGACUUAGUGUAAGUCACGUGAUCUUGUAUUACGGAACGAGUAAAGAGACUUGCCGGUAAACGAGAUUGAAAUAGGUAUGCGGAUACUGACGAUCGAAUCUCGGGCAAGUAACAUACCGAAGGACAAAGGGAACGACAUACGGGAUUAUAUGAAUCCUUGGCACUGAGGUUCAAACGAUAAGAUCUUCGUAGAAUAUGUAGGAUCCAAUAUGGGCAUCCAGGUCCCGCUAUUGGAUAUUGACCGAGGAGUCCCUCAGGUCAUGUCUACAUAGUUCUCGAACCCGCAGGGUCUGCACACUUAAGGUUCGGCGUUGUCUUAUGCGUAUUUGAGUUAUAUGGUUGGUUACCGAAUGUUGUUCGGAGUCCCGGAUGAGAUCACAGACGUCACGAGGGUUUCCGGAAUGGUCCGGAGACGAAGAUUGAUAUAUAGGUUGACCUCAUUUGAUUACCGGAAAGUUUUUGGAAUUACCGGGAAUGUACCGGGAGUGACGAAUGGGUUCCGGAUGUUCACCGGGGGGAGGGGGGGGGGCAGCCCAUAGCCCUUAGGGGUGCCGCACCAGCCCUUAGUGGGCUGGUGGGCAAGCCCAAGAAGGCCCCUGCGCAGGAUAAAAGAAAAUCAAAGAGAAAAAAAGGGGAAGUGGGAAGGAAGGGAAGGACUCCACCUUGCAAUCCUAGUUGGACUAGGAUUGGAGGAGGAUUCCUCCUCCCCCCCUUUGGCUGAACCCCUUGAGGCUCCUUGAGCCUCAAGGCAAGGACCCUCCCCUCCCACCUAUAUAUGCGGAGGUAUUAGGGCUGAUUUGUGACAACUUUGCCAUGGCAGCCCGACCACAUACCUCCACGGUUUUUCCUCAAGAUCGCGUUUCUACGGAGCUCGGGCGGAGCCCUGCUGAGAUCAGAUCACCACCAACCUCUGGAGCGCCGUCACACUGCCGGAGAACUCAUCUACCUCUCCGUCUCUCUUGCUGGAUCAAGGAGGCCGAGAUCAUCAUCGAGCUGUACGUGUGCUGAACGCGGAGGUGCCGUCCGUUCGGCACUAGAUCGGAGCGGAUCGUUGCACGGAUCGCAGGACGGUUCGUGGGACGGUUCGCGGGGCGGAUCGAGGGACGUGAGGGUUCUGCUUCUGCUGUGCGAUCUACAAGGGUACGUAGAUCUAAAAUCCCCCUCGUAGAUGGACAUCACCAUGAUAGGUCUUCGUGCGCGUAGGAAAUUUUUGUUUCCCAUGCGACGUUCCCCAACAGUGGCAUCAUGAGCUAGGUUCAUGCAUAGAUGUCUCCUCGAGUAGAACACAAAAGUUAUUGUGGGCGGUGAUGUGCGAUUUGCUGCCCUCCUUAGUCUUUUCUUGAUUCCGCGGUAUUGUUGGAUCGAAGCGGCUCGGACCGACAUUACUCGUACGCUUACGAGAGACUGGUUUCAUCGCUACGGGCAACUCCGUUGCUCAAAGAUGACUGGCGAGUGUCGGUUUCUCCAACUUUAGUUGAAUCAGAUUUGACCAAAGAGGUCCUUGGAUGAGGUUAAAUAGCAAUUCAUAUAUCUCCGUUGUGGUGUUUGCGUAAGUAAGAUGCGAUUCUACUAGAUACGCAUGGUCACCACGUAAAACAUGCAGCAACAAUUAGAGGAUGUCUAACUUGUUUUUGCAGGGUAUGCUUGUGAUGUGAUAUGGCCGACGAUGUGAUGUGAUAUAUUGGAUGUAUGAGAUGAUCAUGUUGUAAUAGUUAAUAUCGACUUGCAAGUCGAUGGUACGGCAACUGGCAGGAGCCAUAGGGUUGUCUUUAAACUAAUGUUUGUGCUUGCAGAUGCGUUUACUAUAUUGCUAGGAUGUAGCUUUAGUAGUAAUAGCAUGAGUAGCACGACAACCCCGAUGGCGACGCGUUGAUGGAGAUCAUGGUGUGGCGCUGGUGACAAGAAGAUCGUGCUGGUGCUUUGGUGAUGGAGAUCAAGAAGCACGUGAUGAUGGCCAUAUCAUGUCACUUAUGAAUUGCAUGUGAUAUUAAUCCUUUUAUGCACCUUAUUUUGCUUAGAACGACGGUUGCAUUAUGAGUUGAUCUCUCACUAAAAUUUCAAGACGAAAUUGUGUUCUCCUCGACUGUGCACCGUUGCUACAGUUUGUUGUUUCGAGACACCACGUGAUGAUCGGGUGUGAUAGACUCAACGUUCACAUACAACGGGUGCAAAACAGUUGCACACACGAAACACUCGGGUUAAGCUUGACGAGCCUAGCAUGUGUAGACAUGGCCUCGGAACACAUGAGACCGAAAGGUCGAUCAUGAAUCAUAUAGUUGAUAUGAUUAGCAUAGGGAUGCUUACCACUGAAACUAUCCUCAACUCACGUGAUGAUCGGACUUGAGCUAGUGGAAUUGGACCAUGAACCACUCAAAUGACUAGAGAGAUGUACUUUUUGAGUGGGAGUUUAGCAAGCAAUUUGAUUAAGUUAAACUCUAAUUAUCUUGAACAUAGUCUAAGACCACUUUGAAUAUAUUUGUGUUGUAGAUCAUGGCUCACGCGACAGUCACCCUGAAUUUUAAUACGUUCCUAGAGAAAGCUAAGUUGAAAGAUGAUGUGCUACUGCGACAACAGACCUUCCCUGGUACGACGCCAGGAAUCCUGCUGCUACAGCUACGCCUUUAGGGACUUCCUUGGCAAAUAUGCAAAGUAUUUCCCCGCGGCCUUGGAGCCUUGCGUUGGUGUUCCCUUGAAGAGGAAAGGGUGAUGUAGCACAGCGGCGGUAAGUAUUUCCCUCAGUUUUGAGAACUAAGGUAUCAAACCAGUGGAAGAUCUCGUCAAGUCACAAGUACUUGCACAAACACAAAGAGCUUGCACCCAACGCUAUGAAGGGGUUGUCAAUCCCUUAUAGAUUGUUUGCAAAGUGAGAACUGAAAGCAAAAAGCAAACAGAGCAAAGUAAAAGUGAAAGUGGAAACGAUAGUUGUGAAUAGACCCGGGGGCCGUAGUGUUCACUAGUGGCUUCUCUCAUGAAAGCAAGUAGACAGUGGGUGAACGAAUUACUGUCGAGCAAUUGAUAGAACCGCGCAAAGUCGUGACGUUAUCUAAGGCAAUGAUUAUAUCUAUAGGCAUCACGUCCAAAACAAGUAGACCGAUACUUUCUGCAUCUACUACUAUUACUCCACACGUCGACCGCUAUCUAGCAUGCAUCUAGUGUAUUAAGUCCAAAAGAACAGAGUAACGCCUUAAGCAAGAUGACAUGAUGUAGAUGGACAAUCUCAUAUCUAUGAUAAAAGCCCAUCUUGUUACCCUUGAUGGCAACAACACGAUGCGUGCCUUGCUGCCCCUUCUGUCACUGGAAAGGUCACCACACGGUAUGAACCCAAAACCAAGCACUUCUCCCAUUGCAAGAAUCAUAGAUCUAGUUGGCCAAAAAAACCCAAGACUCGGAGAGACUUACAAGGAUAUCAAAUCAUGCAAAUAAGAAAUCAGCAAAGACUCAAAUAUAAUUCAUAGAUAAUCAGAUCACAAAUCCAGAAUUCAUCGGAUCUCGAUAAACACACCGCCAAAGAGGAUUACAUCGGAUAGAUCUCCAUGAAGAUCAUGGAGAACUUUGUAUUGAAGAUCCAAGAGAGAGAAGAAGCCAUCUAGAUACUAAUUACGGACCCGUAGGUGUGAAGUAGACUGCUCACGAGUCAUUGCAGAGGCGAUGAUGUUGAUGUAGAAGCUCUCCAACUCCAAAGUCCCCUCCCACAGGGCACCGGGAAGGGUCUCCAAAUGAGAUCUCGCGGAAACGGAAGCUUGCGGCGGCGGAAAAGUGUUUUCAUACAUGCCCUGAUUUUUUCUGGAUUUUUAGGGAAUUUAUAGGCGAAAGACCUAGGGCAGGGGAGCGCCAGGGAGACCACAAGCUUGGUUGCCGCGGCCCCCCUGGCCACGGAAACAGGGCUUGUGGGCUCCCUGUGGGUCCACUGCCUUGGCCCUCAAGCCUCCCGAUCUUCUUCCGUUCUGGAAAAAUUUAUAUCGGGGAUUUUAUUCCGUUUGGACUCCGUUCCAGAAUCAGAUCUGAAGAGAGUAAAAAACACAGAAAAAACAGGAACUGGCACUUGGCACUGGAUUAAUAAGUUAGUCCCAAAAAAGAUAUAAAAGGUAAACAAAACAUCCAAAGUUGACAAGAUAACAUCGUGAAACCAUAAAAAAUUAUAGAUACGUUUGAGACGUAUCAAGCAUCCCCAAGCUUAACUCCUGCUCGUCCUCGAGUAGGGAAGUGAUAAAGAAUGAAUUUUUGAUGCUUUCAUGCUACCUAGCAUAGAUGUCCUUUGUAACUCCUCUUAUGUGACGUGAAUGUUCAGAUCCAUUAGAUUCAAAACAAUAGUUUGCUAUUGACGUGAAGACAAUAAUAAUUCAAGCAAACUAGCGAGGUAAUCAUGAACUUUCAAAAUAACAAGGCCAAAAGAAAGUUAUCCCUACAAAAUCAUAUAGUAUGGCUAUGCUCUAUCAUCAUUGCACAACGAAUUUAAAUCAUGCACAACCCCGGUAUUGGCCAAGUAAUUGUUUUCACACCUUUACUUUCUUAAACUUUUUGGACUCUCACGUAAUACAUGAGCGUGAGCCAUGGUUUUAGCACUAUAAGUUGUGUGGAGUGUGGUGGAGGUUGCAAGGCAAACAAUGAGAAGAUGGUCACAUUGACUAGGCAUAUCAAUGAGCCAUGGAGAUGCUCAUCAAUAGAUAUCAACGUGAAUGAGUAGGGAUUGCCGUACAAAUGAUGCACUAGAGCUAAGAGUAUGUGAAAGCUCUUAAAGAAAACUAGUGGGUGUGCAUCCAACUUGCUUGCUCACGAAGACCUAAGGCAAUUUUGAGGAAGCCUAUCAUUGGAAUAUACAACCAAGUUAUAUAAUGAGAAUUUCUUACUAGCUAUAUGGUGGUGACAAAACGAGAGACUCUCAAUCAUGAAGAUCAUGGUGUUUAAUAUGCACAAGUGUGGAAAGGUGGUAGCAUUGUCCCUUCUCUAUUUUUCUCUCAUUUUUUGGUGGGCUCUAUGGCCUUUUUUUAUUAUAUAUUUUUUAUUUUGGUGGGCAUCUUUGGCCUCUUUUAUUUCCUCACAUGGGACAAUGCUCCAUCAAUGAUGAUCAUCACACUUACAACUCAAAACUUGGAGCAAUGAUGACUCUAUAUGGAAUGCCUUCAGUAGUGUACCGUGACAAUGAUCUAGCAUGUCAUAGACAUCAAUGGAAACAUCAUGUUAGCUAUCUUACGAUCAUGCAAUGGCAAUGUAGAAGUGGUGGCACAUGUCAUGGUGGUAAUCGUAUGGAAAUAUAUCUCGGAAUAGCUUUGAAAAAGCCAUAGUAGGUAGGUAUGGUGGCUGUUUUGAGGAAGGCUAUAUGGGUGGUUUUGUGCACCGGCGAAAGUUGCACGACACUAAAGAAGAUAGUGAUGGUGGAAGGUGAAAGUGCAUUUAAACCAUGGACUCAACAUUAGUCAUGAAGAACUCAUAUACUUGUUGCAAAAGUUUUAGUAGUAAUCGAAACAAAGCAUUCAACGCAUACUCCUAGCUAGGGGAAGGGUUGGUAGGUAUAAACCAUCGCGCGAUCCCGACCGCCACACAAAGGAUGACAAUCAAUAGACUAAUCAUGCUCAGACUUCAUCACAUAGAGGUUCACCAUACGUGCAUGCUACGGGAAUCACUAACUUCAACACAAGUAUUUUUAGAUCCACAACACCUUACUAAUAUAACUUCAAUAUUACCACAACCACAACUCAAAACUAAUUGAGAUGAAUCAAACUUCUCUAACUAUUCAAUGCACAUGAUGGUGGAAGUUUUCAUAUCCCUUUGGAUAACUACCCCUUUUGAGACUACUUUCAAAGCAUAGAUCAACUACCAAGCCACGCACCACCGUGCUCUAAAAGAUAUAAGUGAAGCACAUAUGAGCUGAAUUGUCUAACCAAAGGAUAUAAGUGAAGCUCGACAAAAUCACGGUGAGUGCAUGUCUCUCUCUCUAGGUGUGCAGCAAGGAUGAUUGUGACACAACAAAAAUAAAAGACUCCUACGAUACAAGAUGCUCCAAGAAAAACACAUAACAUGUGGUGAAUAAAAAUAUAGCCCCAAGUAAUAUUACCGAUGGAUUGAAGACGAAAGAGGGAUGCCUUCCCGGGGCAUCCCCAAGCUUAGGCUUUUACGGCAUCCUUGAAUCAACUUGGGGUGCCUUGGGCAUCCCCAAGCUUGAGCUCUUGCCACUCUUUAUCCUUUUGUCCAUAAGAACUUCAUCCAAAACUUGAGAACUUCACAACACGAAACUUAAACAGAAACUCGUGAUAACAUUAGUAUAAGAAAGCAAACCACCACUUCCUUAGGUACUGUAGCAAACAUAAAUUCUACUUAUGUUGAUGUUGGGUUACUGUAUUUUCAAUCUUCCAUGGCUAAUACCCCCGAUACUAUCCAUAGUUUCAUCAAAAUAAGCAACCAACUCAACAAAAACAGAAUCUGUUAACAGCAGACCAGUCUGUAGAAAUCUGUAUACUUCGUAUACUUCAGGUACUUCAAAAAUUCUGAAAAAUUACGACAGUCUGAAGAAUUUGCAUAUCAAUCAGCAUAAAAAAGAAUCAACUCAAAAUCUCAUGCAGAAAAAAAAUGAAAAUUUGUUUCGUGAGCAGAAAGUUUCUGUCUUUUCCAGCAUGACCAAACGAUCAUCCCCAAGACUAAUCAUAACGGUUUUGCUUGGCACAAACGCAAAAAGAAACACAAAAAACACAAUCAUAACAGAAUUGUGAAAGUGUGGAAAACACAAAACAGAAAGAAAAAGGAUAGAUUUGUUGGGUUGCCUCCCAACAAGCGCUAUUGUUAACGCCCUUAGCUAGGCAAAAGGUGAUGGAAUCACGUAUAGUCAUCUUUGGUGUUGAAACCAUAAGUAGCCCUCAUCAUAGAUUCAUAAGGCAAUCUUAUUUUAUUUCUAGGAAAAUGCUCCAUGCCCUUCUUUAGAGGAAAUUUAAAUCUAAUAUUCCCUUCCUUCAUAUCGAUGAUAGCACCAAUAGUCCUUAGGAAAGGUCUACCAAGAAUAAUGGGACAUGAAGGAUUGCAAUCUAUGUCAAGUAUAAUGAAAUCCACGGGUACAUAGUUCUUAUUUGCAACAAUAAGAACAUCAUCGAUCCUUCCCAUGGGUUUCUUAACAGUAGAAUCCGCAAGAUGCAAAUUAAGAGAACACUCUUCAAUCUCAUGAAAACCAAGAAUAUCACAUAAAGACUUUGGAAUCGCGGAAACACUAGCACCCAAAUCACACAAAGCAUUGCAUUCAUAGUUUUUGAUCUUGAUUUUGAUAGUAGGUCCCCACUCAUCAUGAAGUUUUCUAGGUAUAGAGACUUCUAAUUCGAGCUUCUCUUCAAGAGAUUUCAUUAUAGCAUCUACGAUAUGUGCUGUAAAGGCUUUGCUUUGGCUAUAAGCAUGUGGAGAGUUUGCAAUGGAUUGCAUCAAGGAAAUGCAUUCAAACAAGGAGCAACUAUCAUAAUUGAAUUCCUUGAAAUCCAAAGUGGGAGUUUCAUUACUACCCAAAAUUUUGAUUUCUUCUACACCACUCUCCACACCUUUAUCAUCAAGAUAGGUGGGCUCCGAAUCAUUGGGGAGUUUUUCAACCAAAGUGGAUUCAUAUCCAGCCCCUUCAUCAAUAGGUUUGACACGCGAAAACAAAGAUUCAAGAGGAGUCACACCAAGCACUUUAAGAUCUUCGUGAUUUGCAUCACUAGAACACAACCUUUUAAACCAUUCAUGCCUAGUGCAAAUUUGGACGGUUCUUUCUUUGCUCUCAUUCAUGGAGACACACAUAGCUUUUAGAGUUUCAUCCAAGUUGACCUUGGGAGGAGCACAUCUAACUUUCAAAGCAUCAAUAUCACAAGACAUCCUAUCAACGCUCUUAGCCAAAUCGUCUAUUUUGAGUAGUUUUUCCUCUAUGGACGCAUUGAAAAUCUUUUGAGAGUUGAUGAACUCUUUGAUAUUACUCUCCAAAUCAGAGGGUAAUUUGUUGUGAUUUCCAUAAGUGUUGUUGUAGGAAUUGCCAUAAUUGUUAGAGGAGUUACUAGGAAAAGGCCUAGGAACAUAGUUUCCUCUAAAAGCAUUGUUGUUGCCAAAAUUAUUCCUACCAUCAAAAUUAACGUCCAAACUAGCGUUGCUACUCUCAAUCAAGGAAGAUAGUGGCAUGUCAUUAGGAUCUAAAGGAGCAUUUCUACUAGCAACCAAAUUCAUCAACUCGUCCAUCUUAGCACUAACCGAGUUAAUUUCUUCUAUAACGUGUACCUUUUUGCUAGUAGGUGACCUUUGAGUGUGCCACUGUGAAUAGUUGGUCAUGAUAUUGUCUAGGAGUUUUGUAGCGUCUCCUAACGUGAUUUCCAUGAACGUUCCACCUGAGGCGGAGUCCAAGAUAUUGCGAGAAGCGAAAUUCAAACCAGCGUAAAAGAUUUGUAUAAUCAUCCACAAACUCAAGCCAUGAGCGGGACAAUUUCUAAUCAUUAACUUCAUCCUCUCCCAAGAUUGUGCAACGUGUUCAUGAUCAAUUUGCUUGAAAUUCAUGAUAUCUUUACGUAAGGAGAUAAUAGUAGCCGGCGGAAAAUACUUGGAUAUGUAAGCAUCUUUGCACUUAUCCCAAGAAUCGAUACUAUUUUUAGGCAAAGAAGAAAACCAAGUUUUUGCGUGAUCUCGCAACGAGAAAGGAAAAAGCUUCAACUUAAUCACGUCAUUAUCCACAUCUCUUUUCUUUUGCAUAUCGCAAAGCUCAAUGAAGGUAUUGAGAUGGGAUGCGUCAUCUUCACUAGGAAGGCCAGAUAAUUGCUCUUUCAUAACAAGAUUCACCAAAGCUGCAUUGAUUUCAUAUGAUUCCACACUAGUGGCGGGAGCAAUCGGAGUACUAAAAUAAUAAUUAUUAUUGGUACUCGAGAAGUUGCAAAGUUUGGUGUUUUCAGCCAUGAUGACUUCAACAAACAAACAAGCACACAAGCAAGCAAGAAAACCGGCAAAGGAAAACGGCAAAAAGGCAAAAGAAAACAGCAAAGGAAAACGGCAAAAAGGCAAAAAGAAACGGCAAAAGGGGAAAUGCAAAUGAAAACGGCAAAUGUGAAGUGGGGGAGAGGAAAACGAGAGGCAACUGGCAAAAAAGGUAAAUGCAAGAGAUGAGUUUGUGACACCUACUUGGAUAGAUCUCCUCCCCGCGCCAGAAAGCAGCACGUUGACGAGAGACUAUUCUUGACUUGAUCCUCCCCGGCAACGGCGCCAGGAAUCCUUCUGCUACUGCGACAACACACCUUCCAUGGUACGGCGCCAGGAAUCCUGCUGCUACGGCUAUGCCUUUAGGGACUUCCUUGGCAAAUAUGCAAAGGAUUUCCCUGCGGCCUUGGAGCCUUGCGUUGGUGUUCCUUUGAAGAGGAAAGGGUGAUAUAGCACAUCGGCGGUAAGUAUUUCCCUCAGUUUUGAGAACCAAGGUAUCGAACCAGUGGAAGAUCUCGUCAAGUCACAAGUACCUGCACAAACACAAAGAGCUUGCACCCAACGCUAUGAAGGGGUUGUCAAUCCCUUAUAGAUUGUUUGCAUAGUGAGAACUGAAAGCAAAAAGUAAACAGAGAAAGUAAAAGUGAAAGUGGAAACGAUAGUUGUAAAUAGAUCUGGGAGCCGUAGUGUUCACUAGUGGCUUCUCUCAUGAAAGCAAGUAGACGGUGGGUGAACGAAUUACUGUCGAGCAAUUGAUAGAACCGCGCAAAGUCAUGAAGUUAUCUAAGGCAAUGAUUAUAUCUAUAGGCAUCACGUCCAAAACAAGUAGACCGAUACUUUCUGCAUCUACUACUAUUACUCCACACGUCGACCGCUAUCCAACAUACAUUUAGUGUAUUAAGUCCAAAACAACAGAGUAACGCGUUAAGCAAGAUGACAUGAUGUAGAUGGACAAUCUCAUAUCUACGAUAAAAGCCCAUCUUGUUAUCCUUGAUGGCAACAACAAGAUGCGUGCCUUGCUGCCCCUUCUGUCACUGGGAAAGGUCACCACACGGUAUGAACCCAAAACCAAGCACUUCUCCCAUUGCAAGAAUCAUAGAUCUAGUUGGCCAAACAAAACCCAAGACUCAGAGAGACUUACAAGGAUAUCAAAUCAUGCAAAUAAGAAUUCAACAAAGACUCAAAUAUAAUUCAUAGAUAAUUUGAUCACAAAUCCACAAUUCAUCGGAUCUCGACAAACACACCGCCAAACAUGAUUACAUCAGAUAGAUCUCCAUGAAGAUCAUGGAGAACUUUGUAUUGAAGUUCCAAGAGAGAGAAGAAGCCAUCUAGAUACUAACUACGGCCCGUAGGUCUGAAGUAGCCUACUCACGAGUCAUUGGAGAGGCGAAGAUGUUGAUGUAGAAGCCCUCCAACUCCAAAGUCCCCUCCGGCAGGGCAUCGGGAAGGGUCUCCAGAUGAGAUCUUGCGGAAACGGAAGCUUGCGGCGGCGAAAAAGUGUUUACGUGGAUGCCCUGAUUUUUUCUAGAUUUUUAGGGAAUUUAUAGGCCAAAGACCUAGGGCAGGGGAGUGCCAGGGAGGCCACAAGCUUGGUUGCCGCGGCCCCCCUGGCCGCGGCAACAGGGCUUGUGGGCUCCCUAUGGGCCCACUUCCUUGGCCCUCAAGCCUCCCGAUCUUCUUCCAUUCUGGAAAAAUUUAUUUCGGGGAUUUUAUUCCGUUUGGACUCCAUUCCAAAAUCAGAUCUGAAAAGAGUCAAAAACACAGAAAAAACAAGAACUGGCACUUGGCACUGGAUUAAUAUGUUAGUCCCAAAAAAGAUAUAAAAGGUAAACAAAACAUCCAAAGUUGACAAGAUAACAACGUGAAACCAGCAAAAAUUAUAGAUACGUUUGAGACGUAUCAUGAUGAAAGCAACUUUGUAGACUGGGCUCGUAAUAUUCAGUUGCUCCUGCAAGCUGGGAAGAAGGAUUAUGUACUUAAUGCUGUGCUAGGAGAUGAACCACCCGCUACGGCUGACCAAGAUGUUAAGAACGCUUGGUUAACACGUAAGGAGGACUACUCAGUAGUUCAAUGUGCAGUCUUGUAUGGCUUAGAGCCGGGACUUCAACGUCGCUUUGGGCGUCAUGGAGCAUAUGAGAUGUUUGAGGAGUUGAAGUUUAUCUUUCAGAAGAACGCACGGAUCGAGAGGUAUGAGACCUCCGAUAAAUUCUAUGCUUGCAAGAUGGAGGAGAAUUCGUCUGUCAGUGAACAUGUGCUCAAAAUGUCUGGGUACUCAAACCGUCUAGCUGAUCUGGGGAUUGAACUUCCACAAGAGGCUAUCACUGACAGAAUUCUUCAAUCACUGCCGCCAAGCUAUAAGGGCUUUGUGUUGAACUACAACAUGCAAGGGAUGAACAAGUCACCCGGCGAGUUGUUCGCGAUGCUGAAAGUCGCAGAGUCAGAACUCCGUAAAGAGCAUCAAGUGUUGAUGGUGAAUAAGACCACUAGUUUCAAGAGAAACAGCAAAGGAAAGAAUGGUAGUUCAAACAAGAGAGGCAAGCCUGUUGCUAAUCCGACGAAGAAACCCAAAGCUGGACCUAAGCCUGAAACGGAGUGCUAUUAUUGCAAGGGUAUGGGUCACUGGAAGCGCAACUGGCCCAAGUAUGUGGCUGAUAAGAAGGCGGCCAAAGAAAAAUCAGGUAUAUUUGAUAUACAUGUUAUUGAUGUGUACUUAACCAGCUCCCGUAGUAGUGCCUGGGUAUUCGAUACCGGUUCUGUUGCUCAUAUCUGCAAUUCGAAACAUGAACUGCGAAAUAAGCAAAGGCUGGCGAAGGAUGAAGUGACGAUGCACGUGGGAAAUGGUUCCAAGGUUGAUGCAAUCGCCGUCGGCACAGUUUCACUUCAGUUACCAUCAGGAUUAGUUAUGAAAUUAAAUAAUUGUUAUUUAGUGCCUCCGUUAAGCAUGAACAUUAUAUCUGGAUCUUGUUUAUUGCGAGACGGUUACUCGUUUAAGUCAGAGAAUAAUAGUUGUUCUAUUUCUAUGAGUAAUAUCUUUUAUGGUCAUGCACCCAAUGUGAGAGGAUUGUUCAUAUUGAAUCUUGGUAGUAAUAAUACACAUAUACAUAACAUUGAGACCAAAAGAGUUAGAGUUAACAAUGAUAGCGCCAUGUUUUUAUGGCACUGCCGCUUAGGUCAUAUUGGUGUAAAGCGCAUGAAGAAACUCCAUUCCGAUGGACUUUUGGAGUCACUUGACUUUGAUUCACUUGACACGUGUGAACCAUGCCUCAUAGGCAAGAUGACUAAAACUCCGUUCUCCGGAACAAUGGAGCGUGCAAGUGACUUGUUGGAAAUCAUACAUACCGAUGUGUGUGGUCCGAUGAGUGCGGAGGCACGCGGCGGAUAUCGUUAUUUUCUCACCUUCACCGACGAUUUCAGUAGAUAUGGUUAUGUCUACUUAAUGAAGCACAAGUCUGAAACAUUUGAAAAGUUCAAGCAAUUUCAGAGUGAAGUUGAAAAUCAUCGUAACAAGAAGAUCAAGUUCCUACGGUCUAAUCGUGGGGGUGAAUAUCUGAGUUUCGAGUUUGGUUCUCACUUAAGACAAUGUGGAAUUGUUUCACAAUUGACACCGCCUGGAACACCACAGCGUAAUGGUGUGUCCGAACGUCGUAAUCGUACUUUAUUAGAGAUGGUGCGAUCUAUGAUGUCUCUUACCGAUUUGCCGUUAUCAUUUUGGGGUUAUGCAUUAGAAACAGCUGCAUUCACUUUAAAUAGGGCACCAUCAAAAUCCGUUGAGACGACACCAUACGAACUGUGGUAUGGCAAAAGACCAAAGUUGUCGUUUCUUAAAGUUUGGGGAUGUGAUGCUUAUGUCAAAAAGCUUCAGCCUGAAAAGCUGGAACCCAAAGCGGAAAAGUGCGUCUUCAUAGGUUACCCAAAAGAGAUAGUUGGCUAUACCUUCUAUCUCAAAUCCGAGGGCAAAGUAUUUGUUGCUAAGAACGGAGCUUUUCUUGAGAAGGAGUUUCUCUCGAGAGAAUUGAGUGGGAGGAAGAUAGAACUUGAUGAGGUUGUCGAACCUCUCAUCUCUCUGGAUGGUGGCGCAGGGCAAGGGGAAACCCCUGCCGUUGCGACGCCGGUUGAGGAGGAAGUUAAUGAUGAUGAUCAUGAAACUCCAGAUCAAGUUCAUGUCGAACCUGGCAGGUCGAAGAGACCGCGUACUACUCCAGAGUGGUACGGUAAUCCCGUCUUAUCAAUUAUGUUGUUAGACAACAAUGAGCCUGCGAAUUAUGAAGAAGCAAUGGUGGGCCCGGAUUCCAACAAAUGGCUGGAGGCCAUGAAGUCCGAUAUAGGAUCCAUGUAUGAAAACAAAGUGUGGACUUUGGAAGUAUUACCUGAAGGCCGCAAGGCUAUUCAGAACAAAUGGAUCUUUAAGAAGAAGACUGACGCUGACGGUAAUGUGACCGUUUAUAAAGCUCGACUUGUGGCAAAGGGUUUUUCACAAGUUCAAGGGGUUGACUACGAUGAGACAUUCUCACCCAUAGUGAUGCUUAAGUCCGUCCGAAUCAUGUUAGCAAUAGCUGCAUUUUUCGAUUAUGAAAUCUGGGAGAUGGAUGUCAAAACGGCGUUCCUUAACGGUUUCCUUAAGGAAGAGUUGUAUAUGAUGCAGCCCAAAGGUUUUGUCGAUCCUAAAAAUGCUAACAAAGUGUGCAAGCUCCAGCGAUCCAUUAAUGGACUGGUGCAAGCAUCUCGGAGUUGGAAUAAACGUUUUGAUGAGGUGAUCAAAGCAUUUGGGUUUAUACAAGUGGUCGGAGAAUCUUGUAUUUACAAGAAAGUGAGUGGGAGCUCUGUGGCGUUUCUAAUAUUAUAUGUGGAUGACAUAUUGCUAAUUGGAAACAACGUGGAGUUUUUGGAGAGCAUAAAGGAUUCUUGAAUAAAAGUUUCUCUAUGAAGGACCUAGGAGAAGCUGCUUACAUUCUAGGCAUUAAGAUCUAUAGGGAUAGAUCGAAACGCCUGAUAGGACUUCCACAAAGUACAUACCUUGAUAAAGUUUUGAAGAGGUUCAAAAUGGAACAGUCCAAGAAGGGGUUCUUGCCAGUUUUACAAGGUACGAGAUUGAGUAAGACUCAGUGCCCAGCAGCUGAUAAAGAUAGAGAGCAUAUGAGCACCAUCCCCUAUGCUUCAGCCAUAGGUUCUAUCAUGUAUGCAAUGCUGUGCACUAGACCGGACGUUAGCCUGGCCAUAAGUAUGGCAGGCAGGUUCCAGAGUAAUCCAGGAGUGGAUCACUGGACGGUGGUCAAGAAUAUCCUGAAGUACCUGAAAAGGACUAAGGAGAUGUUUCUCGUGUAUGGAGGUGACGAAGAGCUCGCCGUAAAAGGUUACGUCGAUGCAAUCUUUGACACAGAUUCGGACGACUCUAAGUCGCAGACCGGAUGCAUAUUUAUUCUUAAUGGGGGUGCGGUAAGCUGGUGCAGUUCCAAGCAAAGCUUCGUAGCUGAUUCUACAUGUGAAACGGAGUACAUGACUGCCUCGGAGGCGGCUAAGGAGGGUGUCUGCAUGAAGCAGUUCAUAGCGAUCUUGGAGUGGUGUCGAGCGCACUGAAUCCAAUAACCCUGUUUUGUGACAACACGGGUGCCAUUGCCUUAGCAAAGGAACCACGGUUUCACAAGAAGACCAGACACAUCAAACGACGCUUCAACCUCAUCUGCGACUACGUCGAAGGGGAGGACGUAAAUAUAUGCAAAGUGCACAUGGAUCUGAAUGUAGCACACCCGCUGACUAAACCUCUUCCACGGGAAAAUCAUGAUCAACACCAGAACUGUAUGGGUGUUAGAUUUAUUACAAUGUAAUUCACAUGGCGAUGUGAGGGCUAGAUUAUUGACUCUAGUGCAAGUGGGAGACUGUUGUAAUUAUGCCCUAGAGGCAAUGAUAAAUAAGUUAUUCUUAUAAUUCCCGUAUCAAGAUAAUCGUUUAUUAUCCAUGCUAUAAUUGUACUGAAUGAAGACUUAGAUACAUGUGCGGAUACAUAGACAAAACACUGUCCCUAGCAAGCCUCUAGUUGGCUAGCCAGUUGAUCAAGGACAGUCAGGGUCUUCUGACUAUGUACAAGGUGUUGCUGCUUGAUAACUAGAUCACAUCAUUGGGUGAAUCAUGUGAUGGACUAGACCCAAACUAAUAGACGUAGCAUGUUGAUCGUGUCAUUUUGUUGCUACUGUUUUUUGCGUGUCAAGUAUUUAUUCCUAUGACCAUGAGAUCAUAUAACUCACUGACACCGGAGGAAUGCUUUGUGUGUAUCAAACGUCGCAACGUAACUAGGUGACUAUAAAGAUGCUCUACAGGUAUCUCCGAAGGUGUCCGUUGAGUUAGUAUGGAUCAAGACUGGGAUUGGUCACUCCGUCUGACGGAGAGGUAUCUCGGGGCCCACUCGGUAAUACAACAUCACACACAAGACUUGCAAGCAAUGUGACUUAGUGUAAGUCAUGGGAUCUUGUAUUACGAAACGAGUAAAGAGACUUGCCGGUAAACGAGAUUGAAAUAGGUAUGCGGAUACCGACGAUCGAAUCUCGGGCAAGUAACAUACCGAAGGUCAAAGGGAAUGACAUACGAGAUUAUAUGAAUCCUUGGCACUGAGGUUCAAACGAUAAGAUCUUCGUACAAUAUGUAGGAUCCAAUAUGGGCAUCCAGGUGCCGCUAUUGGAUAUUGACCGAGGAGUCCCUCGGGUCAUGUCUACAUAGUUCUCGAACCCGCAGGGUCUGCACACUUAAGGUUCGACGUUGUUUUAUGCGUAUUUGAGUUAUAUGGCUGGUUACCGAAUGUUGUUCGGAGUCCCGGAUGAGAUCACAGACGUCACGAGGGUUUCUGGAAUGGUCCGGAGACGAAGAUUGAUAUAUAGGUUGACCUCAUUUGAUUACCGGAAAGUUUUCGGAAUUACCGGGAAUGUACCGGGAGUGACGAAUGGGUUCCGGAUGUUCACCGGGGGGGGGGGNNNNNNNNNNNNNNNNNNNNNNNNNNNNNNNNNNNNNNNNNNNNNNNNNNNNNNNNNNNNNNNNNNNNNNNNNNNNNNNNNNNNNNNNNNNAAAAGAGAAAAGAAAAAAAGGGGGAAGUGGGAAGGAAGGGAAGGACUCCACCUUCCAAUCCUGGUUGGACUAGGAUUGGAGGAGGAUUCGUCCUCCCCCCGUUCGGCCGACCCCCUUGGGGCUCCUUGUGUUGGGGAACGUCGCAUGGGAAACAAAAAAUUUCCUACGCGCACGAAGACCUAUCAUGGUGACGUCCAUCUACGAGAGGGGAUUUCCGAUCAACGUACCCUUGUAGAUCGCACCGCAGAAGCGUUAGUGAAUGCGGUUGAUGUAGUGGAACGUCCUCACGUCCCUCGAUACGCCCCGCGAACCGUCCCCCGAACCGUCCCGCGAUCCGUCCCACGAUCCGCUCCGAUCUAGUGCCGAACGGACGGCACCUCCGCGUUCAGCACACGUACAGCUCGACGAUGAUCUCGGCCUUCUUGAUCCAGCAAGAGAGACGGAGAGAUAGAUGAGUUCUCCGGCAGCGUGACGACACUCCAGAGGUUGGUGGUGAUCUAAUCUCAGAAGGGCUCCGCCCGAGCUCCGCAGAAACGCGAUCUAGAGGUAAAACCGUGGAGGUAUGUGGUCGGGCUGCCUUGGCAAAAGUUGUCUCAAAUCAGCCCUUAUAGCUCCAUAUAUAUAGGAGGAGGGAGGGGAGGCUUGCCUUGAGGCUCAAGGAGCCCCAAGGGCCGCGCCACCAAGGGAGGAGGAGUCCUCCUUCAAUCCUAGUCCAACUAGGAUUGGAAAGUGGAGUCCUUCUCUCCUUUCCCACCUCCUAUUUUUUUCUUUCCCUUUGAUUUUCUAUCCUUGGCGCAUAGGACCUUCUUGGGCUGUCCCACCAGCCCACCAAGGGCUGGUGCGCCACCCCAAGGCCUAUGGGCUUCCCCGGGGUGGGUUGCCCCCCCGGUGAACACCCGGAACCCAUUCGUCAUUCCCGGUACAUUCCCGGUAACUCCGAAAACCUUCGGGUAAUCAAAUGAGGUCAUCCUAUAUAUCAAUCUUCGUUUCCGGACCAUUCCGGAAACCCUCGCGUGACGUCCGUGAUCUCAUCCGAGACUCCGAACAACAUUCGGUAACCAACCAUAUAACUCAAAUACGCAUAAAACAACGUCGAACCUUAAGUGUGCAGACCCUGCGGGUUCGAGAACUAUGUAGACAUGACCCGAGUGACUCCUCGGUCAAUAUCCAAUAGCGGGACCUGGAUGCCCAUAUUGGAUCCCACAUAUUCUACGAAGAUCUUAUCGUUUGAACCUCAGUGCCAAGGAUUCAUAUAAUCCCGUAUGUCAUUCCCUUUGUCCUUCGGUAUGUUACUUGCCCGAGAUUCGAUCGUUAGUAUCCACAUACCUAUUUCAAUCUCGUUUACCGGCAAGUCUCUUUACUCGUACCGUAAUACAAGAUCCCGCAACUUACAUUAAGUCACAUUGCUUGCAAGGCUUGUGUGUGAUGUUGUAUUACCGAGUGGGCCCCGAGAUACCUCUCCGUCACACGGAGUGACAAAUCCCAGUCUCGAUCCAUACUAACUCAACGAACACCUUCGGAGAUACCUGUAGAGCAUCUUUAUAGUCACCCAGUUACGUUGCGACGUUUGAUACACACAAAGCAUUCCUCCGGUGUCAGUGAGUUAUAUGAUCUCAUGGUCAUAGGAAUAAAUACUUGACACGCAGAAAACAGUAGCAACAAAAUGACACGAUCAACAUGCUACGUCUAUUAGUUUUGGGUCUAGUCCAUCACAUGAUUCUCCUAAUGAUGUGAUCCCGUUAUCAAGUAACAACACUUGCCUAUGGCCAGGAAACCUUGACCAUCUUUGAUCAACGAGCUAGUCAACUAGAGGCUUACUGGGGACAGUGUUUUGUCUAUGUACCCACACAAGUAUUGUGUUUCCAAUCAAUACAAUUAUAGCAUGGAUAAUAAACGAUUAUCAUGAACUAAGAAAUAUAAUAAUAACUAAUUUAUUAUUGCCUCUAGGGCAUAUUUCUAACAGUCUCCCACUUGCACUAGAGUCAAUAAUCUAGUUCACAUCACCAUGUGAUUCCAAUGAAUCCAACACCCAUAUAGUUAUGGGGUCUGAUCACGUUUUGCUCGUGAGAGAGGUUUUAGUCAACGGUUCUGAAACUUUCAGAUCCGUGUGUUCUUUACAAAUAUUUAUGUCAUCUUAUAGAUGCUGCUACUAUGUGCUAUUCGGAAAUACUCCAAAUAUCUACUCUACUAUACGAAUCCGUUUCACUACUCAUAGUUAUUCGGAUUAGUGUCAAAGCUUGCAUCGACGUAACCCUUUACGACGAACUCUUUAACCACCUCCAUAAUCGAGAAAAAUUCCUUAGUCCAUCAGUUACUAAGGAUAAAUUUUGACCGCUGCUAGUGAUUCAAUCAUGGAUCACUCUGUGUACCUCUCAACAGACUUUGAGUCAAGGCACUCAUCAGGUGCGGUACCCAGCAUGGCAUACUUCAGAUUCUACGGCCAAGGCAUAGAAGACGACCUUCGUCUAUUCUCUUUAUUAUGCUGGGGUCGGGUUUUGAGUCUUACUCAAAUUCACACCUCACAACGCAACCAAGAACUCCUUCUUUGCUGAUCUAUUUUGAACUCCUUCAAAACUUGUCAAGGCAUGCAUCUUGUUGAAACUUCUAUUAAGCGCUUUCAAUCUAUCUUCAUAGAUCUUUGAUGCUCAACGUUCAAGUAGCGCAAUCCAGGUAUUCCUUUAAAAACUCCUUUCAAACAACCUUGUAUGCUUUACAGAAAUUCUACAUUACUUCUGAUCCACAAUAUGUCAACCACAUAUACUUAUCAGAAAUUCUAUAGUGCUCCCACUCACUUCUUUGGAAAUACAAGUUUCUCAUAAACCUUGUACAAACCCAAAAUCUUUGAUCAUCUCAUCAAAGUGUAUAUUCCAACUCCGAGAUGCUUGCACCAGUUCAUUGAAGGAUCGCUGGAGCUUGCAUACUUGCUAGUAUCUUUAGGAUCGACAAAACCUCCUGGUUGUAUCACAUACAAUGUUUGCUCAAGGAAACCGUCGAGGAAACAAUGUUUUGACAUCCUAUGUGCAAUAUUUCAUAAAUAAUGCAGCAACAACUAACAUAAUUCUAACAGACUUUUAGCAUCGCUACGAGUAAGAAAGUCUCAUCAUAGUCAACUGUUUGAUCUUGUCGGAAACAUCUUUGCGACAAGUCGAGCUUUUCUUAAUAGUGACUUAUCAUCAUCAUCGUCUGUCUUCCUUUUAAAGAUCCAUCUUUACUCAAUAGUCCUAUGACCAUCAAGUAGUUCUUCCAAAGUCUACACUUUGUUUUCAUACAUGGAUCCUCUCUCGGAUUUCAUGGCCUCCAGCCAUUUGUCGGAAUCCGGGCCCACCAUUGCUUUCUCCAUAACUCAUAGGUUCACUGUUGCUCAACAACAUGACCUCCAAGACAGGGUUACCGUACCACUCUGCAGUAGUACGCGACCUUGUCAACCUACGGGAUUUGUAGUAACUUGAUUCGAUGCUCGAUGAUCACCAUCAUCAGCUUUCACUUCAAUUGGUGUAGGUGCCACAGGAACAACUUCCUGCGCCCUGCUACACAUUGGUUGAAGUGAUGGUUCAAUAACCUUAUCAAGUUCUACCACCCUCCCACUCAAUUCUUUCGAGAGAAACCUUUCCUCGAGAAAGGAUCCGUUUCUAGAAACAAACACUUUGCUUUCGGAUCUGAGAUAGGAGAUGUACCCAACAGUUUUUCAUAUCCUAUGAAGAUGCAUUUAUCCGCUUUGGGUUCGAGCUUAUCAGACUGAAACUUUUUCACAUAAGUGUCGAAGCCCCAAACUUUCAAGAAACGACAGUUUAGAUUUCUCUAAACCUCAGUCUAUACUGUGUUAUCUCAACGGAAAUACGCGGUGCCCUAUUUAAAGUGAAUGCGGUUGUCUCUAAUGCAUAACCCAUAAACGAUAGUGGUAAUUCGAUAAGAGACAUCAUAGCAUGCACCAUACCAAAUAGUGCGUGGCUAUGACGUUCAGACACAUCAUCACACUAUGAUGUUCCAGGUGGCAUGAACUGCAAAACAAUUUCCACAUUGUCUUAACUGCCUACCAAAACUCGUAACUCAGAUAUUCAUUUCUAUGAUCAUAUCAUAGACAGUUUAUCCUCUUGUUACGACGAACUUCACUCCGAAACAGAAUUGAACUUUUCAAUAUUUCAGACUUGUGAUUCAUUAAGUAAAUACUCUUGUAUCUACUCAAAUCGUCAUUGAAGUAAGAACAUAAUGACAUCCACUGCGUGCCUCAACACCCAUUGGACUGCAUACAUCAAAAUGUAUCACUUCCAACAAGUUACUAUCUUGUUUCAUCUCAAUGAAAAUAAGGCCUUGCUCAUGUGGUGUAAUUUGCAUGUCACUAGUGAUUCAAAAUCAAGUGAGUAUAAAGAUCCAUCAGCAUGGAGCCUCUUCAUGCAAUUUAUACCAACAUGACUCAAGCGGCAGUGCCACAAGUAAGUGGUACUAUCAUCAUUACCUCGUAUCUUUUGGCACCAAUAUCAUGAACAUGUGUAACACUACAAUCGAGAUUCAAUAAACCAUUGAAGGUGAUUAUUCAAGCAAAUAGAGUAACCAUUAUUCUCUUUAAAUGAAUAAUCGUAUUGCAAUAAACACGAUCCAAUCAUGUUCAUGCUUAACGGAAGCACCAAAUAACAAUUAUUUAGGUUUAACACAAAUCCCGAUGGUAGAGGGAGCGUGCGACGUUUGAUCAUAUCAACCUUGGAAACACUUCCAACACGUAUCGUCACCUCGCCUUUAGCUAGUCUCCGUUUAUGCCGUAGCUUUCAUUUCGUGUUACUAAUCACUUAGCAACCGAACCGGUAUCCAAUACCCUCGUGCUACUAGGAGUACUAGUAAAGUACACAUCAACAUCAUGUAUAUCAAAUAUAUUUCUUUCGACUUUUGCCAGCCUUCUUAUCUACCAAGUAUCUAGAGUUGCUCCGCCUCAGUGACUGUUCCCCUCAUUACAGAAGCACUUAGUCUCGGGUUUGGGUUUAAUCUUGGGUCUCUUCAUUAGUGCAAAAAUUGUUUUGCCGUUUCACGAAGUAUCCCUUCUAGCCCUUGCCUUAUUUCUUGAAACUUAGUGGUUUUACUAACCAUCAACUAUUGAUGCUCCUUCUUGAUUUCUACUUUCGCAGUGUCAAACAUCGCGAAUUGCUCAAGGAUCAUUGUAUCUAUCCUUGAUAUGUUAUAGUUCAUCACGAAGCUCUCACAGCUUGAUGGCAGUGGCUUUGGAGAACCAUCACUAUCUCAUCUGGAAGAUUAACUCCCACUUGAUUCAAGCGAUUGUCGUACUCAGAUAAUCUGAGCACCCGCUCAACGAUUGAGCUUUUCUCCCUUACUUUGUGGACAAAGAAUCUUGUCAGAGGUCUCGUACCUCUUAACAAGGGCACAAGCAUGAAAUCACAAUUUCAUCUCUUUAGAACAUCUCUUAUGUUCCGUAACGUUUCAAAACGUCUUCGGUGCCUUGCUUCUAAGCCAUUAAGUAUUUUGUACUGAACUAUCGUGUAGUCAUCAGAAACGUGUAUGUCGGAUGUUCACAGCAUCCACAGACGACGCUCGAGGUGCAGCACACCGGGUGGUGCAUUAAGGACAUAAGCCUUCUGCGCAGCAACGAGGACAAUCCUCUGCAAAGUUUGCUACUAUCAACUUGCAACUAAAUUUUCUCUAGGAACAUAUAAAAAUAGUAGAGCUAUAGCGCAAGCUACAUCGUAAUUCGCAAAUACCAUUAGACUAUGUUCAUGACAAUUAGUUCAAUUUAUCAUAUUACUUAAGAACUACCACUCAAAAAGUACAUCUCUCUAGUCAUUUGAGUGGUACAUGAUCCAAAUCCACUAUCUCAAGUCCGAUCAUCACGUGAGUCGAGAAUAGUUUCAGUGGUAAGCAUCUCUAUGCUAAUCAUAUCAACUAUACGAUUCAUGCUCGACCUUUCGGUCUCAUGUGUUCCGAGGCCAUGUCUGCACAUGCUAGGCUCGUCAAGCUUAACCCGAGUGUUCCGCGUGUGCAACUGUUUUGCACCCGUUGUAUGUGAACGUUGAGUCUACCACAUUCGAUCAUCACGUGGUGUCUCGAAACGAAGAACUGUCGCAAUGGUGCACAGUCGGGGAGAACACAAUUUCGUCUUAAAAUUUUAGUGAGAGAUCACCUCAUAAUGCUACCGUCGUUCUAAGCAAGAUAAGGUGCAUAAAGGAUUAACAUCACAUGCAAUUCAUAAGUUACAUGAUAUGGCCAUCAUCAUGCGCUUCUUGAUCUCCAUCACCAAAGCACCGACACGAUCUUCUUGUCACCGGCGUCACACCAUGAUCUCCAUCAUCAUGAUCUCCAUCAACGUGUCGCCAUCGGGUUGUCGUGCUACUCAUGCUAUUACUACUAAAGCUACGUCCUAGCAAUAUAGUAAACGCAUCUGCAAGCACAAACGUUAGUUUAAAGACAACCCUAUGGCUCCUGUCGGUUGCCGUACCAUCGACGUGCAAGUCGAUAUUAACUAUUACAACAUGAUCAUCUCAUACAUCCAAUAUAUCACAUCACAUCGUUGGCCAUAUCACAUCACAAGCAUACCCUGCAAAAACAAGUUAGACGUCCUCUAAUUGUUGUUGCAUGUUUUACGUGGUGACCAUGGGUAUCUAGUAGGAUCGCAUCUUACUUACGCAAACACCACAAGGGAGAUAUAUGAAUUGCUAUUUCACCUCAUCCAAGGACCUCCUCGGUCAAAUAUGAUUCAACUAAAGUUGGAGAAACCGACACUCGCCGGUCAUCUUUGAGCAACGGAGUUACUCGUAGCGAUGAAACCAGUCUCUCGUAAGCGUACGAGUAAUGUCGGUCCGAGCCGCUUCGAUCCAACAAUACCGCGGAAUCAAGAAAAGACUAAGGAGGGCAGCAAAACGCACAUCACCGCCCACAAAAACUUUUGUGUUCUACUCGAGAAGACAUCUACGCAUGAACCUAGCUCAUGAUGCCACUGUUGGGGAACGUCGCAUGGGAAACAAAAAUUUUCCUACGCGCACGAAGACCUAUCAUGGUGAUGUCCAUCUACGAGAGGGGAUUUCCGAUCUACGUACCCUUGUAGAUCGCACAGCAGAAGCGUUAGUGAACGCGGUUGAUGUAGUGGAACGUCCUCACGUCCCUCGAUCCACCCCGCGAACCAUCCCACGAACCGUCCCGCGAUCCGUCCCACGAUCCGCUCCGAUCUAGUGCCGAACGGACGGCACCUCCGCGUUCAGCACACGUACAGCUCGACGAUGAUCUCGGCCUUCUUGAUCCAGCAAGAGAGACGGAGAGGUAGAUGAGUUCUCCAGCAGCGUGACGGCGCUCCAGAGAUUGGUGGUGAUCUAAUCUCAGCAGGGCUCUGCCCGACCUCCGCAGAAACGCGAUCUAGAGGUAAAACCGUGGAGGUAUGUGGUCGGGCUGCCUUGGCAAAAGUUGUCUCAAAUCAGCCCUAAUAGCUCCAUAUAUAUAGGAGGAGGGAGGGGAGGCUUGCCUUGAGGCUCAAGGAGCCCCAAGGGCUGCGCCACCAAGGGAGGAGGAGUCCUCCUCCAAUCCUAGUCCAACUAGGAUUGGAAAGUGGAGUCCUUCUCUCCUUUCCCACCUCCUUUUUUUUAUUUCUCUUUGAUUUUCUAUCCUUGGCGCAUAGGACCUUCUUGGGCUGUCCCACCAGCCCACCAAGGGCUGGUGCACCACCCCCAAGGCCUAUGGGCUUCCGCGGGGUGGGUUGCCCCCCCCCCCCGGUGAACACCCGGAACCCAUUCGUCAUUCAUGGUACAUUCCCGGUAACUCCGAAAACCUUCCGGUAAUCAAAUGAGGUCAUCCUAUAUAUCAAUCUUCGUUUCCGGACCAUUCCGGAAACCCUAGUGACGUCCGUGAUCUCAUCAGGGACUCGAAACAACAUUCGGUAACCAACCAUAUAACUCAAAUACGCAUAAAACAACGUCGAACCUUAAGUGUGCAGACCCUGCGGGUUCGAGAACUAUGUAGACAUGACCCGAGUGACUCCUCGGUCAAUAUACAAUAGCGGGACCUGGAUGCCCAUAUUGGAUCCCACAUAUUCUAUGAAGAUCUUAUCGUUUGAACCUCAGUGCCAAGGAUUCAUAUAAUCCCGUAUGUCAUUCCCUUUGUCCUUCGGUAUGUUACUUGCCCGAGAUUCGAUCGUUAGUAUCCACAUACCUAUUUCAAUCUCGUUUACCGGCAAGUCUCUUUACUCGUACCGUAAUACAAGAUCCCGCAACUUACAUUAAGUCACAUUGCUUGCAAGGCUUGUGUGUGAUGUUGUAUUACCGAGUGGGCCCCGAGAUACCUCUCCGUCACACGGAGUGACAAAUCCCAGUCUCGAUCCAUACUAACUCAACGAACACCUUCGGAGAUACCUGUAGAGCAUCUUUAUAGUCACCCAGUUACGUUGCGACGUUUGAUACACACAAAGCAUUCCUCCGGUGUCAGUGAGUUAUAUGAUCUCAUGGUCAUAGGAACAAAUACUUGACACGCAGAAAACAGUAGCAACAAAAUGACACGAUCAACAUGCUAUGUCUAUUAGUUUUGGGUCUAGUCCAUCACAUGAUUCUCCUAAUGAUGUGAUCUCGUUAUCAAGUAACAACACUUGCCUAUGGCCAGGAAACCUUGACCAUCUUUGAUCAACGAGCUAGUCAACUAGAGGCUUACUAGGGACAGUGUUUUGUCUAUGUAUCCACACAAUUAUUGUGUUUCCAAUCAACACAAUUAUAGCAUGGAUAAUAAACGAUUAUCAUGAACUAAGAAAUAUAAUAAUAACUAAUUUAUUAUUGCCUCUAGGGCAUAUUUCCAACACCUUGAGCCUCAAGGCAAGGCCCCUCCCCUCCCACCUAUAUAUACGGAGGUAUUAGGGCUGAUUUGAGAUAACUUUGCCACGGCAGCCUGACCACAUACCUCCACGGUUUUUCCACUACAUCAACCGCGUUUAUUAACGCUUCUGUUGUGCGAUCUACAUGGGUACGUAGAUCUGAAAUCCCCCACGUAGAUGGACAUGACCAUGAUAGGUCUUCGUGCGCGUAGGAAUUUUUUUGUUUCCCAUGCGACGUUCCCCAACAGAAAUUGGUGUCGGGGAAAUACCGUCCCUUUAGAACUCAUGCAUAUAGAGAGUCAGGGUUGGUCAGAAACCGCCACCCAUGCUUCCCCGGCAUAGCAAGGUUAAAAAGAUGCGGGUUUCUGAACCCCAUCCCUCCUUUACACUUGGGUGUUGUCAAAUCUUUCCAGGACACCCAAUGUAGAUUUUUUUUGUCAAGAGAGCUUCUUGAGAAGUAUUUUGCCAUAGGCGAAGUUAAGCUCUUACAAACUUUCUUGGUAAGGACGAAAGUACUCAUCGGGUAGGUUGGGAUAGCGUUUACCACAAAUUUCAGCAAUGUCUCACGGCCUGCACAAGCUAAUAGCUUGUACGACCACCCCUGAAUUUUUGAAAGGGCUCUCUCACUAAGGUGGUCAAAGGUUUCACUUGUAAUCCUACCAACAGGAGUAGGGGGACCCAGGUAUUUCUCACAGAAAGCCUCAACCUGAAUGUUCAAGGUUGCCUUCAAAACCUGUCUCAAAGGAGUUGGUGUAUUGGUGCUGAAGUAGAUAUAACAUUUAUCUCUUUUAAUAGACUGUCCCGAGGCAUCUCCAUAGAUUCUUAAGAUUUCAUUCAACCUCUGCGCACGUUGUGUUUGCCACAUCCCACAUGGUUGACUCACCGAAAAAGGGUUCCCCCCCCCCCGCUUUGUAUUACAAAGCAACCAACUCCGAAACAUCCAGUGAUAGGUGCUGGGACGGAAACAACACAUGCUCGCCCAAAAGAAUCAACAGAGAAAGCAUAACAGAAACAGAUGCCGACAACGGCGGAUCAACGAAAACGGAGAAGCCUCGCGACCGCUGCGCCCACGGAUGAACACCCACCAAGCUCCUAGACUCCGAGACGCCGAUACCAAUCAACACCUUCAAGAAGGUACGCGACGAUGACGAUGUUGUUGCUAAGGGUUUCCCCCGGUACGCGGUGAGGGGAAAGGAAGGGUAGCCCUGACGUCCUCCAGGGAGGUCUUGCGGCACCGCAGGCGCCACCGCGACGGUGUCGACCAUGCCGACAGGGAUUUCUCCUGAUCCCAACCUCCACCUCAGGCGCAUCGGAACCCGCCACCAAACCGACCACCACCCCGCACCAACACGAACUUGAAGCUUCCCAUGCCGUCUCACCAUAGCAACGCGAGGAGGGGCCUGCACGACAAAGAAGAGGAGCCGGGACUAGGGGCAACACCACCGUCGGCACGCGGGAGGUCCCAACCUCCACUGUCAACGACGGUAACCGACCGGACGCAAUAGCAGGAGCAAACCAGGCCCGUGGCCACAGGCCCGACUGGGACUGCAUAUGCCCAUAAAGCUCCCACCUUCACGCUGCACAAAGCACGCUGUCUGCGACGCGGCCCCCAGUCCAUGCCGCUCCUCCUCACCUCCUCACAGAAAGCAUCAUAGUCGCGGUAACACGACCAUUCCGCCCCGCCGCUAAGUGGAAGCACCACCACCACGCUCACCGCCGGCCACCUCCACCAAGGCGCCAGACCGCCAUCAGCCUAGCUGCACCACCCCCGCGCGCCCNNNNNNNNNNNNNNNNNNNNNNNNNNNNNNNNNNNNNNNNNNNNNNNNNNNNNNNNNNNNNNNNNNNNNNNNNNNNNNNNNNNNNNNNNNNNNNNNNNNNNNNNNNNNNNNNNNNNNNNNNNNNNNNNNNNNNNNNNNNNNNNNNNNNNNNNNNNNNNNNNNNNNNNNNNNNNNNNNNNNNNNNNNNNNNNNNNNNNNNNNNNNNNNNNNNNNNNNNNNNNNNNNNNNNNNNNNNNNNNNNNGGCAGGGGAUGGCAGAGAAGGUCGCGGAAGGGUGGAUGUGGCUUCGCCGCCUGGGUCGCCCACGGGGGAGCGACGCGGGGCCAAGGGGAUUUUUUCCCACAUGGCUGACUCCCGAUGAAAAAACUGGUAUAUGUAUUGCCUACUUGAUAUACCCCAUGCAUGUACAGGUGGUGCUCAUGGAAUGGAAAAGAAAAUCCAUUUAACCAGUCUUUAAAAAAAUUCCGACAAAAAAGAAAUGUCUAAAAAAGAAGUAGUCCGAGAGCGCGAGGGAGAGCAGCAGCCCUUCCAUGGAAGCAGGCUUGCAGCAGUCUCGGAUGAGACGUACUCGCAGAUUUAGCGUUGAGCCAUCUCAAAACUAUCAAUAAUAGAAUAGAGAUUAGCAAAAGUAACCGUGCGUUGCAUCGGAUGAAAAAUAAAAAAAAAGUUAUCAUUAACCUUUGUAUGCUGUAAUUUAAUGUGUCAUUUAUUGCACCAGGAGAAAAAGAACCUCACACAUGUUUAGUAACUCAUUCAUGUUGCCACUUUUCAUGUUGGACACUGUCAUCGAUGAUGGUAUAGGAGUUUUGGUAUCCGUAAUUUGAUUUUUUUUAAAAUCCAUGUAAUUAUCUCUGAUGACACCUUCAACAUCGCAGAAUGGAAGAGUUAUGAUGCAUUAAAGUGGGAUUGUUUAUGUAAAAAUUAUUUGAUAAUUUUUUUGAGAAAGAAAAUUAUUCGAUAAUAUUCAAAAGCUAACAGGUUUUUAGUAUGUUGUUACAUUUUUAAAAAAUGUUGUUUGUUUGUUUGAUUUAUUUGCAAGAUUAUAUUCCAUUUCCUUUCUUUUGCACUAUCUAGACUUCGCCCUAACACAAGUAUUUCACGCCGACAUUCGUAGGCUCCAUCUCUAAAAAAGACACAAACACUUCGAAGAGAGGAGUAUACACUCAUUUUGUUCCACAUGAACGCUGGUCCUCCUGUAGCUCGCGGCCUCCCUCCUCUUAGCUCUUGUGCCGCCGCCGCCGCUCUCUUCCGGUCGCCUGCCAUGGCUGGCCACCGAGCGUCUACUUCGGCCCCUGCCUCGCUCCACCUCCUUUCGUGUUGGCCACACAUCGGUGCUCCUAUCCCUUUUCUUAUUGACUCUCGUGACGGCUUGCUGAUUUAAAAUCAAAGAUGUAUAUAAAUUGAUUUAUCAGAGGCGAGGGGGGAUUAAUAAAGUAGGGACGUGCUUUAUUUAUACACACAUUGUAACUUUGUCUCAAUGGGCCUUCAAUGCUUGAGUGUUAGGACCGGAGUUUGAUCCGAGACCCAUUGACGAUUUGUUUUGGGCUGGCACCGCAUCUAUACUUAUACUAUACUUAUACUAAUUAGGGACUCUCAAUAAAUUCCCACGUUAAUUAAAAAAUUAGGACCGUUCAUUUAAUGGGACCGAGUUAUAACGGUCUAGAUUAGCCCGAGUACACGUUAAUUAGAAAAUUAGGACCGUUCAUUUAAUGGGACCGAGUUAUAACGGUCUAGAUUAGCCCAAGUAAUUUCCGGAUUAAUCAUAAAUACUCCCACCCCACGUGACCUAACCCUGACUUCUCCCCACGUACAUCUUUCUCCAAUCUUAGUUUCCUACAUGCCACCGUGAUAGCAGAUGCCAUGCGUCAUAUCCAGUGUCAUAUCUAUGGUUUAGAUGAAAUAAUCAAUCGUGGCAGUCUAAGCCCUAAAGCAAUCCCAUCUGCAGUCUUACCCCAACAAGGAUCUAAAGCAGUCCAUUAAGUCUGUUCCCAAUCUUCUUUCCUCGAUGACUGUUGAAUCUCGGCAACCCCAAGUCCAAAGCCAUGACGCAAAUCAUGGUGGCCGAGGAGGAGGUUGACCUUCAAUCCACUCAGCUUCUAGACCUUGACCAAACAUCAAUGCAUGUUCGAAGCUACAACGGAGGAGGUUCAUCGAGGGCAGUUUGGAUCAGAUCGUAUAUUGUCACCAUUGUUUGUAAAGCUUCAGCGUGAAGGAACUAUGGCAGACUGAUGGUGCCGUGGUUUAGCUUCUUUAUACUGCUGGAGUUCGUCCCCUAUGCAGGCAAGUAAUCCAUUAUCUUGAAUUUAGGAUGAAUUCUACAACCGUCUCAAUUAAUCAUAAAUUCCCAAUAAAUUAUAUUAAUCGUAUGACUAAAAAAAGGGUACUGUAUAUGCCCAUCUAUCACCUAACAGUUUUGUUCAUUAGCUGAUCAUGCACUCUACGGAAGGAGGAGAAUCACUCUACGGGUGGUCUGCAAUUUUGCAUCUCCUACAGUAGAAGAUGGUUGAUGGAGGUUGUGUCAGUACGUACGACUGUUUGAAGUUAAUUGGGUAGGUGCAGUCAUUGGUGUGCUGCUAAGUACUCCCUCCGUUUCUAAAUAUAAGUCUUUGUAGAGAUUUUAUUAGAGGAUUACGUACGGAUGUAUAUAGACAUACUCUAGAGUAUAUAUUCAUUCAUUUUUCUUUGUAUAUAGUCACCUUGUAAAAUCUCUUAAAAGACUUAUAUUUAGAAACGGAGGGAGUAGAAGAACUGUGCCCCGCAAAAAAAAAAGGUAGAACUGUGGCAGCAUAGCACAAAGCUAUUCAUCUCCUUGACACAAUUCAGUUUCGUUGCAGAUCACACCUACGUACUACUCCCAUCAAUGGGAAAUUAGCUAUGUAUCCUUAAAUUAUUCGCUUAAGAUAAUAGUUCUUCAUAUAAUUUGCAUGUAGUAUCCUAUUCAAACUGUUCAUGAUAUGUCCACAAUUUUAACCGUGAGUUCUUCAAUUGAUGUUAUAUGUUCUAUAGGAAUAGGUCGUGUAGCUAAUGUUUAAUACUCCUUCCGUUCCUAAAUAUAAGUCUUUAUACAGAUUUCACUAGUGGAUUACAUGCGGAUGUAUAUAGACAUACUUUAGAAUAUACAUUCAAUCAUUUUGCUCCGUAUGUAGACACUUAGUGAAAUCGCUUAAAAGACUUAUAUUUAGGAACGGAGGAAGUAUAUGUUAAUUCAUGGUCUGAUCCACUUUCCAAUGUUUUUCCUAACAUAUAUACUCAUCUAAUGCUUUUACAUGACAUCUGAUAUAGGAUAAUACACCAAUAUUUUCUCUUACUUCCAGCAGAUGCUUAACUAUGUUAUCCAGUUUCCAAUCUGUAGAUAGAUCGCUAAAUGAGUUGUACUAGGAACCUAUUAGGAUAUUAUAUUAUUUUUAGUUAUUCUCAUACGGGAUAUGCACAGCUUUUACUCAGUUCUAAUUAAACCAGAAGCACCUACUAAUAAAUGAACUAAACGUAUAUUUGUUCGUGCACAAUGCCCAAUUACUUCUUUUCAGAUAAAAAGACCAAGUUACUUUCGUAUGUUGCGUGAUGGUUCCCAUAAUUCAUUGAUACUACGAAACAACCUAUGCACAAGGCAAUAUAUUUUCCCGUGUAGUAGUCCAACCCAAUUUCAUUCCAACAUGAGAAAACUUGUGGAUACACCAUCUCUGCCCCUCACACGGCCUGAUGGCUGAUUGUGUCCUCAUCUCUGUCCUCCUCUUCCUCCUCCUCUCCCCUCACUCCCACCUGCCGUAGCAUCACUGUGACAUCUGUAUGCCUCCAAUUUGUCGCAUUUUUGGAGCACGAGAAAACUACAAGAGGCUAACAAGGCUACAUACUACAUAACUAUGGUAGGUUGUUGGCACUGCUGUUCACCUUCUUCAUAUCCUUGGAUGUUGGACUCUACGCCGGCCUCUCCCAUCUUGAGUGUUCGUGGCUGCAUGAUCUGAGCAUCGGCUUGGAUGGCGUCCAAUAAAGACACCAUGCAUUACUGGCAGGGUAGAUUCUGACACACACAAGUAUAUGAUCUAAGCUUUCCUUUGGCCCAAAACGCACACAUACUACAGCCAAGAUUAAUCGGCAUCAUUGACCAGCUCGGCCAAUGCUUUUGUCCUACAACAAAACACAUCAGCGCCAACAUGUGUGGGAUGAGAAGGCGCUGGGCUGCAUGCCAGUGUGGGCCGAUGCCGGGGGACAAGAUGACACUCUCAGCCUCGGAGAUGCUCCCGAUGCACUGCAAGCAGCAUUGCAAAUUCGGAGUACGGUCUUUCUAUUCCCAUCUUCAUUUCCUUUGUGUAUAAAUUGCUAACUGCAUGUACAUGACAGAUAGCAACAACAAAUUGUAAAACAAUCCCUCACAUAUAGGCUAUACCACAUGGGAAAGAUCAUGAAUGUUGCGGCUCAAUUAUAAUCUAGAUUUUGUUUUUAGAUGUUUUGAGAGUAGUGUUCGUAAUUACAGAUGAAAACAUAAUCCUAUUGUUGUUGUGGCCUCUUGAUUUCUCCAUCAUAACAAGAAGAGGAAGUGUACACAUGUUGAAGUCACGUUUAGGCAGCAAUGUGAGUGGUAUGUAAGAAAACAUUGUCUAAUGGCCGACUAUAUGUUUCUUGAAUAAAAAUAAUUAUACAAUAUGAUUACAUGACGCUGCAGAUCCUAGAAAAAUAUAAAUGAGAUUGCACAAUAAAUUUUUUGGUGACCAUGAUUAUAUGUAUAUUAGUUUAGUCAUAGUAUAUCAUCAACAUAUUUAUUUUUAUGUUCUAUUUUGUAAUGCUGAUAUGUUCACAAAAGUAGUAAUAUUAGUAGUAGAAACUAAUAUUUUUGUACCAUUAUUAGUAGUACAAUUUAUCACAAAAAGUGUGAACCAAUGAUUGUAAAUCUUUUCCCACAACAUAAGCUAUUACUUGAAUGUGAUAAGGUGAGAUAGUAUUAUGACCAAAUGUUACGAGUGCAAGUUAAUUAUUAUAUCACAUAAAUAACUGAAUCAUUUCAUUUCAUUGUCUGACAAAAUAAGUAUUCCCUCAAUUUGAAUUUAUUCGUAUAUGAGUAUUAUCUCGAGUUAGACUUCUACAAUACCGAAACAAUAUCAUUAGAUUCAUUAUUGAAUAUAUUUACACAUCUUAUAAGUUUUGAAAAAUGAACUUAUUAGGAAGUAUAGAAACCAGUCGGCCCACGCAACCCACCAGAUGAAUUUAAAUUGACCUGCGACAAAAUUAAUUACCAUUCACCCUAUUAGGGUAGCCCGUGCGAAUGCACGGGUUGACGACUAAUGACUUUAAUGGAGGACGCGUACUGACAACUUUUUAAUACCACAUCGAAUCGGCAGAUAAAAAAUAAAAUAUUUUACAAAAAUUACCGUAAACGGACAGAAACACUACGUGUUUUAUUAUAUUAUAUAUAUAUAUACUAGCAAACAUGCCCGUACAUUGCUGCGGGCAUGAAAUGAAUCUAGAGUUCAUGUGGCAUUUGCAUAAGGAUCCACUUUAUAAAGAUCCCAUUGUAUUCCAAAAGCUCGUAAUUUCUUCUCUGGUAAUAAAACCCACGGCUUCAAAUCGCUCUAAAGAACUUAAAUUAUGUGUAGAAAGAUGUUGAUAUACAAUAAUCUUAUGUAAAAGUUAUUACAAAAAUCUAAACAUUUAUUUAUCAGCGGCUACCUCUUCAGUAUGAAACUAAUUGUACACCAUCCGCAUACAUGUAGCAGCUUCAAAUAGGUCAUAUAUUAAUUCCUAUAUCUCAAAAUAUCAGCUGUUAUGAGGGGCGAAACGGGACCCAAGCAAGAUAACAUUGUUGUCGCACUUUCUCAACUCUUCAUCCCUUUCUAUCUCACCAACGACAUCGAUGACAUUCAAAGUUAAGGAUAUCUUGAUGGUAAGCAGAUACCAGUGUGCCUCAAAUAUCUUCUUUCUUAAGAAAUAUUUAUUUCCAACAUUUCAUUCGCUCUUAAUUAUUGCAUCUAGUGAUGUAAAAACAGCAGCAAGUAACUACAAACAAACAACAAUACUACGAGAGUAACGACAAACAACAUCAAGUAAUUAUAAUCGGUGUUUAUUUGGAUUUUUUAAUCGGUACUCCAUGCAUAGCCAUCCAACAGCUUCCACUCUAUGCAAUUUCUCUUUUUUUUUGAUGUGAAAAACCAUGCAUUCCAUCAGCAGCAGCAGUUACAUUAGAAGGAAAAUUCGAGAGCCACACAGUGUGGCCUCCAUUUGGCACUAUGGCUUCAUGAGGGCAACUCCAACACGGGACCCUAAGUUAUCUGGGUCAGGGUAAACGAACAAAAGAUACGGCUCAACGCACAAUCCCAUCUGAAAAAAUACGUUCAUUUCUAGUCCAGCUUGCUCCAAGCUGGACACAAACUGGUCCGUGAAAGAACAUCACCUUUACUUUAUUUGCUUUAUUAAUUAAAAAACAGGAAAACAAUUACGUGUCAACACGGGUGAAUGCUAGCUAGAAAAGAGGCGUUUUCUCCGAAAGUUUACUUGUCGGUGACCCCACCACAGAACCUCCCCCUAAACCCGCUGUUGCCGCCGCUUGCGCCCAUCACAAUCCCGUGUGCCAGGACUCCCCGCUCCCCAAGCUUCACCACCGCCAUGACUCCCCCGCUCCCCAAGCUCGACUUCCAGGGUCCUUCCUGUUUAAAGCAGGAACACUCCGCCCGCAAUCUCCAGCCACCUCAUCGUCGGCCUCGUGCUCCUCCGCCUCGAUUCAUCCACCGCGUCGUCGGAUCCAUGCCGGAGCAGCCGGAUCCGCGACCUCCUACCUCGUUUGUCGUCGGGAGGAGGAGGACCAAGAGGAGCGCCCUUUUUCUCCUCUCCAGCAACCGGCCUUCCUGAGCUGCCUCCUCCAACCACGCCGUAAACCGCUCACCCCGACGCCCCCGCCCCCACCUACGCGCCUCCCCGUAGCAUAUAUGGCAGGUAACCCAUCAUUUACACAAAAGAAAGUACCAUUUGGCAAAGGUUAUAGCCCUUUAUAUGUUUGGUAUGUGUGGGAGUGGGACUUGCAUCGAAGCGACUCUUUUUAACUGGAUUCACUAGUAGAAAACAUGGCUGUAGUUCCGGGUCGUCACCAAUCGGGAUUAAUAAUUUAGGACUAAAGGUCAGUUGGCCACGACCUGGGACUAAUGCCUUUCAAUGUGGUUGGCAGCUCGCCGGGGGAGGGGCGGGAACCUUUAGUCCCCGUUGGUGACGAGACUAAAGGCUUUGGGGUUUAUUGUUUAUUUUUGCUUUUCAUUUUGUGUUUUUCUUUUUUUCAUUUCAAAUAUGUUUUACCCUACUACAUACUGUACACGUUAUCAUAUAUCAUAGAAUUUCUCGUAGAAACAAUCAUAUAUCAUAGAAUUUCUCAUACGACCCCCCCCCCCNAUAUAUGACCUAUUUGAAGCUGCUACAUGUAUGCGGAUGGUGUACAAUUAGUUUCAUACUGAAGAGGUAGCCGCUGAUAAAUAAAUGUUUAGAUUUUUGUAAUAACUUUUACAUAAGAUUAUUGUAUAUCAACAUCUUUCUACACAUAAUUUAAGUUCUUUAGAGCGAUUUGAAGCCGUGGGUUUUAUUACCAGAGAAGAAAUUACGAGCUUUUGGAAUACAAUGGGAUCUUUAUAAAGUGGAUCCUUAUGCAAAUGCCACAUGAACUCUAGAUUCAUUUCAUGCCCGCAGCAAUGUACGGGCAUGUUUGCUAGUAUAUAUAUAUAUAAAAUUUCUCCCACAACUUGCAUAUCAUUACAUGCAGACACUAGGUGUAGUGGUAUUCUUUAUCGGGAGCUAUGACCUGCUCAAGCACAAAUCCGUCAUUUCCUUUUAAAGUGCUCGUAUGCGGUCCUUUGCUAGGAGCUUUUGCCGCAUCUCCGACAUCUUGAGAGAAGAAGACUAAUAUGAAUAUAUUAAUUGUGUAUAUGUAUAUUAGACCAUGAUAAAAAAAUUGUGAAUAAUGUUUCUCUCGUCAACACUAAUGGUUAGCCGGAUUCAGUGGAACCUCUGUUGUAUAAGCAGACAUGCAUAACUCAUCAAGUAUUAUGUGCACUUUACAUCGAGUAAGGAAAAUAGAAUUUAUAGUACAAGACAGUAACACUCACCUGAAGUUGUAAGGAAAUAGUACUUCUGGUUGGGUAUUAAGUACCGUAAAAAAUGUAUACAAGUUCUCCUCUGUUUCAUCUUUAAACUCUAUUACCGUCUUUUCAUAAAUGGUAUUUGGGUUAAUGUAGUCAAUGCCAAAGACUCCAUUGCAUAGUGAUACCAAGAUCACAACAAAGGUAACAAUUGAUCCAACAACACAAUGAUACCAAGCCUUUUUAUUAACGACAUAUUUUCUACUCUUUCUAAUCUUCAAGCGCAUUGCAUCCAUCUUGAUCUUGUGAUCAUCGACGACAUCGGCAACAUACAACUCCAAUUUCAUCUUCUCUUCUUCAUUUUUUUUCAAUUUUUCUUUCAAAUACUCGUUUUCUUUUUCAACUAAAUUUAACUUAUCGACAAUAGGGUCAGUUGCAAUUUCCGGUACACAUACCUCCUAGAGAGAAAUAUCUUUGUCAUUUUGAUGGGCAUAAUUGUCAUAAAUGCGAAAUGCAACAAAUAGUUAUAAAAGAGAAUAUAGCACAUCCGAAUCAUAAACCGGACGAGGGCCGACGGGAACCAUGACACUAUGUAUAACGAACAAUCGUACAAGUAAGAAACUAUCUAAAUCAUAGAAAUAAGUUUUUUUAAUAAAAAGGAUAAGAACAAGAGGAUCACAAAGGUGGUGCCGACGAUGGGACGGUGCGGGCGAUCGAUGGUAGUUAGGACGGGGAUGGGAAGGCACUAAGUAAAUCACACCUACACAUAUGCAAACUAAGAAGUUAAUUUGAGCUCAAAUUGCAUAUAAAUCAAAUAAACUCUCACAAAAUUACUCCCAAACUAAAACCCAUAAAUUAUUGUACUUAUAGAGAAUUGCACGAGCUAAUCUACCAAUGCGAGAUGAAAUGACAAAGUUGCUAACCUUUGUGAACACUUGGAGAGAUGGGAUGCGUCAAAUCUUGGCAAAAAAUGGAGGACGAGCUCGAGCUAAGGGGAAGAACAGAGAGGGGAAUGGAGAAAACACAGAAAUGGGCUCGGUAUGGAGGAAGGACUUAUAUAGGGACAUCUUUAAUCUCGGUUGAUUAUACAAACCGGGACUAAAUGGCUACCUCUAGUCCUAGUUUGUGUUACAAUCCGGGACUAAAUGAGCUCACGGGGGCCCCGGCCUAAUGCCUGCCUGUCACCAUACCUUUAGUUCCGGUUUGUAUCACAAAUUGGGAAUACAGGUACAAAAUAAACCGGUACUAAAGAUGCCCGUGCCCCCGACCGCUCCUAGCUCACUAGUGGAAAACGGGCCUGUCUCUGGGCCGGGACUAAAGGCCCGGCCACGUCGCCCCAAUUCUCAAUGCCUCCCUCGAGGCUUUAGUCCCGGCCCGUAAGGAGCCUUUAGUCCCGGUUCGUGUCUCAAACCGGGACUAAAGGGCUACGUGGUGGGCAGCCCGCAUGUGCGUCACCUUUAGUCCCGGUUUGUGUCUCAAACCGGGACUAAAGUCCUCUGCCUAUAUAUAGCACAGCCCCCCUCUCCCCUCUUCCUUGCAUUUUUCUCGGAUGGAGGAUUGUGGGUGGGUGCUAGCUCUCCACUUUUUUGAUGCACUAGAGGUGUUUGUUGAAAUGUGUGUUAGUGCGAUGCCGCUUUAGUUCACCGAACGCAACUACGAUAUGAGAUGCCUGAGCCACGCUUAAACCUCUUCCUCUUUAUUUCUACUUAUUCUAAAAGGUUAGCAACUAUAUUUCCUCGUUUAGACCGUGCGGUACUAAUUUUUAGGAUCGUGAUUGUAUUUGAUAAACUGUCGUAUAACACAGAUGAGCCAUCCAUGGAUGUACGGUGAUCGACGCACAACCGCUUACAGAGAAGGCGUGCAUUCUUUUCGAGAUGCAGCCGAUGCGAACAAGCAUGGUGGUGGCUAUAUGUUUUGUCCAUGUGUUGAAUGUCGGAAUGAGAAGGAUUACACUUCCUCAAGAGUCAUUCAGAGCCACCUGCUUCGAUCCGGUUUUAUGUCGGGCUAUAAUGUUUGGACCAAGCACGGAGAAAGAGGGGUUAUGAUGGAAGACGACGAUGAAGAAGAAGAGAACGAUGAUGACAACUACCGAUCUAUGUUCUCUGAGUAUGCUGAUACCGCAAUGGAAGACAAUGAAGAAGAAGAUUAGGAUGAAGAACGGGAACCAGAUGAGCCCGCUGAUGAUCUUGGCCGGGUCAUUUCUGAUGCACGGCGAGGUUGCGACACAGAAAAGGAGAGGUUGCAGUUCGAGCAGAUGUUACAGGACCACAACAAAUUGUUGUACCCAACUUAUGAAGAUGGCCAGAAGAAGCUGGGUAGCACACUGGAAUUGCUGAAGUGGAAGGCAGAGACCGGUGUGACUGAUUGGUCAUUCGAAAAGUUGCUGGUACUGAUGAAGAAGAUGCUUCCAAGAAAGAACGAAUUGCCCGCCAGCACGUAAGAAGCAAAGAAGCUUGUCUGUCCUCUAGGAUUAGACGUGCAGAAGAUACAUGCAUGCCCUAAUGACUGCAUCCUCUACCGCGGUGAGAAGUACGAGAAUAUGGAUAAAUGCCCGGUAUGCACUGCAUUGCGGUAUAAGAUCAUAAAAGAUGACCCUGGUGAUAUUGAUGGUGAGCCACCCAGGAAGAGGGUUCCUGCCAAGGUGAUGUGGUAUGCUCCUAUAAUACCACGGUUGAAACGUCUGUUCAGAAAUAAAGAUCAUGCGAAGUUGUUGCGAUGGCACAUGGAAGAUCUUAUGAAAGAUGAUAAGUUGAGGCACACCACUGAUGGUCGGAAGUGGAGAAAAAUCGAGAGAGAGUUCCCGAGAUUUGCAGCUGACGCAAGGAACUUAUGGUUAAGUCUGGGUACAGAUGGCAUGAAUCCUUUUGGGGAGCAGAGUUGCAGUCACAGCACCUGGCCCGUUACUCUAUGUAUCUACAACCUUCCUCCUUGGUUGUGCAUGAAGCAGAAGUUCAUUAUGAUGCCAGUGCUUAUCCAAGGUCCAAAGCAACCCGACAACGAUAUUGAUGUGUACCUAAGGCCAUUAGUUGAUGAACUUUUACAGCUGUGGGCCGAACCAGGUGUUCGUGUGUGGGACGAGCACAAACAAGAGGAAUUUGACCUUCGAGCGUUGCUUUUCGUAACCAUCAAUGAUUGGCCUGCUCUUAGUAACAUUUCAGGACAGUCAAACAAGGGAUACAAUGCAUGCACACACUGUUUGGAUCAGACAGAAAGUAUAUAUCUGGACAAAUGUAGGAAGAAUGUGUAUCCGUACAAUCGUCGUUUUCUUUCGCCCAAGCAUCCCUUAAAGAAAAAAGGCAAGCAUUUCAAUGGCAAGGCAGAACCCCGGAGGAAGCCUGUCAUCCGUACUGGUGCUGAAGUAUUUGAUAUGGUCAAAGAUUUAAAAGUAAUCUUUGGAAAGGGUCCUGGCAGCCAACCUGUUCCUAACGGCCCUGAUAAGCGCGUACCCAUGUGGAAGAAGAAAUCUAUAUUUUGGGAGCUACCCUACUGGGAAGUCCAUGAGGUCCGCUCGACAAUCGACGUGAUGCACCUGACGAAGAAUCUCUACGUUAAUAUUCUAGGCUUCCUGGGCUUGCAUGGGAAGUCAAAAGAUACACCGGAAGCACGGGAGGACCAGGAACGUCAUAAAGGAAGAGAUGGCAUGCAUCCAGGGCAGUUUCAAGGGCGUGCGAGCUACGCUCUUACUAAGGAAGAGAAGGAAAUCUUCUUUGAAGUCCUUUUCAGUAUCAAGGUCCGACUGGCUUCUCGUCGAAUAUAAAGGGAAUCGUAAAUAUGAAAGACAAAAAAUUCCAAAACCUAAAGUCUCAUGAUUGCCACGUGCUUAUGACGCAAUUGCUUCCGGUUGCAUUGAGGGGAAUUCUACCGGCAAAUGUUCGCCUGGCAAUUGUGAAGGUAUGUGCAUUCCUCAAUGCAAUUUCUCAGAAGGUAAUCGAUCGAGAAAGUCUAUCAGGGUUACAGAUUGAUGUGGUCCAAUGUUUGGUCAGCUUUGAGUUGUUGUUCCCGCCAUCCUUCUUCAAUAUAAUGACACACCUCCUAGUUCACCUAGUCGAAGAGAUUAGAAUUCUCGGUCCUGUGUUUCUACACAAUAUGUUCCCCUUUGAGAGGUUCAUGGGAGUCUUAAAGAAAUAUGUUCGUAACCGUGCUAGGCCAGAAGGAAGCAUCUCCAAGGGCUAUGGAACAGAGGAGGUCAUUGAGUUUUGUGUGGACUUUCUUCCUGACCUUAAGCCGAUUGGUGUUCCUGAAACUCGGUAUGAGGGUAGGCUACAGGAAAAGGCACACUAGGAAGGAAAGCAAAAGUAUGUAUGGACGGGCAUUCUUUCUCUCCAGCACACUACACAGUUCUACACAAUUCCGCCGUGGUGGCUCCGUAUAUCGUGAGACACCAGAAUAUUCUACGCUCCGAAAACCCGGGGAAGGCUGACUCUUGGAUUAAAGGGAAACACGAGAAGACUUUCGGCAGUUGGUUGCAGACACAUCUCAUGAAUGACGACACCGUUGAAGAUGAGCUGUACUGUUUGGUCAGGCCACCAUCUUCGACUAUAUGUACUUUUCAAGGGUAUGAGAUAAAUGGGAAUACAUUUUACACGGUUGCCCAAGAUAAAAAGAGCACCAACCAAAAUAGUGGUGUCCGCUUUGAUGCAACAGACGAGAAUGGGCACCGUUUGGAAACAUAUUACGGGUACAUAGAGGAGAUAUGGGAACUUGACUAUGGACCUACUUUUAAGAUCCCUUUGUUUCGGUGCAAAUGGGUGAAGCUGUCAGGAGGCGGGGUAGUUGUAGACCAAAAGUACGACAUGACAACAGUGGAUCUCAACAAUCUUGCGUACAUGGGCGAACCAUUUGUCCUAGCCAAUGAUGUCGCUCAGGUUUUCUAUGUGAAGGACAUGUCUACAAAGAUGAGAAAAAGAAAUCAGCAAAAAAAGAUAUCGUCCGAUGAGCCAAAACGCCACAUAGUUCUUUCAGGGAAAAGAAACAUCGUGAGAGUAGAUGACAAGAGAGACAUGUCAGAAGAUUAUAAUAAGUUUCAUGAAAUUCCGCCCUUCAAAGUGAAAACUGACCCAAGCAUCCUACUGAAUGAUGACGAUUCUCCAUGGCUACGACCCAGAAGAAAACAGAAAUAAUAGAUAGGAAUAUUGGUGAAAUAAUAUAAUAAUGUAUUAAACCUUUUAUGUAAUGCAUGUAUGGAAUGUACUAAAUUUCAAACACUUUUCAUUUUCAUAGUAUCCAUGUAAGAGAUGAGUUCUCGUUCGAAACCUUGAUACUUCGAGAGAGAUUGUCCGUUUUGUACACGAAGUGCAUCCAGUUUUUGUCGUAGCCCUCUCAACUUUUUAACACAUGCUAUGUGGGUGAAAUGAUGAUAGCAUUCCAACUUUCAACAUUUUCAGAGUUCAUUUGUAGUGCUUUUCAAUUUUAGGGUCAACUAGCUCAAAAAAAAUAAGUAAAUGCACGAAAUAUACCAAAUGAAGUCAAAAAUUGUUGAAUUUUUGUUAUGUGACUUUGAAUGGUGCAUUUUGAACACACAAAAAGUAUGGAGUUCAAAUAAGUUCAAAAAAAUGAAAUCCCUUUGUAAGAGAUGAGUUCUCGUUCGAAACCCUGAUACUUCGAGAGAGAUUGUCCGUUUUGUACACGAAGUGCAUCCAGUUUUUGUCGUAGCCCUCUCAACUUUUUAACACAUGCUAUGUGGGUGAAAUGAUGAUAGCAUGCCAACUUUCAACAUUUUCAGAGUUCAUUUGUAGUGCUUUUCAAUUUCAGGGUCAACUAGCUCAAAAAAAUAAGUAAAUGCACGAAAUAUACCAAAUGAAGUCAGAAAUUGUUGAAUUUUUGUGAUGCGCCUUUGAAUGGUGCAUUUUGAACACACAAAAAGUAUGGAGUUCAAAUAAGUUCAAAAAAAUGAAAUCCCUUGGUAAGAGAUGAGUUCUCGUUCGAAACCCUAAUACUUCGAGAGAGAUUGUCCGUUUUGUACACGAAGUGCAUCCAGUUUUUGUGGUAGCCCUCUCAACUUUUUAACACAUGCUAUGUGGGUGAAAUGAUGAUAGCAUGCCAACUUUCAACAUUUUCAGAGUUCAUUUGUAGUGCUUUUCAAUUUCAGGGUCAACUAGCUCAAAAAACCAUUGUAGAACAUAUGACCAAAUUAAUACAAGUUCAUCAUCACAUUAAAGCCAAAGAACAGUAGUGAUCAAAUAUUAUUAUUGCAAAAAAUAAAUACAUAAAGUUCUGUCAUAAAACAACAUACAACUAUGUAAAACAUUUAAAUGCAACAACAAACGCGAUCAAAAUCGCAACUAAGGUAACAAUUGACCCAACAGCAUAAUGAUACCAAGCGUCUUUAUCAAUGACAUAUUUUUUAAUAUUCCUAAUCUUCAAGCGCAUUUCAUCCAUCUUCAAGCGCAUUGCAUCCAUCUUCAACCGCAUCGCAUCGAUCUUCAUCUUGCGAUCAUCGAUGACAUCGGCGACAUGCAACUCCAGUUCCGCCGGACUUGGGUCGUCCGUCUCCGCCGCCGUCCGCUCCGGAUACUAAGCGGGAGCGUGCCACCAAGAACGCUCCGCCGACAAUUCCUAAGCCACAGAGCACCCCAAAGCGCAAACGGUCGCCCCUCCCCAAAGUACGUCAUGCUAAUCUUCCUAUCAGACCUUAUGAUCGUACCCCAGGAUAGCAAAGGAACAUCAUGAUGCGCAGAUGAAAAAGAAGGAACCCGAGCCCCGCCCGGAAUACACCGAGAAGCAAAUAGCAUUUGCAAAAUACUUCACGACCCUUCCAUCACAGUAUGACUUACACCAUAAGCCUGAUGACUAUACACGCACAUUGCAGAAGGAAGUGAAAAAGAGUAGAUCACGUGCAAGUGCAAGUGGGAGCAAAUCAAGUUCAACUACAAGCAAGAAAAAAUCAGACGUACCUUAGCUUGGACAACAGGCCAAACAGUCGAUCCCACCCCUCAAGGUGUUAAUCGAGAAUAUUCCCCCUCCGGUGCAGGGGCUAGCUUUUGAAAGAGCAAAGGAGUUGGCAGAUGCAUGUGGUGUCUCGGUUGAAGAUUGCUGGCUUCCCAAGACGACAGGAUACCCAAGGCUGUGGUAGCCCCUAAGCCACAGUUUUUCAUGGGUGAGCCUUUGGUCAGCAAAGAUGAUCUCCCAACAAAUAUGCGUUACUUGCAUCAAUGGUACUUAAGUGAAUCAAAGAAUGGGAGAACAAUGAUCGUGCUGAGUGUCCCACAGGAGUACUACGGCCGCCCCGAACAAAUCCAUAUCGACUUUGAUGAACUCUUCCAGAUGUACAAUGGCGACGCCCUCGACAAAUCGCUCAUGAGUUGCUAUUGUCUGUAAGUUUUUCAAUUCGUUGUCUACAUAUAACUUGUUUAGUUAUUUCAAUUCAUUGUCUAUAUAUAACUUGUACUCUAUUAUGCAGAAUGAAGAUUCUGGAUUGUAAAAGUAAGAGCAUCCUAAAUAUUGGGUUUAUUGACCCAGAUAAAAUACAUAUAGCGACGCUAACUAAUUAUCCCAAGGAGACGGAGGAAAGCCUUCUAAGGUUUCUAACAGAUCAAAAUUUCUGUGACCACAUACUGUUUCCAUACAACUUCAGGUGAGGGUGUUUACUCUGUUGUGUCCAUUCACUUAUAAGUGUAAUUGAUAAGUUACUCACACACACACACACAGUAUAUAUACACAUGUGCAGCUUCCAUUGGAUUCUGUUGGACAUUCAAAUUGAUAAGGGAAGAGUUGAUGCCUUCGACCCAUUAUCGAGACCCUUGGAACAGUUCCAAAGCCUGCAGGACAUGCUCCAAGGGUAAUUUCAAUCAUUCUUGCGCUCUACCGGUCUCUUUCGAUGAUUUUCUGAUAUAUCAAUUAAUGAAAAACUUAGCAAAUCAUUAUCCUUGUCGGGCAGGGUUUGGAAGCGGUUCAAGUGCGUGACUCCCGGUAUCGAGCAUGAGAAGCUAACCUUUAGAACGGCUCAGGUAAGUAGUAGUAUGAUAUACUUCUAUUUUCAAUACAUUUAUGAUGCUAGAUUAUUAUUUUGAUUAUAUAUAUUCUAUUCUCGUAAAGUGUGACCAGCAGCCACGGGGAAAGCAUCUAUGCGGAUACUAUGUUUGCGAGACCAUUCGCACGUUUACCUCUGAGCACAAGGAUCACAGAUUCGACGUAAGCAAUGAACAUUCACACCUCUAUUUUUACCCGUCAUUCUUUGUUAUCAUGAUUGAUAUUCAUAUUCAUCUCCUCUUCUUAUAUAGCACACGGCCAUGACGACGAAGGUCCUACCAGAGCAACGCGCGAUUGUUGUUGCAGAGGAGCUUGCGAUCAUUCUGAGGACGGAAGCUAUAGAUGACAAAGGACGAUUUAGUGUAGCUAGGGGCCAUUACUGAUGUUCGUCCAUGUAAUCGAAUAGACUGGCUCUAGUCUCGAUAAUUCAGAUCUCCAUAUAAUUGUAUAUAUAUGCUCGCUUGUAAGAUAAGUUAACCUUAUAUAUAUAUGCAUAAUUAUUUCUAUUUAAAUUAUAUGAAAACUAAUUCCCGAACACCAAAUGAGGCAUCACGUUAAUCUCUCGAACACCUAAACCCUAAAAGCCUAAAACCCAAAAAUAAUUUCAUUAAAAAAACCCCGAAAAUAAGCAAAAUCUGAAACUCUUUAGUCCCGGCUCGUGUAACGAACCGGGACUAAAGGUCCUGCCCCUGGGGCGCUACGAGGCGCCCACGUGGAGCACCUUUAGACCCGGCUUGUAACAGGGCCGGGACUAAAGGUUAGGCCUUUAGUCCCGCCCCUUUAGUCCCGGCUGGUGAACCGGGACUAAAGCCCCUUACAGGCCGGGGCUAAAGGCCCCGUCCCCACUAGUGGCCGUUGGAACCGAGACUAAUGGUUACAUUAGUUUCGGGGCCUAAAUCAAACCAGGACUAAUGAUUCAAACGUAAGGUAUGUUUUUUACUAGUGAUUCUUGCCCAAUUAAUUACGACAACGGCUACAAAUCAACCGACUGAUUUCUUCAGGAAAUCAGUUGGAUGGCGGGCCGUCUGAUCCUUCCUCUCAUAACCAUUGGAUGGUCAAACAUAUGCCAUGCCACAACGCGAAUCACCACGGAAGCAGCGCCUCCCCGUUCGCUAGUAGGAGUCGCACCAACAACCCAUUGCAGCUCCGACGAUGCUUCAUUGGAGCACGAACACCUCCACGGAGGUGCUCCAAUGCAACACCAACGACCCAUCGCAGCUCUAGCGAUGCUCAAUUGCAGCACCACACCAGUGCGGUGGUGCUCCAAUGCAGCAGCGGUGGCCCAUCGCGUCUCCUGUGACGCUCCAUUGCAUCACCGCAUUGGUGCGGGGGUGCUCCAAUGCAGCACCGACGACCCAUCGCAGCUCCGUCGAUGCUUCAUUGGAGGCAACACCGACACCAUGGGCUCCAUCGCAACAUCUCACCGACGCUGUCGGCAGAGCUUCACUGCAACGCCACCCUUGUGCAUUGGUGCUGCUCCAUCCCAACACCGGCUGCCCUCGUCAUGCUCCAUCGAAGCAACCGACGACCUCUGUCGAACCUUCAAUGCAGCUCCACCACCGGCACUGUGGUGCUCUAUUGUAGCGCGAUGGCGACGUGGCUUCUACGAUGAAGCACACGACGGGGACGGGUGGGUGGAACGGCGCUGCUAUGCAGGACAUGGUGGUGACGCCAGAUUCGAUGGCGAUGGCAGAUGCUUCGUCGCCUCUUCCUUGAAGCAGCAGGUGGCAGUGACCCACAACUCAGAUUUUGGUGGUGGCCAGAGUGCAAAGGAAAGAGCCAUGGAAGGAAAAAAGGAAAGAAGAUGAGGAGGAGAAUGAAUGGAGGAGAGAGAGCGCUGAAAGGGAUAAGGUGGGAAGGAAAGCGGUGGCUGGGGGGGGGACGUGGCGUAUGUAUGAGGCGACUUAGAAAGACAGAAAAUCAUCUGAUUGAUUUGAACACUUUUCCAUUAAUUAACCCGUUGAUAAACAUUUAAAAUUUUCUACCUUCUUUUAUGGUCGGUUCACUAUUCUUUGUUGCAACGUACGGCUUCAAAAACUUAAUUUAUGAGCCAGCUAAUCUUCUACUAUCAAACAAUACAACAUAUCCGUUGGUGGCUCACGUUCAUUGCAAUGAUUUAGUAGCCACGCCCAUCUGAUACACAUUGUGGGAAUGACGCAAAUAUACACAUGGUGAGCAUAUCUAUGAGCCGGCCGGCUAGGUCGACCCAAGCUAUAUCAACUAUAGUGCAAAACUUCUCACGUGCAGCAAUCAAGCAAACAAAAAUCAAGAGACAUGGUUGGCCCAAGCCGCCGGAGGGAGUCAUCAAACUCAAGGUUGAUGCCACAUUCGACCAUGACACUGGUAGUGGAGGUACGGGAGCGGUGCUGCAUGACACGGCUGGUUUCUUUAUUGUUGCAUCCUGUAGUGAUAUACCCUUUGUGGAAGACGCAGCGACUGCAGAAGCUCGAGGACUACGAGAUGGUCUCCUACUAGCGAAUGUAGUUGGAUGCAACAAAGUUUAUGUCGAAGCGGAUUGCAUGAAGGUGAUCGAGAUCAUGCAAAAUGGUGGCAAUUCACUAGGACCUGCAGCGGCAACAUUUGAAGAAUGUUAUUUUCUACCUAGCAAUUUUAUUUCUAUAGUUUAUAGUCAUUGUCCUCAGGUGUCUCGAACCAUUGUUUGGAAAUCAGAGCCUCUGGGUUUUUUAGUGGAUGUAUGAACAAACGAUGUAUCUAUAUUCACACAUGAAAUAUAAACCGCCAUGAUGGCAUUUCCCUAAAAAAAACUUAAUUUACUAUUGAAAAAAAGAAAGAAAUGGGCCAGGCCCAGAAAAGAGGGGGGGGGUGCGCCGAUUUUUGUGAUGCUAAUGCCCGUACAUCGUAUGCGUAUAUCGCAGGUAACCCAUUAUUUACACAAAAGUGAGUACGAUUUGGCAAAGGUCCAUAUAGCCCUUUAUAUGUUUAGUGUGUGUGGGAGGGGGAGUUGCAUCGAAGCGGGCCUUUUUUUAACUGGAUUCUUGCCCAAUUAAUUAAUCCAUUGAUAAACAUUUUUGAGUUUGAUCAUACACAUAGCAAUGUAUGUAUAUCUGCACACAUCCAUUGCAUAUGAUAACAAUGCAAAGUCCCAUUGCAUGUUGCAAAUCAACCUCUGCUUGGAUGGUUAGAGGGACAGUGAUAUUCCCAGCCCACCAAGGUUUAAUUCCUAAUGUUUGUAUUAUUUUAGAAUUUAUUUCAGAAUUUCCGGCGAUGCGCUUUCAGCGGGAGGAGACGUUCGCGUCGACGACGUGACGCCUACAGUGACUUCGUAAAUCUAAAGAUGAUAUGCCGGCUCAGUCUCUCAAAGGGGCUCAUAGGAGUAGAGUAUGCAUGUGUGCGUUUAUAGGGGUAAGUAUAUGCGUUUAUUAUGAACGUUUGCGUUCGUACUGUGCUUAAAAAAAAUCACAUUGCACGUUUUAUAUUUUGUUUCUUUGAUAAAUUACACAGUUUUGCAAGUGCACAUAUAUGCUUACAAAGCAAGCUUAGAUUGGAAUUAAUUAUUAUUUUGUUCAAGCUGCAAUGCGGACCUUUAGCACUUAAUUUCUUGUCAUGCUCAUAGAGUUAGAGAGCCCUUUUUGCCUCCCAUGCCAGAGAGGAACUUAAGAAUCAGAUGCAAUUUAGGCAUAUUUUGUUUGGUUUCUACCACUUCUUAUCACGGGAUGAGUUGAGUCGUUGGCAAGGCAAUGCCUUAUGCAUGCCGGCAAGGUUCAGGAACAAAGUGGUGGUACAAUCAUUUUAGAAAACUAGAUGAUGCGCCGCGCGUUGCUGUGGGAUUUUCUGAUAAAGAGUUGGAAAUAUUUAUCUGAUAAAUUUUAUUUACAUGACAUGAGUUUUGUAUUUUUUGAGAACAUGCAAUAACUGCAUGACAAUUUAAAUAUAAAAUUAUAUUACAUAGAAACCUAAAUCCGAAACAUGAGUGAAGGUAGCAAUAUGGAUAAUGUGACCCAGCUGUUCUGACUUCUUGCAUGGCCUGCUUCUGAUCACAUUCAGUUGGCCAUAAAAAUGAAUAGUGUCAAGAUUUAAAUCACUCUUUUUCGUGGGAAUAUCUAAAUCACUCAAUAUAGUAACACUUGGUAAAAAACAAUAUCUAGGAAAGACAACAACUAUUAUAAUGAUGUAUUUAUUGUUGUGCAAAAGACAACGACAAUAUCUAGGAAACCCUAGGGGCUCACAUCACAUGCAUAUUUGUUUUUGGUUUCCUUUUCAUCACUACCAAAAAUAACCACCAUUACCACCGGGUAGUUCUACAACCACAUGUUUUGUGAGAUCAGUUAUUCAGAUAUCCUGACAUACAUAUAGGCAUAUAGCCCAAUCAAACGAACUGUACGUCCAGAAUACUAAACAACUAUAAAAUUAUCGUCGAUUCAACUUGUUUUAAGGAAAUACUAGCAAUUAUGUUAUGAUCUGUCAUGCCCAUUACAACCACAUUGCACCAAGACAACAAGAUCAUGUGGAAGGUGAUUUUACCAUUGAACAUCUCUUCCACCGAGUUGUGGGAACUUUGCUAUAUCAUGACCAAUCCUGUAGAUAUGCCUGCCAAUUCUUGUAAACUGGAUAUGACUUCUCCCUCUCCGAAGCUUUUCAAUAUCCAAAAAAGUGUCCCUUCACUCAGACAAAUUACCCUUGAAUGAGGUUAAUUUAAGAGUGAAUUCCGUUUUUUACCCUAUAGUUGUACAUUUAUGACACUAAUUACCCCAUCAAGUAGAAAUUUGUCUAUAAUACCUCUUUUGGAAGCUUUGGACACCCGUUUUCUGAUGCAUGUCCAUCAGGCAAGGUGUGAGGUAACGCCCGGGGUUCAAAAAUAUAUGGACGAUGAUGAGGAAUGGAACCGAUGGACAAAAGAAGUCUGGACAUGAUCGUCAACAAUGUCCUCUGAUCUUUAUAGAUUUUUCUACGAAUCAUUAACGUAACAUGUCAAUCCUAUCUAACAUAAACAAGAAAAAUGUAAAUCUAAGGAAUUACCGUGUUAAAAGUCACCAAAAUCUUAUAUUUCGAUAAAAAAUCCGCUAAAUGGGGUAAUAUGUGUCACAAAUGUACAACUACAAGGUAAAAAGCGGAAUUCACUCUUAAUUUAAUUAUCACGCAAGCACACUCCAGGAUUACAUGGUAAUAUAUCUGGCUAUGGGCCGGGCCGGGCCUGGCUUGGACCGGCCCCUAAAAAGCCCACAACAGAAAACUGAGGCCCAAACCCUGCAAUCGGGCCUACUUUGAAGCCCAAGCCCAUCCAAUCUGUUGAAAAGCCCGUCGGGCCUGGGGCCGUGGGCCGGCCCUCUUUCUUAAAAUCCCACUAUGUCAAGCCCAAGCCCGGCCCAGCCCUGCUGAUGGGCUCAAAACUCAGGCCCAAGCCCGGCUCACGGGCAAGCCAAUAGGGCCUAGGCCCUAAUUUUGGGGCCGGACCUGGGCGGGCCGGCCGGGCCGGAGAUGCCCAGGUAUACCUGGUAAUUUGUCCUUUUUUUUUGAUAACACACAAACUUUAUAGAUCAUGGCAUAAUGUCCAUACAUAUAGUUUACCGGAUGCAUUCCGGGGAUACACCACGCCAAACACGACAUUCAAGCUGAUUACAUGAUCUAGCUAAUAAAUGUGCAGCAAUAUUUUGUUCCCUACGCACAUGAAAUAUAUAACAACUCAUGAAGGAACCUCUAAGUUGCUUGAUAUCCUGAAUCACAGGACCACACAAAGAUCGAUCCUGGCUCAGUGAAUUGAUGCGCUGGAUAACCGUCAAACAAUCUGAACCAAGGAUAACCUCCUAAAACCCUUCACCCAAAGCAAAUAGCAAACCUCUCUGAAUUGCAAUGGCCUCUGCUAGCUCUGGAAGUAUCACAUUAGGAACACCAAUACCAUAACAAGUAAUGCAAGAACCAAAAUGAUCUCGCAUCACCACACCUGCUCGCAUGCUCCUGUCAUGUGAGAAAAGGGCAGCAUCAACGUUUAUCAUCACCCUACCUGCCGGCGGCGGAACCCAAGAUGCUGUUGGAGAGGGUUCACGCCUAUGGUUGGUUGAGGAAAUCAACAAAUGCUCCACAAUCAUAUCAACAUAAGCUUUAAUUUUCAGAGCAAGACUAGAAGGAUGCUGAGUAAUAUUUUCUUCGCGGAGUUUGUUUCUAGCAUCCCAAAUAUGCCAACACGUGACUGCAAGGACUGUCGCAGCAAGAUCAUCACAACUAGCCAAAAACCCCCCCAAUCCAUCUUUUGCAGCUUGUGAAACCUUGCCGACCAAGAUGCAGAUUGAAGUAAUGUUUGACAUCAUUCCAAACAACUUGUGCAUAAGGGCAAAAAAGCAAUGCAUACUCUACGUGCUCAUCAACAGAACAGUGGACACAAACCUUAGAAGCAGGAAUAUGUCGUCGUUGUAAUUGCAUUCCAGUUGGCAAACAAUCAUGAGCAAACCUCCAAAUAGUUAUCAACAUCUUCCCUGGUGCCUUGAUCGCCCAUAAUCUGUUCCAUGAAAUAGCAUCACCACGAAGAUUAGAAGUCAUACACCGGCCCGAAACACUGCGGGAUGCAACCAUCUUAGUCAUCCUGGCGAGAUGAUAAGCAGAUCGAACCGAAUAUGUAGCAGAACGGGUGUGCGGCCAUGAUACAAAAUCAGGAACUCCAAAUCGACUGAUGGGAACUUGAAGAAUUUGAUCCGCAAUUGUUUCCUCAAAAACUGAUCGAACAAGGGAAAUGUUCCAAGAACAACCAUCAACAUCGAAUAAUGAAUUCACCCUCUGGCCAACCGAAAGAGGAGCUAACAACCGCAAAAACUGAGGUUUAACACCAGGUAUCCAAUGAUCCUCUUGGAUCUUAACGGUAGCAGCGUUACCCACACCCCAGCGGACACCUUUCUUAACUAGUUCCAUGCCAUGAAGAAUACCCCGCCAAGUAUAGGAAACAGAUUGUGGGCAAUUAGCAUCCCAAAAAUCUGAAUUUGAAAAAUAUCGGCCCUUAAGAACACGAGCACAUAGGGAAUUUGGGUCUGUGAGUAGCCGCCAACACUGUUUUCCUAACAUAGCUUGAUUAAACAAAUUCAUAUCCCUAAACCCAAGACCACCCAUAGAUUUCGGACAGGUCAACCAAUCCCAUGAUCGCCAAUGCAUCUUCCUUUUACCAUCGGUAAAGCCCCACCACUGAUCAGCAAUGAUUCUCCUCAUUUGCUCGCAAGUACCGACAGGAAGAUGGAAACAACUCAUAACGUAUGUAGGAAUCGCCUGAAUCACUGAUUUUAAAAGAAUUUCCACACCUUUUCUAGACAAAGGUCGAUCAGACAUACCGUUGAUACGCUUCCACAUCCGAUCAUACAAAUAUUUGAAGGUCAGAGAAGUUGAUCUCCCCACCUCGAUAGGCAUGCCAAGAUAUGAUUCUUGUAAUGAUUCAUUGAAAACGCCAAUAAUGUGUUUCACCUCAUCCUUGAUCACCUCCGGGCAGCCAUUACCAAAGAAAAUAGAUGAUUUUUCUAAAUUAAUCUUUUGUCCAGAACCCUGACAAUACAGAGAAAGUGUAUUGUAACCGUAGAAUACUUGAACGAACGACAGCUUCCUCGGCACUAGAGUAGGGCGACAAUUUGACACCUUCCGCCACACACCCUGCAUGAUCUCUGAUCGUGAGACCAACACUUACUUGCCCUAUCCCCGCGUUGAAUGAUGCAUCGACAUUAAUUAACCUUCAGAUAGCCUGCGGCAAGUUUGAGGUAGUUUGUACACCUUUUUUUGGCUUUUGUUUCCACAUCCAGGACUGACCCAUUGCGAAGAUUAAUUAUUCCCUUGCACACGUACAAUAACUUUCCCUUUCCCGUUCAUUCAGCUAGAAACACAACACUUUCCAUGGUCAUGACCAAAUCAUUCCCGAGUUGGCAAUCAGGCCAAAACAAAAGGAGGGCCAAAGCGUGUUGCUCAGGUUUUAUUCUGGACAGAAGGGUAGUAUCCAGUCCGACCCUUCGUACCCAAAUUCAGGUUGUGGGGGUAGAUCUCAUCUGACAACUUUCUGAGCUUCAUUCCAUGAGCUUUUGUACAUUCAACCACCGCAUGGUUCCUUUGUGUACAUUCAACCACCGCAUGGUUCCUUUGUGUUGCCAGAUUAUCUAAAGACAGUCCUCAUAUAGAGCGGAGUUUAUCAGGCAAACCGGUAUGGAUGGUUCCGUACUGCAGCGUGCCAAAUUAGCUUCCAUAGUCUCGUGGCUCUAUCAGGCAAAUUGGUUCUGUUAGGGUCGAUGUGUUUAGAUUAUAUGGUCCUCGAUGUUAUGUUGAUCUCCACCGAUAAGCCCAACGUCCUAUUGGGCCCUUGGUCAUCACACCCUGAUCGGGGGCGUCCAACCCUCAUAUGGUUGGUGGGUCCCUGUGACAUGCGUAUAUAAAGAGGGAUGGGGGCCGGGGCACGAAACAUGAGGUUCACCGUCGCCACACUCCCCACCCACAAAUCUACCGAUUUAGGGUUACACAGUGCUCACGGAAAGCACCGCCGCCGCCACCGCAUCUCUCUCUUUCACCACCGCCGUCGCCACCUCACGAUGGACGCCGACGGGAGCAACUCAAGUGCGGGGCAAGGUAAACCCAUCUCAACCACUGCCGGAAUCACUAGUACACCGGAUCCUACGAUCUAUCAAUGGUAUCAGACCAUGUUGGUGCUAUAGAUUUCGGUAGCAACAAAGUAUCGAAUCCCUCCCCAAAAACCCUAGACAGGGCAAAGUACACUCAAAAGAAAGAGAAAGAUCACCGGAGAAGGGCCUCGGGCCCGCCGGCAAAGUAGUGCCGCCGCAAGGCCGCGCCUGUUCCUCUCGAUCCCCACACGCAUCGGCAAGCCGAGGUGUGAGGAAUAAGAACACCACCUUCGGCCACGUCUCCUUGUCUCUCUCUCGGUGGAAGGCAGAAACCAGAGAAGGAGCAGAGGGGCUCGACCCACAUCCUCUCUGCCACAGGAGAAAGAAGGAACCGCAGCCACACCGCUCGACGACGGCGUGCCCACCGCAAGGUGGUUGCGUGCUACUGUAACAAAAGACCUUCCAACGGCGCUAGCAAUAGGCGUGUUUAUGGGAGACUAUUCUUGUCUUGAUACUCCUCGUCAACGGCACCAGGAAUCCUUCUACUACGGCUACGCCUUAAGGGACUUCCUUGGCAAAUAUGCAAAGGAUUCCCCUGCGGCCUUGGAGCCUUGCGUUGGUGUUCCCUCGAAGCGGAAAGGGAUGUAGCACAGCGGCAGUAAGUAUUUCCCUCAGUUUUGAGAACCAAGGCAUCGAUCCAGUGGGAGGAUCGCGUCAGGUCAUAAAUACCUGCACAAACACAAAGAGCUUGCACCCAACGCUAUGAAGGGGUUGUCAAUCCCUUAUAGAUCGUUUGCAAAGUGAGAACUGAAAGCAAAAAAAUAAACAAAACAAAGUAAAAGUUAAAAGUGGAGACGAUAGUUGUGAAUAAACCCGGGGGUCGUAGUGUUCACUAGUGGCUUCUCUCAUGAAAGCAAGUAGACGGUGGGUGAACAAAUUACUGUCGAGCAAUUGAUAGAACCGCGCAAAGUCGUGACGUUAUCUAUGGCAAUGAUUAUAUCUAUAGGCAUCACGUCCAAAACAAGUAGACCGAUACUUUCUGCAUCUACUACUAUUACUCCACACGUCGACCGCUAUCCAGCAUGCAUCUAGUGUAUUAAGUUCAUAAGAACAGAGUAACGCCUUAAGCAAGAUGACAUGAUGUAGAUGGACAAUCUCAUAUCUAUGAUAAAAGCCCAUCUUGUUACCCUUGAUGGCAACAACACGAUGUGUGCCUUGCUGCCCUUCUGUCACUGGGAAAGGUCACCAUACGGUAUGAAGCCAAAACCAAACACUUCUCCUAUUGCAAUAAUCAUAGGUCUAGUUGGCCAAACAAAACCCAAGACCCGGAGAGGCUUACAAGGAUAUCAAGUCAUGCAUAUAAGAAAUUAGCUAAGACUCAAAUAUAAUUCAUAGAUAAUCUGAUCCCAAAUCCACAAUUCAUCGAAUCUCGACAAACACACCGCCAAAGAGGAUUACAUCGGAUAGAUCUCCAUGAAGAACAUUGUAUUGAAGAUCCAAGAGAGAGAAGAAGCCAUCUAGCUACUAACUACGGACCCGUAAGUCUGAAGUGGACUAUCACGAGUCAUCAGAGAGGCGAUGAUGUUGAUAUAAAAGCCUUCCAACUCCAAAGCCCCCUCCGGCAGGGCACCGAAAAGGGUCUCCAGACGAGAUCUCGCGGAAACGGAAGCUUGCGGCGGCGGAAAAGUAUUUUCGUUGAUGCCCUGAUUUUUUUCUGGGAUUUUAGGGAAUAUAUAGGCGAAAGAGCUAGGGCAAGGGAGCUCCAGGGGGCCACAAGCCUGGUAGUCGCCGGCCCCCCUGGUGGCGGCUACAGGGCUUGUGGGCCCCCUGUGGCGCUCCUGCCUUGGCCCUCAAGUCCCCCGAUCUUCUUUUGUUCUAGAAAAAAUUAUUUCGGGAAUUUUAUUCAGUUCGAAAUCCGUUCCAAAAUCAGAUCUGAAAAGAGUCAAAAACACAGAAAAAACAGGAACUAGCACUAGGCACUGAAUUAAUAAGUUAGUCCCAAAAAAGAUAUAAAAGGUACCUAAAACAUCCAAAGUUGACAACAUAACAACAUGAAACCAUCAAAAAUUAUAUAUACGUUUGAGACGUAUCAUUGCGCAGCUGGCGAGGGGCAGGCCACGGCUCCGGUGAUAGAAGAGGCGAGCGGGAGAGAGGCAGCUGCCCUAGAGGUGAGCGGCGCGAGCCACUGAUCCUAGAAGCGGAGCGGCACGCGAGGGUAUGCGCGAGGAGGGCAGCGAAGCCAACGGCGCGGGGGGCAAACAGAACGCGCCGUGGUGGCUCUCCACCGCCGACGAACGGACCUGCUCUCGGCCCCGUCAAGAAAGCCCUGUUCUUUCAGAGGAAGCAGAGAGAGAGCAGCGGGCUGGGAAGAAUGUUGGUUGGGGUUUUCCCCUGGUGGCUGGGACUGGUUUUGUUCGAGGCGAAAUGAAUGGGUCACCUUCGGAUCUCACCCGACGGCCCCGAUUGGCUGAGAUGGGAAACCCUAGCCCCAGCCGGGCUUUUUGGGCCGAAAGGGGAGGAGGGCCGAUGAUACGUCUCAAACGUAUCUAUAAUUUUUGAUGGUUUCAUGCUGUUAUCUUGUCAACUUUGGAUGUUUUAUAUACCUUUUAUAUCUUUUUUGGGACUAACUUAUUAAUUCAGUGCCAAGUGCCAGUUCAUGUUUUUUCUCUGUUUUUGACUCUUUUCAGAUCUGAUUUUGGAACGGAGUCCAAACGGAAUAAAAUCCCCGAAAUAUUUUUUUCCAGAACAAAAGAAGACCGGGGGACUUGAGGGCCAAGGAAGGAGGCCCACAAGGAGCCCACAAGCCCUCUGCCACAGCUAGGGGGGCCCGCGGCCACCAGGCUUGUGGCCUCCCUAACGCUCCCCUGCCCUAGAUCUUUGGCCUAUAUAUUCCCUAAAAUCACAGAAAAAAUCACGGCGUCCACGAAACCACUUUUCCGCCGCCACAAGCUUCCGUUUCCGCGAGAUCUCAUGUGGAGACCCUUCCCGGUGCCCUGCCGGAGGGGACUUUGGAGCUGUAGGGCUUCUACAUCAACAUCAUUGCCUCUCCAAUGACUCGUGAGUAGUCCACUUCAGACCUACGGGUCCGUAGUUAGUAGCUAGAUGGCUUCUUUUCUCUCUUGGAUCUUCAAUACAAAGUUCUCCAUGAUCUUCAUGAAGAUCUAUCCGAUGUAAUCUUUUUUGACGGUGUGUUUGUGGAGAUCCGAUGAAUUGUGGAUUUGUGAUCAGAUUAUCUACGAUUUAUAUUUGAGUCUUUGCUGAUUUCUUAUAUGCAUGAUUUGAUAUCUUUGUAAGUCUCUUUGAGUCUUGAGUUUUGUUCGGCCAACUGGAUCUAUGAUUCUUGCAAUGGGAGAAGUGCUUGGUUUUGGGUUCAUACCGUGCGGUGACCAUUCCCAGUGACAGAAGGGGCAACAAGGCACACAUCGUGUUGUUGCCAUCAAGGGUAACAAGAUGGGCUUUCAUCAUAGAUUUGAGAUUGUCCAUCUAUAUCAUGUCAUCUUGCUUAAGGCGUUACUCUGUUCUUAUGAACUCAAUACACUAGAUGCAUGCUGGAUAGCGGUCGACGUGUGGAGUAAUAGUAGUAGAUGCAGAAAGUAUCGGUCUACUUGUUUUGGACGUGAUGUCUAUAGAUAUGAUCAUUGCCAUAUAUAACGUCAUGACUUUGCGCGGUUCUAUCAAUUGCUCGAUAGUAAUUUGUUCACCCAUCGUCUACGUGCUUUCAUGAGAGAAGCCACUAGUGAACACUACGGCCUCCGGGUAUAUUCACAAUUAUCAUCUCAGCUUUCAGUUUUACUUUGCUUUGUUUACUUUUUUGCUUUCAGUUCUCACUUUGCAAACAGUCUAUAAGGGAUUGACAACCCCUUCAUAGCGUUGGGUGCAAGCUCUUUGUGUUUGUGCAGGUACUUGUGACUUGACGCGAUCCUCCUACUGGAUUGAUACCUUGGUUCUCAAACUGAGGUAAAUACUUACCGCCGCUGUGCUACAUCACCCUUUCCUCUUCAAGAGAACACCAACGCAAGGCUACAAGGCUGCGGGGGAAUCGUUUGCAUAUUUGCCAAGGAAAUCCCUAUAGGAAUAGCCAGCAGCAGAAGGAUUUCUGGCGCCGCUGCCGGGAAAGGUCUUUUGUUGCAGUAGCAGAAGGAUUUCUGGCGCCGUUGCCGGGGAGAGAUCAAGUCAAGAACUUAUCCAAGUAAGUGUCGCAAACUCAUCUCUUGCAUUUACUUUGUUUGCCAGUUGCCUCUCAUUUUCCUCUCCCCCACUUCACCAAUUUUCCUUUUUUGUUCGCCUUUUCGUUCGCCCUUUUUCUCGUUUGCUUCCUUUUCGCUUGUGUGCCAUGUGCCUUCAAUAUGCUUGCAUCUUCGCUUGCUGAAAAUCUAGUGAUAUGGAUCCUCAUCCACUUGCUAAUCUCUUUAAGAGAUCCAAUUAUGUUGAUCCAAUUGCUAGUGAGCUGAGUGCACUUGACUAUUUUUAUGGAGUUUUGCUUGAGAUGCGUGAAUCUGAAAAUUGUGAGGAAGAAAUUUAUGAAGUAAUUCACGAGGGCUCCUUGGAUGAAAAGCAUGAUUGCAAUGGUUUCAUUAUAAAUUCUAUUAGUGACAGUCAUGCUAAAAAUAUGCAAAACCCUAAGUUUGGGGAUGCUAGUUUUGCUAUGUCCACUACUUGUUGCAAUGAUCAUGAGUGGGGCGAUGAUUUUUCUUAUUAUCUUGAAAUUUUGUUUAAGCCUCAUGAUGAAUAUGAUAUUUGCAAUAUUAUUGAAAGUGGGUUUUGAGAAGUCACGACUUUAGUUGAUGAUAAUCCCACUAUUUUUGAAGAGCGUCAACUUUGCAUGCAUGUGGAUCAUGAAAAGAAUAUCCUAUUUGAUAGUUACAUUGUUGAAUUCGAAUAUGAUCCCACAUGUAAUUAUUAUGAGAGAGUAAAAUAUGGUGGUAGAAACUUUCACUAAAUCACCUCUCGUUAUGUUGAGAUUGCUAUUGUCUCUUUCUUCUUCGUUGCAUAUGGUAACUAUUAGUUGUUUUAACAAUUUGUUUUCCUAUAAAAUGCCUAUGCAUAGGAAGUAUGUUAGACUUAGAUGUGAUUUUCACAUGCUUUAUGAUGCUCUCGUGUGCUUCAAUCCUUGUCUUUUGUGUGAGCAUCAUUGAAUUAUCAAUGCCUAGCUAAGGGCGUUAAACAAUAGCGCUUGUUGGGAGGCAACCCAACGAAUCUAUCCUUUUUCUUUCUGUUUUUUGUUUUCCACACUUUCAUAAUUCUGUUAUGAUUGUAUUUUUUUGCGUUUCUUUUGCGUUUGUGCCAAGUGAAACCGUUAUGAUUAGUCUUGGGGAUGAUCGUUUGAUCAUGGUGGAAAAGACAGAAACUUUGUGUUCACGAAAAUAAUUUUCAUUUUGUUUCUGUGAGAGCUUUUGAGUUGAUUCUUUUUGUUUAUUAUUGCUACGCAAAUUCUUCAGACUGUCGUAAUUUUUCAGAAUUUUUGAAGUACCAGAAGUAUACGAAGUAUACAGAUUGCUACAGACUGAUCUGUUGUUAACAGAUUCUAUUUUUGUUGAGUUGGUUGCUUAUUUUGAUGAAACUAUGGAUAGUAUCGGGGGGUAUUAGUCAUGGAAGAUUGAAAAUACAGUAACUCAACAUCAACAUAAGUAGAAUUUAAGUUUGCCAUAGUACCUAAGGAAGUGGUGGUUUGCUUUCUUAUACUAAUGUUAUCACGAGUUUCUGUUUAAGUUUCGUGUUAUGAAGUUUUCACGUUUUGGGUGAAGUUCUUAUGGACAAAGAGAUAAAGAGUGGCAAGAGAUCAAGCUUGGGGAUUCCCAAGGCACCCCAAGUUGAUUGAAGGAUGCCGAAAAAUCCUAAGCUUGGGGAUGCCCUGGGACGGCAUCCCCUCUUUCGUCUUCAAUCCAUCGGUAACGUUACUUGGGGCUAUAUUUUUAUUCACCACAUGUUAUGUGUUUUGCUUGGAGCGUCUUGUAUCGUAGGAGACUUUUAUUUUUGUUGUGUCACAAUAUUCCUUGUUGCACAACUAGAGAGAGAGACAUGCACUCAUCGUGAUUUUGUCGAGCUUCACUAAUAUCCUUUGGUUAGGCAAUUCAGCUCAUAGGUUUUUCACUUAUAUCUUUUGAGCUAGUUGAUUUUGCUCUAUGUGCUUCACUUCUAUCUUUUGGAGCACGACAGUGCGUGCGUGGUAGUUUAUCUAUGCUAUGAAAGUAGUCUCAAAAGGGGUAGUUAUCCAAAUGGAUAUGAAAACUUCCACCUUCAUGUGCAUUGAGUAGUUAGAGAAGUUUGAUUCAUCUCAAUUAGUUUUGAGUUGUGGUUGUGGUAAUAUUGAAGUUAUACUAGUAAGGUGUUGUGGAUCUAGAAAUACUUGUGUUGAAGUUAGUGAUUCCCGUAGCAUGCACGUAUGGUGAACCGCUAUGUGAUGAAGUCUGAGCAUGAUUAGUUUAUUGAUUGUCAUCCUUUAUGUAGCGGUCGGGAUCGCGUGAUGGUUUAAACCUACCAACCCUUCCCCUAGGAGUAUGCGUUGAAUGCUUUGUUUCGGUUACUACUAAAACUUUUGCAACAAGUCUAUGAGUUCUUCAUGACUAAUGUUGAGUCCAUGGUUUAGAUGCACUUUCACCUUCCACCAUCACUAUCUUCUUUAGUGCCAUGCAACUUUAGCCGGUGCAUAAAACCCACCAUAUAGCCUCCCUCAAAACAGCCACCAUACCUACCUACUAUGGCUUUUUCAAAUCCAUUCCGAGAUAUAUUGCCAUGCAACUACCACCAUCACAUGUGCCACCACUUCUACAUUGCCAUUACAUGAUCAUAAGAUAGCUAGAAUGAUGUUUCCAUUGAUGUCUAGGCCAUGCUAGGUCAUUGUCACAGUACACUACCAAAGGCAUUCCAUAUAGAGUCAUCAUUGCUCUAAGUUUAGAGUUGUAAGUGUGAUGAUCAUCAUUGAUGGAGCAUUGUCCCAUGUGAGGAAAUAAAAGAGCCCAGCGAAGCCCAUUUACAAAAAGAGGUCAAAGAUGCCCACCAAAAAAAAGGAGGCCAAAGAGCCCACCAAAAAAAUGAGAGAAAAAGAGAGAAUGGACAAUGCUACUAUCUCCUUUCCACACUUGUGCUUCAUAUUAAGCACCAUGAUCUUCAUGAUUGAGAGUCUCUCGUUUUGUCACCACCAUAUAGCUAGUGGGAAAUUUUCAUUAUAUAACUUGGCUUGUAUAUUCCAAUGAUAGGCUUCCUCAAAAUUGCCUUAGGUCUUCGUGAGCAAGCAAGUUGGAUGCACACCCACUAGUUUUCUUUAAGAGCUUUCACUUACUCUUAGCUCUAGUGCAUCAUUUUUAUGGCAAUCCUUACUCAUUCACAUUGAUAUCUAUUGAUGAGCAUCUCCAUAGCUCGUUGAUAUGCCUAGUCAAUGUGACCAUCUUCUUCUUGUUUGCCUUGCAACCUCCACCACACUCCAUUCCACUUAUAGUGCUAAAACCAUGGCUCACGCUCAUGUAUUGCGUGAGAGUUGAAAAAGUUUGAGAAAGUAAAGGUGUGAAAACAAUUACUUGGCUAAUACCGAGGUUGUGCAUGAUUUAAAUUCGUUGUGCAAGGAUGAUAGAGCAUAGCCAGACUAUAUGAUUUUGUAGGAAUAACUUUCUUUUGGCCUUGUUAUUUUGAAAGUUCAUGAUUACCUUGCUAGUUUGCUUGAAGUAUUAUUAUCUCCAUGUCAAUAGCAAACUAUUGUUUUGAAUCUAAGGGAUCUGAACAUUCCCGUGACAUAAGAGGAGUUACAAAGGACAUCUAUGCUAGGUAGCAUGAAAGCAUCAAAAAUUCAUUCUUUAUCACUUCCCUACUCGAGGACGAGCAAGAGUUAAGCUUGGGAUGCUUGAUACGUCUCAAACGUAUCUAUAAUUUUUGAUGGUUUCAUGCUUUUAUCUCGUCAACUUUGGAUGUUUUAUAUACCUUUUAUAUCUUUUUUGGGACUAACUUAUUAAUUCAGUGCCAAGUGUCAGUUCCUGUUUUUCUGUGUUUUUGACUCUUUUCAUAUCUGAUUUUGGAACGGAGUCCAAACGGAAUAAAAUCCCCAAAAUAAAUUUUUCCAGAACAAAAGAAGAUCGGGGGACUUGAGGGCCAAGGCAGGAGGCCCACAGGGAGCCCACAAGCCCUGUGGCCGCGGCCAGGGGGGCCCGCGGCCACCAGGCUUGUGGCCUCGCUGGCGCUCCCCUGCCCUAGCUCUUUAGCCUAUAUAUUCCCAAAAAUCCCAGAAAAAAUCAGUGCGUCCACGAAACCACUUUUCCACCGCCGCAAUCUUCCAUUUCCGCGAAAUCUAAUCUGGAGACCCUUCCCGGUGCCCUGCCGGAGGGGACUUUGGAGCUGGAAGGCUUCUACACUAACAUCAUUGCCUCUCCAAUGACUCGUGAGUAGUCCACUUCAGACCUACGGGUCCGUAAUUAGUAUCUAGAUGGCUUCUUCUCUCUCUUGGAUCUUCAAUACAAAGUUCUCCAUGAUCUUCAUGAAGAUCUAUCCGAUGUAAUCCUCUUUGGCGGUGUGUUUGUCGAGAUCCGACGAAUUGUGGAUUUGUGAUCAGAUUAUCUAUGAUUUAUAUUUGAGUCUUUGCUGAUUUCUUAUAUGCAUGAUUUGAUAUCCUUGUAAGUCUCUCCGAGUCUUGGGUUUUGUUUGGCCAACUAGAUCUAUGAUUGUUGCAAUGGGAGAAGUGCUUGGUUUUGGGUUCAUACCGUGCGGUGACCUUUCCCGGUGACAGAAGGGGCAGCAAGGCACACAUCGUGUUGUUGCCAUCAAGGGUAACAAGAUGGGCUUUCAUCAUAGAUUUGAGAUUGUCCAUCUACAUCAUGUCAUCUUGCUUAAGGCAUUACUCUGUUCUUAUGAACUCAAUACACUAGAUGCAUGCUGGAUAGCGGUCGACGUGUGGAGUAAUAGUAGUAGAUGCAGAAAGUAUCGGUCUACUUGUUUUGGACGUGAUGCCUAUAGAUAUGAUCAUUUCCAUAGAUAACGUCAUGACUUUGCGCGGUUCUAUCAAUUGCUCGACAGUAAUUUGUUCACCCAUCGUCUACGUGCUUUCAUGAGAGAAGCCACUAGUGAACACUACGGCCCCCGGGUCUAUUCACAAUUAUCAUCUCAGAUUUCACUUUUCCUUUGCUUUGUUUACUUUUUACUUUCACUUCUCACUUUGCAAACAAUCUAUAAGGGAUUGACAACCCCUUCAUAGCGUUGGUUGCAGGCUCUUUGUGUUUGUGCAGGUACUUGUGACUUGACGCGAUCCUCUUACUGGAUUGAUACCUUGGUUCUCAAACUGAGGGAAAUACUUACCGCCGCUGUGCUACAUCACCCUUUUCUCUUCAAAGGAACACCAACGCAAGGCUACAAGGCCGCGGGGGAAUCGUUUGCAUAUUUGCCAAGGAAAUCCCUAUAGGCAUAGCGAGCAGCAGAAAGAUUUCUGACGCCGUUGCCGGGAAAAGUCUUUUGUUGCAGUAGCAGCCGGCCAGGCCAAAGUGGGCCAAAGGGAGGCGCCUAAGCGGGUCUGCAGGUGCGCGAGAGCAGCUUGACCAAAUAGGCCACUGGACCGGUUUCAGCCAAUGUUUUUUCUUAAAAAGUUUAUGUUUUUUUGUUCAAUUUCUCUGGACAUUUUUGGUCAGAUUUAAAAAUUGUUCAUUCUAUGCACUAUUUUCCGACGAAAAUCUUGCUAAGAAAUAAGAAAGAAAAGUGACAAGUUUCUGUAAAAGUCAUAUAAAUUUUUCUGAAAAGACAAAUAAAAGUUUCUGAAAAUAAAAUAAAGUUUUUUCAGAAAAAGAAAACUUCAUGGAUUUUAUAAAAGGAUAAUAAAGUUCAUGAAAUUUUAUUAAGUAACAGAAUAUUUUCUAUAUAAAGUAGAAAAAGUGCAUAAAUUUUAUAUUCACAUUUUCCGCUGCAAAGUAAUUUUAAUGAUACUCUUUUACGAAGUAAAUAAAAGUAUAGAGAGAAUAAACUUUAAGAGCACAUUAAGAUGAUUAUUAAAAUAUGGUUAUGUUAUUUUCUCACCAAUGUCGUUAAUAACAUGAUCAUAUUGCAUUCUUGGAAUUAAAGUUGCAUUUGUUCCUAUUAUUUGCCCAAUGGUAAUAUAGAUUUAUUUGCAUAGAAAAUUGUAUAUUCAAUUUGACCAACAUUAAAUUAAUGCAUAUAAUUGUUGUACUGAUCUCAAUUAAAUUGUGAUUUCAGGAGGCUUCCACCUCAUGAGUUGCCUAAAGAACGUUCCUACACUCAGAGGUGAUAAUUACACUGAGUGGAGGAAGAAAGUUGACAUGGCUUCUAUUUGUGGUGAGGUGGACUGGGUUCUGGAGGAACCACAACCCGUAAAACCUCCAGGGCUAGUCAGAGAGGCUGAUGAUGAUGAUGCAUGGACAAAAAAGCACAGGGAUUAUGCUCGAGUGGAGAUGUCAUACUCCCUGAGCAACCAAAAGUGGAUAAAUGCCAACAAAAAGUGUUUGACAUUUAUAAAGAAUACAAUUAAGAACUCCAUUAUGGGCUGAGUUGCAGAGUGAGCUUCCGCAGGGGAGUUGCUUGCCAAGAUAAAGAGUCAGUUCACUGGCUCUGCAAAGACAUAUGUCGCUCGAUUGAUAAAACAACUGAUCAGAGAGAACUACUAUGAAGGUGGUCAUGGCAUAAGAUAGCACAUCCUUCGGAUGAGCAAUAUGGCAGCCAAGCUCAAGCCCAUGGAUGCGAAUCUGAAGAUCAAACCAGCUUUCCUCGUCCACCUGGUAAUGGCUUCGCUGCCAAAGGAAUUUGAAACCUUUGUUGUGAACUACAACAUGCAUUCUGAUGGGUGGGACAUAGAAAUGUAAUAGCAAUGUGUGCCCAAGAAGAGGAGAAAAUUAAAGCCUUACAUGGUGGCUCCUUGAACUAUGUGAAGGAAAAGAAAAAGAAUUUCCAACCCAACAACAAAGGUUCUCCCUCAAAUCCAUAUGGUAAAGGUCCCGCUCAUUUUCAGCAUCAACAAAAGCCUCUUCCAGUGGACAGGAACACUUGGCUCCACUGCAAGAAAACAAGGCUCUAUAAAAAGGAUUGCCGUGAGUGGCUAAAUGCCUUCAUGGCAAAGGGAGGUAACGACAUCGUUUCCUUUGUUAAUGAAUAUCUGUAUUUACAGUUUUCGAAAUCUACUUGGUGGAUUGACUCAGGUGCAACUGUUCAUGUUGCAAAAUCUUUACAGGGAUUCAGUUCGAUGAGGAUCAUGCAAAGAAAAGAAAGUAGUAUUAAAGUCGCAAAUGGUGUCCAAGCAGAAGUUGAAGCUGUCGAUGACGUCUCUUUGGAGCUAGCCAAAGGAUUCAAGCUUUUGGUUAGAGAUGUUCUAUUGUUCCUUCAUGUAAUAGAAAUUUAAUUAGCAUCUCAUGUUUGGAUAAAGAUAAUUAUGAAUGCUUUUUUGGACAUGGCAAAUGUGCCAUUUGGUAUAAUAAUGCUUAUGUGGGUGAUGCUUUCCUUCACAAUGAACUUUAUUUGUUAUCACUUUUUGAAAAAGUGCAUUAUGCAUAUAAUGUGGAUGAGCAAAGUUCCCCGUCGAACAAAGAACAAAAGAAAAGAAAGAGAACUCACGACUCGUCGAAAUUAUGACAUUGUCGCUUGGACCAUAUUUCCAGGGGGAGAAUAGUCAAAAGUGAAAUUCUUCCUCUGUUGGAGUUCUCUGACUUAGAACAAUGCAUAGAUUGCGUUAAAGGAAAGUAUGUAAAACAAAUAAAAAAGGGUGCAAACCGAAGCACAGGAACACUGGAAAUUAUUCACACUGACAUUUGUGGACCAUUUCCUGUGAAAAGUGUGGAUGACUAUGAUUCGUUCAUAACAUUCACAGAUGAUUACUCCCGCUUCGGUUAUAUUUAUCCAAUCAAAGAAAGAAAUGAAGCAUUGGAUAAAUUCAAAAUAUUCAAAGCUGAAGUUGAAAAUCAGCUUGACAAAAAUAUAAAGAUAGUGAGGUCAGACCGUGGGGGGGGAGUACUACGGUCGAUACACUUCAUAUGGCCAAGUCCGUGGACCUUCUGCAACGUUCUUGCAGGAGACUGGCAAAGUUGCCCAGUAUUCAAUGACUGGCGAGCCCCAACAAAAUGGAGUAGCUGAAAGGCGUAACCGUACCCUUAUGGAUAUGGUGCGCAACAUGAUAAGUUACUCCAGCCUGCCAUUGGGAUUAUGGAUGGAGGCAUUUAAAACCGCCUUUCACAUUAUCAACAGAAUACCAAGCAAUUCGGUGCCCAAAACACCGCAUGAGCUGUGGAUAGGAAGAGUGCCAUCCCUGCAACACUUCAGGGUGUGGGAAUGCCCAGCUAAGGUCAAAAUGUUUAAUCCAAACAUUGGAAACUUAGAUCCUAAAACAGUGAGUUGACAUUUCAUUGGCUAUCUUGAUAGAUCAAAGGGUUUUCGUUUCUAGUGUCAAGAAAGAUAUACAAAGUUUGUAGAAACAAAACAUGCGGUCUUCUUAGAGGACGAAAUGAUGAGAGGGGGCAUGGUAGCUCGAAAAAUUGAUCUUGAGGAGAAGAGGAUGCAUGCACCUAAUCCGAUGAUUCAAGAGCCAUUUUUCGCACUACCUUUUGUAACUCCAACCAUGACAACUAUGGGAGAAGAUCCGGAACCUGUCCUCCAGGAUCCGACUGAACCUGUCGUUGAGCAUGAAAGGGAGGUACAACAACUAAUUUUUGAGGAUGUGCGAGAGAAUGAAGCACUUAGAAGAUCUAACAGAACAAGAAGAUCUGCCAUAUGUAAUGAAACAAAUAAACUAGAAAGUAUAAAGUUAAAAGUAAAAGUUGAGAUCAAGGGAAAAAAUGUUAGGUUGAUCUUCACCGAUAGGCCCGACGGCCUAUUGGGCCCUUGGUCAUCAUGCCCUGAUCGGGGGCGUCCAACCCUUAUAUGGUUCGUGGGUCCCUGUGACCUGUGUAUAUAAAAAGGGGUGAGGGGCGGGGCACGAAACACGAGAUUCACCGCCCCCACGAACCUACCGAUCUAGGGUUACGCAGUGCUCACGAAAAGCACCGCCGCCGUCACCGCAUCUCUCUCUUUCACCAUCGCCGUCGCCAUCUCACGAUGGACGCCGGCUGGAGCACCUCAAGUGCGGGGCAAGGUAAAUCCAUCUCAACCACCGCCGGAAUCACUAGUAUUACACCGGAUCCUACGAUCUAUCACUGGAUUCAACCAGAUCUAUAUCCAACUAAGGAGAAGGAAUAUUGGCUCAAAUAGAAUCGAGACCAAACUGAACUCCAAAGUCCAAAGAUCCCAGCGGAAAUAAUUGACUGAAAAGAGGAGCUCACGAGUGUACCGCUGCUUGGCGGCUCCGGCCAAGCGGAAGGCAUCGGGGUCGAGGCGCUAGCGGAGGGUGAUGAGCGAGAGUAGGCGUUCGACCCCGAACGCAUGUGCGCCUUGAGGUAGAGCGCAGACUCCCCGACGACCAUCUGCACGGUGGCGACCGACGUCGUGGAGAUGGAAGCCUUGACGUCAGCUAUAGGGUGGGACGACGAACCUGGGUCGGACGGGGCGAGCGAGGCGCACGGUGGGGUUGGAUGCCUCAGCGUCGGUACUCCAGGAUGCGACAGACAAUAUCGAUCGGCGUCACCGUCUGGAUUCGACAACUCCAACUGGUUUUCUAGCGGAGAACAUGAUUUAUCCAGGAAGGCGAGAAGAAUUUAUCAACACGGUGGAGGAGACGAAGGCUAAUGGAGUAUGAUUUAUUGCAGAAGAGGAAUCGGUGAGGGAAUAACUGAAUAUUGCGCAGGAGACGAUUGGACCACAGCCUUUGUUCCUAGUCUCUUUGUUUCUAAACGUAAGUCUUUAUAAGAGGGUGCUUGGAUUCAAAAGACUAAAACUAGUCUGACUAAAACUAGUCUCUUUAAGAGGCUAAAGUUUCAAGCACCCCUGACUAAAGAGAGACUAAAACUAGUCUUGAGGCUAAAAAUUUUUAGUCAGGGUUACCCCUACUAAAAUAUGCAUUAGUCAUCUCUCUCCUCAUUUAACUCCUCAUGCAAGUUCUGAAUUGGAAGGUUUGUACGAUAAUAAAUGCUCAUUAACUUGAUUUUAGUCUCUUUAGUACUUGGAUCCAAGCAUGGGUGAGGCUAGCAAGUUUUAGUCUCAUUACUUUUAGUCAUGGGACUAAAAUGUAUCAAGCACCCUCUAAAUAUUGCUCUCGUGAACAAAAAAAGAUAUUGAUUUUUCAAUGCAAGGAUGCAAAGAUGUACUCCCAUUGUUCCUAAAUAUAAGUCUUUAUAAAUAUUUCGCUAAUGGACUACAUACGGAUGCAUAUAGACAUAUUAUAGGUUAUAGAUUCAGUCAUUUUGCUUCGUAUGUAGACUUCUAGGGAAAUCUCUUAAAAUACUUAUAUUUAAAAACGUAGGGAGUAUUGCUGAACUCACAUGCAUGAUUGUUUCAUAAAUCAGCUGAUGUGGCAUCACGUGAUGUGAGUGCUGAGAUGGAAUGAUUGCAUAUUGAGAUGAGGUGAAUAGGCUGCAUGCCAAAAGAAUUGAGAUCAAUUUCUUAAGAAUAUUGCUGGAAUUUUGUCUAUUUUUGAACCAGCCCAAUAACAAUUUCAGAAUUUUUUAAUAAAUCCCACAUGUCCAUGCAGUCCAUUCGUGCAAGGCAAAAGGUGGAACCAAAAUUUAGUUCCAUAUUGUUAGUUUGGUGGGAGUUGGACCUCCUGAUAAGGAAGGUUAUUUCCACACAUGUAUGAGCAUGAGAACAAAAGAGACAUACACACGCUCCUCCUCCGCCGCCCGCCUUGCGUGGUCACGCGCCAACGCCAACUCCAACUCCAACUCCAACUGCAUUAGUAUGUACUCGUGUUCUUCUUGUUUGAGUUCCUGCCGUAACUUCUUGUUGUAGUUUUCUUUCUAGAUAUAUUUCGUUCCUGCUCAUCAUUGCAGAUGCUACUUGCAUACUCUUUAUAAUUGCUAUGGUAGUCAUGAAUUUUGCUAUGAUGGUUGUAAUUUACCUAUUAUUUCUACUAGUAAAAUCACUUGGCAAAUCACUUAUAUUUCCAACAAAUAUAAGAUGCGGGAGCAUUCAUAGUAGGAGAUAAAAGGAGGGGGUGUCUCAAAUCCCGGCCCAAGUGGCACGUUGUGACUCACUUCAUAGAUGGUGCUAAUUGUUUCUUUAAAAUUUAUUUAUUACCCAUUGCGAAUGCAAGAACCUUUUGGUACACUAGGAAAAUGGCCCGUGCGUUGCAACGUCAGAAAAUCUCAUCGCACUCUGUCAUUUCAUGUAUGUUCCUUCUUUAACUUUGCAUGCGUGUCUUAGAUAUCUUUUUCAAUUAGCCCACCGUAUAGAAGGUUAAUUAGUCAAUCAUAUAUAUAGGGAGGCGUGGCUCUCUCUUGCUUCAUCGGUUUGGGCUUCCGUCACGUUUUUCUUUAGUUUUAGGACAUUUGCUACUGAUGCUGCAAAUUAGCAUCAGUCGUAAAAAAAAUUACAUACAGACCUAAAAACAAAAUAGAACCAAAACAAAACAUAUUUUUAUGAAUUGCACAUUUUUGGUCCGCUGUUUUUAAGUGUUUUUAGGUCUCUUUUUCCCACACUAAUCAGUUGUAUUUUAUAAAACCUAUAAUUAAAUAGUUGACCAUGGGUCUGUUUGGAAAUGCAACGUUCUUCAUCACGUUAGUUAUUGGUUUACGCCUAAUUAAAGAGCAUAUUGAAAUCAGGGGUUUAGCUCUCGUAAUUAACUCUAGUUGUUAAUGUCGGAGUUGCUCCUAGGUGCGCCUAUUCGGCAUGUAUAGGCUGCAUGCUCCAUAAUAUGCCGGGCUGGAGCCUUCCUAUUCCCUUGAAAAUGUCCAUUAUAUAAAAAAAAGUAUUAACUACUUUGAAAUGAUUAACAUGUAAGAUAAUAGCAUAUUUAUAAUUUACACAUUUUCUAAGCAAUUUGGGUAAAUAACAUAUUAAAUUUGAUGAUAAUUUUUGAAAUAUAUGAAUAUUUUAAAAAAUAUUGAAUCUGCCAAAAAAAGUGUACAAAAGUUAAACAAAGAAGCCGGCUGAAUUAUGACACUAUGCGAAACAUCUACUCAUUUGCUUAGAGAAGUAAAAAAGACAACAAAAGGAAGGAGAGGGAAUGAAACCUGGGUCUUUAGUUUAGAAGAGCAAGGCUCUCUCCAUCCGGCUANNNNNNNNNNNNNNNNNNNNNNNNNNNNNNNNNNNNNNNNNNNNNNNNNNNNNNNNNNNNNNNNNNNNNNNNNNNNNNNNNNNNNNNNNNNNNNNNNNNNACAUAUGUCACAUUUUCUAAACGUUUAACCUUGAUGCUCCGGUUGGGUUUUGUGAAAACUUACAUGCUUUUCUAAGAAGACAUGUGCGAUGAAGGAUCAAUUCCACACGUUUACUCCGAACUAAGACAUAUUUUAUACUAGUUGAAGGCACGUACUUUGUACGUGCACGUUCUUAAUAAAAAAUCAUAAAAGCAAAGUAAUCUUAAAUAAAAGCGAAACACUUUUUAUAUGGAGUUUUAGCUUCACAAUCUCUUUCCAAGUUAUAAUGUUCAUGGACCAAUUUGAUUUUAUUACAUUUCCAAAACAUGUCAAGAGCAAUUUUCAUUAACGUUCACUUGACAAACUUGCAUUGUUCUGCAAAAAGAAAAGAAAGGAAAAACUUGCGAUUAUAAUAUUCUCAAAACGGUAAGUUACACCAUGGGAUUAAAUUUUGUUCAAAAAAAUAAUCAUCUCCAUGCAUUUUAGAUCACUUGGGCGUAUACAUGGAUGCAACAUUUUCAAUUCAGAUCUUGCCGCUUGAUUUUCUGAGGAUAUUGAUGAUAAAUAUAUGCCAGAUGAACUAAUGGUGAAUCAAGUUCCAGCUAUUGAACGUCUUAUGCUAGAACCACCAAUACCCGCAACUGUUUUAAGAAAAGUGUCAACGAUAGCGCAAACCGGCAUCGUUGGCAAGAAUGGCUAUGCUGCGACACCUCUAUGCGUACAAAUAGCCCAAGCGCGACAUGGACCUUAAGCACAACAUCUAUCAGGAUUCGUUGGAGCAGGGCGGGACCCACAGCUUAUCCACGUCGGCAUGGGACCUAGAUGACGGCGACUACUGUCAAACAGUUUUCUGCUGCGCGCGCAUCCUCCCUCUUCUUCUUCUCCGGGAUGAAGCACGGCAACGCCGGCAAGCUCCGAUUCAGAAAAGCAAAUUUACAAACAUAGAUAGGGUUUGAUUACAAGGGCUCGUCGGAGCAAUAUUCCAGAGACGAUUACAGGUUCGACCUUCGAUUACACGGGCUCCUAAGCUCGGCCCCCUAAGAUCCUACCUCACCCCUACUAUAUCUCCAAAAGUGGGCUCACGUGAGCCCCACGGGUGCGGCCCCGACGAGGCGGCGGCGCCGGUCAGUCGGAGUCGGAGGCGCCCCACCCCCUGUCGGCGCGGAAUUCCUCGAUGGCUUGGCGGAGGCGAAUCUCGUCGAGCUCCUCUUCCCUCAGCCGGUGCGCGGCGACCUGCUGGGCCUCUUCCUUGGUGCGCUCCAUAACCUCGGCGACGACACCGUCGAGGUCGCCAUUGUCGACGUAGUCUUCCGGCAGAAAGCCCUGCUCCUCCCCAUCCCUGUUCAGAGGCGGCAGCAGUGCGGGUAUAAUGGCGGAGCUCGCUGCAUAGCAGCCCGCGGCAGAGGAGCGCGCUGAUGUCAGCUGUGCUUCCCCGGCAACGGCGACAGGAAUAGUCAUGUCGACGGCACCAGGAAUCCUUCUGCUGCGGCUACGCCUUAAGGGACUUCCUAGGCAAAUAUGCAAAUGAUUUCCCCCAUGGCCUUGGAGCCUUGCGUUGGUGUUCCCUUGAAGCGGAAAGGAUGAUGUAGCACAACGGUGGUAAGUAUUUCCCUCAGUUUGAGAACCAAGGUAUCGAUCCAGUGGAGGAGUAUCACAAGAUCCUGCACAAACACAAAGAACCUGCUCCCAACGCUAUGAAGGGGUUGUCAAUCCCUUAUAGAUUGUUUGCCAAGUGAGAACUAAAAGCAACAAAGUAACAAAGCAAAGUAAAAGCAGAGGUGUAAACGAUAGAUGUGAAUAGACCCGGGGGCCAUAGUGUUUACUAGUGGCUUCUCUCAUGAAAGCAAGUAGACGGUGGGUGAAUAAAUUACUGUCAAGCAAUUGAUAGAACCACGCAAAGUCGUGAAGUCAUCUAUGGCAAUGAUUAUAUCUAUAGGCAUCACGUCCAAAACAAGUAGACCGAUACUGUCUGCAUCUACUACUAUUACUCCACACGUCGACCGCUAUCCAGCAUGCAUCUAGUGUAUUAAGUCCAAAAGAACAGAGUAACGCCUUAAGCAAGAUGACAUGAUGUAGAUGGACAAUCUCAUAUCAACGACAGAGCCCAUCUUGUUACCCUUGAUGGCAACUACUUAAUCUGUGCCUUGUUGCCCCUACUGUCACUGGGAAAGGUCACCACAUGGUAGAACCCAAAACCAAGCAUUUCUCCCAUUGCAAGAAUCAUAGAUCUAGUUGGCCAAACAAAAUCCAAGACUCGGAGAGACUUACAAGGAUAUCAAAUAAUGCAUAUAAGAAAUCAGCAAAGACUCAAGUAUAUAUCAUAGAUAAUCUGAUCACAAAUCCACAAUUCAUCGGAUCUCGACAAACACACCGCCAAAGAAGAUUACAUCGGAUAGAUCUCCUUGAAGAUCAUGGAGAACUUUGUAUUGAAGAUCCAAGAGAGAGAAGAACCCAUCUAGCUACUAACUACGGAUCCAUAGGUCUGAAGUGAACUACUCACGAGUCAUUGGAGGGGCGAUUAUGAUGAUGAAGAAGCCCUCCAACUCCAAAGUCCCCUCCGGCAGGCCGCCGGGAAGGGUCUCCAGAUGAGAUCUCGCGGAAAUGGAAGCUUGCGGCGGCGGAAAAGUAUUUUCGAGGCUCCCCGGAUUUUUUGCUAUAUUUUAGGACAUAUAUAGGCCAAAGAUCUAGGUCAGGGGGCGCUCAGGGAGGCCACAAGCCCUGCCACCGCCGCCUCCCCUGGUGGCGGAGUGGGGGCUUGUGGGCUCCUUGGGGCCCUCCUGGCUUGGCCCACAGGCCCCCUGAUCUUCUUUCGUUCAGGAAAAAAAAUCAUUUCGGGGAUUUCAUUCCGUUUGGACUCCGUUCCAAAAUCAGAUCUGAAAAGAGGCAAAAACACAGAAAAAACAGGAACUGGCACUUGGCACUGAAUUAAUAAGUUAGUCCCAAAAGAGAUAUAAAAGGUACAUAAAACAUCCAAAGAUGACAAGAAAACAGCAUGAAACCAUAAAAAAUUAUAGAUACUUUUGAGACGUAUCAAGCAUCUCCAAGCUUAACUCCUGCUCGUCCUCGAGUAGGGUAGUGAUAAAAAAUGAAUUUUUGAUGCUUUCAUGCUACCUAGCAUAGAUGUCCUUUGUAACUCCUCUUAUGUGACGUGAAUGUUCAGAUCCAUUAGAUUCAAAACAAUAGUUUGCUAUUGACGUGGAAACAAUAAUAAUUCAAGCAAACUAGCAAGGUAAUCAGGAACUUUCAAAAUAACAAGGCUAAAAGAAAGUUAUCCCUACAAAAGCAUAUAGUGUGGCUAUGCUCUAUCAUCAUUGCACAAACGAAUUUAAAUCAUGCACAACCCCGGUAUUGGCCAAGUAAUUGUUUCACACCUUUACUUUCUCAAACCUUUUCAACUCUCACGCAAUACAUGAGCGUGAGCCAUGGUUAUAGCACUAUAGAUGGUGUGGAGUGUGGUGGAUGUUGCAAGACAAAAAAGGAGAAGAUAGUCACAUUAACUAGGCAUAUCAAUGAGUUGUGGAGAUGCUCAUCAAUAGAUAUCAAUGUGAAUGAGUAGGGAUUGCCAUACAAAUGAUGCACUAGAGCUAAGAAUAUGUGAAAGCUCUUAAAGAAAACUAGUGGGUGUACAUCCAACUUGCUUGCUCACGAAGACCUAAGGCAAUAUUGAGGAAGCCUAUCAUUGGAAUAUACAAGCCAAGUUAUAUAAUGAAAAUUUUCCACUAGCUAUAUGGUGGUGAAAAAACGAGAGACUCUCAAUCAUGAAGAUCAUGGUGCUUAAUAUGCACAAGUGUGGAAAAAGUGGUAGCAUUGUCCCUUCUCUCUUUUUCUCUUAUUUUUUUUGGUGGGCUUCUUUGGCCUCUUUUAUUUCCUCACAUGGGACAAUGCUCCAUUAAUGAUGAUCAUCACACUUUCAACUCAAAACUUAGAGCAACAAUGACUCUAUAUGGAAUGCCUUCGGUAGUGUACCGUGACAAUGAUCUAGUAUCGCAUAGACAUUAAUGGAAACAUCAUGCUAGCUAUCUUACGAUCAUGCAAUGGCAAUGUAGACAUGGUGGCACAUGUCAUGGUGGUAGUUGCAUGGCAAUAUAUCUCGGAAUGACUUUGAAAAAGCCAUAGUAGGUAGGUAUGGUGGCUGUUUUGAGGGAGGCUAAUGGUGAGUUUUGUGUACCGGCGAAAGUUGCACGACACUAAAAAGAUAUUGAUGGUGUAAGGUGAAAGUGCAUCUAAACCAUGGACUCAACAUUAGUCAUGAAGAACUCAUAUACUUGUUGCAAAAGUUUUAUUAGUAAUCGAAACAAAGCAUUCAACGCAUACUCCUAGGAGAAGGGUUGGUAGGUAUAAACCAUCGCGCGAUCCCGACCGCCACGCAAAGGAUGACAAUCAAUAUACUAAUCAUGCUCAGAUUUCAUCACAUAGCGGUUCACCAUACGUGCAUGCUACGGGAAUCACUAACUUCAACACAAGUAUUUCUAGAUUCACAACACCUUACUAGCAUGACUUCAAUAUUACCAUAACCACAACUCAAAACUAAUUGAGAUGAAUCAAACUUCUCUAACUAUUCAAUGCACAUGAAGGUGGAAGUUUUCGUAUCCCUUUGGAUAACUACCCCUUUUGAGACUACUUUCAAAGCAUAGAUCAACUACCAAGCCACGCACCACUGUGCUCUAAAAGAUAUAAGUGAAGCACAUAGAGCAAAAGUAUCUGGCUCAGAAGAUAUAAGUGAAGCACAUGUGAGCUGAAUUGUCUACCAAAAGAUAUAAGUGAAGCUCGACAAAAUCACGGUGAGUGCAUGUCACUCUCUAGGUGUGCAGCAAGGAUGAUUGUGACACAACAAAAAUAAAAUACUCCUUCGAUACAAGACGCUCCAAGCGAAAACACAUAACAUGUGGUGAAUAAAAAUAUAGCCGCAAGUAACGUUACCGAUGGAUUGAAGACGAAAGAGGGGAUGCCUUCCCGGGGCAUCCCCAAGCUUAGGAUUUUACGGCAUCCUGGAAUCUCUUCGCGUGCCUUGGGUAUCCCCAAGCUUGAGCUCUUGCCAAUCUUUAUCUCUUUUUCCAUAAGAACUUCACCCAAAACUUGAAAACUUCACAACACGAAACUUAAACAGAAACUCGUGAUAACAUUAGUAUGAGAAAGCAAACCACCGCUUCCUUAGGUACUGUAGCAGACUUAAAUUAUACUUAUGCUGAUGUUGGGUUACUGUAUUUUCAAUCUUCCAUGGCUAAUACCCCCCGAUAUUAUCCAUAGUUUCAUCAAAAUAAGCAACCAACACAACAAAAACAGAAUCUGUUAACAGCAGACCAGUCUGUAGCAAUCUGUAUAUUUUGUAUACCUCUGGUACUUCAAAAAUUCUGAAAACUUACGACCGUCUGAAGAAUUUGCGUAGAAAUCAGCAGCAAAAAUAAUCAACUCAAAAGCUCUUACAGAAAAAACAUGAAAAUUCUUUUCGUGAGCAGAAAGUUUGUGUCUUUUCCAGCAUGACCAAACGAUCAUCCACAAGACUAAUCAUAAUGGUUUUUCUUGGCACAAACACAAAAAGAAACACAAAAAACACAAUCAUAACAGAAUUAUGAAAGUGUGGAAAACACAAAACAGAAAGAAAAAGGAUAGAUUCGCUGGGUUGCCUCCCAACAAGCGCUUUUGUUUAACGCCCUUAGCUAGGCGAAAAGUGAUGGAAUCACGUAUAGUCAUCUUUGGUGCUCAAACCAUAAGUAGCGUGAUCAUUUAUCAUCUUAAGAUCUUUAUCUUUAUUGGAUGACUCACCACUAGCUUUAGGAACAAAAACAGACUUGACAGUCUUUUUGAGAGUGAGAUUUGGAGUAUUUUGCACAGCGGCAAAAGCGGAACCCAAGUUGGUUAUGACAUCUUCUAAUUUGCCAAUUCUAGAAGAAUCAUUAACUAUAAGUUCCUUCUCCCUUAAAUUUUUCAAAAAGUUUCCCACUUUGGAUCUGUACUGAGUAAUUUGAUUGUGGAUCUUUCUGUCCAAACCCUCAAUAAGUUCAACUAUGGAAAUUUUGUUUUCAACAGCGUCUAGCCUUUGCAUCACGUGUUCCAAGGUCAAGAUAGUUCCAUUAACCAUGAGCGGUGGUGAGCCUACCAAAUUCAUGAUAGCUCUAUAAGAGUCGACAGUGUGGCUCCCCAAAAAGUUCCCGCCUACAACGGUAUCAAGGAUAUACCUAUUCCAAGGAGAAAUUCCAACAUAGAAACUGCGAAGGAGGACGGUAGUGGAUUGGUUACAAGUAGAUGUACUUUGAGCAUUGCAAAUCCUGUACCAAGCGUCCUUCAAAUUUUCUUCCUCAUUUUGCCUGAAAUUGAGAACUUCAUUUUCAGGGGUGUCGUUUGGAGUGGUGGGUCUAACCAUUGAUGGACUAUCUCACACACAAACGAGCAGGAAGAGAGAGUGAAACGGGCAAAAGAAAACGGCAAAAGAGAAAGGCAAAUGAAAACGGCAAAUGUGAAGUGGGGGAGAGGAAAACGAGAGGCAACUGGCAACAAAAGUAAAUGCAGGAGAUGAGUUUGUGAGACCUACUUGGAUAGAUCUUGAUCUCUCCUCUCCGGCAACGGCGCCAGAAAUACUUAUAAUGUCAGUUGUACUUCCCCGGCAACAGCGACAGAAAUACUUAUGAUGUCAGUUGUGCUUCCCCGGCAACGGCGACAGGAAUAGUCGUGUCGACAGCACCAGGAAUCCUUCUGCUGCGGCUACGCCUUAAGGGACUUCUUAGGAAAAUAUGCAAAGGAUUUCCCCCCAUGGCCUUGGAGCCUUGCGUUGGUGUUCCCUCGAAGCGGAAAGGGUGAUGUAACAUAGCGGUGGUAAGUAUUUCCCUUGGUUUGAGAACCAAGGUAUCGAUCCAGUGGAGGAGUAUCACAAGAUCCUGCACAAACACAAAGAACCUGCUCCCAACGCUAUGAAGGGGUUGUCAAUCCCUUAUAGAUUGUUUGCCAAGUGAGAACUAAAAGCAACAAAGUAACAAAGCAAAGUAAAAGCAGAGGUGUAAACGAUAGAUGUGAAUAGACCCGGGGGCCAUAGUGUUUACUAGUGGCUUCUCUCAUGAAAGCAAGUAGACGGUGGGUGAAUAAAUUACUGUCAAGCAAUUGAUAGAACCACGCAAAGUCGUGAAGUCAUCUAUGGCAAUGAUUAUAUCUAUAGGCAUCACGUCCAAAACAAGUAGACCGAUACUGUCUGCAUCUACUACUAUUACUCCACACGUCGACCGCUAUCCAGCAUGCAUCUAGUGUAUUAAGUCCAAAAGAACAGAGUAACGCCUUAAGCAAGAUGACAUGAUGUAGAUGGACAAUCUCAUAUCAACGACAGAGCCCAUCUUGUUACCCUUGAUGGCAACUACUUAAUCUGUGCCUUGUUGCCCCUACUGUCACUGGGAAAGGUCACCACAUGGUAGAACCCAAAACCAAGCAUUUCUCCCAUUGCAAGAAUCAUAGAUCUAGUUGGCCAAACAAAAUCCAAGACUCGGAGAGACUUACAAGGAUAUCAAAUAAUGCAUAUAAGAAAUCAGCAAAGACUCAAAUAUAUAUCAUAGAUAAUCUGAUCACAAAUCCACAAUUCAUCGGAUCUCGACAAACACACCGCCAAAGAAGAUUACAUCGGAUAGAUCUCCUUGAAGAUCAUGGAGAACUUUGUAUUGAAGAUCCAAGAGAGAGAAGAACCCAUCUAGCUACUAACUACGGAUCCAUAGGUCUGAAGUGAACUACUCACGAGUCAUUGGAGGGGCGAUUAUGAUGAUGAAGAAGCCCUCCAACUCCAAAGUCCCCUCCGGCAGGCCGCCGGGAAGGGUCUCCAGAUGAGAUCUUGCGGAAACGGAAGCUUGCGACGGCGGAAAAGUAUUUUCGAGGCUCCCCUGAUUUUUUGCUGUAUUUUAGGGAAUAUAUAGGCAAAAGAUCUAGGUCAGGGGGCGCUCAGGGAGGCCACAAGCCCUGCCACCGCCGCCUCCCCUGGUGGCGGAGUGGGGGCUUGUGGNNNNNNNNNNNNNNNNNNNNNNNNNNNNNNNNNNNNNNNNNNNNNNNNNNNNNNNNNNNNNNNNNNNNNNNNNNNNNNNNNNNNNNNNNNNNNNNNNNNNUGGAUCAGCAUCACAGGACAACAUCACAGUGGCCAUCACCACCAUAAGGGCUGCCAAGCAUACAAAGCAUGCACUUGUUGUACUGACGGCCAUCACAAGAUACGGUGCUAGCUAUGUACUGAUAUGCUCUCUUCUUUUACUGUUCGGUCUGAUCUGCCAAAUGUAUUGACCAGCAACUCGUUUUGCUAGCAUUUAUAUAGGGUGAGCAUGUUGAUUGAUCCCGAGUUUUAUGGAGUACUAUUAGAUUGGAAUUAAUGCAUUGAUUAAUUUGUGCACAUCCUUGAAUAGACGUGCAUACGUAUCUUCUCAUUUUAUAGCGUGAAUUGAUUCUUUCCCUUUUUUGGUGCGUCUAGUCUAUCUAUUCAACUAGAUGAUAGUGCGCAUGUUGCAGCGUGAAGAUGUUACAAUAUAUUUCAAUAAAAUUAGAUUGUACUCCAUCCGUUCUAAAAUAAGUGACUCAAAAAUGAAUCAACUUUGUAAUAAUUCUAAUACAAAGUCCAGUCAUUUUUUGAGUCACUUAUUUUGAAACGGAGGAAGUAUUAAACAAUGGUUUAAAAUAUAUGAAAAAACUAAAAAUGCAUAUGAUAUAUUGUAUUGGAAUAUUGUAUAGUUGGAAAAUAUGUAUUGAAUAUAAGUAGUGUAAUAUAAAGGAAUUACCCGAUGCAUGUUGAACGGGCCUUUGAUGAGGUGAAAUGUGUGUAUGGCUUAUAUGUGCAUGUUGAAAUAAGUAGAAUUAGUGGGGAUCAACUAAUAAUGAAAAAUAUUUUUCAUGCAUGUUGUGAUGGGCCUUUGAUGAUGUGACGCGUGUGUGCAUGUUAAGAUAAUGAAAGUAGCGGGGAUGAAAUGUUUGGUCUAAAUGCUGCUAGUGAGUACUUACCAGGGCGAUCGUACCGGCCGCGCGCACCUCGGACAAUGUCGGUGACCACAUUCAAACGUCGCUAAUUGGGGUUCCUACACUAGUGUGUUGUUAGUGUGAAACAACACACGUUACCGAUUAUGGGACCAUGCAUUGUGUAGUGAGAAAUAUAUUUAUCAUCGUACACGCUAUUGAACAACUCUAAGUGCGUGACGAGACUUCAUAUAUUGUUCCAGUUGUUUUCAAUUGUGUGUGAUAGUAUCUCAUCCCACAGGUGAGCUUCAAAGCCGUCGCGUCCAAUGCCAAACGUAAUCUCACUCCAACACUAGACGUGUACGUGUGCGAUGGUAUGAAACAUCAUACACACUAUGCCCCGACGUUACAUCUGCAAUGGUUGAGACAUCACACACAUUUUCCACCAUAAAACCUGUGUGACAUAUGUCACAUUUUCUAAAUGUUUAACCUUGGUGCUCUGGUUGGGUUUUGUGAAAACUUACAUGCUUUUCUAAGAAGACAUGUGCGAUGAAGGAUCAAUUCCACACGUUUACUCCGAACUAAGACAUAUUUUAUACUAGUUGAAGGCACGUACUUUGNAAAGUAAUCAUCUCCAUGCAUUUUAGAUCACUUGGGCGUAUACAUGGAUGCAGUGCAUUCUACCAUGCAUAUCCAAUAUUUAUCCGAGCAAGAAAAUGGAUAUGUAUCAGUCCAUAUAUACAAUACAUGUCAUAAAAUCCAUGCAAGAAACAUGAGAAUAGCCUGUUUCGCUUGACUUACUAUCUUUUCAUAAAAGAAAAAACAUGGAAAUAGCUUGUUCCGCUCGGCUAAAAUAUUGUUUUGGGAUGAUACUCGGUCAUACGGGCCUUGAAGCUUUCCAGUGGGCUAGCUCUAUCGAGCCCCACUCAUAAACGCGAACCAACCUCUUGACCUACAUUUUCUAUUCAUAUCUUGCCGCUUGAUUUUCUGAGGAUAUUGAUGAUAAAUAUAUGCCAGAUGAACUGAUGGUGAAUCAAGUUCCAUCUAUUGAACGUCUUAUGCUAGAACCACCAAUACCCGCAACUGUUUUAAGAAAAGUGUCAACGANNNNNNNNNNNNNNNNNNNNNNNNNNNNNNNNNNNNNNNNNNNNNNNNNNNNNNNNNNNNNNNNNNNNNNNNNNNNNNNNNNNNNNNNNNNNNNNNNNNNCAGAAGUCUAGGAGGCGAAGGGCGUUAAGGACCGAAGACACAGACGGGCGUUCUGCAUCAUCAUAUCACGCAAUCAAAUCAAAUCGCGAUAUGAUUUUCUAUGACAAACUUGCCUUCCAUGAAACGGGGCAGAUGGACAGGGAAAAGGCAAAGGUGGCAUGCAAUCAAAUCAGAACAAAACUUUCCUUCCGUGAACCAAACAAUAUGGGGAAAACUUGAGGGAAGGGAUGGAUGAUAGGAACGAAUUACGUAUCAUGACCUACUAUCAUCACAUACUCCUGCUUUAGGAGUAGAGAUGAUAAAAGGUAAAUAUUAUAGGAGUGGAGAUAUUGGUUGUUAGGAAAGGCAGGGAUACAUGUGUUAGGAAAGUUGGGGUUGAAAUUGAUUGCCGUGAAACUUAGUAUCGCUUGCUGCUCAUUUAUAACGUGUCAAGUUAGGAAAAUCUGUAUGCUAAGUAGACUUACUUAAUUGCACACACAAUUAGUUAUAUGCUUAUUAAUUGCAUUAAUAUUCUGAUUUCCAAAUUGAUAUUGUGCUUGAUUUCAUUAUUGUUUUUGCAUUAACGAAUCAAUUUCGUAAUUGAUUUGGCGUCAAAAAAAUCCCUACUUAAAUAGAGUUAAUUAAUAGCACAUCUAAGUACUCCCUCCAUCACAGUUUAGAAGACAUGAUUAAAUUUACAUGCAUUUUCACAAUAAAUAAGGUUUAGGGCGCAUGGCAUUUACUCCUAGCAGCUAAUUAGUACUCUCUUGUACUUCUAUAUGCAUGUGUACUGUGAAUGCUAUUUUUCAACCCAUCUCAUAGCCAAUCAAUAAACACCUAGGUUUCAGAGAAUUUUCAAGCAUGCCUUCUAAACCGCGACGGGGGAGUAAUUGUCUUCCUAUUAAUUGCAUUGAUGACUUGAUUUUCAACUUAUUUUGAUGUGAGAAAAUCAUUAUUGAAACAGACUUAAUUAAUUGCAUAUAUAAUUAAUUGUCUGCCUAUUAUUUGCAUCAAUUUCAAAUUGAUUCGCUGCUUGGUUUCUUUAUUAUUUUUGCAUUAAUACCUCGAUUUCCAAAUUGAUUCGGCGUAAAUAAAUCACAACUUAAACAAAUUUAAUUAAUUGAAUAUGUAAUUAAUUGUCUACCUAUUAAUUGCAUUAAUGACCGGAUUUCCAAAUGAUUGGGUGCUUGUUUUUUAAUUAUAUUUGCAUUAAUGGUUGGAUACCAACCAAGUACAAAUUCCUCUUUUAGGAGUAGAGAUGUUUUGUCAAUCCUUACAUUUUCUAGUCCUACUGCACACGGUUAUUACGUAACGUAUGCACCCCUUCCUCCACUGUACACCACCACAAGGUCUGAUUAAGAACUACGCUAGCAAAAAGGAUUUUUAAUCGUGUGCCAUGAACCACACAGCAAGCUUGUAAGAGCUUUCAGCUUACUCCGGCAAUUUUAUAUUUUUGCAAGGGUUGUUUUAAUUAAGAGAUGAACUUGCCCGUCUCUUAAAUAAAUAAAUGGAAUCCAAGCCAGUCUGAUUGAUUCAGUAAAGAAAAAGAGAAUGGCAAACAAUUGCCAGAGAGAAUGCCAACUACGAGCGCUCGGGGUUGCAUAUUGUAUGUAGGAGGUGGUAGCUUUAGAAAUUUAGAUGAUAGCCCACACAUUGCGGCAGGAAGAUGUUGUAAUACAUUUUAAUAAAAUUUAUUGUAUGAAAUAAUGGAUUAAUAAUAUAUGAAAAAGUUAAAAUGCAUAUGAUAUAUUGUAUUGCUUUAUUGUAGAGUUGAAAAUUAUUUAUUGAAUAUAGGUAGUCUAAUAUAAAGGAAUUUUCUCAAUUCAUGUUGAGUGGGCCUUUGAUGGGGUGGAAUGCGUGCAUGGCUUAUGUGUGCAUGUUGAAAUAAGUAGAAUUAGUGGGGAUUAACUAAUAAUGAAAAAUAAAUCUCAUGCAUGUUGUGGUGGGUCUUUGAUGAUGUGGCAUGUGUGCAUGCUAAGAUAAUAAAGGUAGUGUGAGUUAACUAUUUAGGUAUAUAUAGGAUGUCCAGUCAAGAUCUCCAGCGUUUUUCAGUAUGUGGAGUGUGAGAACGACUUGUCCUCUUGGCUUAAACCGACUUUGGGGAGGGUUAAAACCCCCUCUCCAAUCCGUGACUUCGGGCUUCCACCUAUAUACGCGGUGCUUGGAGCCCCUAGAACACACAAUAUCCUUUGGAGGUUGCCACAUUGCUAUCCCGGACCCGUCUUUCUCAACCCGGUCUAAUUGUUCUGAUGGAAUUAGACUCCUGAUUAUAUGGGAUCGUCGCUAGGAUAAUCUCUUUCUCUAGUUUUCUUGGAGAUCUUCUUCCUAGACAUCGAAGUGUUGCUGGAUUACUUGGACGCGUACACGUGGCCGUAGUCGAAGGGGCGCCAGGUUCGGCAGUCCUUGACGCUACGUUGGCCGCCCACUUCCGGCUUGAAGGUGUCCGUUUGUGUCAUCGUACCGCCCGACCGCGUAGUAGUCCUCGUCAUGCUCAGCUUCAACACGUGUCUCACGGCGUCGAUCGCCGUAUUGCCCGUGUAGUUGAAGCGCCCCUCCUCCAUGCUGGACUCCGUCAUCGGAAAUAGGUCUGGGCACUCGACCAUGUUGAUCACGUGUGGCGCGUACAACGAUAAGGCGUUUUGCUUCCAGCGCCGGAAGUCCUUGCUCCAGUAGAUGAGCGUGGAACCAAUGCCCUUGUUGCUGCCGACCACUGGCGGAGCUAGGCAAGAACUCUUGGGGGGAGGGGGGGGCUAAACAUAAAAUAGGGAUGUAUGAGGGUGUCAAAAGCAUAUGUUUUUCCUAAUCUGACCUCCCUAUUUUUUUUCUUCACGUAAUUUAAUCUUGACUGGGGGGGGGGGCAUGGCCCCUCCAGCAAUCAACAUUUGGCGGCAGCGGCAGAUAUGCUCCUCUUCUCGUGUGGCUUUUUCUCAACGGGGAGCAAAAGUGCUGAUAACGUGUGAAAGUAAAACGAGAGAGAAGGGAACAAAUGAUGCAACAAUCACUUUCAUUGAUGAAUUUUAGGGUAUAUAUACCUUGGUACAAAGGCGGUUACAAAGAGGCAGUUACUACAAGUAGCAACCGACAUAGCAGGGAUUAACCCUUUAAUUAAUCUAAUUAAUUUAUUCCUAACANNNNNNNNNNNNNNNNNNNNNNNNNNNNNNNNNNNNNNNNNNNNNNNNNNNNNNNNNNNNNNNNNNNNNNNNNNNNNNNNNNNNNNNNNNNNNNNNNNNNGGUGCAGGGGUUAGCAAUUCACUGUAUUCUAUAUUCCACUCGACAACAAGCUCCCUGAGCACUGAGACGUAGGGCUGUUACCUCCACCGCAGAGGGGCCUGAACUCAUACAACCUCGCCGUAGCUAAGAAUCUGCCCAUCCUUUCGUACCCUACACAUCUACUGUCAGGCUUAUACCCAUGACAGUUGGCGCCCACCGUGGGGCAGGCGUCUAAGCGACUUCCGACGAGUUUGCGACUACAUCAUUUCGUCAUAUGUCGUCCGGUGGAGAUUCGAGCAUGGGUCACGAGAUCUUCUUCGGCGCUCUCUCCUUCAUCGUCGAUGAUUCGGCAUGGCUUCGGGACGCCCCUCUCGACAUCGAGGCGCUUCCCCGCCGCGGGGCUACGCACUUCCGUGCCGGCGCCAGCGGUAUUCUUCUUCUCCAGCAGUCGGCUCCGGUGUCGACCUACACCACCGUCACGCACCGCAACAAGCGGUCCCGCCAUCUGCGGCUCCAGCGUUGGGUGCAACACGCCCAGGCGCGCCAGAACGCGUCUUCACAAGUGGCAGUUCUAGAGUCGGUUGUGGUUGCCCCGCCGUCCCAGCGCUCGGACUCGGUUCCCACUGAGUUUCCUUCCGAGUACGCGGGUCGCGGGCCUGCAGCAGAAGUACACAUGGCCAACUCCCAUGAAGAUCCCCAUCAAGCUGGCCGGAACGAGCACGAGAUCGGUGAAACAUCCGACGCGCGUCGUCCAACUCGUCGUUCUGCCAGUCGGCACACUCGACGGAGCAACGUGAAGUUGUUCCGCACACCCCUCCUCAACUUGGUUGCGGCUGCCAAGAUAGCCGAUUACCUUCAGCCGACUGAUUCAGAGGCUGGCAGGGGGAUCGAGCAAAUCUGUGCCCUGUUGCACACGGCGCAACAGCAAUACUCGGUGGUCUCCCAGUCGCACAACAGGAUCCAUAAUAGUUAUGUUCAUGCGAACACGCAUCGGUCAGUUCACAGCCCUGGUUCUCAUCAGCGACUCAGGGGAGGCAGCCGUUCCAUAAACCCCGAAGUUCGUCGCCGUUCACGCACCCCUCCACGGGGUGGGCCCUACGGGCCCCGACAUCAUGAUGAUCGGCGUUCAGUCGGUGAUGCUUACGACCCAAGACCCGACGCAAGAGGGCAUAUCGCCCAGCGGAGGGUCGACACGGGCCGAGCCCACCGCGAUGGUUACGAUAUUGACCGUCCGAGUGGAAGCAGGACCAUCGUUUCUGGUCCCGAGUGUUUCAGUCGAGCCAUCCGUUCGGUUGACAUCCCUCCCAACUUCCGAUUGGCGACGAGAAUCAGCAAGUUUACAGGAGAGUCCAAGCCAGAAACGUGGCUGGAUGAUUACCGAGUGGCAGUCCAGAUCAGAGGAGGGGACGACCAUGUCGCCAUGAAGCACCUCCCUCUGAUGCUCGACGGCUUGGCGCGAGCGUGGCUGAACCAGUUGGCCCCCUCGAGCAUCUACAGUUGGGCAGAUCUGGCCCGAGUGUUCAUCAGGACCUUCGAAGGGACGUGCAAGCGCCCUGCGGGCCUCGUGGAGCUCCAGCAUGCGUCCAGAAGCAGAAUGAGCCCCUGCGUGAUUUCAUUCAGCGUUGGACAACUCUCUACCACACGGUGGAGAGCGUCACAGAGCAUCAAGCAGUCUGCGCCUUCAAGGCAGGCGUGCGGUACAGGGAUCUGUACCUGAAGUUCGGCCAAACAGGUGACAUCUCCAUGAGCAAGAUGAUGGAGAUAGCAGCACGCUAUGCAAAUGGCGAAGAAGAGGACCGCAUCCGAAGCGGCAAGCACAAGACAGUCGCCGAUGGAGAUGGGAGUAACACUCGGAAGCAGAAGCAGAAAGCUCCAUCCACUCCGCAGGCAGAAGCUGCAGCCGUAACCAAUGCCAAGUUCAAGGGCAAAGGGAAGGCUCAGUUCACCCCCAAGAAGAAGCAGUUCAAUAUCCCCAUCCUGGACCAGCCAUGUCCGGUUCAUACGAAGAUGGAUGAAGAGGGCAACCCCAUAUAUGCGAAGCAUACCACUCAAUAGUGUCGCCUCCUGAUCCAGGGGUUCAGCAAAGGGCAACCGAGUGAAAAGGACAAUGAACAGGAUGAGGAGGAGAAGGAGGAUCCGUUCCCCCAAGUCCAUGCAACACUGAUGAUUUUUGCUGACGUUGAGAGCAAUAGUCGACUGAAGCUGGUGAACAGGGAGGUGAACAUGGCCACCCCUACCAAACCCAAGUUCCUCAAAUGGUCUCAGACUGCGAUCACCUUUGACCAGUCGGAUCAUCUAGCACACGUACCCACCCGAGGGAGACAGGCUCUGGUCGUCGACCCGAUGGUGGAGGGAGUCCGACUGCGCAAACUCCUCAUGGACGGCGGCAGUGGCUUGAACAUCAUGUACGCCGACACUCUCAAGGGGAUGGGCAUUCUGAUGUCCAAACUCAGCGAGAGCAGCAUGCAGUUCCAUGGAGUCGUCCCUGGAUGAAAGGCCAAGUCACUCGGCCAGAUCGCGUUGGACGUCAUUUUCGGCUCCAACAAGAACUUCCGCAAGGAAAAGCUGACGUUCGAGGUGGUAGACUUCCAAAGCGCUUACCACGCAAUUCUAGGCCGCCCGGCGUAUGCGCGUUUCAUGGCCCGUCCAUGUUACGUAUACCUGAAGCUGAAGAUGCCAGGCCCGAAAGGUGUGAUCACCAUCACUGGCAAUCGACAGCGAGCCGAAGAGUGUCUGCAGCAGGGAUCAAGAUUCGCCGACCAGCAAAUGGCCGUCCUCGAGCUUGACGAAUACAAGAAAACAGUCGACCCCGCUGAUUUGAUGCGUUCAAAGAAACCAGCUUCGGAGUCCGCAUUUCAGUCGGCGGGAGAGACGAAGAAGGUCAACAUCCACCCGACGGACGACACUGCUGCCCCGACGAACAUCUUCACCACCCUCGAUCCUAAAUAGGAAGCCGAGCUCACCCAAUUCCUCCGUGAGAACUGGGACAUCUUCGCAUGGAAACCCUCUGACAUGCCAGGUGUACCAAGGGAGUUGGCUGAGCACCGACUGCAUGUGGAUCCCACCGCUCGGCCUGUCCGAGAACGCCCGCGUCGGUCCGCCGCGCACAAGAGGAAGGCAAUCGGAGAAGAGGUGGCCAAGCUGUUGGCAGCCAACUUCAUUCGCGAGGUUCACCACUCCGAGUGGCUCGCCAAUGUUGUCAUGGUGCCCAAGAAGGACAAGUCGCUCCGAAUGUGCAUAGACUUCAAGCAUCUCAAUAAGGUCUGCCCGAAAGACCAUUUUCCGCUCCCCCGCAUCGAUCAAAUUGUCGAUUCGACUGCGGGUUGCGGACGUUUGUCAUUUCUUGAUGCCUACUCGGGCUAUCAUCAGAUCCGUCUGUAUGGCCCCGAUGAAUUAAAAACAACCUUCAUCACCCCAUUCGGGUGCUUCUGCUACAUCACUAUGCCAUUCGGUUUGAAGAAUGCAGGAGCUACCUUUAUGCGCAUGAUCCAAAAAUGCCUCCUCGACCAAAUCGGUCGGAAUGUGGAGGCGUAUAUGGAUGAUAUCGUAGUCAAGUCACGCAAAGGUUCCGACCUGCUGACCGACUUGGUAAAAACAUUCGCCAACCUUCGUAGGUACGAUAUCAAGCUCAAUCCCGCCAAGUGUUCAUUCGGCGUUCCCAGCGGAAAGUUACUCGGUUUCUUCGUUUCCGAACGAGGGAUCGAUGUCAACCCCGAAAAGAUCGGAACCAUCGUCCGAAUGGAGAGGCCGGUCAGAAUACACGAUGUUCAACGGCUCACAGGUUGCCUAGCGCCUUUGAGCAGGUUUAUCAGUCGACUCGGCGAGAAAGCACUUCCUCUGUACCGACUCAUGAAGAAAUCAGAUACUUUCGAGUGGACAGAUGAAGCCCAAGUUGCAUUCGACGACCUCAAAGUCCUACUUUCCACCCAGCCGGUUCUUACUGCUCCACUCAGUAAAGAGCCCCUUCUUCUGUAUAUCGCGGCUGCAAAUCAAGUCGUCAGCACUGUUCUUAUAGUCGAACGAGAAGAAGAAGGCAAAGCAUACAAAGUUCAGCGGCCAGUGUAUUACGUCUCCGAAGUCCUGACUCCUUCCAAGCAGAGGUAUCCCCACUAUCAAAAACUUAUCUACGGGAUUUACAUGACUGCGAAGAAGGUGGCCCAUUAUUUCCAAGACCACUCGGUGUCUGUCGUUUCUGAUGCUCCGUUGUCGGAAAUCCUCCACAAUCGGGAGGCAUCAGGCCGAGUGGCGAAGUGGGCAAUGGAGAUGUUGUACUGCGAUAUCAAGUUCGAGGCCAAGAAAGCUAUAAAGUCUCAAGCUCUGGCUGACUUCAUAGCAGAAUGGGUAGAACAACAGCAACCGACCCACAUCUACUCGGCUCAUUGGACAAUGUUCUUCGAUGGGUCCAAGAUGUGGAAUGGCUCCGGCGCUGGCGUUGUGAUCGUAUCACCAAAGGGCGACAAACUCAAGUAUGUGCUGCAGAUACACUUUGAUUCCUCCAACAAUGAGGCAGAGUAUGAAGCUCUCCUUUAUGGAUUGCGCAUGGCCAUCGCACUCGGUGUCCGUCGCCUGAUGGUCUAUGGCGAUUCGGAUUUGGUGGUUAAUCAAGUGAUGAAAGAGUGGGACGUCAGGAACCCCACCAUGACCGCAUACUGCAAUGCAGUGAGGAAGCUUGAGAAGAAGUUUGAAGCUCUAGAACUCCACCAUGUUCCGCGACUGAAGAACCAAGCAGCUGAUGAGUUGGCAAAACUCGGAUCCACUCGGAGACCAGUCCCGAGUGACGUCUGCCUCGAGCACCUCCACCUUCCUUCAGUCAAAGAAGAUCCUUUGACAGAGGAACCAGUACAAUCAAAGAGCUCGACAGAUCCGACUGAAGUCGACGUACCUGCUGUGGUUGAUCUGAUCAUGGAGAUUCUUGCUGUCACCCCCGAUUGGACUGUGCCGAUCAUUGCAUAUAUCCUGAGGCAGGAAUUACCAGAAGACGAAGUCCAAGCCAGACAGAUAGUCCGCAGGUCGAAGUCGUUCACUAUCAUUGAUGGUCAACUGUACAGGGAAAGUGUUUCAGACGUUCUUCAACGAUGCAUCUCCCCAGAGGAGGGACAGUUGAUCCUGGAAGAAAUUCACUCGGGAACCUGCGGUCAUCACGCCUCUUCGAGAGCAAUCGUCGCCAAAGCAUUCAGAGCUGGUUUCUUCUGGCUACAGGCGAACGAAAUGGCUAAAGAUAUGGUCGACCGAUGUGAAGGCUGUCAGUUCUACUCCAACAAGUCCCACAAGGCAACAUCCGCGUUGAAGACAAUCCCUCUUGUGUGGCCGUUUGCAGUAUGGGGAUUAGAUACAGUCGGUCCAUUCAGGACAGGCCAAGGAGGAUACACACAUUUGUUGGUGGUAGUCGACAAGUUCACAAAAUGGAUUGAAGCAAAGCCCAUCAAGAAGCUCGACGCCCUAACAACCAUCAAGUUUGUCAGGGAUAUCAUCUCCCGAUUCGGGGUACCUCACAGCAUAAUCACAGACAACGGAACAAACUUUGACUCGGACAAAUUCAAUGGUUUCUGUGCAAGCCAAGGUAUCCGAGUGGAUUUUGCUUCCGUGGCGCAUCCUCAAUCAAACGGACAAGCAGAGCGGGCAAAUGGACUUAUUCUGCAAGGUUUGAAGCCCCGACUCCUGCAAGAGGUGGGACAUGCCGCUGGCGCAUGGGUCACCGAGCUGCCGUCAGUGCUUUGGGGUCUCCGCACAACCCCGAACAGAUUUACAGGGCGAUCACCGUUCUUCCUCGUUUACGGAGCAGAAGCAGUCCUUCCGAGUGACUUGCUUCACAAUGCUCCACGAGUCGAACUCUUCUCCGAAGCUGAAGCAGAACAAGCAAGGCAAGACGGAGUGGACCUUCUAGAGGAGGAGCGCGAGAUGGCAUUGACUCGCUCAACUAUUUAUCAGCAAGAUCUGCGGCGUUUUCACGCACGACACGUCAGGAGUCGCACGUUCCAAGCAGGUGACCUAGUGCUCCGAGUGGAUCAGCAAAGACCUCACAAGUUGGUUCCUGCCUCGGAAGGACCCUUCAUCAUCUCCAAGGUGUUGAACAACGGAGCAUACAGACUCUACAACAUCGACAGGGAGACAGACGAACCACGAGCAUGGAAUGGAGAUCUCCUGAAGCGUUUCUACACGUGACCGUCGACUGAAGCAAUGUAAAGAACAAGUAUUGGUGAAAUAAUAUAAAGCAGAUUGAGCUUUUGCAGAUUCAAAAUUCUUCCGCGGUCGCAGACUCCGGUCUCAAAAAAAAACUUAACUGCGAUCCAGAAUCGCCUAAGUACCAACUUUCUCCGAGUGUGCACUAAACGUCACACUCGGGGACUUAGCUGCGAUCAAUAAUCGCCUAAGUACUAACUUUCUUCGAGUGUGCACUAAACGUCACACUCGAGGACUUAGUUACGAUCACGAAUCGCCUAAGUACUAACUUUCUCCGAGUGUGCACUAAACGUCGCACUCGGGGACUUAGCUGCGAUCACGAAUUGCCUAAGUACUAACUUUCUCCGAGUGUGCACUAAACGUCGCACUCGGGGACUUAGUUGCGAUCAAGAAUCGCCUAAGUACUCAAUUUCUCCGAGUGUGUACUAAACGUCGCACUCGGGGACUUAGCUGCGAUCACGAAUCGCCUAAGUACUAACUUUAUCCGAGUGUGCACUAAACGUCGCACUCGGGGACUUAGCUGCGAUCAAGAAUCGCCUAAGUAAUAACUUUCUCCGAGUGAGCACUAAACGUAGCACUCGGGGACCGAGCCGCGAUCAAGAAUCGCCUCAGUACAAAUUUUCUCCGAGCGAGCACUACUCGUCACACUCGAAGACUUAACCGCGAUCAAGAAUCGCUUAAUGGGAAAGCUUCCUACGACUGUAUCCUACAGAUACACUCGGGGAUUCUGCAGACCCUCAUUGAGGCUCAUGUGGAUGUCAGGACCACUGACAAUUACAUGAGUAGCAGACCCUCAUUGAGGCUCAUGUAGAUGUCAAGACCACUGACAAUUACAUGAGUAGCAGACCCUCAUUGAGGCUCAUGUGGAUGUCAAGACCAUUGACAAUUACAUGAGUAACAACUCGCUCCGAGUGCGGCAUAUCCGUCGCACUCGAAGACUUAGCCGCGAUCAUGAAUCGCCUAAGUACGCUAUUACCUCCGAGUGUAUCCUACAGAUCCACUCGGGGACUUGGCAGACCCUCAUUGAGGCCCAUGUGGAUGUCAAGACCAUUGACAAUUACAUGAGUAACAACUCGCUCCGAGUGCGGCAUAUCCGUCGCACUCGAAGACUUAGCCGCGAUCAUGAAUCGCCUAAGUACGCUAUUACCUCCGAGUGUAUCCUACAGAUACACUCGGGGACUUGGCAGACACUCAGAGAGGCUCACACAGAUGUCAAGGAAACUGACAAUUACAUGCUCCGCAUGUUUGCCAUUGGCUUCAACAAGAGAAGCCAAACAAAAACUCGAGCCAAAAUGGUGUCAACAACUCUUUGGCAACAGAAGAGCAAAAGAUUUGAUUUAAAUUCGAAGUUCACCUAAAGAUAGUUGACUCGGUGCGGAUCAAGCUUACCCGCACCGAACGAAGAAUAUGACGGCCAACAGAAGUGGCCAAGGUUUCUUACAACCAACACUCGGCAUACCGAGCUAAAAGUUUUCUUUAGCGUCGUCCGGAUUGGCGCCAGGGCUGGAGGGCUCCACGAAUGUGUCCAGAUCGAUCCCGUCGGCGAUGCGGGUGGCACUCUCAAGGAAGGUUUCCAUGAAGUCUUCGAAUCGAAGUUUCUUCGUGUUGGCGACCUUCAACGUUUUCAGCUUCUCUUCGCGCACCUCCUUGCAAUGCACUCGGACCAGGGACAUCGCAACGUCUGCACCACAGCGAGCCGCAGAUUUCUUCCAUGGCUGCACUCGGUUUGGGACCUCCUCCAGCCGAGUCAUCAAGCCUUCCAUCUCAUGUCGAGACUCGUCUUCAGGCCAAAGCUCCUUGUCGAUCCGGCCGACGACUUCUCUCAGUCGACCGAUGAAAGGCCCAACUUUGCCCAGGCGAAUGUGCGCUCGGAGCAGAUCUCGAUUGGCGUCCUCACCGAGUGGAAUGUUCUCGCGAAUCGACCGCUCCACGUCAGCUGCUUCAGCCUCCGCGUCCAUGCAAAAAUCUGCAAACACAGGACAAGCAAACAAUAAGCGCCGAGUGUAACGCACAUACCACAAGCACUCGGAAAAACAGGACUUACCACCCAGACGCGUUAUCAUCUGUCGGGCCCAGUCACUGGCGUAUUUUUCCUGCGCUAUACACCGCUUGUUCAGCACAUUCAUUUGCCCCAUCAGCUCAGACCUAUGCUCCUUCAUCUUCUCAACUUCAGCAGUCGGUGCCUUGUUUGCUUCACGGGCCUGCUCCAACGACUUCUCUCGUUCCACCAGAACAUCCUUCAUGCCAGCCAUUGCAACCAGUGCCGCAUCCUGCUCACCAGCGAACUGAACCUUUUCAGCCCUAAGAGUCUCGUACGCUGUCCCCAUCUCGCAAGUUUUCUGCCAGCCAGCGCCAAUAAACGAUCAGACAAAUCCAACAAUAAAAAGACUAUGCUCUUCAGACCCCUGCCGACGCAAGCAGUCGACAGCGGUCUCGGGGACUACACCCAGUGGGUUCACUGAGAGUGACCCCACUGGCAUGAAACUCAAACAGGUCCGCCCUAUUGAGCAACAUGACAACACCUACGCCUACGAGGCUAAUACUACCCGACCUGAGUAAAAUUACUCUCGGGGACUCUUACAGUAGGUGCACUACGAGUGCACCAACUGUUAGCAUUCGACCAGAUUAAUUAUGGAUCUGAUCAAGUCAAAGACAAUGUGUAUAAAGACAACUGCCGGUGCAAGCACUCAACAGAAGUCUCGGAGACUACACCCACUGGGUUCACUAAGAGUGAACCCAUUGCAAACAUCAUACGAUAUCCGAGCACACCCAGUGGGUUACAAGAGAAAAGUAAAUACUUACUAGCCCACUUACUCGGAUAUCGUCCCGCAGCUCCAAGCUUCGCUGGUACAGGGAUGCGAUGGAGUCGUACGCCUUCUUGGCUUCUCCCGCCAUCAGCUCCACCUGCACCAUGGCCCCCUUGGCCGCUCCCACCUGAUCCUUCGGGAGGCGCUGGACGUUGUACUCGACAUUCGACGGGGCUGGCAUCGUUGGAAGCUCCUUAGGCAUCCCAAGACCCGCUCCAGUCGGUUCAGCAGCAACCAGCGCUGUUUCAGUCGACGGCACGUCCGCGGCGAGAGCAGUAACCGGCGGAACAGCCUCAAGGAUAGGCACCGCAGCUUGCUCAGGUCUCCCCUGGUCACCCUCAUCCACAUAAAUCACCCCUGCCAGACCGAACGGCGUGAGAUCUCAGAAAAAGAAAGUUGCAAGACCGAAGACAGAAUUCGCGAUGCGAUAAUGUGAAACUCUCGGAAUCGCUACAACGCACCUGGCUAGGACGAGACGAUGUUGUCCAUGUCCAUGGGGUCAUUCCCCUGGCGUGCCGGAGAGGUGGCAGAGGUAGCAACUCUGUCGAGUGAAAUUCAUUCGACCAAUAAACAGGAGUCCAAUCGAAUAUCAGAAGAAGUUAGAAGAACAAUGCACUUACGUCGAGGUGACGGGAACGGUGACCCUCAUCCGUGACAAAACCUUCCGAGGUUUAGAUCCGCUCGGUUUGGCCACCUUGGAAGGCUGACCCGCAAGUUCAGUAGCAGCGUCCCUGGUCCUCUUGGUGCUCCGGGCACUCGGACCCCCGGGAACAGUUGACGGGGCACUCGAAACUGUAGGAGCAGUUGGCGAAGCACUCGAGGACGCUGAAAGGGCCGAGAGAGCUGCAGGUUCAUGUCGGCGCUUGGUUCGAUGCUCUGGCGGCGGGGGUGGCGAGUCCUGCUCUUCAUCUUGCCCCUCCUAUUCACUAGACUCUUCCUCCGUUUCCCCACUGUCGGAGACGUACUCGACGCUCUCCACGCUGCCCUCCUGGCUGCCCUCCUCCUCCUCCUCGGCCGGGUUCCCGUUCGAGAUAGGGGAAAACCAGUUGGUCCACUUCUGCAUAAAAUACAGUCGGCGACAUCAGGCGUCAGACGGAGAUUCAAGAAAGCGAUAAAACUAAGACAGUUACGUGCACUCGACAAGUAGUACUCACCUCGUUCGGAGGAGGGUUGUCCGCGCAGAAAGCCCUCACUCGCCGGGACCCUCUGGGGUUCUCGCAAGCGCCUGUAAUCUGGAGCACCCACGACGCCACCUUCUCCUCGGUCACGCCCAAGACGUUGGUACGAGUGGAGUCUUCGGGCCCCGUGUAGUGCCACAUGGCGUGGUCGCGAGCCUACAGUGGUUGGAUGCGCCGACCGAGGAAAACCUCCAGCAAAUCUAUGCCGGUGACUCCCCUUCUGACGGCAUCUACGAGUGCGUCGACCAAAGGCUGGAUGUCGAUCUUCUCCGCCUUUGUGAGCGCAAGCUGCUUAGGCAGAGCGGGUCGAUCUAAGCUAAAAGGAGGCAACCCUGUCGUGGCAUUCGGACAAGCAACGUCCUGGCAGUAGAACCAUGUCGACUGCCAGUUCCUAACCGACUCACUGAAGAGCAGGAUAACUACUUCUACUCUUCUUCUGGAAACCUAAGCCCCCGCAGAGCUGGAGAAGGUGUGUCUUAUCAUCCGACUGGUGAAGUCGUUUGAUAGUUUGGGAUCUAGCAGAGAAAAUAUGUUUGAAAAGCACCCAAUGGGGGGGACAGCCGAUGAAACACUCGCACAAGACUAUGAAAGCAGAGAGAUGAGCUAUAGCAUUUGGGGGAAAGUGGUGAAGCUGCGCCCCGAAGUGGUUCAUUAUGCCUUUGAAGAAAGGAUGCGGGGGCAGAGAGAAACCUCGAUAUACGUGGCUGAGCAACAGGACGCGCUCCCCCUCCCGGGGCACCGGCUCGAUCUCAUUCUCCGCCGGCAACCUCCACGACUUGUGCACGAUCAUCCCGUGCUCCACCAGCUCCAGCAGAUCCCCCUCCGUCACCGUGGAGGGGAGGAAGUCCCCCUGGAUCCACCCCGUCGGUAACGCUCGCUGCCGCCGCUGAGCAGGAGCCGCCGCCUUCCCCUUCUUCUUCUUCGCCUCCAGCUUGCUAGUCUGUCCCUUGGUCAUGGCGGAAGCUGCGGGUCCGCGGAGGAGAAGGAAAGGGAAGGAGCUUGGGUGCGCAGGAGGAGGCGAGAGGAGCGGAGCAAUCAAAGGCAAGAGAUACGGCGAGCGUAACGAGAAAACCCUCGCCGCUGAGGUUUAAGUAAGGUUCCGACUGCGUCACUGACAGGUGGCCCCGAAACCUUAUCCCCCGACCAACCGCGGUGAUAUCAGUUGAGAAGAUGAAGGCGCGGGAAUCGAGGCGUCAGGCGCUACUCGAGCGCGAUGUCGUCAUCCCCGCUGAGCGCGCGGUAACCGAAAUUUGAGGAUCCCGAAAAAUCCGCCGCUGUCAGUUGAUUGGUCACGUCAGGAGAUACCCUGGAAGCACUCGGUCUCCGACAGUUUGUUCCACAAAUACUUCCACUCGGAUCGUUUAUCAGAAAAUAUAAAAUGGAUCAAGGCAAGCAACGCCAAAGUCACAUCCGUUCCCGUCGGAUCCAAACUUCAAGCAUCGCUUCGUCGUUCCAACCCCAAUCCAUUCGGGGACUAAUGAUGGGGUUAUAGUCCUAGGGUAGGGUCAUAGGCCUGCCCCGUAGGUCCAACCCAAGGACUACCCCUCAUAAGGGACAAGGCCCUUAGUCAGUUCCGACUGAACUAAGGAGUUCCCUUAUCCAGUCGGUAAUAGAUCCUCGUCCAUCCAAUCGGAGAUUAACAUUCGGAGUUUAUCAAACUAACCGACUAGAUUCCACUCUGUGCAUCGUAACCCCCCUGGAGGGAAAAGGUCAUACGUUUCCAUGUGCCUUUAUUAGCAUUUAAGACGUACGUUACCUGUAACGUAGGCAUUUAUUCGCCACUACUCCACCCCUGUGCACCAAACCGUUGUGGAGGGCAGCGCAUUCUAUAUAAGCCACCCUCCCCCACUGAUGCACGGGUUAGCAAUUCACUGUAUUCUAUAUUCCACUCGACAACAAGCUCCCUGAGCACUGAGACGUAGGGAUGUUACCUCCACCGCAGAGGGGCCUGAACUCAUACAACCUCGCCGUAGCUAAGAAUCUGCCCAUCCUUUCGUACCCUACACAUCUACUGUCAGGCUUAUACCCACGACAACAGGUGUUGUAUAGGUCAUACAACAUGCUCCCCCAGAUUACUCCAUCUUCACUGAAGAAAUGGCGUAUCUUUAAACUUUCUUCUUUAUGGCACUUUAAGCACCACUGUUGUAUUCCUUAGUCUGCUUUCGGAACUAUAAAAGAUCCAAAAAUACAACUGUUUCUUUUCUUUAGGGGUAUCAUAAUGACGGUAUUCAGAUGACUGUCGUACUCCCCUUGACAAUCAUAUUCUUCAUUAAUGGAUCACUUUAGAUGCAUAAUGUGCAUCACAUCAUCUAAAGUACAGAGGAGUCAUGAAAUACAUUCCAAUGUAUUUCAUGUCUCUUUCUCCCCCUCGAAAUGUGGCAAGAACUUUUCUGCCACAAUUUCGAAACCCAUUCAUAGCUCUUGUGAAAUGAGGAAACUUCAAUUAUCUAGCUCAUUCAUCUUAUCACUUCAUGUAAAAUGAAGUUAUAAGUUAACUAGUAUGGGAGUACUUUUUCCUCAUUUCAUUUCAGAAACUCAACAGAGUUCUUUAUCAUUGUCUCUUUUGCAAGUCACACUUGCAUAUCAUUCUUGUCUUUAGGUUCGUCUGUUACUUUUAUCCUUUCUGGAUUUAGUGAUUGCAUAAUGACCGUUACACAUAAAGUGCACGGUCGAUAAUAGGAAAGCUUAAUAGCUACUCCAUACUUUUCUCCCAUAGUGGGACACAUUAACCGCACAUGAGUCAUCAUAACUUUCUCCUGUCAUACAGGAUAAGACCUUUGCCAAAAUUUCUCCCGCCAUACACGGAUUGUUGACAUAAUACAAUGUCAACUUUACCCGGUUACGCAGGCAUUCUUCCCAGACUUUUCCCGCCAUGCGGGUAAUUCCCUUUAAGGGACAUCAUAAAUGCCAUAAUUGGCUCUUUUGACUGCAUCAAAUUCAGAAAUAAAUCUGAAUUAUCUUUAACACACAUGUUUGAUCCGACGUUGGUCAAAUUAAACAUGCUUGUUGCUUGUUUCAUUUCAAUCAUGUUGACUGAAAAAAGAGACUCCAUCAUAGAGAGUACAUGAAAGACAUUCGUCAACCAAGACUCUCAAUGAUCUAUCUCUUUUCUUUUCUUGAAUUAAUAUCCAAGAGUUCUUUUCUUUUGAAGCCAUUCUUUAGAGAGAAUUUAUUCCCUCAAGUUAUGACCUUUCUUUUCCAUCUUUCGGGUCACUAGUGCCCAAACAUUCGCUUUCAUGAGUGAAAGCUUGAAUAACUUUUAGUCUGAGAAAACUUAGCCAAUAAACAACGGUAAUGAGCAUAAAAAUAACCCUACGUUGGUCUGAUUAAAAUCAUGCACAUUAAACCUUUUAAAAAUUUCUGGAAUAUUCUAAAACACCGUUGUGGCAGAACUAGAAUAAAACAUCAUUCUUCUGCAUUAAUUCCAUAUCACCGUUGGGCAGAAAUGGAAAUAAUGCAUAUAACUCAUAAACAAUGUGAUGAUAGUAUUUCUAUUGAACAACUUUGCUAAGAAAUAAUCAUCAUCAUCAUUAACCAUAUGCAUUUCUUUAUCUGUGCUCCGAAAAUUGAUCACUUUGAUACAAAAUUUAUCAGAGAUUUAAGCUUUAAACAUAAGAUGACUCAUACAAUUAUAGUAUUGUUAUCAUCAACGUUGGUCAGAAAAUAACAAUACCAUAUUUAAUUUUAAAACAACAUCAUUCUAUUGACAUAGGGGAAACUGUUUGAAUCUUAUUUCAACCACAAGGGAAAAACUUUGCUAAUAACAGUUCUUCCAAUUAAAUUUUCCCGUUGGUUCCAAUUUAAUUGGAGGACUAAACCUUUUUACUUUGCAGCGGAAAACGUGAAUAUGAAAAUUCAUAUACCUUUACAGAAAAUUAUUCUGUUAAAAAUAAAAAUUCAUGAACUUUAUUUUCCUUUAAUAAAAUCCAUGAACUUUUCUCUUUCUGAAAAUAUUUCUUUUAUUUUCAGAACCUUUUAUUUUUCUUUGCAGAAAAAACAUGUUAUUAUAACAGAAGAAAAAAAAUUCUGUGAUAAUUAAAAAAUUCAUGAACUUUAUAUAUAAUCUCUUUUAUAAAAUUCAUGAACUUUUCUUUUUCUGAAAAUCUUCUUUUAUUUUCAGAACCAUUUAUUUUUCUUUUCAGAAAAAUUAACAUUGCUUUUACAGAAACUUUGAACUUUUUCUUUGCUAUUUACUAAACAUAUUUUCGUAGGAAAAAAUGCCUAGAAAAAACUUUUAAACCUGCCUUAAUAGACAUAAACUUAGAAAACCCUUUAAUAGAAAAAUGGCCAUCAUGGGCCGGCCUAUGGCCUUUUUCCUCUGGGCCUAGGAGCCUUUGACGCCCCCAGUCUGACUGGUAGCCAGCGCUGGCGCUCACUGCGGCCCGAAGGCCCGCCCUAGCCUAGGGUUUCAGCCUCGGCCGUCGGAUGGAAUCCGACGGUCAGGCGUUAGGAUCGGCGCAUCAAAAACAAAGGCAGGAACCUCUCCCGACCGAAACCCUAAUCAUUUCAUUCCCAGUCGCGCCGCUCUCUCUCUGCUCGCUCGAUCGCUCCCGCUCGAGGCAGCGCCUCUUGCUCCCUGGCUCCCGCAGCCCUUCCUCUCUCGGUGCCUCGCGCGCGGCUGCUCCCUGCCCCGCCGGAGAGCACGAGAGACUAAGGGUCUCCGAUGCCAUAGCCACCUCUCUCCCUCGCUGGUUCGGUGAGAGUAGUGAUUUGUUACCUUGUUGUGAACUCGAUGAGCUCCCUCCAGAGACCGUCGUGAGGUGGUGACGACGGUGGGGAAGGAGAGAGAGAUCCGGUAACGGCGGCGGUGGACUUCCCGUCGCUUCAGUGCAUCCCUCUAGAUCGGAUUAGGGUUAGAGAGUGGGGAACCAGUGGCGGCGGCGAACCUCGUAACCCGUGCCAUGGUCCCCACCUCCUCUACAUAUAGCACUGCGCGACAGGGGCCCACUAGCCUUGCUUGGGUUGGACGCCUCCGAUCAGGGCGUGAGUCAAGGUCCAAUGGGAGAUCAACCUAACAGUAAGUACAUCCAAUGUUUGUAUGGGUCCGAGGGAGGAGGGAUAUCAAGAGGAGGACAAACAAAGAAAUUUCAUACUCAAGUACUACUUCCUCAUAUCUAGAUACAUCCAUUUGAGCGUCAAUUAAAAUGGGACGGAUGGAGUAUCUUUUUAAGCGCAAGUUGGAAAAGGAUAGACGUUUUUAUAUGGUUCUAACGCUUCUUAGUGCAAUCUGCUCAACUCAGCUUAUGGGACUUGUUGGCGCCAGGAAGCUUCUUAGUGCAAUCUGCUCAACUCAGCUUAUGGGACUUGUUGGCGCCAGGAAUCUUCACGAAAUUUUGGAACGGGCGCUCUUGUAUCACUAUAACAAGACCCCGACACUGAUCAGGUCAUCAGGAGCUGGCAAUGUGUAAACUUGCACUGCUACACUGUAAAAGCAUGUCACAAGCUUAGCUCUCUAAUUUUUAGGGUUUUCUAUUGCGGGAUAUUAUUUAGGGCAUUUCUGAUCCGUAGAAUUCGUAGCAACAGUACAGGAAUGAAGUGCCGUGUCAUUUUCAAUACUACAGGAUUAGCAUGUGAGCUUGAUUGUGCGUGUGUAACACGUAAAAAUUUGGUGUCACGGUCACCGCAUGAGGUUGGAGUGGGUGAAAAAUUUCCAACGAAAACUGGUAGAAACGAAUUAAAAUGAAAAAUUCCAAUGGAUCGCAAUCCUACGAAUCAAACAGUUAAUGUAGGAAAGAAAUCCUAAGGAUGGGAAUCCUCGGAAACUUGCUUUAGAAAUCCUUGGAAGCAAAGAGGCCCUUUUGUGGAGUACGGCGUUUUGGAGCUAGGCCUCCGUGGAGGCCGAUUUUUUUGUGGAAAAAAUCAAAAUUAAAAAAAAAUAGUUACAAAAAACUAAAAAAAUAUACAACUAAAUAAGGAUGUGAUCUGUGUGUGAGUAAAAUUUCAGGUCGAAAUACUUUGAAACGCGACUUGUACAAAAAGACAAAUUCAUGGUCUGAAAUGAUGAAUAGUAACAUGUGUUAAAAAGUUCUAGAUUUGUCUUUUUUGCACAGCCCUUAUUUCAACGUAUUUUGUUUUGAAAAUUUACACACUUGCGUAUUAUACCUUCAUCUAUCUAUGUAUUUUUUCAGAAUUUUUUUAACUAUGAAAAUACGAAUUUUUAUGAAAUCUGAAGUUUGAAUUUAAAGGCCUUCAUGGAGCUUGGGAGCCAAAAGCAAUUUCCACCCUUUUGUGCGGGAAAAUAAUUUGUGGGGCAAAGGAUAAAGCAGUCACGUGGGAAAUGCAUUUGCCACUCCCCUAGCAGUUAUGAAUGUUCAGAAUUUCGGUACUCUGGGGCAAAAGGAUAAAGCAGCCACGGGUGUGCACUGACAAAGUCCAUCGGCAGCAGUGUCAAGCAGAAACAAAGUCCAUCGGCAGCAGUGUCAAGCAGAAACAAAGUCCAUCGGCUGCCGACAACUGAUGAAAUCCAGCAGCACAAUCUCUACGAGACACAACCAGCAGAUGUUAAUCCUAUAACCCAGCUGAGGCCUGAGGGUAGUCGCCAGCAGAUGUGAAUUUGGCCUGGUGAUUGUCAUCAUCGCCAAAUUCACGAAGGGCCCAAGCAGCAGUCAGUCAACAACACGAAAUCCAGUUUACCUAGGCAUUCAUUCACGAUUCAGCAACGAACUGGGAAACUGCUAGCAGCAGAGACUCUCGGUCUCAGCUCACCGGUGGCAGUUUGUUUCUGGUGUCAUCCGUUGCUUGAGCAUCGCUGCAAGUUUCUAGCGCGGGAGCGGGACGGAUACAUUAUUCGUCCAUCAGUCGUUAUUACUGAACUUCACCUACUGACCCAGCAAAAACACAUACAGGAAUGAUUUGACCAUACAAUUGGUUGUUACCAGGGAAGUUUCUAUAAUACAACAUAACACUCCAUAUGAUCCAGGUUCUUAACUCCGUGUAAUAAUAUCCUUGGAGCUGGAAUCGAUUCUUAGCUACAUACAUACACGGACACAUUAUAUUAUUGAUGCAAUAUGAUCCAGCAAAAUACUCCACCUACUACUCUGACCCAGCAAGCAAAACACACACACACAAAACGAGCAGCAUCCGCCGUUCUCUGGAUCCAGCAACCUUGGCAAUCAAUUACAGUGGUUACCUAGGAAGGGUCGUCGUCGCGGCAGCGGGUGAUGGAGUCGCAGCCGCGGGUGUAGGGGUUAGCGGUGGUGCUGACCCGGCAGUUGUAGUAUGGCACCCCCGGCCUAGAGCACGGCACCGCAUCCCCCCGCAGCGCGUCGUAGCUGAUGUACCUCCUGCCGCCACCGGUCUCCCACAGCAGCCGGCCGUGCGCCGCCUCCGAGCCCAUCUGCGCUGCCUCCACCCCCACGUCCAUGUCCAUGUCCAGACCGCCGAUGGUGAUGGCGCCAUGGCCUCCUCUCCCCCGCACCACCAGCAGCAGCAGCAGCACGAGGAGGAGCAGCGGCAGCACGGGGGUGGCCGCCCAUGGAGGCAUUGCCGGAGCCGAGAUCUCGAAGAGUGGAACAGUUGCUGUGGCUGGAUCUUUUCUCCCCGGUGAAAGAGUGGUGGAGUGGAGUGGAGUGGUGGAGGCGGCCUUAAAUGCAGUGCCACUGCCGACAGUCGUCCGUUGUGUCCCGUGGCCGUGGGGAACGGGCCCGUGGGGUUUACCAUUUUCCGUCCUUGUCUUUUUACCGCUGGUUUUUCUUGGGAGCUGAGAGGGUGUUUGUUUCCACACACUUAUUGGUUUAGGGACUUAAAAAAGUCCCUAAGGGCAUCUCCAAUGGUUGUAAGAUAGUUGUUGGUAAUUUUGACACAUAGGAUUUUUGAUGAUGUGUCAUUGCAAUAAAGGAGGAAAGAGAACAAGGUUGUAUGUAAAUUAACCAACACCCUUGCACAAGCUCCAAUGUAGAAUGAGAGAGCACCUUAUUUAUUACCUCACAUCUUAUUGGGCAAACUAGAUACAACCCAUUGAAGUAGUUGUAUGUUAAGGUGUUGGCUGAUGACAUGGCAUAUUUUACCAACAAGCUAACCAACAAACUGUUGGAGAUGCCCUAAGUCCCACCUAAACCAAACACAGGGGACUUAUUGGGACUUAUUGUGAUGAUUUGGACUUAUCAAAUAAGACUCUCAGGGAGUAGCUUAUUGGGACUUAUGCUCGUUGACCCGCGUCGUUUCCCGCAUCGAUCAGUGCCCCCGCCCCACCGCCCUACCCCGCGUCGCUCCCAGCCCCAAUCGCCGCCGCCCAACCGNNNNNNNNNNNNNNNNNNNNNNNNNNNNNNNNNNNNNNNNNNNNNNNNNNNNNNNNNNNNNNNNNNNNNNNNNNNNNNNNNNNNNNNNNNNNNNNNNNNNNNNNNNNNNNNNNNNNNNNNNNNNNNNNNNNNNNNNNNNNNNNNNNNNNNNNNNNNNNNNNNNNNNNNNNNNNNNNNNNNNNNNNNNNNNNNNNNNNNNNNNNNNNNNNNNNNNNNNNNNNNNNNNNNNNNNNNNNNNNNNNNNNNNNNNNNNNNNNNNNNNNNNNNNNNNNNNNNNNNNNNNNNNNNNNNNNNNNNNNNNNNNNNNNNNNNNNNNNNNNNNNNNNNNNNNNNNNNNNNNNNNNNNNNNNGCUCGUCCCCCCGCCACCCCGUCCCGUCGCCCGUUUCUGCCUCGGUUAGUCCCGUCUCGUCGCCCGUCGCCCCGUCCGCCCGCUGUCCCGUCUCGUCGGCAUGUGCGAUGCAAUUUCACUGAUGAUUCGCUAAUGAUUCACCCAGUCUGUGCGAUGCAAUUAAGCCGGUCAUGUGCGAUGCAAUUAAGCCAGUUUCCUGGUGAUUCUUGCUAAUAUAAUUAAAAGAUGAUUCAUCUAGUUUCGUUUGUAUGAACAAGUGUUAUGAACAAUUGUUAUUUCGGUUGUCACUAUUCUGCAAUUCAUUUGUAUGAACAAGGGUUAUGUGAACAAGUGUAUUAUUAGGUGCAACAUGAACUUAUAAGUCCAUGUAAACAAACAGGUAGAGACUCGGGACUUAUAAGUCCCUGUAAACAAACAGGUAAGGACUUAUGAUUUAUAAGUUGGGACUUAAAAAAAGUCCUAAGACUUAUGAAACAAACAGGGCUUAAAUCAUUAGAUAGUAGGUCCAUCUGGCAACAAAGCCUUUUUUGCCACCAAAUCCGGCGUAGUACCUUUUUUUUCAAACAGAAUCCGGCGUACCUUCCUCCUCACAACAAAGGACAUUAUCCAAACAGUUUAAGAGCAGUAUAAUAGUAGUAGGCUAUAAGCUCGUUUACAUGGAAAUUUUGCUUAUGUGAAGAAUAGAUGCAUAAAAAAAGAAAGAUGGACUCUUAUGUAAUAGUCUAGCUAUAUGCGGGUUCCUAGUCAGACAAAUGUGAACAAAGAGAUAGAGAGUAGAUGAGAAAAAGUAUCAGCCUUAUAGUUAACAUAGUUGUAGGAGUGAAUGUAUGUGUUGGCUAUAGAUGAUGUGUCAACAUCUUAGAGCCAGCAGUUGGCUAUAUUAUUAGGCGACUGCUACUAAUUUAUCGGCUGAUAAGUGUUAAACUUAAGCCGCCUCGCGAGCCCUCCGAUUAUUGUGAUUUGGACCCAACCUGGUCGUCAGAUCCGGUCAACGCUCAGCUAGCUGGAUGUCGCUGCUGCUUCAUCCCCAUGUCGCCGCAAAAAUGCUUGGAUGCGUGAGCGCCGAGGUGGCCCUCCUCACAGCAGAUCAACGUCGUGCCCCGCUCGAUGCUGUCGUCCUCGACUUGUGGCACCGCCAACAGAAGCGUUCGCUCAUUUGCAGCGACGCCGUCCUCGUAUGAAGCGUCGGCGGUAGCAGCGUCCGCUCCAUUGCAGCGACGCCGCGCCCGCGGCAGCAGCGUCGCCAUCCUCGUAUGCAGCGCCGACAGCAGAAACCGUGUCUGGUGGUGGGAGAGAUAUGGACGGUGAGGCUAGAGAAGGAGAGAGCUAGCAGAUGGCAACAGACCGACGGUCAAAGAGACAGAGGGGUAAGGAUAAGAAACGAGUGGUUCUGGGAGAAAGAGGGGGUGAUGCAUGGUCCCAUCAGGUCACGUGUCGCCCAGCCGACACGGAUGAUCUCUGCGAAAAAUCAUCCGAUUUAUUUGAAGUGUUUUCCAUAUUAUUAACCAUGUUCUAAUUUGGCCAUGAACUUUUUUUUAACGGUCACUGGGGAGGUGGUGGGGGGGUGGAGAGGAUCCCCACCUGAAUAUAUUGAUCAAAAUGUUGUUGAAGCCAAGAAUCACCCCUUGAGUUUUGGUUGAUCCAGUUUAUACGGGAAAUCGGAUGAAAACCUAAACAAGUUGACCUUGUUUAUGAGGGGAAAUGGGCCGAAAACCGUACAUAUAACAACGGUUACAAAAGAUGAGAAAAAAUUGCCAUCCACGAGGAGACAGGACCUAGCUAGCAGGCAGAAAGACCAACACCAUGAGAGACACAAGUAGAUGUGGGGUGUUGUCGAAGGAUCACAAUACUAAGACUCUACAAACAAACCUAACGCUCCACGAGCCCCAUGGCACAACAGAGGAUCAACCAAAAUAGCGAGAGCCAAACUUAACAUGAACCUUGACUAGGAGAUCCGCCACGGACGAUCAAAACGAUUAGCAGGUUGGGGAGGCAUCAUUGCUUCGUCAUUGAGCAAAUGUGAACCAAGACCCCGAGGCUCACCGCAGCACAACGACAACCAUGGGAGGGUCUUAAGCAUGCCAACAUGACGAAGACCACGCGAAGGACAGCCGAAGGCAUAGAAGAAUCGAGGCAAGAACACGAAACUCGCCACAGCAUAGCGGCAGCCAUGGGAUGUCUUGGCGCACCAACACGGACGAUAUCGAAGAACACCACCGUAAACAACACAUACCACCAUCGACCCAUCUGGACGCACCACCACCAACAACAUACCGCAACAAGCAUCAACGACACGUCACCCAAGCAGACCCUAAGAUGAUGCCUUCAAGAAGGAGCACGACGCCAGCUGCGCCGCCAUCAUCCGCACCAGGAGGACCUAGGCUAGGGGUUUCCCCCGGGUCUCAACUUCCAUCAUCAUCUGACCAAGCAAGGUGAGCCUUGAACGUUGGUCGUCUGGUCGCCACCCAAUAACAUCCCACAAAGGGAAGAGGUAUCGUGCAUGAACGAGGUGGUCCAGAAAAGAUCACACCUAGCUACCUCAGCUUCGGAUGGAAGACCCGGAACCACUCCAAGGAGUGACCGAGCCCAAAUGACGCCAUCGUCGACCCCCAGCCGACCGCAUCACCACCACCAAUAAACCCAUCGACAUCCCCGCAACGAGCAGCUACCCAACACGACAACCGAGUUGACUUCUUGAUGAUGCCUUUAGGAAGGGUUGCAACACACAUUGCGCCGCCAUCAUCCAUUCCGGGCAAACCUAGAACCAAGGUUUGCCUCGAAGUCACGGAGAGUUUGGCAAAGCAACAACCUACAAGACGCCUUCAAGAAGGUUCGCGGCGCCUGCAUGCGUCACCGUCAUUAGCUCUGGUGAGAGCACGACUUUCGCUGAGUUGAGCAUGCACAACUAAACUCCAAAGCACCGGUUAAACUGGGUAAACUGCUCACCUAAACCAUCCAUCGCAGAAGGCCAUGACAUCCCCGCCGCCGCCCAUGGUUUCAUCGGCAAGCCACCGCACAAAACACCACACCACCGCCACCACAAACCGGAACGACAAUAGUCGCACCACUACCACCCUCGCUGGCCGGAGCCCUGCAUGGUCCAGACCUGGUCUCCCCCAACAGCCACCAGCAUAGAGCUAGCCCCCCCCCACGAGCACCAAGCGGGGAGAGGAGAUGCGGGAGCACUCGGAAGGUGCCGUGCCCAGGCACGGCCGUGGCCGACGNNNNNNNNNNNNNNNNNNNNNNNNNNNNNNNNNNNNNNNNNNNNNNNNNNNNNNNNNNNNNNNNNNNNNNNNNNNNNNNNNNNNNNNNNNNNNNNNNNNNNNNNNNNNNNNNNNNNNNNNNNNNNNNNNNNNNNNNNNNNNNNNNNNNNNNNNNNNNNNNNNNNNNNNNNNNNNNNNNNNNNNNNNNNNNNNNNNNNNNNNNNNNNNNNNNNNNNNNNNNNNNNNNNNNNNNNNNNNNNNNNNNNNNNNNNNNNNNNNNNNNNNNNNNNNNNNNNNNNNNNNNNNNNNNNNNNNNNNNNNNNNNNNNNNNNNNNNNNNNNNNNNNNNNNNNNNNNNNNNNNNNNNNNNNNNNNNNNNNNNNNNNNNNNNNNNNNNNNNNNNNNNNNNNNNNNNNNNNNNNNNNNNNNNNNNNNNNNNNNNNNNNNNNNNNNNNNNNNNNNNNNNNNNNNNNNNNNNNNNNNNNNNNNNNNNNNNNNNNNNNNNNNNNNNNNNNNNNNNNNNNNNNNNNNNNNNNNNNNNNNNNNNNNNNNNNNNNNNNNNNNNNNNNNNNNNNNNNNNNNNNNNNNNNNNNNNNNNNNNNNNNNNNNNNNNNNNNNNNNNNNNNNNNNNGNNNNNNNNNNNNNNNNNNNNNNNNNNNNNNNNNNNNNNNNNNNNNNNNNNNNNNNNNNNNNNNNNNNNNNNNNNNNNNNNNNNNNNNNNNNNNNNNNNNNCCCCCUCUCUGGCAACCCUUUCCCCCACCUACACUUGCCUCACCACUGCCGGCACUGUUUGCAGGUCAAUCUAGGCUCGCACCUUGCCAGGAAUUAUGUAGAUGGUCGCGUGAUCCUUGUUAUGGUUGGAACGAUCAUCAUUCAAUAAAUAGGAGAAAGCCUAUAAGUAUCAUUUUUUUUUGGGCUAGCAGUAGCGCGGGUACCAGCGCUACUAAUACGACGCUAUAGCUAACUUUAUUAAUUUACACGUUAAAUUUUAUUAAUUGACUAUGGUAAUUUUUACUAAUUAACCACGAAAAGUUUACCUCAUGGAUUAUGGUAAUUUUUAGUAAAUCAUCAUGGCAAUUUCAGUUUAUAAAUCAUGGCAAUUUAUUUUACAGAUCAUGGCAAUUUUAGUAAUUUGACCACGGAAAUUUAGUAUUUUUACCAUGAUAAUUAUUAUUUCCAUGAACCAUGGCAAAUUUAGUGCAUUAAUCAUGGAAAAAUUAAGUAAUUCACCAUGGAAAUUUUAGUUUGUGGUUCAUGCCAAAUUUGAGCGGUUGAUCAUACAUUUUAAAGUAAUUGACGAUGUAUUUAUUUUUAGUUAUGAACCAUGUCAAAAUUAUUUCAUGGAUCAUUUCAAUUUUUAGUACUUCGCCAUAGCAAGUUUUAGUCUCUUAAUUCCCUUUUUGUAACAUCUCAAAAUCUACUUUAAACAUACAAAAAACUAGUUGAUAUAUACUCCCUCCCUUUCAAAAUAAGUGACUCAACUUUGUAAUAGCUUUAGUACAAAGUUAGUAUAAAGUCGAGUCACUUAUUUUGGGACUGAGAAAGUAUUAUGGUAAUUUCAGCGUAAACACCCUGGCAAGUAAUGUGCAAUAUGGACAUGACCACGUUCAACCCAAAAAAAAGUCGCCGAAACGUAUCUAUAUGGGAUCUAGUUUCUACGAUCUCGUCGUGACAAAUUUAAUGGUAAAACAUGAUUUCAAUCGGAUUAUUUAUUUAAAUACUAAAAGCCAAAAAAAUUCAGCCGAAAUCAUUAAUUUUAUUAUCCGUGUAUGCAUGCAGUGACGUGGAGCGAUCUGUAACCUUUGGCCCAAAUUAUUUCACACCACACGUGCGGUAUUUAUCAGGGCCCAAAGAGAAAGGGAUGAAAGUUGAGUCUAAUCACGUGUCCAGGAUGUGAGUUACUCCCUACAUCUCUCCUUCUCAUGAAACCCCCCCCCCCCCGAGAAAGCAAGGGCACUACUCGAUCAAGCAAGCAAAGCAGUCAUAUACUUCCUCCAUUUCUAAAUAUAAGUUUCUUUAGAUAUUUCAACAGGGAACUAUAUACAAAUGUAGACAUAUUUCAAAGUAUUGAUUUAUUCAUUUUGCUUCGUAUGUUGUUUUCUAUUAAAAUAUUUAGAAAUACUUAUAUUUAGGAAUGAGGUAGUAGAAGAAGGGAAACAACGCGUGAGUAUCAUGCUGAACUACUCGAUAAAUUCUUAUUUUUUGCAUUUUGUCUCUAGCUAACGUUGCUAGUAUUGGAUGCGGUUCUUGUUAAAGACAACGACUUGAUUCCUCGGAAAUGAAAAAAAAGACAAUACCUGAAGCUCAGAAGCCAGCUGUAUAAAACAUUUACUCCUAUUGGAUAUCAGUCACUUUUUAUUUACAUUAGUUCGUUUGUUGCAUACCACUAUUAUUCCAAGGAGUCUGAUAUUUAUCAUGUCAAACGUCCUACCCUAAUUUUCUUUUAUUUAAGUUAUAGUUUUUUGCAUAAACACCUACUCAUUGUUUUUUGUCCUAGUACAUUAUUACCUAUGUAUCAUAAUAUAAGACUUUUUUCAGGAAAACAACAGGACUCUGUUGCGUAUUUUAUUGAUUUUCAAAUAAAUGAUAUAGAUGUCCAAACAAAAGAAAACAAAGCAACUAUAUAGACUAAAUAAUAUAAGAUGUUUUUAGUAGAUGUUUAAAGUGCAUGAAAGGUUUUAUAGCAAAUGGAAGCUCCCCAAGUGUUUGACACUCGUUAUUUUCACAUUGAAAAUUCAAAACUGCUACAAUAACCCCUUACUUUUCAGGGACAAAUGACAUGGGUUAUACUAGCUCGCACCAUGAGGUGGUGGUCUAGUCAGUCAUGAUUUCGAGCCUCACUUCUACAUAGUACUCCAUGAGGAGUAUUAAGGAAGCCGCCCGCCAUGCACAACGUUUACAGCAGCCGUGGCGAGCCUCCAUGCUUCGAGUUUGGACACCUUCACGAGGCCGGUCCCGUUAUUGAACACGAAUACAUGGCUAUUUUUGUUUUCGGCGUGCUGAGGGUACACCCGUGCGGUGAUGCACGUCCUCCCCCCGCCUCCAAAGCUCUCCACCACUGAAUGGUCGAUCUAUUAAUUUGUUGGGAGAAGGGAACAAAAUCACAAGAUGCUAUUGCAUCUGAUGAACCAAAGGAUUGAUGAAGAAUUUAGAUUAGUACCAAUGUUCUAAGGGAUAUGCUCCUCCCGUGCUGCUCGAUGUCUAUGUCCACAAACCCUCCAUACGGAGACUUGUACACCUUGUCUCUCCCACUCGAUCUACUCAUGUGUUGCAACACGAGGUUCAGGCGUUAAAACGAAGAAAAAUAUAGGGUUUGCAACAGCCGAUAAUUUCAUCUGAAAUAAGUUCUAAUCGUACGGUACCUUGUGAGGUCGGUGCACAUGAGAACUUUGUACUUUUGGUCGUGCCUGAAGACUCUGAAGAAUAUGGCCGUGUGCUCCUGCAAGUCACCGGAGGCCAUGACGAGCAGCCCGAAUGGGCCGACCCCGCCCGGCACGGACGCGCCCUUCUCCGCGCAUAAGUUCUGGGGUUCCAGCAGCCAGUUGGGUUGGAAGGUCUCGGCCUCUUCCAGGGACGGGAUCUCGAAGAUGGCCUCCACGUCAGCCUGCGCGCCCACACCAACGAUCUUGUUCACGCCGCCGGCGUUCACCUG
rnacentral:lncRNA from 1 species